AUUGAGGCUUAGUUAUGAUCGGCUAGGUGAUUUAGCACUCCAACAAUGUCUGUUGUACUGUGCAUUAUUUCCUGAAGAUCAUAGGAUUGAAAGGGAGGAGUUGAUAGGUUAUUUGAUCGAUGUCGGAAUAAUUAAAGGAAUGAGGAGCAGAAAAUAUGCAUUUGACGAGGGCCACACAAUGCUUAAUAGACUUGAACAUGUCUGCCUAUUAGAAAGAGCUCAAAUGAUGGGUAGUCCUAGACGUGUCAAGAUGCAUGACUUGAUUAGGGACAUGGCCAUUCAAAUACUGCUAGAGAACUCUCGAGGCAUGGUUAAAGCAGGUGCACAAUUAAAAGAGUUGCCAGAUGCAGAGGAGUGGACGGAGAAUCUGACGAUAGUUUCACUAAUGCAAAACGAAUAUGAAGAAAUUCCUACCGGCCAUUCACCUAGGUGUCCCUAUCUAUCAACUCUAUUGCUAUGUCAAAAUCGUUGGUUGGGAUUUAUUGCGGAUUCAUUUUUCAAGCAAUUGCAUGGGCUCAAGGUCCUCGAUCUGUCUUGCACAGGUAUUGAAAAUUUGCCAGACUCUGUCUCUGAUUUGGUGAGUCUCACUGCAUUAUUGCUCAGUCAUUGUGAUAAAUUAAAACAUGUUCCAUCAUUAAAGAAGCUCACGGCACUGAAGAGGUUGAAUCUCUCUUGGACUACGCUUGAAAAGAUGCCGCAAGGAAUGGAAUGCCUCACCAACCUGAGGUAUCUUAGAAUGACUGGAUGUGGUGAAAAGGAGUUUCCUAGUGGGAUAUUACCAAAACUCUCUCACCUGCAAGACUUUGUACUAGAAGAGUUUAUGGUGCGAGGUGAUCCUCCGAUAACAGUUAAAGGAAAGGAAGUAGGAUCUUUGAGAAAUUUGGAAAGUUUGGAAUGCCAUUUCGAAGGUUUCUCUGACUUCAUGGAGUAUCUCAGAUCUCGGUAUGGGAUUCAAUCAUUAAGCACAUAUAAAAUUUUAGUAGGAAUGGUGAAUGCACAUUAUUGGGCACAAAUUAAUAAUUUUCCAAGUAAAACAGUUGGGUUGGGUAAUUUGAGCAUCAAUGGAGAUGGAGAUUUUCAGGUCAAGUUCUUAAAUGGCAUUCAAGGAUUGGUUUGUGAAUGCAUCGAUGCAAGAAGUUUAUGUGAUGUUUUGUCAUUAGAGAAUGCAACUGAACUAGAGGUCAUCACGAUUUAUGGUUGCGGUAGCAUGGAGAGCUUGGUUUCAUCUUCUUGGUUCUGCUAUGCUCCACCACGAUUGCCAUCAUGUAACGGUACGUUUUCUGGUCUUAAAGAGUUUUCUUGCCGUAGAUGUAAGAGUAUGAAGAAGUUGUUCCCACUUGUGUUGUUGCCAAACCUCGUAAACCUGGAAGUGAUCAGUGUUUGCUUUUGUGAGAAAAUGGAGGAGAUAAUAGGAACAACAGAUGAAGAAAGCAUCACCUCUAAUUCCAUCACGGAAUUCAUUCUCCCGAAGUUAAGAACUCUGGAAUUGUUGGGUUUACCAGAACUGAAAAGCAUUUGCAGUGCAAAACUGAUUUGCAAUGCUCUUGAAGAUAUUUGUGUAAUUGAUUGUAAGGAGCUGAAGAGGAUGCCAAUUUGUCUUCCGUUGCUUGAAAAUGGCCAGCCAUCUCCUCCCCCUUCUCUUAAAAAUAUCCUAGCAAGUCCAAGACAAUGGUGGGAGUCAGUAGUGGAGUGGGAGCAUCCUAACGCAAAGGAUGUCCUUCGUCCCUUUAUACCUUUUUUGUAACUCGGAUGAUAAAUAAUUAUAAUUUGAAGUUUGAUUAAUAUUAUAUUUUCAUCCUAUUGAGUUUCUCCGAGAUAAAAAUCCAAAAAAUAAAAAAAAUACUAUAUUGAUUUAUCAUUAAAGUAACCUAAUAAAAUAAUAGAUCUAUUCAGUAUUAUAAAUUAUCUUAUAUCAUUAACUAGCAAUAAAUUAUUUUUAAAAAAUAUAUAAUACAGAUUAAAAAUAAAAAGAGAGAGAAGACACAUUCUUGAAUUCUGGUCGAUCCAAAUCACAACAAACAUCGUAAACAAGUCAAAAGUAAAAAGUAUUCAUCGCCGGUGAAAUGGAAGCUGAAGACAUCGUAAAUUUCAGUGCUCUAUUGAGAGGGCCUAGAAAGUAAUCUUCUACCUCAGUGAAUUUGAGUACAACUACUGCACACAAGAUGUAGCACUCUUCCCCUUUCCAACCUUGCUUAAGAUGAAAGCAAAAAAAAAAUCACAAUUUUUUUUUGGAAAAAGAUAAAAAGUUAUUGGUCGACAACUUUCCGGCAACAAAAAUACGUUUUCUCACAAUGAAAAACUGGUGCAGAUUGGAUAGCAAAUCAAGUUUCAUAGUAGAUGUUGAAGUUUUCCACUGCACUGAAUCUCCCUCCGGUUGUUUGAAGCUAAAGCUUGAUUGCGUUCCUGGGAUUAAUGUAGUUUAUGGGUUCAGUAAUGUUUUUUCUAUUAAAUGGAUUAAUUGUUUGAUUAUAUUUAGAUAAUUUAUUUAUCUGUAUUAAUUUAAUUUCUUUUAAUAUAAUAUUGAUUUGAUAAAAAGAACUCCUAAAGCAUGUACGUGGCUGCCCAAAAAAUCCUAAAGUUUACUCAAUUAGAAAGGAUCAUGGUACUUAUUGCCAAGAUUGUUAUGCCUGCAAUUAAAACAUAAUUUGUUUUUGUACUCAGAAUUAUGUUGGAGUGCAUUUAAAAAUCUGUUUAUUUUAAAAAAAUAUUAAAUUAAUAUUUUAAUGUUAAAAAUAAUUUUUUUUUUUAUUACUGAAUCUCCACCCACCUUAAAUCCAUGUAUUAUGAAGAGGGAAAAAAAAGGGUUUUUUCUUCUCUUUUUCCUCAAUGGAACACAUGACAUCAAAAGCUAUAAGCAUUCUCCAUCUGCGUGUAUAUUCAGGGGCGGAGUUAGAAUUUUUUAAAUAAAAAGAUAAAUUACUAACAAAUAUUUGAUAUUAUAUGUUAUCCAUACAUGUGUUAUAUAUAGAAAUUAAUUUGAAAUAUAUAUACCAACUCAAGUCAAGCAAAAUUAAUUUAAGAAUACUUUUAAAAUGAAAAAAAUUAUAUUAUAAUUGUUCUCUUCGAGAUUUUAUAUUUUAAAACUACUUUGUAAUUAUUUUAUUUUUAAUCUCAUUAAAAAUAUAUUUCUCAAUAUAUACAAUAAAUUUUCAUUUAUUUAUUUCUAAAUCUUCUAAGGACUAGGAAAGUUCUUGGCAACAAUUCUAUGCUGACAUAUGAUACAUAAUAUCUAAAAUCAUAGCUUAAAAGGAUUGUCACAAAUUGAUGUUGUUCUUGCUGGCUUGUUGUUUUGUACAAGUGGAUUAAACAUAAAUAUUAAAUAUAUAUUUUUUAAUUUAUUUAUAAUUAUAUCCCUAAUUUUUUUGGUUGUCCUGUACUUUAUUUUUAAUCAUUAGUAAAUUCAUUAUCAUCAUUUUUCAUAUGAAAUUCAUAACAAAACACUUUUUAAUUCAUCAAAAUUCAUAUCAUAUAAUAUUACCCAUACACAUUAAUUCAACAAACCCAUAAAUUAUUAUAAACUCUAACAUUUUCAAUAACUAAUUAUAAAAAAAUAAAACUAAAAUUAGAUAAUGAAACAAAUAGAAAAGAUGAAGGAAAUUUUCCUAAAGUAUAAAGUAUAAGAGGUUACUUGCUUAACUAAUUAAUAGCUUAAGGCUUGAAGAGAAAUUUUAUAAAAGGAAAAGAGCUAGGAUCAAUAGUGAAAAAAGAACAAAGAGCUUGGAUCAAUUAGUUGCUAACAAAAAAAAAAAUUUAACCUUGUAAAGCUAUUGUAUUAAUAUUUUAAUAUAACAAACUGAUUACAAAUGACUAACUCCUAACUUACAAUUUUUUAUAAGCCGAUAGAGUUAUAUUUUUAUCCAGCUUGGACUUAUGCGAUCUCGGCUGCUAUUCUUAAAGUUUCAUUUUAUUUAAUGGAAGUUUUUGUUUAGACAACCUUUACUGAAAGGUGAAUGUAAAAUAGCAGCUAUGAGCAAGACGAGCUGCACAUCAAACCUAUACUAAAGCCUGAAAAGUUGAAUUUUAAUAUGAUGCAAAAGUUAAUAGCAACUAUGAGCAAGACGAACUGCACAUCGAACCUGUACUAAAGCUGGUAAAGUUGAAUUUCAAUAUGCUACAAAAGUUGUACAAGGAGGAGCUGAGAAAUCUUUCUAAGUAAUUAUUAUAGGCAAAAUUAUUAGAGAAGAAUAAGAAUUAUUUAACCAGAUAGAAAAUAUAGGGGGUUGCUCCCUCUUCCCCUGUAUGGUUCCGCCACUGUGUAUAUUAUACUAUAUGAAAAGCUACAAGCAUUCACGAUUUCUUGGGAUAGAAAGAAAGUUGGAAUAACUUAUAUUUGGAUUUUUCUUGGGAUUAAUUUCUUGCUCCAUCUGCGUUGCGGCCUAUGUUUGGAAUCCAAAAUUAUUAUUAUUUGUGCUUUGUACAUCAAAUAUAUAUAUAUAUAUAUAUAUAUAUAUAUAUAUAUAUAUUCUUUUAAGUUAUGUAACGUCAUUGUUAUUGUAGGAACAUUACUAUUAUUUAAGUAUUAUCGAAGUGUGAAACCCCUGGAAAUUUAUAAUUUAAAUAUGUAGAUGUGUAAACCCUCAUGUAAACGUAAGACUGAAAGUGGUAAUAUUUCAAUGAGUGAUGGAAACCAAGAUUAGAAAUAAUAGAUAAAUAAUGAUAUAUAAUGGAAGAGAUGACCUUCAUAAAAUGAAUUUUGGUUUAGAAUUCAUAAGGACAGAGAAACUGGUAACAUGUUUUGAUGGAUGAAAUAAUGAGAAAAAUGACAAAAUAUUUUUAGGACAUAAGUGAGUUAAUAAAGAAUAGUACAAUGAAAAGGGUAGGACUGAAGGUGCAAGCACCGCUUAAAAAUCAGUGAUGUUAUUUUGAAAUGAUAAUAAGCCGAUAAAUAAAUAAAGGUGGAAAUCCUAAAAUGAAUACAUUCCAAAAUAAUUAAACGACCUUAGAGGUUUAGAAUGAUAAUUGAUAUGAUUUUUUUUGUGAAGAUUGAACAAGAAAAAUCUAGAUUGUUUAUAAAAAGUUAUGAACUGACCAAUUUUACAUUAGAAAGCAGAGCUCUCAAUCCAAUCGUCGGAUCGGGAUGAAAUUUUGUAUGAAGUCUAUUAAUAUGUUUUCCCACCUUGGUUAAAUAUCUCAUUCCAAUCGGAGUUUGGUAAAGACUAGCAAUUUAAAUAGAAAUAAACCAGAUAGUUUACAUGAAAAAUAAAAUAAAAUACAUAAAAGCAUGAAAGAGGGACAAAAUUGUAAUUAUGAAAAAAGGUGCCUAUAAAAAUGCAAAGAGGCCACCAGUUUAAAGAAAAAAAAAGAAAAAAAAAGAAAAGAGAUAGAGAAAAGUGGAUAAGGGGAGAGAGCUGCAGAUUUUGGAGAAAAUCAAUAAUGCUCCGGUGGCCAUAUCUCUGGAAUCCACCGUUGAAUCAUGCUGAUUUUUGGAUAUAUGUUGUUCUCAUUACACUCCUCUACUAACUGAACGGAGCGAUUGGACAGAACAUAAUCCGUACAACUCUAUGAUAUGUAGUCUGACCGUUGGGUUUGAAACAAUAUUUAGAGGUUGAUGACUUAUUUCCUUUUGAAUCUAUUGCUAGUUUUGGCAAAAUGUAGUAAUCUUGAUUAAAUACAUGUUUUGAUGAAAUUAGAAUUGUGUGAGUGUAGGUUUUGUGGAAGAUGUAAUGGUAAAAUAUGUUCUUGUUAUUAGUAUUAUUAUAGAUUAAUUGUGUAUUCUUUAUAUGAGGGGAAGAAUGAUUAUUGUGUAAGAAUAGUAAGGAACAUUGCUAUAUGAACAUGUUGAUUGAAUAAAACAUGUUGAUUGAAUAGAAAGCUAACUUGUUGUUUGUGUGGAUAUAAAUGGGGUGGAACCAUGAAGAAAUUGAAAUGAAAGAAAUUUGGAAAAUAAAACAUAUUUAAAGCUAGCCAUAAGUGUUUUUAGUAAAUGUUUAGUUAAUGAAGGUUGUCAUGGAUCCCAAUUAGUAGGGUGAAAUUAUUGUUGUGAUAAUGAUCUGAGAAUUAAUUGUUAAGGUUUGCCGCAUAUGUUUAAUCGCACGAGGAGAAAGCAAAAGAAAAUGAAUAGUUCAUCAUUUUGUUGUAUUAAUAAUAAUAAUAAUAGGAGAAAUCUUAAAAGGAAUGAGUUUCCUUAUUUUGGUCUAAUCUUGCUAUAUUGUAGAGGUAGGGAAAUUGUUUGAAUGUUUUGCUUUAGAAUUGGUUUGAAUUUGUGAUUUAAUGAUGCCAAAUGACCUUGGAUGAUGUUUCUUUUGCAUGAAAAUAAGUUGGAAGUUGAAAAAGAUUUCCAAGGAAUGAAAAUCCUCGUUGUCCAAAAUUUUAGCUAUAAAGAAAGGGCUGUUGUGAUUGUUGAUUUUGAGCCUUAAAACAAAAUAAUUUGGAGUUGGUUUCUUCAUAAAAGUUGUAUCUCUAUAUUUAGCCUUUCAUAGAGAUAAAUCACGCCCAAAACUGAGUUUUACAACUUUAAUUAUGAUUAAGACACUAGAUAGUGUUCUGGGUUAGUUAAGCUUAAUUGAUCGGAAUUAGAAAAUUUUUAAUCGUUGCUUGGAAUUGCUGCUGAGUGAUGGUUUUGAUAACAAAAUUAUAAGAAUGAAUAUAAACAUUAAAAUGAGUAAGAGUAUGAGUUCUUAAAGAAAAUUCCUUGUGAUUAGUUUGAGAAUACUAGUUGAAUGAGAAUUAAAAGAAGAUGUGAUGUUGGUUGUAUUGUUGAUAAAAAUUGAAUCCCUGGUGGUACAGGGAAAGCUGUGAGGACUGGACAAUUGCACGGAGUGGCAGCACGUGCACCUAUUCUAGGUAGGUGAUUCAUCACCUUAUUUUGUAAUUAUUAGUUUUUCUUAAAUAUUUGUGUUGUGUGUUUAAUUGAUGUUAAAAGAAUGAAGCAAUGAAUAAGUUUAGUGAUUAUUACAAAUGAGAAUUAUUCGUAAUUUAAGAGAAAUUACCGAAAUUAUUUGGCUAACAAAAGAGGUUAGCCGGGUGCUGGGUAAUUCGUAUGGAAUUACCGGAUUGAUUGUGGCAACCAAGAUGGGUUAGCCAGAUUUCUUGGGUAAUUAAGAGAAUUACCGGGUUUAUUGGUUAACAAGGAAGUUAACUGGAUAUGGGGUAAUUCGUAUGGAAUUACCGGAUUGAUUGGCUAACAAAAGAGGUUAGCUGGAUGAUGGGUAAUUCUUAUGGAAUUACCGGAUUGAUUGGCUAACAAAAGAGGUUAGCUGGAUGAUGGGUAAUUCGUAUGGAAUUACCGGAUUGACUUUGGCAACCAAGAUGGGUUAGCCAGAUUUCUUGAACAAUUAAGAGAAUUACCGGGUUUAUUGGUUAACAAGAAAGUUAAUUGGAUAUAGGGUAAUUCGUAUGGAAUUACAGGAUUGAUUGACUAACAAAAGAAGUCAGCUGGAGGCUGAGUAAUUCGUAUGGAAUUACCAGAUGUAUUGGUAACCGAGGAAGGUUAACCAAAAGUGUGGGUAAUUAUAUAAAAUUACCAGAAUUAUUGGCAAUCGAAAUGAGUUAGCCGGAUAGUUAAGUUUUGAAAAGAUUAUGUAAAUUAAUUGAUUGAAGUUAAAAAUAGUAAAUUCUAAAUGUUAUGAGUAAAAUAAUUAAUAUAUGACGAACAUAUUGAGUAAAUUAAUUAAUGUGGUUAUUGGGUAAACACAAUGACUUGGAGAUUGGAGGGGAAUUGAUAGAUAAUUGGUUACCAUAGUGUUGGUGGCUAAGGAUACAUUACAAUGAUACUUAACACCAUAAUGAUGGUGGGUAAGGGUAUAAAUUGAUACUUGGCACUGUGAUGAGGGCGACCAAGGUUAUGUGAAGGAUGCUUAAUGACUGUAGUGUUGGUAACUAAGAUUGUAAUUUAUGUAAUUUAUUGUGGACAGAUAACAACACUCAAAUCUAAUACAUCAAAUAAUUGAACAAUUCAAUACACAUAUAAUCUAUCUUCAAUAGUAAAUAAAAUCAUUACAAUUUAAAAUACGAUUUAAUUAUUGAAUAAGAUAUAAUAAUAAAAUAGAUGUCGUCGUCACCUCACCCUAUGUAAGAGAUGACUGCUUUUGCACAAAACUCUUCACCUCACCGAUCAACAAAGAAAAUUCAGGCGAUUCAGGUAGGCAAUAAAACCCAUGAAAAACAUUUGGAUACUCUACCAAAUGUACUUCUUUCCCAGAUUUCUUCAGCCCCUCAUGGUACCUCUUCUGCCAAUCUUGCAAGGGAUCGAACCCUCCGACAAAGAGUAACGUAGCAGGGAACUUCACGCCUGAAAUAUCCACCGCAUUUGGUCCGAAAACAUUAACCACCGAGUGGUUUCGGUCCGAUCCCUCAGGCAGAAACGCCUUCCACAUCCAGUCUGUACGUUCCACUGAUAUUAAAGGAACCCCAACAAGCUUGAUUUCUGAUUCUGUCCUUUCUUCCCCUCCGAAAAAUGGCUGCAUUGCUAUGAGUCCCUUGAUCUUUAUGUUAGAAAAUGUGUGUUCACAAGCUUUGAGCACGACGUGAUGAGCCAAGUUACCCCCUGCACUAUCACCUGCUAUAAAACACCUUCCAAGAUCCAAAUUUGCUGGGAAAUUCUCAAAGGUCAUGCCAUCGAUGUAUUUCAACAUCAAAGCCAUCUUCGUACUGGCAUGGGUACUUGUACUCAGGAGCAAGCCGAUAGUUAACAGAGAUAACAACUGCAUUAAUUUCACGUGCAAGUCGCCGGCAGAGUACGUCAAAAGAUUUUGAGUUAGCCGCCAUGAAUGCGAAGCCCCCACCAUGAAAGAAUAUGAUCACAGGCAGAGCAUCCGUAGUGGCGGUGGAUGUGGGGGCGUAGAGGCGGAACCACAGGUUGCGGGUAGGGUCAAUAGUGUUGUCGAAAGAGGAGACCCCAUUGACUGGUUUGGCGGAAGCAGCGGCCUUGGGGUCGAAGAUGUUCAAUACGCUGCGGUUUACGGUGUGGUCGGAACGGCUGGCGGCGCGAAUCCCAAAGGAGUGGGCGGCGAGGAGGAGCCUGGUCUUCAAUGAGAGGCGAAGAGUUCUUGGUGUUUCUGCCAUUAUCAAUUUUGGGUUGAAUUGUAAAUGUUAAGAUAGUUUAUAUACUCACACGAAGAAAGUAAAAUAAAAUAAAAUUGAUAACAACAAUACAAAUUUAGUUUGGUUUUUAUAAAAAAAAUAAUCAAACUAAUUUUUUUUAGGAAAGAACAACAAAGAAAAAAAAUUGAUAAUGGCAGAAACACCAAGAACUCUUCGCCUCUCAUUGAUUUGGAUUUUUCUUGGGGUGGAAUUUCUUGCUCCAUUUGCGUUGCAGCCUAUGUUUUGCAUCCAAGAAUUAUUAUUAUUUGUGCUUUGUACAUCAANNNNNNNNNNNNNNNNNNNNNNNNNNNNNNNNNNNNNNNNNNNNNNNNNNNNNNNNNNNNNNNNNNNNNNNNNNNNNNNNNNNNNNNNNNNNNNNNNNNNNNNNNNNNNNNNNNNNNNNNNNNNNNNNNNNNNNNNNNNNNNNNNNNNNNNNNNNNNNNNNNNNNNNNNNNNNNNNNNNNNNNNNNNNNNNNNNNNNNNNNNNNNNNNNNNNNNNNNNNNNNNNNNNNNNNNNNNNNNNNNNNNNNNNNNNNNNNNNNNNNNNNNNNNNNNNNNNNNNNNNNNNNNNNNNNNNNNNNNNNNNNNNNNNNNNNNNNNNNNNNNNNNNNNNNNNNNNNNNNNNNNNNNNNNNNNNNNNNNNNNNNNNNNNNNNNNNNNNNNNNNNNNNNNNNNNNNNNNNNNNNNNNNNNNNNNNNNNNNNNNNNNNNNNNNNNNNNNNNNNNNNNNNNNNNNNNNNNNNNNNNNNNNNNNNNNNNNNNNNNNNNNNNNNNNNNNNNNNNNNNNNNNNNNNNNNNNNNNNNNNNNNNNNNNNNNNNNNNNNNNNNNNNNNNNNNNNNNNNNNNNNNNNNNNNNNNNNNNNNNNNNNNNNNNNNNNNNNNNNNNNNNNNNNNNNNNNNNNNNNNNNNNNNNNNNNNNNNNNNNNNNNNNNNNNNNNNNNNNNNNNNNNNNNNNNNNNNNNNNNNNNNNNNNNNNNNNNNNNNNNNNNNNNNNNNNNNNNNNNNNNNNNNNNNNNNNNNNNNNNNNNNNNNNNNNNNNNNNNNNNNNNNNNNNNNNNNNNNNNNNNNNNNNNNNNNNNNNNNNNNNNNNNNNNNNNNNNNNNNNNNNNNNNNNNNNNNNNNNNNNNNNNNNNNNNNNNNNNNNNNNNNNNNNNNNNNNNNNNNNNNNNNNNNNNNNNNNNNNNNNNNNNNNNNNNNNNNNNNNNNNNNNNNNNNNNNNNNNNNNNNNNNNNNNNNNNNNNNNNNNNNNNNNNNNNNNNNNNNNNNNNNNNNNNNNNNNNNNNNNNNNNNNNNNNNNNNNNNNNNNNNNNNNNNNNNNNNNNNNNNNNNNNNNNNNNNNNNNNNNNNNNNNNNNNNNNNNNNNNNNNNNNNNNNNNNNNNNNNNNNNNNNNNNNNNNNNNNNNNNNNNNNNNNNNNNNNNNNNNNNNNNNNNNNNNNNNNNNNNNNNNNNNNNNNNNNNNNNNNNNNNNNNNNNNNNNNNNNNNNNNNNNNNNNNNNNNNNNNNNNNNNNNNNNNNNNNNNNNNNNNNNNNNNNNNNNNNNNNNNNNNNNNNNNNNNNNNNNNNNNNNNNNNNNNNNNNNNNNNNNNNNNNNNNNNNNNNNNNNNNNNNNNNNNNNNNNNNNNNNNNNNNNNNNNNNNNNNNNNNNNNNNNNNNNNNNNNNNNNNNNNNNNNNNNNNNNNNNNNNNNNNNNNNNNNNNNNNNNNNNNNNNNNNNNNNNNNNNNNNNNNNNNNNNNNNNNNNNNNNNNNNNNNNNNNNNNNNNNNNNNNNNNNNNNNNNNNNNNNNNNNNNNNNNNNNNNNNNNNNNNNNNNNNNNNNNNNNNNNNNNNNNNNNNNNNNNNNNNNNNNNNNNNNNNNNNNNNNNNNNNNNNNNNNNNNNNNNNNNNNNNNNNNNNNNNNNNNNNNNNNNNNNNNNNNNNNNNNNNNNNNNNNNNNNNNNNNNNNNNNNNNNNNNNNNNNNNNNNNNNNNNNNNNNNNNNNNNNNNNNNNNNNNNNNNNNNNNNNNNNNNNNNNNNNNNNNNNNNNNNNNNNNNNNNNNNNNNNNNNNNNNNNNNNNNNNNNNNNNNNNNNNNNNNNNNNNNNNNNNNNNNNNNNNNNNNNNNNNNNNNNNNNNNNNNNNNNNNNNNNNNNNNNNNNNNNNNNNNNNNNNNNNNNNNNNNNNNNNNNNNNNNNNNNNNNNNNNNNNNNNNNNNNNNNNNNNNNNNNNNNNNNNNNNNNNNNNNNNNNNNNNNNNNNNNNNNNNNNNNNNNNNNNNNNNNNNNNNNNNNNNNNNNNNNNNNNNNNNNNNNNNNNNNNNNNNNNNNNNNNNNNNNNNNNNNNNNNNNNNNNNNNNNNNNNNNNNNNNNNNNNNNNNNNNNNNNNNNNNNNNNNNNNNNNNNNNNNNNNNNNNNNNNNNNNNNNNNNNNNNNNNNNNNNNNNNNNNNNNNNNNNNNNNNNNNNNNNNNNNNNNNNNNNNNNNNNNNNNNNNNNNNNNNNNNNNNNNNNNNNNNNNNNNNNNNNNNNNNNNNNNNNNNNNNNNNNNNNNNNNNNNNNNNNNNNNNNNNNNNNNNNNNNNNNNNNACCAUGCAUCAAGAGAGAAAAAUAGUGUUUUAUCUCAGAUGUUUCUAAACCUUUGAUGCAUUUUGUAAUUUUAGUCAUUGAUUGUUUUGUUUUCCAUUUUAUCAUCAUAGAUUGUGCGCGCUGACUGCUAUGGAGUUCUAACUCUGAUGCAGCAACUUGCUGGGUUGAACUGAGUUCUGUAUUUCCCAAUUAGCAGAGUGCAAUAAACAGCAUUUAGCUUUUUCACUAAUGAGAGGCACACCAACAUAUAUACAAAACUGGAACUCACAGAUUCAGAUCCAUAUCCAUGUCAUCCGCCUUUUGUUUUAAAGAAGAGUUGCCAGCGAGUGGAGAUAGAGACCCUUUUAAUAUCAAAAUAUAAAUUAGUAGUCUUUGGGGUUACUUAAAUUAAAUAUUAGCACAAAAACUAUUGUUAAAAUAUUUUUAUUCUUAAGAAUUUAUGCAAAACAAUUAGAAAACAAAUUCAGGGAUUAAGAACACAAUUAGAAAACUAAUUCAGGGAUCAAAUAUUUUUAUGAAUUAUAAAAUUGACUAUAAACUUAAAAUUCUUGAAUAUACAAUAUAAACUUCUUGAAUCAUAAGAUAAAAACUCAUAUAAAAUUAUAAUUUUGUAAUAAAUAUGAAUUCUUGGAUCACAUAAGCUUGAGACAUGGAUAAUGUUUGGAGCAUUUAAGACCGGACCUCGUUGACUUAAAUUUUAUUUUAUAUUUAUAAUAAGGAAAAGGCACCAUGGGGUUGAAACCUUUUUAUGCUCGGUUGCUGGCAUUUGGGACCAUGUAUCAAGAGAGAAAAAUAGUGUAUUAUCUCAGGUUUUUUCUAAGCCUUGGAUGCAUUUUUUUAAUUUUAAUCAUUGAUUGUUUUGUUUUCAAUUUUAUCUUCAUAGAUUGUGCUGACUGCUAUGUAGUUUUUACACUGAUGCAGCAGCUUGCUGGGUUGAACUGAGUUCUGUAUUUCCCAAUUAGCAGAGUGCAAUAAACAGCAUUUAGCUUUUUCGCUAAUGAGAAGCAUGCCAAGAUAUAUACAAAACUGGAACUCAUAGAUUCUGUAUAAUUUCUAAGCCAUAUCCAUGUCAUAGAGGCAAAAAAGCACUCACACUUUGCAGGAUUAUGCCUUACAAUAACCAUAUACGCCUUUUGUUUUAAAGAAGAAUUUAUGCUCAGAAGAACGUUGCUGCCACCUCGAAUCCGUACCCAUAACAAAGCGUGGGCAACGAAACUAGUUGUAAAACCAAAACGAAUAGGACGCUUACUGCUCAGGAAUCAUUGUGGAAAUACUAACUAGGAAAAGCAGUUUUUGUACCUUUUUAGUGUUGGGAAAUCCGAUCGGGGAUGUACUGAUAAUUGCUCAAAGGAGGGAGGGGAAGCACACUUGGACACAAUAUUUAACGUGGUUCGGCAAAACCGCCUACAUCCACGGGAGAAGUCAAUAUUAUUAGAGAUGGAUAGAGAAAGGGUUACAACACACAUAGAGGAGGAGGCUCACUUCACUCAAACUCAAUUCACUCAAACUCAACUCUCAUUGCUCUCACACACUGCUGCACAAGGCAGCAGGGCUGCUGCCCUUGGCAGCUACUCCCUCUUUCUCUUCUCACGUAUAUCUCUCUUGUUCUCUUCCACCCUCUCUUACUCUUUUGCUCUCUCACGUAUGCCUAUAAAUAGGCAAGUAUGGUGGCUUCUCUUCUUCAAAAAACAGCAGCUGCACAUGGGUUGAUACAUUUGUCAAUGGUGGGUGCAACUACCAUUGACAAAUGGUAACCCUACUCCUUAGGGUAGGUUGCCCAAUAAUGGCAAAUCCCAACAAUCACCCCCUUUGACAUUUAUAUGGGCAAUUGUCCUCUUGCUUCUUCAGCACAAACUUGUAUCUUGCAGCUCUUCCAAGCUUACCAUUCCGAGAGCGUCUGUGGCCAAGUUUACAGGUACUCGCCAAACCUUUCAAUCACCAGAGUCACCAAAGCACACCUUUUCUCACACAAAAGGAUCACUACAACCAGAUGGUCUGUCACUUCACAUCUGAAGAGUGUUAACGCUUGUCUCUGGGACACACUGCAUUCCCCUUCGAGCGUAUCAACCAUGCUCGGUCCGGAAUGAUUCAUCAAGCCUCACACCAAGGCUUAUAACACCCCCUCAAACGGAUAUUCCAAGUGCGACAAUCAUUAUCUGAGUAUCUCAAUAUGAUCACGAGCUCACCACUCUUCCAAGAGUCUACUCAUCCAGGAGUUGCGUCUGCCCUCUGUUCCACCCUAGGAACCACGCCUUACUUCUCCGUGAGUCUCUCGCUCUUAGUCUCAAGAGUCCAGGUAGCUUUCCACCUUUACCUAUGGGGGUAGCCCAUUAAAGGUUGAUCCAUAUAUGUCUUGAUACUUAUCAUAGCCACUUCAUUGGCUAUCCAUACACCUGUCCACUUGUAUCCAACCAUCACAUUGGCUUUGGGGUUGUUCUGAACUUGGGCUCCUAUCGUGGCCCAUACACCUUCUCUAAGGUGUCUUCGCCCGUUAUCAUGGGGCAGUCUGAACUGGGGCUCCGAUCAUGACCCUCACACCUUCUCCAAGGUGUCUUCGCCUUUCAUAGGCGGUCGCAUCCUCCUUCAGCUGAGAUGCUUCAAAGUGGCUCCAAAAAAGUUCUCUACCACCAUGUGCACUAUGGGAGAGAUAACUGCCACUGAUUACAUAGAAAAAGAAACUUGCGGUAUACUCCUCGCAAUCCUCCACCUCGAUUUCUAUGUUUGGAGCUUCUACGUCUUUCUGCUUGACAGUUCCACCUACACCAACUCUCUUUGGUGUCUUCGCCUUUCAUCAUAGGCGGUCGCCUUUUAUCACAGGCGUUUGCACCCCCUCAAUUAGGUGCCUCUGCAACAGCUCUCUUUCCAUCCUUGCAUGCAUUGGAAAGGUCUUCGCAUGUUGUUUUCAUCAAGAGCAUAAGAGACUUCCUGUUGUACAAACUUUAACAGUCUCUGCUCUGAGCUUCAUCUGAGAACACUUCUUCUCCUUGCACCUGUUGUCUCAUUACAGUACCUUGUUGGAUCCUACGGGUACCUCUGCACAAUCUCCGUGUGCCCUCGUGCAAUUUCUGUUCUCCAGAUUUCUCCCUAUUCCUUGCUUAUGUUUGACAGCAGCUCAUCCUGUCACAACACCUGUCCAAGUCAAAAUAGGGUGCCAAUCUUUAUCCCCUUGUUGUAUUUCUCUUCCAUUAUCAAGGUCUUCAUCAAUUCUCCCUUCGAGAAAUCACAGUCACCGAAUCUAACUUCUUUGGAGAAAUCACCACUUUAUCAGAUCCUUGAUCAUACGGAACCCAACUGUUCCCUUGUGUCGUCAUCCUGCUAGUCUUCAACCGUUUCAUUACAAACUGCUAUAUAUAUGAAAAUAGUACCGUAUGGAUAAUCCUUCCACUAAGCAAGUUCCCAGGAAAGAUUGGAGGGGUCACACUGGUCCCGCUUAAAACCCAACCUCCUAGACAGAACUUCUUAGGCCAUAUCUAUCUAUCGUACUGUCUUUCCGUAUAUACAACCAUUUGCUAGCUUUGUUGCGGCUUUCCUUUACAAGUGAUCUGGAAUAUACUGGUUUAAUACAUCAUUUCUCAACAUCUGGCGAGACUACCAGUUCUUAGAUUCGUCAAGAUUGGUCUUCAUCAAUUUCCACUCUUCACCUCAAAUCGUCCACAUGAUCGGGUGUCCAGAGUGUCCCAAUUUUUCCUUCCUUCAAGACAGUUAAAAUUCUUCCCACUUAGCAGUUCAGCACAUGUAAUUGGGUAAACAUGUGCACCUUCUUCCUCUUCAUCUCCAUCGACCACCAUGAUGACCUUCAGAUGCCUCCUGAUCGGGCAAUCUUUUUUGUUAAUUCACCACUGCCAUUUUUUGGUCUCAAAUCUCAACGAUCGGACCGUACCAUUGCAUCCGGAACGCUCAAAUUAGCUGGAAACAAGUCUGAAAUCGUCCAAAUCGCACUUCAGACGGCUAACAUUUGAUCAAAACAAUUCUGGCCUGAUCAACGGCUCAGAUUCAAUCUCAGACCCGGUUGCACCUAGGAUCAGCUACACUGGAUCCUGUCCCUCGGCUCUCGGCUCGGCUCGGCUCCAAUUCGGCUAGGCUCACUCGGCUCGGCUUGGCUCGACUCGAACUUGAUGACGUGGCUGCUGACUAGUCGUUGACUGGUCUAUGACGUGGCUGCUGACAUGGCAUGCCUACUGUGCAUGAUGACUUCACCAUUACAUCAGGAUGAUGUCAUCAUGGGCCAUGCUACUGUGCAUGAUGAUGUCACAAUUACAUCAUGCUAAUGUCAUCCCUCACAUGUCUACUGUUCAUGAUGACGUCACUUGUACGUCAUGCUGACGUCAUCCUUAUCCGAGUCAGCCACAUGGGUCGGGUCAACUGGUAUUCGGGUCGGGUCAACUCAUCCGGGUGAAGAAGACGCGUGGGGCGCGUCUGCGCGCGUGGACAGACGCCUUGCCGGAGAGUGAUGGAGAGUGCGGCCAUGUCCGACGUCCGAUUUUGACGCCGUUUUCACCGUUGGCUUCGUCGCUUCCUCCUCUACACAGUGGUAUGGUCAAAACACAAUUUUGACAACUUUCAUUUUUGAGCAAAAAUCAAACACCCCUUUAAACCAUCAGCUCUGAUACCAAUUGUUGGGAAUUCCGCCCGGGGAUGUACUGAUAAUUGCUCAAAGGAGGGAGGGGAAGCACACUUGGACACAAUAUUUAACGUGGUUCGGCAAAACCGCCUACAUCCACGGGAGAAGUCAAUAUUAUUAGAGAUGGAUAGAGAAAGGGUUACAACACACAUAGAGGAGGAGGCUCACUUCACUCAAACUCAAUUCACUCAAACUCAACUCUCAUUGCUCUCACACACUGCUGCACAAGGCAGCAGGGCUGCUGCCCUUGGCAGCUACUCCCUCUUUCUCUUCUCACGUAUAUCUCUCUUGUUCUCUUCCACCCUCUCUUACUCUUUUGCUCUCUCACGUAUGCCUAUAAAUAGGCAAGUAUGGUGGCUUCUCUUCUUCAAAAAACAGCAGCUGCACAUGGGUUGAUACAUUUGUCAAUGGUGGGUGCAACUACCAUUGACAAAUGGUAACCCUACUCCUUAGGGUAGGUUGCCCAAUAAUGGCAAAUCCCAACAUCUAGGAGCGAUCAAACUUGUGUUUCUGCCUGAUCUCUCAAGCUCAAGGUGUGAACCAAGUAGGUAUUCAUAAGUAAAAUUUCUUAAGUUGUAUAUAAAACGGUAGUUUCAGUAUCCCUAAGCACUUUUUUUUUCUUCUAAUGUUGUUCUUCGUUAAAUUGUAGGGAAUGGAAGUUGGAGUGGAUCAAAUAAUGACGGUCAAUACCUUGCAACAAUCCUUGAAAUUGAUGGGGAAGGAGUGAGAGGCAUUGGCGUCCAAGGACUGAAGAGAGUUUUUGUGUAGAAAUUCAUGGAUAAGAAGAUGACUGUAUAGAUCAAUAUACGACAACGGUUCUACCUUGAUUAUAAGACUCGUUACCAAGUCUUUAAAUUCACCACAAAGACAACAAAACACAUAGAGAUUGAAGUCUUCAAGGGACAAUAGCAGCCAAUUCAUCAAAUAACAAUUUGGCUUGCAGCAUGUAGAUACUUACCGAUGAGUCACCUUGCCAAAGAGCUUGGAAGGAACCAUGGAGUUGCAUGAUGUGAGAAUUGGACAGAGAUGCAAGGGCUUUCUCAAGAGUGUGCCAACAUAAUAUGAGAUAUGACAAUCUACCAUGAGAUGCAACACAUCUACAGAAAGAGAGGAGAGUAAUGCACUCAAAAUAAGUUGUUCAUGUUGCUUCCAACGAAGAAAAGAAGAGCUGAUUGUAGAGGAAGGACCAGCAGAACUGUAAAAAACAUGAGACAGAGGACACGACAUUGAGCCGUUAACGAAGUGAAAAACACCUUGACCAAGGAGAUAGGGCUUCAUCUGCAUUCGCCAAUAGAGAUAAUUUGUAUUAAUAAGUUUCAACAAAAUAACUUGGUGGGUAUUUGAUAAAACAACGAUAGCUGGAGUUUGUGUUCCUAUAAUGUGCAAAAAAACUGUAAAAACUUGCGAGGAGGAGUCAGAGACAUGCUCUGCAAGUGGAGGCUGCUGUUGUGGAGGAAAGACACCAUCGACAACAGCUUGUAGAUGUUUGGUUGGCUGGGCUGCACCACCAGUGGUGAGGGAGAAAUUGACGGCAGUUAAAGGUGAGCAAAAAAAUCAAAAAAACGAUUAAACAGAAAAAAAUAACCAAAAAAAAUCAAACCAUGAAAAAACCGAUUAGAAUAUUUAAAAAAUCUAUCAGUUCGGUAUCGGUUUAAUAAGCCUGAAACCGAGCCAAACCGAACAAAACCAAGCCGAACCGAAACCAAACCCAUUGGAAAUUACAAAAAAAAAAAACCCUAAAAAACAAUAUAGUUUUUGGUUUUUAAUAUAAAAUAACCGAACCGAACUGAAAAUGAGCCGGUUGAGUUUUGGUUUUUGUUCUAAAAUAACCGAACCGAAACCAGUCGGUUUGAACCAGUUUCGGUUUGAUUUUUUUUUAAAUUUGGUUUGGUUUUUUAGGUAAAAACCGAACAAAACCGAAAAUGAUCACCCCUAGCAACAGUAAAAUCCAUUUUGGAAAAACAGAAAGAAGGCCGGCUACAAGAGGGAGAGGGAGAGGAAAAAAAGAGUUUUGACGGCAGAAGACUCUAAUACCAUGUUGAGACAAUUAGGAGGCUUAAUUUAUUGAUUAGACAACCUUUUAUAUAUAUAUAUAUAUGGGGGACAAUAUACAAAAAUAAUAACGGAGGUUAUAAUACAAGAAUAUAACUACAAUAUUUUCUAUAUAGCAUGCUUACAAUAUUUCCAAUAUAUUUAUAUUAAUAAUCACUAUUUUGUUUUUUGGCUAAUGAUGUUCUUCGUUAAAUUUUUAGGGAAUGGAAGUUGGAGUGGAUCAGAUAUUGACGGUCAAUACUUUGCAACAAUCCCAACGUAGUACUUACAGCUCUUGAAGCUAAGCUUCAGGCUCUUACAUUUUCAGGUCAGCUUUUUCAAAGUUUCAACAAUGGGGUGGGUCCACACGUUAACUCAGUCAGCAAUUAGCUUCUGAUUCUUUUGUUGAAGAUUUUAAUUAUAUGCAGCGUUAGACAAAAGAAAAGCAAAUCAGAGGUGUAGAGCAACUUGACUGUAUCUUGUAAUAUAGUCCUUGGUAGGUAAAGUUUGUGGCUUCCUUCCUAGCAACUUCCUUCUUGUCAAACAAUACAAUAAUCUUUGCUACCGUAACAUUCUCUUCCAAAUCUCAUCUCAUUAUACCAUUGAUUUCCCGAUUUCCCUCAACAAAUUUCUUAAACCUUUCUGAUGAUCAGUGCUUCCUUUUCUGAUUGAAUCGAAUCAUCUGGAGCUAAACAUCUUGCAACUUCCUUGUUAUUUUUAAACCAUAUAUUCUUCUCUGUUCUUGUUUUUCUUCCUGAAUACUACUUAAGCAAACCAGCACUUGAAGAACAACUUGAAUCCAGGUAGAUUAUUAUACUCCAUCUUCUUCAUUUUGUUUUUCACAUGUAACUCUGGUUUGAAUCUUUCAAGUAAAACACAAGUUGUGGAAAUUCUAAUGAGAAACUUUGGAGUUAGGAUCAUCAACAGUUUCCAAAAAUAAAUAAUUUUAUCUUUCUCAGUUGUAACAAUUCAUGCCUUAAGUAGUGGCGGAGCUGAGAUUAUUUGAUAGGGGUCAAAACUAAUGUAACAUGGUAUAGGUUUUUACAUGUAAAGAAACUGAUAUAUAAAUGUAAAUUUAAUAUAAAAAAUAGAAUUAUUAGUUCUUAAAGAAGAAAAUUUACACUGAAUUAAAAUUGAGUAUGUGCUCUUUAAAGAACUUAAUUUGGCUAGAAAGAUCAUGUCUAAUUGUAUAUGAGACCUUGUGACAAUAAGGUAUAUGUGAAAAAAAUUGAUAAUUUUAACGGUUUUUUUAAAAACAAAACAUAAAAAAAUCCAAGUAUAAUCAAAAUAAACCCAUAAAAUAUAUGAAAUUAAUUAGAAAAAACAACAUUCACUAUAACAAGAAAUAAAAAAAAUGGUAAACUAGUAAAUCUAUAUAAAAAAAAAAAUAGCAGAAUUAUAUAUAUAUAUAUAUAUAUAUAUAAAUAAAAGAUUUUAAAUUUGGAUCACAAAUUACCUUGUUUUGAUAAAUAAUAAAUUAAUUGACAGCUUUGUUUUAUAGAGAAACGGUAAAGAAAUGUAAUUAAAUUAAAAAAAUUAUUUGUUUUUUAUUUAUUUAUAAGGAGAGAUAAUAUUAAAUUUAAAGAUAAAUAGUAAAAUAAUAAUUUAUUAUUAGAAAGCUCAUUAAUUGUUAUAUUUAAAUACUAAAAGAAAUUUAAAAUAUUUUGCAGGGGCCAGCCCCUGCUUGCCACCCAUUGGUUCCGCCUCUGCCUUAAGGAGUUCAUACUAAAUUGACCCAAAUUUAACCUUGAAUUCAUUGUUUUUCCUUCUUAGUUUCUUUGCUGUUUGUAACUUAUUAUUUUAGUUUCAACCUUCCUUUUCCAAUUAAUGUACUUCCAUUAAUUUUUAUUCAAUAUUUUGACCCUUUUUAUCUAUAGGACAAAAUGGGUAGAUCAGAUGAUCCGUUCUGGAAGGAAGUUGAAGAUAUGAAUGAUGGAAGCAUGAAAUGUAAGUUUUGUGGGCAUUUAUUUGCGAAUGGUACUUCCAUUUCGAGGAUCAAAUGGCAUUUUUCGGGAGAGAGAGGGCAUGGUGUUGGCAUUUGUGGUCAGGUGCCUAAAGAAGUUCAAGAAGCAGCCUUUCUAGCUAUGCGUGGUGGCUACAAAAGACAUAAAGGCAUAGCAAGUUUAAGCAAUGUUAAUGAUUAUGCCAUUUCCACCUGUCCACAAGAACAAGACAAUGCAGUACUUGGUAAUUUGGCACAAGGUGUUGGGCCUGAGAGAAUUCAUUCGCGUUUAGAAGCGGCAAAUGGCAUGGAAUACACUGGUGAAGGAUCUUUUCAGCAUGUUGACAGAAGUGUCUCUCCUUGGAGACUCAGAGUUGAUGCUCAUGAGAAUAGAGGAGAAGCAACACCAGGAACAGAUUUAGUGGAUCAAUUUGCUGAUGGUACUUGGGUUCAGAUACACUCUGCCCUUUCAAAGGAGCAGAAGCUGAAUGAAAUCUCUACCUAUUUAAUGCAGGAAGAUGAGGAUGUGGAGCGUCUGCAUGAUGGAUCUGAAACUAUACCGAGAACAGAACAAGUGCAGCAUCUGGAGAGAGGUAGCUCUUGUGAGAGGCCAUCAAUUAAUCAAGCUGAUGAGCCUCGAGGAGAUUCAUCCCAACCAACAGAUCCAUUGUGUCUUGACCAUGGAAGAUAUUAUAAUCAACUCUGUGCACCUCACUAAGCAAAGAUGUCAUUAUGUAUGAUGUGCAAAACAUGGUUAGAGAGAGGACAGACCAGUGGAGGAGGAGGGUGUGGAGAAUAGUGGAAGAUUAGUGCAACAUGGCACAGGAGCUAGAUCUUCUAGAUGUCUUAAAUACAACACAAGUGAGACUAGAGGAGUUCCAUUACCUACUAGCUCUACAAAGCCAGUGGGUCGAGCAUUUGAAGAGAAUAAGAAGUUGAUAUGGUCUUUGUUAGUGGAUGAUGAAGUCCCGACCAUUGGCAUUUAUGGGAUGGGGGGAGUUGGUAAAACAACAAUACUGCAACAUAUCCAUAAUGAGCUUCUACAAAAACCAGAUAUUUGUGAUCAUGUUUGGUGGGUGACUGUGUCUCAAGAUUUCAGCAUUAAUAGAUUGCAGAAUCUUAUUGCUAAACGUUUUCGUCUAGACCUUUCAAGCGAAGAUGAUGAUCUGUAUAGAGCUGCCAAAUUGUCAAAAGAACUAAUGAAAAAACAAAAAUGGAUUCUCAUUUUAGAUGAUUUGUGGAACAAUUUUGAGCUUGAUGAAGUGGGAAUUCCUGUCCCGUUGAAAGGAUGCAAACUGAUUAUGACAACUCGAUCAGAAACGGUUUGUCAUCGGAUGGCUUGCCACCGCAAAAUCAAGGUAAAGACAGUUUUUGAGGGAGAAGCUUGGACUUUGUUCAUGGAGAAACUUGGACGUCGCAUAGCAUUUUCACCAGAAGUGGAAGCAAUUGCGAAAGCUGUCGCAAGGGAAUGUGCUGGUUUGCCAUUGGGAAUUAUUACAGUCGCAAGAAGUUUGAGGGGAGUGGAUGACCUACCUGAGUGGAGAAAUACAUUGAAGAAAUUGAGAGAAUCAGAAUUUAGGGACAAGGAAGUAUUCAAGUUAUUGAGGUUUAGUUAUGAUCGGUUAGGUGAUUUAGCACUACAACAAUGUCUCUUGUACUUUGCAUUAUUUCCUGAAGAUUAUAUGAUUGAAAGGGAGGAGUUGAUAGGUUAUUUGAUCGACGAGGGAAUAAUUAAAGGAAAGAGGAGAAGGGAAGAUGCAUUUGAUGAGGGCCACACGAUGCUUAAUAGACUUGAAAAUGUCUGUCUAUUGGAAAGUGCUAGAGUAAAUUAUGAUGAUAAUAGACGUGUCAAGAUGCAUGACUUGAUUAGGGACAUGGCCAUCCAAAUACUGCUAGAGAACUCUCAAUACAUGGUUAAAGCAGGUGCACAAUUAAAAGAGUUGCCAGAUGCAGAGGAAUGGACGGAGAAUCUGACGAGAGUUUCAUUAAUGCAAAACGAGAUCGAAGAAAUUCCUUCCAGCCAUUCACCAAUGUGUCCAAAUCUGUCCACUCUAUUUCUAUGUUAUAAUAGAGGGUUAAGAUUUGUUGCAGAUUCAUUUUUCAAGCAAUUGCAUGGGCUCAUGGUCCUUGAUCUGUCUCGCACAGGUAUUAAAAAUUUGCCAGACUCUGUCUCUGAUUUGGUGAGUCUCAUUGCAUUAUUGCUCAAAGAGUGUGAGAAAUUAAGACAUGUUCCAUCAUUAAAGAAGCUCAGGGCACUGAAGAGGUUGGAUCUCUCUUGGACUACGCUUGAAAAGAUGCCGCAAGGAAUGGAAUGUCUAACCAACCUGAGGUAUCUUAGAAUGACUGGAUGUGGUGAAAAGGAGUUUCCUAGUGGGAUAUUACCAAAACUCUCUCACCUGCAAGUCUUUGUACUAGAAGAAUAUUAUCGUCCGAUAACAGUUAAAGUAAAGGAAGUAGUAUCCUUGAGAAAUUUGGAAACUUUGGAAUGCCAUUUCGAAGGUCUCUCUGACUUCGUGGAGUAUCUCAGAUCUCGGGAUGGGACCCAAUCAUUAAGCACAUACAAAAUUUUAGUAGGUAUGGUGGAAGCAGAUUUUUGGCAUCAUGGUUAUUAUUUUCCAAGUAAAACAGUUGGGUUGGGUAAUUUGAGUAUCAACAUAGAUAGAGAUAUUCAAGUCAAGUUCUUAAAUGACAUUCAAGAACUGGUUUGUAAAUGCAUCGAUGCAAGAAGUUUAUGUGAUGUUCUGUCAUUAGAGAAUGCACCUGAACUGGCGGUUAUCCAUAUUGUGAAUUGCGAUAGCAUGGAGAGCUUGGUUUCAUCUUCUUGGUUCUGCUCUGCUCCACCACCAUUGCCCUCAUAUAAUGGUUUGUUUUCUGGUCUUAAAGAGUUUUAUUGUUAUGGAUGUAAAAGUAUGAAGUUGUUGUUCCCACUUGUGUUGCUGCCAAACCUCGUAAACCUGGAAGUGAUUAAUGUUGGUGUUUGUGAGAAAAUGGAGGAGAUAAUAGGAACAACAGAUGAAGAAAGCAGCACCUCCAAUUCCAUCACAGAAUUAGAACUCCCAAAUUUAAUCACUCUGAGAUUGCAUAAAUUACCAGAACUGAAAAGCAUUUGUAGUGCAAAACUGACUUUCAAUUCCUUGAAGAUAUUUGUGUAAUGUAUUGUGAGAAGUUGAAGAGGAUGCCAAUUUGUCUUCCGUUGCUUGAAAAUGGCCAGCCAUCCCCUCCCUUUUUUCUUAGAAGAAUGGAGAUAUGUCCAGAAGAAUGGUGGGAAACAGUAGUGGAGUGGGAGCAUCCUAACGCAAAGGAUGUCCUUCGUCCUUUUGUGGAGUUUAAGUAGGAGGAGACUACACUGCCCUUAAUAUAAGAAUAGAGGGUGAGCAUCAUCCCCAAAGUUAAUAUGUAGAAUGGUUAAUUACUCCUUUAUAUAUUGUUAAUCCUUUCGUUGUAAUAAUAUGUAUCCUUCUGUAAGAAUACAAAUAGAUAGUAACCUUAAAUUUGCUCAUAUUCAAUAAUAUAUCAUUGUUUUAAUCAUUUUUGUUAAAAAUCAUGUGCAAAACAUAAUUAUUUUCGAUAUGAAUGAUGAAAAUAAUCCUUUAAAUCAACGGUUGGAUAUUAUUAUUAAUUAAUAUUGAAAUUACUUGCAUGAUGCUUUUGGAUUAAAGAUGCUCAAUGGGUGGAUUUGGGUCGGUUUGAAAUGGUAUUGCCAAUUCCAUAUUUCAACGAAAAAUCGAAGCCUAACAUGAAUUCAUAGAAAGAAAGAGCGUUUAUUAAUAUGAAAUAUUUCUUUUUUAUAUAGUGUGCUUACAAUUACAUAAAUAACAUUUUUCAUUUUUUUAUUUAUUUCAUUAUCUUUUUAAGACUAUUGAAUUGUCAUAUAUAUAUUUUUUUAACUCGACAGAUAAAUAAUUAUAAUUUGAAGUUUGAUUAAUAUUAUAUUUUCAUCCUAUUGAGUUUCUCCAAGAAGAAAAUCCAAAAUAUAAAAAAAAUACUAUAUUGAUUUAUCAUUAAAGUAACCUAAUAAAAUAAUAUAUCUAUUCACCAGUACAAAUCAUCUUAUAUCAUUAACUAGCAAUAAAUUAUUCUUUUCAAAUAUAUAAUACAGAUUAAAAAGAAAAAAAAAAAGGAGAGAGAAGACAAUUUAAAAAAAGAAUGAUAAUCGAAUUUUGGAAUUUUGGAAUUUUUAUAAGGAUAUAUUUAGAAUAAAAUUUCAUACCUCUAUCUAUUUUCCUCGUAUAAAAAUUCAUCCUAUUUUUCUAUAUUCGUCAAGAUUUUUUAAUCUGUAUUUUUAAGUUUUUUCUGUCUUUAUAGACAACAUAAAAAAACUAAAAGGAUUGGUUAAUCAAUUCCUCAAGAUUUUUUAAUUUGUAUUUUUAAGUUUUUUCUGUCUUUAUGAACAACAUUAAGUGGUUUUUUCUGUCAAUUUUAAAAAAAAUAUAUAUCAAAAUGAAGUUUUCUACUAGUGCCUGGUGGUUUUGUCUGAGUAAAAGGGAUAGAUGCUAAGUUAAGAGUUCAAGGAAGUGAGACAAAAAUUGGAAGGGACAAUUGUGUCGAUUGAAAUUCCGUUACUCCGAUGUUGAGUCCGGUGAAGCCGCCCUGNNNNNNNNNNNNNNNNNNNNNNNNNNNNNNNNNNNNNNNNNNNNNNNNNNNNNNNNNNNNNNNNNNNNNNNNNNNNNNNNNNNNNNNNNNNNNNNNNNNNNNNNNNNNNNNNNNNNNNNNNNNNNNNNNNNNNNNNNNNNNNNNNNNNNNNNNNNNNNNNNNNNNNNNNNNNNNNNNNNNNNNNNNNNNNNNNNNNNNNNNNNNNNNNNNNNNNNNNNNNNNNNNNNNNNNNNNNNNNNNNNNNNNNNNNNNNNNNNNNNNNNNNNNNNNNNNNNNNNNNNNNNNNNNNNNNNNNNNNNNNNNNNNNNNNNNNNNNNNNNNNNNNNNNNNNNNNNNNNNNNNNNNNNNNNNNNNNNNNNNNNNNNNNNNNNNNNNNNNNNNNNNNNNNNNNNNNNNNNNNNNNNNNNNNNNNNNNNNNNNNNNNNNNNNNNNNNNNNNNNNNNNNNNNNNNNNNNNNNNNNNNNNNNNNNNNNNNNNNNNNNNNNNNNNNNNNNNNNNNNNNNNNNNNNNNNNNNNNNNNNCUGAGCGUUUUAGACGACCAUGUGAUCGGAGAGAUUUGAUUCUCAGUAUAAUUGUUGGUAGCUUAUUUGUGAGCCAAGAAGUAUUAUUGAAUAAAAAUACUUUCAUUCUUUAUUGUCGGCUGAGAAGUGAAUUGAACAUUUAUUACCUGAGUUUUCUUCUCCAUUUUAUUGAAUAAAAAUGAUUUUUUUUUUCUGAUUUUAUUAAGUUUUUUUAUAAACCUGAUAAUUUGUCAGAUAAUUUUAGCAGAGUCAUUACCUAUGUAUGCUGGUCAAAAGUCAUUCCCAUCAAUAAGAUGGAGUAGCAUGAACAAUUUAUUUAUUUAUUUUUGGUUUCUGCUAACGAUUUAUUUCAUGAUUAAUAUCGAUUUAUUUCCACUUUCAUAGUAGCCUAGGUGUGUUUUUUCCGAAAUGGUUAUGAGCAUUUUUCCAAUCUGCUGGGGGUGAUGUUGGUGGGGUUGGGCUAGGAGCAUGGUUAUUUUAAUCUUGGGCUUUUGGCGAGGCUUCACGCUGCUACCUUUUUAGUUCAUGAAUUUGAGAUUAAAAAAAUCACCAAAAAGCUUGGAAAAAGAUAAAAAGUUAUUGAUUGAUAAUUUUUCAACAACAAAAAAAACACGAUCUUUGUAUUAAUGGAAAAAUCAUGUGCAGAUUGGAUAGCAAAUCAUAAAGGUGUGUUAGGGAUUCUGAUAGCAGUUAUAGUUUAAAGUAUUUUUUACUUAGAAAUACAUCAAAAUAAUAAUUUUUAAUUUUUUUAUUGAUAUAACACAUAAAAAUGAUCCGAAAAUAUAAUAAUAAUAAUUUUUAAUAAAAAAAUCAAAAUUUAUAAAUACAUAAUUUGCACAGUGGUACCGAACACAACUUUUAUAAUAGAUGUUGAAGUUUCCUACUGCACUGAAGCUCCCUCUCAUUGUUUGGAGCAAAUGCUUGAUUGCGUUCGUGGGGUUUCUACCCCCCGAAUAUGAAGUUAUUUCCUAAUUAAGGCUUUCUGCCCUCUCUCUAAUAAACUGAAAAACGGCAACAUUCAUUUUCUAGCCCAGCAGUGGUUCCUCUAGCCUUCUGCCUUCUGCUAUCUGCCUAGCUGUGAUAUAAAACAAUUUUAGUCCAUAUUUGAAGGAAUAGCAUCCACGAGGAAGUCCAAAAUAAUUAAAUGCGUAGGCCUCCUGUUUCUUCAAUCUUCUGCUGCUGUGAUUAUUAAAGCCUUGCCAAUAAUUACAGAUUAUAGCAUCCACGAGGAUGACGUUCCUUCAAUUUUUCUCUACAGUCAAUCUUUUUCCUUGACAAUAUUAUUGAUUCAACUUUCCAAAAUGUAUUCUUUAGCCACCACAAAGCUUCACACACACACACACGAGUGUGAAAGUUUAUACACUUCAAAGUAAAGUUAAAGAUAAGAGCAUAUAUAAUUAUUAAACCCCGUACGAUUUGUUUUAAAAAAACACAAAAUCUAAAAUUUAACUUGGAUUGGGUUUAUAAUUAAACCAAUAUUGAUUUGAUAAAAUUUGACCGAUUCAAUCAAACCUAGUUUAUAUCUGACUAGAUUAAUAAAAAAAAUGAAAUGAUAUUAUUUUAAUAAAAAUAAUUAAUUUGAAUUAACUUAAUAAAUAACUUAUAAUAUUAAAAAAUUAUCUUAAACCAAAAAAUUUAAACAGAUUUAAAAAUGUUAUAAUGUUACUUUCUAAGAAUUUAGUAAGGAUUUGGAGAACACCAGGCUAAGCUCCAAACACAUCGCCACCUGCAUGCUCUCCAGCAUAAUUCACGUUCCUUUUUCAACCAUCGAAUACCCCACAGCCUCCUCCUCCGGUUCUUGUCGAGAAGUGUAUGGAGCCUUGACAAAUAAAGGUUCUCUGAUCUGUUGAUUGGGUUUGGGUCUCAAGCGUUUGUGAGAUUACAAGAGCUUGGAUGUUAAAAAACUGGUCGUAAUUACUUGUCAGGAGUUCUGGCAGUUGAUAGUAAUAGAACAAAUUUAUUAUUUUCNNNNNNNNNNNNNNNNNNNNNNNNNNNNNNNNNNNNNNNNNNNNNNNNNNNNNNNNNNNNNNNNNNNNNNNNNNNNNNNNNNNNNNNNNNNNNNNNNNNNUGGGCGUCUUCCAGAAGCUUACAACUAAAUAUUAGUUAAGAGGAAGACAAUCUAGCCAUUCCGUCGAUAAAUUAGUGAGAUUGCCCCAAUCACGGGGAAGGCUUUGCCAAAUACUUCAUCUCAUGGAUUCUGAGUUCUUAGCUAUCAAAUGGCUUUCAAAACAGUUGAUUUUAAGUUUCAUUUCAAUAAAUGCCAGUACCAACAUUUGGAAGUGCUAUAACAUGGAGAGCUUGGUUUCGUCUUCUUGGCUCUGCUCUGCUCCACCAUCAUCUCCAUCUUAUCAUGGUAUAUUUCUAUUUUUAAAGAGUUUGAUCUGCGAUUCUCUCCAACAAAUUGGGAUAACAAAUUGUCAGAUGCUGAAAAGGCUGGCAAUUCAUCUUCCGUUGCUUGAAAAUGGCCAGCUAUCUCAUCCCCCUUCUCUUAGAGUGAUGGAGUACAUCCAAAAGAAUGGUGAGAGUCAGUGGUGGAAUGGGAGCAUCCUAAUGCUAAGGAUGUCCUUCGUCCCUUUAUUAUUUAAAUGAUGACUCUGCCCUUUAUCAUUCAUGUGCUAGGUUGGAAUCCUUAAACUGGAGAAGAGUCCACUAAUAUUUCCUCGCCAACCAAGAAGAUGAAGAAGACGAACUUUUCUAUGACGAAGCUGCAAUCAACUCUGUGCUUGAUGAAUCAAAGAGCAGAUCCAGAAACAUUACAAAAUGUAGGUAACAGGAUUACGUACAUGAUUUAAUUUGUAGAGGAAAAAAGAUUGAACUUCGCAUAAUUAAAUUGAUGUCGUUCUCUGAAACUUACAGAUCCUCUGUUUGUUAUAUUACGGUUUCUUAUGAAGUGUAAAUGGCUUCCUUACUUUAUCCGUAAGAGAGUUGGAGGGAGUUAACCUCCAUGAGAAAGUUAACCAAGGAGUGGAGGAAUGCCCUAGAGGACCGGAGACAAUCAAGAGUUCGGCAAGAUGCCAUGGAAGAAGAGGCAUUCCGGAUAUUGAGAUUUAGUUACACGCACUUUAAGGAUUCAGCAUAGCAACAAUGUUUGUUGUAUUGUUCAUUACUGUGAUGAAACGACUUUAGGGUACAUGACCGACAAUAUAAAAACAUCAUAUUUAUGUUAAUUUUUGGAACAUGUAUAUCAAAAAAUAAGUACAUGUAAAUUUUGCACAUCAUUUCAUAAUUUUUUUAAAUUAAUAAAAUCAAAUAAUACUUCAAAAUUUAUCAGAUAAAAUAAAACAUCAUAAUACUUGUUACAUUAAAUAAAAUUCAAUUUUGAAAUAAAAAUUUAAACUUAAAUAAAAUAUUAUAAUAGUCUAAAACAUCUAAUAAAAUAUUUUUAUUCUUAUAAAUUUUGUGAGAAACAAUAAAAAACUAAUUUAGGAAUUAAUUGAGUAAUUAUUAGUUCACAGAGGAUUUUAUUUUAUUUUAUUUUUAGUGACAGCUAAUUUCAUCAAACACCAAUUGCCUUGUUUUUGGAUCACAUAAGCUUAAGACCAGGCACGUGCUACACUACUAAUGCUGGGACACUGUCACGUUCUAACAAUAAUGUUCGAACCAUUUAAGAUUGGACCUACUUCACUUGAACUUUAUUUUAUAUUUAUAAUGAGGAAAAAGUAUGAUUGGGUUGAAAACCAUUUUAUGCUCGGUCGAAAGCUUUUGGACCAGGUUAUCAUGUGUUUGAUACUGUUAUAUAGAGUAUUUUUUAAAAAUAAUUUGUGUAGAUUUUGUUUUUAAUAUCAAUACAUCAAAAUCAUUAAAAACAACUAAAAAAUUAUUAAUUUAAUAUUUUUUAAAAACAAAUAUAAAUUUUAAAAAAAUAUUUAAAAGCAUAUGGACAUACCCAAACCGGUAAACAUCAAAAGCUACAUUGGUAUGUCUCUAUGAAUAUAUGAUAAUGGAGCCUUGUUUUGAAUAUUUAAAACUAGAAAGUAGCAUAGGCGUGAUUUUUAAAAUCUUGAUCCCUAGACUUUUUGCAUGUUUUAUUUUUUUAUUUUUAGUUAUGAUUCAAAAUUUUAUUUUAUUCAUUUUGAUCUAUGAUUUUGAGAUGAAAGAAAAAAGUCACCUGGAAAACUUGGAAAAAGAUAAAAAGUUAUUGGUCGACAAUUUUCCGGCAAUAAAAAAAUAGUAUUUUUUUUUUAUCCACUGGGAGUAUCCGAGUCAACUUGCGCGUACCUUAAAUAAUUCUCACGGAUUUUGAAGUUAAUGACCAAGUAAGUCUCCAGUGACUAUCAAUAUUGGCAACUAUAGGGCUCGAUGAAAUCACAAGAAAGAGUAAACCUCUUGGUCCCAAACUCUUACCACUGGAUCACUUACUAGAUGGUUAAAAAUACAGUAUCUUUGUAUCAAUGGAAAACUUGUGUGUGGAUUGGAUAGCAAAUCAAGCUUCAUAGUAGAUGUUAAAGUUUUCUACUGCACUGAAGCUCCCGAUCUGGUUGUUUGAAGCUAAUGCUUGAUGGCGUUCCUGGGGUUUUGAUGAGUCUAUGAAAGUGCAUUCUAAAUGCUCUGUCAUUGGAAUAAAAUGCUAAAAUGUGAAUAGAAAUAAUAGAAAUUAAAGGGUAUUUUUUAAUCGAGUUUCUAUUUAAUUUGAUAUACUAUCAAGCUUCAUAGGCGUGCUUUUUUCUUUUUAAUUUUGAUCCUUAAAGUUUUGUUUUUUUUUUUUAAUCCAAAACUUUAUUUUCUUGACUUUUUAAACAGCCUGGAUAAACUUAAAGUAAUGUUCUUUUUCUUAGAAACAGCUAGAUACACUUAAAGUAUUUUAAUCAUAACUUUCCACUCACAUAUCGGAUUGCUGUGAUUCUUGAUGCGUUGGAAAGGUAUCGUAAAGGGCUACAAAGUUAGUCUUUGAUGAAAAGGGAGGGCUGCCUGCUUUUGAAAAAGGGGGCUGCCUCCUCUGUAAAGGGGGCUAUUUGGCAUAAAGAAGACGUGUGGGAAUUGCACUAGAGAGAGGGGAAAAAAAAAAGCACAGAUGAGGAAAGGAAUGACUAAUACAGUGAUGGGUAACUAAAUUGUUCCGAUUUCCAAUUAUUCUAACUCUUUUGUUUUAUCAUUCUCAAUUUGUUGUUGAGAAGUAUUCUUCUCCGCAUUUAUGCAGUUUAUGGAUUCAGUCAUGUUUUUUCUAUUGAAUGGAUUAAUCUUUGGAUCAUUUAUUUACCUGUAUUGAUUUAAUUUCUUUGCUUUAAUAUUGCUCCUUAAAUACGUUGUCGUCAUUGGAUUUUCUUAAUAGGGAUAAUUAUUUAAAAGUAGUGAAUGAUUUUUCAAAAGGGUUAUAUUAAUUUGGUUUAAUGUUGAUUUAAUUAUCUAUAUACCUUUUAAGUGGGAAUUUUGGGAAUUCAACUUCGAAUUGAGUUAUUCAACAAAAUAAGAAUAAUUAAAAUAUCAAAUGUGUGCGCAAGGGAUUCUGACUAUCUACCUGCUGUUUGUAGGAUUUAAGUACUUUUUUCAUAAGUCACUUUGCUUUAUUUUAAUCUGCAUUUAAAAUUAAUUUUUGUUUUCUAUUAAAUCAUUUUAUAUUUUCUUUUAUUCUUUUAAUUUGCUUCAAUGUGGAAUCGACACUCCAAAGGUGUGCUACAAUUACCGUGUUAUUUUUAUUUUUGGGUGGAAUCAGGUUUCUACCACACAGAAUGUGAAAUUAUUUUCUCAAGGCUUUCUGCACUCUCUCUAAUGAACUAAAAAACGGCAACAUGCAUUUUCUAGCCCAGCAGUGGUUCCACUAGCCGGCAGGUAACAGUACGCUGGAGAUAUCUACUGCUGCUCAAAGUCCAAACAACAACGGUACUGCCAACAUUAUUAUGCCGCAAUCAAAAAAACAUAAUUUGUUUUUAUAUUUAAAAUUAUGUUUGAGUGUAUUUAAAAAUCUGUUUAUCUUGGAAAAUUCUGAAAUUGUUUGAUUUACCGGAACUGAAAAGUAUUUGCAGUGCAAAAAUUGAUUUACAAUUCUCUUAGAGAUAUUACUGUAAUGCAUUGUAAGAAGGUGAAGAGGAUGCCAAUUUGUCUUCUUUUUUAUCUCUCAAUGGAACACUCAUGACAUCAAAUAGAAUAACUUCAACAAAAACUAAAAAGGAAUAGAAAGCUUACGAAUAGUUAAGAGAGCGUAUUCUAAAAUUUAGUUUAUUGUUUACCUUAUAUUUUUUUGCAUCUUAUAUUUUUUAUUUUUUAUUUUUUAUUUUAACCUAAAAUUUUAUUUUGUUUACCUUUUAAUUCAUGAGUUUGAGAUGAAAGGAAAAAAGAAUCACACAAAAAAAACUUGGAAAAAGAUAAAAAGUUAUUGAUCGACAACUUUCCGGCAACAAAAACACAUACAGUAUCAAUGGAAAACUGGUGUGCAGAUUGGAUAGCAAAUCAAGCUUCAUAGUAGAUGUUGAAGUUUUCCACUGCAGUACUGAAUCUCCCUCUGGUUGUUUGAAGCUAAAGCUUGAUUGCGUUCCUGGGAUUUUGAUGAUGAGUCUCUAUGAAAGUGCAUUCUAUCAUUGGAAUAAAAUGCUAAAAUGUGAAUAAAAAUAAUAGAAAUUAAACAGACAAGUCAAGGCCCAGGAGUCGUGAAAUUCACUUUGAACCAGCCUCCACACACUUAAAGUAUCUUAAUCAUAACUUUCCACUCACAUAUCGGAUUGCUGUGAUUCUUGACGCGUUGGAAAGGUAUCUUGAAGGGCUACAAAUUAGCCUCUUAUGAGGAUUUCAGAAAAGGAACUCCUAAAGCAUGUACGUGGCUGCCAAAAAAAGGUCCUAAAAUACCAAAUGUGUGCAAGGAUUCCCGACGCUCUACUGUUUGUAGAAUUCCAGUAGUGCUUUCUCCAUGAGUCACUCUGCUUUAUUUUAAUUUGCAUUUAAAAUUAAAUUUUAUUCUCUAUUAAAUCAUUUACUGAAGUUCGGAGCUUUAAAGUGUAUGCCAUAUAUUUACAAUUAUAUAACAAAUUAAUUUUCAUUGUCUCGACAUUUUUCCUUGUUUCUAAUUCUUCACCUGCAUUUCCCAAGCAAUAUUUUAUAAUUAUUAGGGGAAUAACUAGUGAUAUAGUAUUAGUUAUUUUCUAGAUUCAUUUAAAAAAACAAAUGCAAAAAAAAUAUAAAAUUCAUGACUCAUAAAAAAUAAUAAGAAUAUUUUUAUCUUGAAUUUUUCUUUUUCUAGUUGUAUCUCUUUAUUUUUUAAAAAUAAAUAUAAAAAAUAAGUAAUAAAAUAUCAUUAAUUAAUCUAUAAACACUAUAAAAUUACUCUCGAAUUAUUUACCCUGGAAUUUGGAUGAUCUAUAAUUCAAAGCGGGCAUGCUGCAUUUCUUUGUUAGGGUUUUUGUCCUUUCUACUAAUUUAUCUAAAUAUAAGAUUUAGAAUCUUGAUGAAUGAAACUAGCAUUCUCGAUUUCUUGGGAUAGAAAGAACAAAAGUAUUAUUAAAAUUAAAAAAGAAAAAACUCCUCAGGCUUUUACCAUGUACCAGGAGAGAAAACACCAUAGAUUAAAAUAGUCUUUUAUCUCCUAUUUCUUUUUAAUCACUAAUUAUUUUAUUUUUAAUUUUAUCAUUAUAGAUUAUGUUGAUAGCGAUUUGAAACUGAUAACUUGUUUUAAUUAACUUGUCAUGGAGUUCUCAAGGUCUAAAAAAAAAAAACAUCAUUGAUUUUUGGUUUUAUAAUAUGAUCACUUCAUUUUUAUUAUGAUAAGUCACAGAUGGAUAACCUCAAACUCAGAGGAUUGCAAAAUCAAACUGCGAGGCCAAAUGCCCCAAAUCCUGUUUAUCAUGAUAAGUCAAAACAAUUAUAGAUAUAACUUAAGAUAUGAGGCAAAGAGUUAGGAGGGAGUAGUGGAGAUAGAAGACCUGAUAUUUGCCUCAUCAACUAGGCAGAGAGUAACGACAUACGCCCUUUUAAUAUCAAAAUCUAAAUUUAGUAGUCUUUGAGGUUACUUAAUUUAAAUAUUGGUACGUACGUAGCUUUUAUUUAUUUAUUCAUUUAUUUUUAAAUAUUGACCUUAAAAAAAAAUUGAAUUUGUAAUUCAACCAAAUAUCGUAAACAUGUUAAAAGUAUUCUUCUACCUAAAUGAAUUUCAGUAAAACUACUACACAGAAGAUGAGUUUUGGUUUCUAAACCUGAAACUGCCAUCAUAAGAACUAGCUAGAGAAGUUAGGAUGAGCUUUUCUUGUCAUUAUAUCACUUUUUUCUGCUAAGAUAAUGCUCUCUGUAUUCUCUGCUACUAUUGCUUAUAAUCUUCUUAUCUCUAGUAUCUUUUCUAACCCGUAUGAGAGAUGCUUUCUAAUUUUUUUCUUGGAUUGUGAAUUUGUUGAAUAGAGUUGACCUAAGAAUCCAGAAGUUAUUGGUGACAGAAAAUCUAGAUUUUUUUUAGGAAAAGUGAGUUCAACUGUUACAUUUUGUUUACAUUAUCUUGUUGCACUAAAUCAAGAAGUUUACUAGACUUAUUAUUUAAAUUUGCUUUAUGGAUGCUUAGCAUUUUAAAUGAUCAUGUGAUCGGAGUAAACAAUCAUGUGAUUGGAGAGAUUUGAUUCUCAUAUAAUUGAUUGUUGGCAGCUUAUUUAUGAGCCAAGAAGUAUUAUUGAAUAAAAAUGCUUUCAUUCUUUAUUGUCAGAUGGAAAGUGAGUUGAACAUUUAUUACUUGAGAUUUCCUCUCCAUUUUAUUUAAUUUAAGAAGCAUUUCAUGAUUUUUCUCUGACUUUAUUAAGUUUUUUCUAUAAACCUGAUAAUUUGUCGGAUAAUUUUAGCAGGAUUCAUUUACUUUCUAGCAUACCAUAGUUGUAAAACCUCCAGGCGUUCGUAACUCUUGAUUGGGUUAUCAAAAAAUUCUGAAAUUUUGCGUGGAGCCUUCUAAUAUGAUACCUUAGCUUGGGUUAAAAUUUCAGAAUUUUUAGAGAAAUUCGAAAAUUUGAUGAAAAAUCACAAUUCGACUAGUUUUACGUUAUUGGAUGUAAUUUUCAAUCCGACCAUCCGAUUGAGCUGAAAUUUUAUGAGGAACCUUAAAAUAUAUUGAAUAAAAUCUGGUUAAAAUUUUAAAAUGAAUGGAGCUCGGUAGUGCUAGAAAAAAAAAUAAUGACCGUCAAAGAGGAAAAAAUAUUCAUUAAGGGUAUAAUAGUAAUUUGCCAUUGAAAACAAAACAUAUAAGCUCUCCUUCUCUUCUAUUAACUGCCGAAUGGGCAGAAACAAAAAGGUGAAAAGAGAAACAGAGCAUAACGUGAGAGAAAGAGAGAAAAGUAAGGAAAAACAAUAAGGAAAUUGAGAAAAAUAACUUUAUAAGCUUGCAAGUUCAACCUAUAAAACACUAAAGCAAGUGAAGGAAGGAGGGAGGGUUUGAGAAGGGGAAUUCAGCUAACUUUGGAAGAGAAGAGAAAUUGGAAGAAAAACAAUAGGUAAGCAUGAGAAGUUUGGAUUUAAUGUUUGAUUUAGAUGUUUUCUUAAGCUUAUUUGACUAAGUUAGGAAGUAAUUUCAUAGAAUUUUACCUUAGUUUCCCUUAAACCCUAGAUUUUUGAACUUAGGGUUCUUAUAUGAAUUUGGGGGAAUUAGGAGGGGAAGGAAAAAUGAUGAAAUUGAAGUGGAAUAGAAUGAAAAUAUGUUGAAAUAAAAAGUAAAUGAAGAAAAAUUUGGGGGAGGAAAAAGAAACAUCACAUUCGGCCAAAUGAAGGAAAAAGUGGGAGAAUGAGUUUUGAUGGUAAGAAAGACUAAAUGAAGAGAUAGCAUUUAAAUUGAGAAAAUAAUAAUAAUAAUAAUAAUAAUAAUAAGUAAAUUCAAAUUAAAAGAGAAAUAAACUAGUUAAAAGAAAAUAUGAAGACAAGAUGUCUAGAUUGUGUUUGAAUAUAGUAUUUAGAUAAAAUGAAUAAUAUGAUGUGAGGGUAUAAAGAAUAGAAGAAUUAUUUGAUGGAGGAAUUAUGAACAUAGAGUAAGCAAAGAAGGAGGUUGUAUGUAAAAUAAUGAUGUUAUAUUUGAGAAUGAAUUUUUAUUAGAACAAAUUACAAAUAAAAAUAUUACGUGCUUUGUGUUUCGGCACGUAAGAAAAAUAUUGAUGGACUAAUGAUAUAAUGACACUUGAUUGAUUCAGGAGUUGUGUCUGGAGCUGGUUAUCAGACAGAAGGAGCUGGGUCAUCCCGAGCAGAAGGUAGGUGAUUCGUCACCUUAUUUUGUAAUUUUUAGUUUUCCUAAUAAUCCAUGUUGCUUAUUUAAUUGAUAUUAAACGAAUGGAGCAAAUGAAUAAAUUGAGUUAUGAUUAUGUGAAUUACCGGUAAAUUAUGUGAAAUUACCGGUUUUGUUGGUUAACAAAGAGGUUAACCGGAUAUGGGGUAAUUCGUAUGGAAUUACCGGAUUGUUUGGCUAAUAAAAGAGGUUAGCCGGAUGCUUGGUAAUUCAAAUGGAAUUACCGGAUUGAUUGGCUAAUAAAAAAGGUUAGCCGGAUGCUGGGUAAUUCGAAUGUAAUUACCGGAUUGAUUGGCUAACAAAAGAUAUUAGCCGGAUACUGGGUAAUUCAUAUGAAUUAGUGGAUUGAUUCUGGAAACCGAAAUGGGUUAGCCGGAUUUUUGGGUAAUCAAGAGAAUUACCGAGUUUAUUGGUUAACAAAGAGGUAACCAAAUAAGAAGUAAUUUAUAUGGAAUUACCAGAUUGAUUGGCUAACAAAAGAAGUUAGCCAGAUGAUGGGUAAUUCGAAUGGAAGUACUGGAUCUAUUGGUGACUGAGGAAGGAAACCAAAUUUCUGAGUAAUUAUAUGGAAGUGUUAGAUUUAUUUGGUAAUUAAGAUGAGUUAGCUGGAUUUGUAAAUUUUGAAAAGAUUAUGUAAAUUAAGGGAUUAAGUUAGAUUGAAGUAGAAGUAUUAAAUUUCAAAGGUUAAGAGUAAUUAAUUAAUAUUAGAAUAAUAUAGUGAGUAAGUUAAUUAAUGUUGUUAUUGUUGAAACAGGUACACCGCGAGGUGAUGUAGAUCGUUAGAUGUAGGAAUACUCCUGUUUAUGAAUCACUAUUUUGGAAUGUAAUAUUCAUGUCUUUACUUUGAGUGUAAAUCCUUUUGUGUUGUAAAAAUUAAGUAGAAGGUGUAAUAUGUAGUGGAUGUAUUAUAUAUAUGUAUAGUUGUUAGUAUGACCAAAUCAUUUUCAAAAUGAUAAGAUAAGAUUUAUUAUAAAUAUAAUAUGACUCUUAAUCUUAAUGUUGUAUUUAUAUAGUUUAAAGGCUUAUAUGUAGUUAGUUAGCAUUUAUUACGUUUAAUGAUGAAUUUGUUUAUCUUUUGAGUUGUUUUGGUAGUCCAUUUAUGUUGAUUUACUAAUUGAUAUUAUGAGACUUGCAUAUAUGAUAAUUAUAAAUAUUGAGUUAUGAUUUGAUGAAUGGAAUGUGAUCCAGGAUGAUUGGAUCAAGAUGGAAGUCGUAAUGACAUAUAAUAGAAGUGUUGUCGAUAACUUGGUACAACAAAAAUAGAGGAAACUCUGCCGAAAUUUUCAAAAAAAAAUCCUAUAAUUUUAGACAUAUUACCCAAUACUUGACAUUAGUAAAGAAAUGUUGGGAGAUUUCAUGAUAUUAUAAUUUGAGGGUGUUACAAUAGUAGCCUAGGUGUGUUUUUUCCGAAAUGAGCAUUUUUCCAAUCUGCUGUGGGUGAUGUUGGUGGGUUUGGGCUAGGAGCAUGGUUAUUUUUAAUCUUGGGCUUUUGGCUAGGCUUCACGCUGCUACCUUAUAUUUGGAAAAAUUUUGUUCAAUUUAAUUCAUUAAAAAUAAUAAAAAACAAUUCAAAAAUUAAAAAAAAUGAUUUGCACAUGUUACCGAACAAAACUUUUAUAAUAGAUGUUGAAGUUUCCUACUGCACUAAAGCUCCCUCUUAUUAUUUGAAGCUAAUGCUUGAUUGCUUUCGUGGGGUUUCUACCCCCAGAAUAUGAAGUUAUUCUCUAAUUAAGGCUUUCUGCCCCACUCUCUAAUAAACUGAAAAACGACAACAAACUUUUUCUAGCCCAGCAGUGGUUCCACUAGCCUUCUGCUAUCUGCCUAGUUGUGAUAUAAAACAAUUUGAGUCCAUAUUUGAAGGAAAAGCAUAUCUAUAAUUGGCUUCUACAAAGAUUAGAUAUUUGUGAUCUUAUUUAGUGGGUGAUUAUGUCUCAAGAUUUCAGCAUUAAUAGAUUGCAAAAUUUAUUGCUAAACGUCUUCAUCUAGACCUUUCAAGCGAAGAUGAUGAUCUGAAUAGAGCUGUCAAAUUAUCAGUAAAACUAAUGAAGAACAAAAAAUGGAUUCUUAUUUUAGAUGAUUUGUGGAACAAUAUUAAGCUACACAAAGUGAGAAUUUCGGUCUGUUGAAAGGAUACAAGUUGAUUAUGACAACUCAAUUAUAAACGGUUUGUCAUCGGAUGGCUUGCCACCACAAAAUCAAAGUGAAGCCACUCUCUAGGGGAGAAGGUUAGACUUUGUUCAUGGAGAAACUUGGACGUGACGUAGCACUUUAACCAGAAGUGGAACGAAUUGCAAAAGCUAUUGAUAGGGAAUGUGCUGGUUUGUUUUUGGGAAUUAUUACAGUGGCAGGAAGCUUGAGGGAAGUGGAUGACCUACAUGAGUAGAGAAAUACAUUGUUAGAGAAAGUGUUAAAAUGGAGUAUGAUGGUAGUAGAAGUGUCAAGAUGCAUGACUUGAUUGGAAACAUGACCAUACAUAUACUACAGAGAACUCUCAAGGCAUGGUUAAAGCAGGUGCACAAGUAAAAGAGUUGCCAGAUGCAAAGAAGGAAGAAUUCGUGGACAUAUGGUCAAUUAUUUUUAUUAAAUUGAUUUCAUUUUAUUUCUUAUUUUUUAAAAAAAUCCUUUUGAUGUUAACAUGUCCUCGUAUAGUAACCGUGAUACUAAAAAUUUAAAUAGGUUACCAACUUAACUGGAUGAAUUAUAUUUUUUCAGAUUAAAAUCUUGUUUGAUUCAAUUUUAAAAUUAAUCUGAUUGGACUUAGACUCCAAGUUGUAAUUUUAACUUACUUUUUACACAAAUUUCAACUUUAUAUUUUCCAAAUUGAAAUUUUUUUCAUUAAUAUCUUCCCUUAUGGCUGGUUUGGCUUUUUGUGUUUCAAAAUAAAUAAAUAAAACAUAUUUCAUUGUUCUUUUUAGAAGAUAUUUGGAAUCAUUUGCUGAAUUAUUUUCCGUUUUUAUUUUUGAAUUUUGAAAUAAAAGAACUCCUAAAGCAUGCUUUCUUUUUUAAUUUUGAUCCUUAAAGUUUUUAUUUUAUUUUAUUUUAAUCCAAAGCUUUAUUUUCUUGACUUUUUAAACAACAGCCUGGAUAAACUUAAAGUAAAGUUCUUUUUCUUAGAAACAUCCUAGAUACACUAAAAAUAUUGUAACCAUAACUUUAUCGGAUUUCUGUGAUUCUUGAUGCGUUGGAAAGGUAUCGUAAAGGGCUCUACAAGUUAGCCCUCUGAUGAAAAAGGAGGGCUGCCUACUUUUGAGAAAGGGGGUUGCCUCCUCUGUAAAGAGGGCUAUUUGGCAUAAAGAAGACGUGUGGGAAUUGCACUAGAGAGAGGGGAAAAAAAGAGCACAGAUGAGGAAAGGAAUGACUAAUACAGUGAUGGGUAACUAAAUUGUUCAGAUUUCUAAUUAUUCUAACUCCUUUGUUUUAUUUUCUCAAUUUGUUGUUGAGAAGUAUUCUUCUCCGCAUUUAUGCAGUUUAUGGAUUCAUUCAUGUUUUUUCUAUUGAAUGGAUUGAUCUUUGGAUCAUUUAUUUACCUGUAUUGAUUUAAUUUCUUUGCUUUAAUAUUGCUCCUUAAAUACAUUGUCGUCAAUGGAUUUAAGUUCUUAAUAGGGAUAAUUAUUUAAAAGUAGUGAAUGAUUUUUCAAAAGGGUUAUAUUAAUUUGGUUUAAUGUUGAUUUAAUUAUCUAUAUACCUUUUAAGUGGGAAUUUUGGGAAUUCAACUUCGAAUUGAGUUAUUCAACAAAAUAAGAAUAAUUAAAAUAUCAAAUGUGUGCGCAAGGGAUUCUGACUACCUGCUGUUUGUAGGAUUUAAGUACUUUUUUCAUAAGUCACUUUGCUUUAUUUCUAUUAAUUUUUAUUCACUAAAGCUUGAUUGCGUUCCUGGGAUUUUGAUGAGUCUAUGAAAGUGCAUUCUAUCAUUGGAAUAAAAUGCUAAAAUGUGAAUAAAAAUAAUAGAAAUUAAACAGACAAGUCAAGGCCCAGCAGUCGUGAAAUUAUUUCACUUUGAACCAGCCUCCACACACUUAAAGUAUCUUAAUCAUAACUUUCCACUCACAUAUCGGAUUGCCGUGAUUCUUGACGCGUUGGAAAGGUAUCUUGAAGGGCUACAAAUUAGCCUCUAAUGAGGAUUUCAGAAAAGGAACUCCUAAAGCAUGUACGUGGCUGCCAAAAAAAAGUCCUAAAAUCUAGGCAAUUUGUUUGUGACACAACGGGGAUCAUGGAGACGUGAUUUUAGGGAUUUAUGUAGUUUAUGGAUUCACUCAUGUUUCUUCCAUUAAAUGGAUUAAAUCAUUUAAUAUUUUCUUCUAUUCUUUUAGUUUGUCAAUGCUGUGCUACCAUCACCGCAUUAUUCUUUGGAUGUAAUUACUAAUUUAUUAUUAGUUAUUUUUUGGAUUCACUUAACAAACAAACACAAAAAAUAAUAAUAUAAAAUGUAUGACCCAUAAAAAAUAAUAAGAAUAUUUUUACCUUGGAUUUUUCUUCUUCUAGUUGUAUCUCUCUAUUUCUUUAAAAUAAAUAUAAAAUAAUAACUAAUAAAAUGACAUUAAUUAAUCUAUAAGCACUAUCAAAUUACUCUCCAAUUAUUUGCCCUGGAAUUUGGAUGAUCUAUAAUUCCAAGCGGGCAUUAUGCAUUUCUUAGCUAGGGGGAGCAAAACUUGAGCUAGCAUGUUUCUGGCUUUUGAUUUUCUGGGUAUGAUUUGUUUGGCUACUUUAUAGUUUAUAGGUUUUUGUCUAAUUUAUCUAUAUAUAGGAUUUAGAAUCUUGAUGAAUGAAACUAGCAUUCUCGAUUUCUUGGGAUAAAAAGAGCAGAAUUAUUAUUAAAAUUAAAAAAGAAAAAACUGCCCAGGCUUUUACCAUGUACCAGGAGAGAAAAACACUGUAGAUUAAAAUAGCCUUUUAUCUCUUAAAUUUCUUUUAAUCACUUAUUAUUUUAUUUUUAAUUUUAUCUUUAUAGAUUAUGUUGAUGGAAAUUUGAGGCUGAUAACUUGUUUUAAUUAACUUGUCAUGGAGUUCUCAAGGUCUAAAAAAAAAGGGCUUCAACGUUAAGUUAAGUUGACGUUUGACUUCACAAAAUUUUAUUUAUUUUAAUUCAAUAAAAAUAAUUGAAACUUUGAAAAUCAAAUAUGAUACUGAAACCAGAAAGUAACCAGAAACUUUGAGCUUUUGCAUUUUAAUUUUUAGUUUUAAUCUAAAAUUUUAUUUUGUUUAUUUUUUAAUUUAUAGAUUUGAUAUAAAGAAAAAAAGUAAAUGAAAAAACUUCAAAAAAAGAUAAAAAGUUAUUAAUUGAUAAUUUUCUAAUAAAAAAAACACGAUCAUCUUUUUGUUAAUGGAAAACUUGUGUUUAGAUUAGAUAGCAAAUCAUACUUUAUAGAUUGAGGGCUAAAAAUAUAAAUUUGUAGAAGGGAGUUGGAAAAAAAAAACAAUUUUCAUGGUUAUGGAAAAGUGUGCGAUCAUAAGAUGUUUUUUUUAUUGUUAUUUUAUUAAUAUGAGUGUUUGAGUUAAUUUACAUAUAUUUUAACUAAUUUAAUAAGUUUUAAAAUUAAUAAUUAUAUAAGUUUUAUUUAAUUUUAAAAUUUAUAUAAUUUAAAUUGAUAAUAUCUAAAAAAAUAAAUUUAAACUCUAAUUAAUUGAAGGAUAGCACUUGUAAUUACGAGAUGUUAUGAAAGAGAGGGGUAUGUCGUUCUUUGUACUCCAAACUUAUUGACUGAUGUGCCUCUUAAAUAAAAGCACACCAUAUACUGUCAAUAAAAAUAGAAAUAUGAAUAAAAGUUUAUAAUGAUAAGUAUAUAUUCAAAAAAAUUAUAUUAACUUAAUACAUAUAAAAGUCAUAAAUAUCCCAUCUUAAUUAAGCAAACUUGAUAAAUCUAAUUACUCAAAUCUGACUUAAUACAUAUAAAAGUUUGUGAAGAUUGAAUACCUGGUCUUAAUUUUUGAGUUAUUUUAUAUUAAAAUAUAUUAUUUUAAUAUAUUUUAAAAUAAAAAAUACUUUAAAAUUUUUUAAAAUAACAAUCAUCAUAUUCCCUACUACACUGUUAAAAUCACUCUAAAAGUAAUAAUGUUUUGCUAAAAGCACUGAAGCUUCAACGUGUGAAACAGCUGGAUGCACUUUUAAGUAUUUUAAUCACAACUUUUCACUCACAUGACGGAUUGAUGUGAUUUUUGUCACGUUAUUUUGUUUGAAAAUGCUUGUUUUUUAAAAAAAUUUGAUUUUUUUAAAAAUUAUUUUUUAUAUUUUAAAAUUAUUUUAAAUUGUUAAUAUUAAAAAUAAUUUUUAAAAAAUAAAAAAUAAUUAUUUUAAUAUAUUUUUAAAUAAAUUGUUAAUAGUAUCUUAAUCAGCUCCCCCGGGCUACAAAAUAGUCUCUGAUGAGGAUUUCAAAAAAAAAAAAAAAAACUUUAGGUUUUUGAUGAAAACGUGUGGGAGUGGGACCAUGGGGACAUGAUGAAAAUAUAGGUGGAAAAGUGGGGCUGCCUCCUUUAGAAAAAGGGGGCUGCCCAUAAAGAAGACGCGUAGGAAUUGCACCAGAGAAAAAAAAAAAAACAAGAAAAGAAAAGGGAUUAAUGUAGUUUAUGGAUUCAGUAAUGUUUUUUUUCUAUUAAAUGGAUUAAUUGUUUGAUUAUAUUUGGUUCAUUUAUUUAUCUGUAUUGAUUUAAUUUUUUUCCUAUAAUAUUGAUUUAAUAAAAAGAACUCCUAGUCCUAAGAUUGACUCAAUUGGAAAGGAUCAUGGUACGUACUGCCAAGAUUGUUAUGCACACAAGCAAAACAUAAUUUGUUUUUGUAUUCAGAAUUAUAUUUGAGUUCAUUUAAAAAUUUGUUUAUUUUGAAAAAAAUAUUAAAUUAAUAUUUUUAAUAUUUUUUAAUAUAUUAAUAUUAAAAAUAAAAAAAAUAUUUUGAUUACUAAAUCUCCACCGACCUAUUUCAUUGUAAAUUACAAUAGUACGUCAUACAAGGUGUUUUGUUAUUUUUUUAAAAAAAAAUUGUUUUUGUUUAUUUUGUUAUAGGUUGAUUUAAAAUUUAGUUUCGUAAUUUAUUAAAUUUUAUUUUAAUUUUUAUAAGAUUAACGUGAUUUACAAAUUUGUUAAAAUAACUCAAAUUAUACUAAUUUUCAGGUUUGGUGGGGUUUUUUUUGUUUAUUAAUUAAAAAAAAAGCUAAAAGAUGUGGGAGAACCGCUAUUCACCCACACCUAUUUUAUUAUGAAUUACAAUAAUAAUCUAUAGUGUUUUGCUUCUUCUUCUUCUUCUUCUUUUCCUUCCCUUUCCUUUUUUUGGUUAUCAUUUUAAUUUUUUUUUUCUGUUUCAUAUUUGGGUUGGUUUAGAAUUUAGUUUCAUAAUUGAUUUUAUUUUUCUUUUUAUGAGGUUAUCGUAGUCUAAAAAAAUAUGUAUUAGUAUUGGGUUCGUGUUUAAAUUUAUGGUUAUCUAUUUUUAUUAUCAUAUUGUUAAAUAAAAAAAUUUUAAAAAAAUUAUAAUUCUACUAGAGUCCAUAACCUUGUUCAUGAGUUUGAUGUGCUAAUCAAAGUUACCUGAUUCACAGGUUUGAUAAUUUUACUUACUGAUUGAACAUGUUUUUUUUUUUAUCUUUUAAUUUUUUUAAUUAAUUUUUUUUUCAAUUUCGUCCUUCAAUAUUGGAUUGGUUUGGAAAUAGACUACAUGAUUUAUUUUUAUUUGUUUUCUAUAGAUUAUUGCAGUCUCAAAUAAAUAUUUAUUUUAGGGAUGAUGCUUAAUUUUAUGAAUACCUAUAUUUAUCAUAUAAUUAAAUUAAAAAAAUUGUAAAAAUUUACUAAACCCAAUAGAAUUCAUGAUCCGAGUUGCGAGGGACCGAAAUUGAUUUAAUCUGUCAUUUUCUUAAUAUUUUUUAAACAAUAUUUUCAGCUAGAGGUUUUUGUAAAAAGUGAAGCCAUGUUUUACUAGUCUUUUAAGUUAACUUUAGAUCUAUAAAAUCGAUUAAUUUAAAUCGAGAUAGUUUUUAUAUAGUAAGUAAAGAUUUGAAUUGGAUAAAAAGCUAAAUAAAGAGAUUUUUAAUAAUAUUGCCAACAAACUUUUUUCACUCUUAAAGAUUCUUUUUUAUAUUUAUAUGAAAAACACUAGGUUUUGUUUAUUAAAAGUAAGGAUGGAUCGUCUUUGACUGCGUGUACCUCUAAUCAGCAACAGAUAGAUAACGGCAACGAUUGAAAACCUUUAAUCUGUCUUCUAAUUUUUUCCCUAUUAGUAAUUGUUACAUAAUCAGAUUCGCUUUAUGUUGAAUAAUUAUUUUUUUAUUUUUUAAAUUUUUUUUAUUUUAUUUUUAAUAAUCUGAUUUUUUUUAAAUGUGAGAUUUGAAAUCUAUUAGUAUAUAUGCUCUAUGUUCUCAAGAAAAAAAUUGUGUUUUUUCAAUGUGUGAUGAAAAAUAUUUUGAUUUAAAUACUUCAAAUUAAAAAAAUAACAUAAUUUCGAUUCUGAGAUAUUUUGAAAGAGAGGAAACGUUAAUUGAAGUACAAACUCAAUGAUUGAUGUAAGAUUAUAUAACAACUCCAAUUUACAUAAACUUGAGAUUAUUUUUAAGUUUCAUUUCAAUGCAUGUCAAGCAGAUUAUGUUGUGCAUAGUUUUAUGUAGAAGGGUAGCUAGCUAACUUUAAAGUGCAUCUGUUGUUAAGAACGCUAUUUCUUGGUUCAGUUGUUUUGUUUUAUACAGGCUAAGUUAGUCUGCUUACAUCUGGUUGGUUUGUGAUCGCUUGCUGCACCCUUUCCCCUUUGGAAAAUGGAAGCAGAAACUUUCAGCAUUCGAUCGGGGGCCACAGAGGUUAGCUAGCUAACUUUAAUUCCGAUUCCGACAUGAUUAAAGUUAUGGAACAUGAUCCAUCAUCACUAGCCUCUCCUCAUUCAUGUGUUAGGUUGGAAUCCUUCAACUGUUUUUGCCACAGUUCUUCGACUAGAUUUUUGUAUCAUUCGUGGAUAUAUAGUAAAAAUUCGUUUUGAUGUUAAGAACAUCAUCGUAACAAAAACCUUAACUAUUAGGAAAAACACACAGCAAAUACAUGGACUUUACCAUGUCAUAAUUAAUUUGAGAUAAGGAAUAUGUAUGGACUUUACAAAUAGGUAUUAUCAUCUAGAAUACUAUAAUUCUUAUUAGCAAUUUUUUUGUACAUAUUCAAGGCUUUCUACCAGAAUUCUUAUUAGGAAAAACUUGUGUAGAUAUUCAAGGUAGUUGUGGUUUUAUUUCAAUGGACUCCACAUUUUUUUCUUAUAAACGUUUAACGGGUACAAAUUCUCAAAGUACUGUAGGUUUUGAGUCCUGAGUUCUAUUUCCAACCAUAGGUUUAACGGUUGUUUCAGUACCCCUAAGCACUAUUUUUAUUGCUAAUGCUAUUCUUCGUUAAAUUUUUAGGGAAUGGAAGUUGGAGUGGAUCAGAUAAUGACAUUGAUGGGGGAGAAGUGCGAUGAAUCAUUCCUAGCAUAGUACUUACAGCUCUUGAAGCUAAGCUUCAGGCUCUUACAUUUUCAGGUCAGCUUUUUCAGAGUUUCAACAAUGGGGUGGGUCCACGAGUUAAAGUGUUUGGCAUUAUUGUCAGAAAAUGUUUUUUUUUUAAAAUAAUUUUUAGCUUCUGAUUCUUUUGUUGAAGAUUUUAAUUAUAUGCAGCGCUAGACAAAAGAAAAGCAAAAUAGAGGUGUACAGCAACAACAUGUUGUAUCUUGUAAUAUAAUCUUUGGUAGGAAAGUUAUGGCUUUUUUCCUAGCAACUUCUUGUCAAACAAUAAAAGAAUCUUUGCUACUGUAACAUUCUCUUCCAAAUCUCAUCUCAUUAUACCAUUGAUUUCCAGUUUCCCUCAUCAAAUUUCUUAAACCUUUCUGAUGAUCAGUGCUUCCUUUUCUGAUUGAAUCGAAUCAUCUGGAGCUGAACAUCUUGCAACUUCCUUGUUAUUUUUAAACCAUAUACUCUUCUCUGAUCUUGUUUUUCUUUCUGAAUACUACUUAAGCAAACCAGCACCUGAAGAACUACUUGAAUCCAGGUAAAUUAUUUAUACUCCAUCUUCUUCAUUUUGUUUUUCACAUGUAACUCUGGUUUGAAUCUUUCAAGGAAAACACAAGUUGUAGAAAUUCUAAUGAGAAACUUUGGAGUUAGGAUCAUCAACAGUUUCCAAAAAUAAAUAAUUUGAUCUUUCUCAGUUGUAACAACCCAUGCCUUAAGGAGUUCAUACUAAAUUGACCCCAAGUUAACCUUGAAUUCAUUGUUUUUUCUUCUUGGUUUCUUUGCUGUUUGUAACUUAUUAUUUUAGUUUCAACCUUCCUUUUCCAAUUAAUGUACUUCCAUUAAUUUUUAUUCAAUAUUUUGACCCUUUUUAUCUAUAGGACAAAUGGAUCCGUUUUGGAAGGAAGUUGAAGAAAUGAAUGAUGGAAGCAUGAAGUGUAAGUUUUGUCGGCAUUUAUUUGCCAAAGGUACUUCCAUUUCGAGGAUCAAAUGGCAUUUAUCAGGAGAGAGAGGGCAUGGUGUUGGCAUUUGUGGUCAGGUGCCUGAAGAAGUUCAAGAAGCAGCCUUUCUAGCUAUGAAUGGUGGCAACAAAAGACAUAAAAGCAUAGCAAGUUCAAGCAAUGUUGACAUUUCCACCUGUCCACAAGAACAAGACAAUGCAGUACUUGGUAAUUUGGCACAAGGUGUUGGGCGUAAGAGAAUUCAUUGGCGUUUAGAAGCGGCAAAUGGCAUGGAAAACACUGGUGAAGGAUCUUUUCAGCAUGUUGACAGAAGUGUCUCUCCUUGGAGACUCAGAAUUGAUGCUUAUGAGAAUAGAGGAGAAGCAACACAAAGAACAGAUUUAGUGGAUCAAUUUGCUGAUAGUACUUGGGUUCAGAUACACUCUGCCUUUUCAAAGGAGCAGCAGCUGAAUGAAAUCUCUACCUAUUUAAUGCAGGAAGAUGAGGAUGUGGAGCGUCUGCAUGAUGCAUUUGAAACUGUACCGAGAACAGAACAAGUGCAGCAUCUGGAGAGAGGUAGCUCUUGUGAGAGGCCAUCAAUUAAUCAAGCUGAUGAGCCUCGAGGAGAUUCAUCCCAACCAACAGAUCCAUUGUGUCUUGAUCAUGGAAGAUAUUAUGACCACCUAUUUGCUCCAUCAGUAAACAAUGAUGUCAUUAUGAAUGAUGUGCAGAACAUGGUUAGAGUGAGGACAGAACCAGUGGAGGAGGAUGUGGAGAAUAGUCGAAGAUCAGUGCGGCCUGAAGCUGGAGCUAGAUCUUCUGAAAGUCUGAAAUACAACAAGACUAGAGGAGUUCCAUUACCUACUAGCUCUACAAAGCCAGUGGGUCAAGCAUUCGAAGAGAAUACGAAGGUGAUAUGGUCUUUGUUAAUAAAUGGGGAAGUCUCAACCAUUGGUAUUUAUGGGAUGGGGGGAGUUGGUAAAUCCACAAUACUACAACAUAUCUAUAAUGAUCUUCUACAAAGACCAGAUAUUUGUGAUCAUGUUUGGUGGGUGAUUGUGUCUCAAGAUUUCAACAUUAAAAGACUGCAGAAUCUUAUUGCUACAGAACUUCAUCUAGACCUUUCAACAGAAAAUGAUGAUCUACAUAGAGCUGCCAAAUUAUCAAAAGAACUAAGGAAGAAACAAAAAUGGAUUCUCAUUUUAGAUGAUUUGUGGGAUCAUUUUAAGCUACAUAAAGUGGGAAUUCCUAAAAAGUUGGAAGGAUGCAAGAUAAUUAUGACAACUCGAUCAGAAACAGUUUGUCAUGGAAUUGCUUGCGAUCACAAAAUCCAAGUGAAGCCACUUUCCGAGGGAGAAGCUUGGACUUUGUUCAAGGAGAAUCUUGGACGUAACAUAGCACUUUCAUCAGAAGUGGAAGGAAUUGCGAAAGAUAUUGCAAGGGAAUGUGAUGGUUUGCCAUUGGGAAUUAUUACAGUGGCAGGAAGCUUGAGGGGAGUGGAUGACCUCCAUCAGUGGAGGAAUACAUUGAAGAAAUUGAGAGAAUCAGAAUUUAAGGACAAGCAAGUAUUCAAGUUAUUGAGGUUUAGUUAUGAUCGGUUAGGUGAUGUAGCACUACAACAAUGUCUCUUGUACUGCGCAUUAUUUCCUGAAGAUUAUUGGAUUCGGAGGAAGGUGUCGAUAGGUCAUUUGAUCGAUGAGGGAAUAAUUGAAGGAACGAUGAGGAGGAAAGAUGCAUUUGAUGAGGGCCACACGAUGCUUAAUAAACUUGAAAAUGUCUGCCUAUUGGAAAGUUUUAAAAUAGAGUAUAAUGAUAGAAGUAUCGUCAAGAUGCAUGACUUGAUUAGAGACAUGGCCAUCCAAAUACUGCUAGAGAACUCUCAUGUCAUGGUUAAAGCUGGUGUGCAAUUAAAAGAGUUGCCAGAUGGAGAGGAGUGGACGGAGAAUCUCACAAGAGUCUCACUAAUGCAAAACCAGAUCGAAGAAAUUCCUUCCAGCCAGUCACCAAGGUGUCCCUAUCUAUCAACUCUAUUUCUAUGUAAUCAUUACGGGUUGAGAUUUAUUGCGGAUUCAUUUUUCAAGCAAUUGCAUGGGCUCAUGGUCCUUGAUCUGUCUCGCACAGGUAUUAAAAAUUUGUCAGACUCUGUCUCUAAUUCAGUGAGUCUCACUGCAUUAUUGCUCACUGAGUGUUACAACUCAAGACAUGUUCCAUCAUUAAAGAAUCUCAGGGAACUAAAGAGAUUGGAUCUCUUUUGCACUCCACUUGAAAAGAUGCCGCAAGGAAUGGAAUGCCUAACCAACCUAAGGUUUCUUAGAAUGAGUGGAUGUGGUGAAAAGAAGUUUCCUAGUGGAAUAUUACCAAAACUUUCUCACCUGCAAGUCUUUGUACUACAUGAAUUUUCAAUUGAUGCAAUAUAUGCUCCGAUAACAGUUAAAGGAAAUGAAGUAGGAUCUUUGAGAAAUUUGGAAAGUUUGGAAUGCCAUUUCGAAGGUUUCUCUGACUUCGUGGAGUAUCUCAGAUCUCGGGAUGGGAUUCAAUCAUUAAGCACAUAUAAAAUUUUAGUAGGAAUGGUGCAUGAAUCUUAUUGGGUAGACGUUAUUGAUGAUUAUCCAAGUAAAACAGUUGCGUUGGGUAAUUUGAGUAUCAACGGAGAUGGAGAUUUUCAGGUCAAGUUCUUAAAUGGCAUUCAAGGACUGGUUUGUAAAUGCAUCGAUGCAAGAAGUUUAUGUGAUGUUUUGUCAUUAGAGAAUGCAACUGAACUGGAGGAAAUCAACAUUCAGGAUUGCAAUAACAUAACAAUUAUUUUAAACCAAAUAAGAUACUAAUUCGGUAAAAUUUGAUCCAUCCAAUCAAACCUAGUUCAUAUUUGACCACAUUAAUUAAAAAAAUAAAAUGAUAUUAUUUUAAUAAAAAUAAUUAAUUUAAAUUAACUUAAUAAAUAAUUCAUAAGUUAUUAAAUAUCUGCUAUAUUAAAAAAUUAUCUUAAACCAAAAGAAUUAAGCAGACAUAACAAUGAUAUAAUGCUACUUAAUAAAUGUUUGAUGGCGUUCCUGGGGUUUUGAUGAGUCUAUGAAAGUGCAUUCAAAUGCUCUGUCAUUGGAAUAAAAUGCUAAAAUGUGAAUAGAAAUAACAGAAAUUAAAGGGCAUUUUUUAAUCGAGCUUCUAUUUAAUUUGAUAUACUAUCAAGCUUUUAUAUAUAUAUAUAUAUAAUUUUGAUCCUUAAAAGUUUUUUUUUUUUAAUCUAAAACUUUAUUUUCUUGACUUUUUAAACAGCAGCCUGGAUAAACUUAAAGUAAUGUUCUUUUUCUUAGAAACAGCCUAGAUACAUUUAAAGUAUUUUAAUCAUAACUUUCCACUCACAUAUCGGAUUGCUCUGAUUCUUGACGCGUUGGAAAGGUAUCGUAAAGGGCUACAACUUAGUCUCUAAUGAGGAUUUCAAAAAAGGAACUCCUAAAGCAUGUACGUGGCUGCCAAAAAAAGGUCCUAAAAUACCAAAUGUGUGCAAGGAUUCCCGACGCUCUACUGUUUGUAGAAUUCCAGUAGUGCUUUCUCCAUGAGUCACUCUGCUUUAUUUUAAUUUGCAUUUAAAAUUAAAUUUUAUUCUCUAUUAAAUCAUUUACUGAAGUUCGGAGCUUUAAAGUGUAUGCCAUAUUUGUACAAUUAUAUAACAAAUUAAUUUUCAUUGUCUCGACAUGAUAUUUUUCCUUGUUUCUAAUUCUUCACCUGCAUUUCCCACGCAAUAUUUUAUAAUUAUUAGGGGAAUAACCAGGGAUAUAUUAUUAGUUAUUUUCUAGAUUCAUUUAAAAAAACAAAUACAAAAAAAAUAUAAAAUUCAUGACUCAUAGAAAAUAAUAAGAAUAUUUUCAUCUUGAAUUUUUCUUUUUCUAGUUGUAUCUCUUUAUUUUUUUAAAAUAAAUAUAAAAAAUAAGUAAUAAAAUAUCAGUAAUUAAUCUAUAAACACUAUCAAAUUACUCUCGAAUUAUUUACCCUGGAAUUUGGAUGAUCUAUAAUUCAAAGCGGGCAUGCUGCAUUUCUUUGUUAGGGUUUUUGUCCUUUCUACUAAUUUAUCUAAAUAUAAGAUUUAGAAUCUUGAUGAAUGAAACUAGCAUUCUCUAUUUCUUGGGAUAGAAAGAACAGAAGUCUUAUUAAAAUUAAAAAAGAAAAAACUCCUCAGGCUUUUACCAUGUACCAGGAGAGAAAACACUAUAGAUUAAAAUAGUUUUUUAUCUCUUAUUUUUUUUAAUCACUAAUUAUUUUAUUUUUAAUUUUAUCAUUAUAGAUUAUGUUGAUAGCGAUUUGAAACUGAUAACUUGUUUUAAUUAACUUGUCAUGGAGUUCUCAGGGUUUUUUUUAAAAAAAGGCUUCAACAUUAAGUUAAGUUGACGUUUGACUUGACAAAAUUUUGUUUGUUUUAAUUCAUUAAAAAUAAUUGAAACUUUGAAAAUCAAAUAUGAUACUGAAACCAGAAAGUAGCCUAUGGAGUUUUCAGGGAAAACUAGUGUGUAGAUUAGAUACCAAAUCAUACUUUAUAGAUCGAGAGCUAAAAAAAUAAAUUUGUAGAAGGGAGUUGGAAAAAAAAUAAUUUCCAUGGUUAUGGAAAAGUGCGCGAUCAUGACAUGGUUUUUUUUUAUUAAUCGGGUUAGCUUACGUAGAGUAAAGCAUACAAAAGUAACAAAAAAAAAUAUUGUGCUUUUGUUAGCUUGAUAUGCUUUCGUCCUUGCUAUCAAUUUUAAUUUUUUUGGUUACUUUUGUAUGCUUUCCUCUGUUGCUAAUAUCCACCUCAGCAUGUAGCAUCACUCUGUUAUAUAAACACCAUGGGUAUAUUGGUAAAAUAGAAAAACAUUCACUAUAAUUUGUCUCACAAAAAUUUCAUGGUUAAGUAUAAUCACUCUGAUCUAAUAUACACACUCAUAUAUCUUAUAAUAUAAUGUUUGGUAGGUAAGCGGUGGGUUGCUUCCUGGCAACUUCCUUCCUAUCAGACAAUACGUUAAUUGAUUAUUAUUGAGCUGCCCUUACUAAUAAAUAGUAUUAUUUAAGGGAGCUAGCGGCUGUACUGUAACAUUCUCUUCCACAUCUCAUCUCAUUAUACAAUUCCCUAUUUUCCUCUCCCCAUCUCAUGAUCAGUGCGAACUAGAUUUAUGUAUGCUGCAACUUUAUUAUCUUUCUAAACCAUAUAUUCUUCUCUGAUCUGUGAUUUCUCUUCCUUUUCUUUUGGCUGAUCACUGCUUAAGCAAACCAGCUAGCACUUGAAGAACAUCUUGAAUCCAGGUAAAUUAUUUGUACUUCAUCUUGUCUGAAUCUUUAAAGUAAUCCAUGAUAAAUUAAUCGAUCUUUUUCUCGGAUUUCAUAAUCCAUGCCCUGUGGUGUUCAUACUAAACUAACCCUAAACCUUGAAUUCAUUGUUUUUGUCUUUUCAAGAUUCUUUGCUGUUUUUAACUCCUUAUUUAUGGGAUUUCUUUUCCAAUACUAGAUUUUGUAAUCCAAUAUUUUUCUGACAUAAUGAUUCAAUGAAAUUGUUUUUUACUGAUUCAUGAAUUAACUUGAUCAGUAUUAAUUAACUUAAAACAAGUGACAAAUAAUUUAGCAUUAAAACAAAGAAUUAAAUAAUUAACAGCAACAUUUAUAUUUCCUAUUUUUCAUCCGAAUUUCUUUAACAAAUAAAUAAGUCAUAUAUAUAUAUAUAUAUAUUCUUAUCUAAUCUGUGCUUUCUGUUCUUUUUUAAACCUCAGAUGGAAGGAGUCCCACCGUCUUUUAAUGAGGAUGAUGUCAACUUGACAUCGAAUCAGUUCGAUUUUCAAUCACCAGAAGAUUCAUUCAAUAUUUCUGAGUUUCUCUCGUACGUCAUUCUUAAGCAUAUUUUAUCAGAAGAUGAUUACUUGCAAUUUAGUUAUUCUACAGUUUUUCUUAUUAUUCCCAUAAAAGAAUAAUGUUCCUAAUAACAAAUUAAGCAGGUCGCCACCGGAGGUUCCAGGCAACCAAAGCUUCAUGUUAUGCAAUGAUCAUGCUGGUCAGAACAUGGUGGUGGAUAACAAUGUGAUCAACGAUAGUAUUCAACAAACAACUGAUCAGUUUCCACCUUCAUUUCCUCAAACCAUGGUGAGUGCUCAUGCCUACUCCAAUUUGCUACAAUGUCCAUUGAAUUAGCAAGUGUUUGUAUCACCCAUUGGAUCAAAAAGUUUUAUGUUUUCGUGUAUCAAUUUAUCUCGAGCAUCUUCAAAAUGUUUAUUGUUAAACAAACAGACAACAAUGGGAGAUUUAGAUGGAACAUCAUCGUCAUGGAUCAACCAAAAUGAACCAAAUUGGCCUCAAGCUCCACCAAGGUACAUAAUAUUCAUCAUUAUUUAACUUCUUCUUCUUCUUGUUCACACUAAAUGAAUUCAUUAUGUUUGAAUAUAGGUAUCUGCCUAAUUUAUUUGAUCCUCAAUGUGCCAAUCAUUUGAGGUAAGCUAAAAUGAUAUCAAAUGCUUAGUGGAUUAAUAGCAAAGAAUUAUGCAUAUGUAUGAAGAAAUCACUAACAAAUGUUGCUUAUUUAGGGACCAACAAAGGACUAAUUAUCAGUUACCAAUGAGCAAUCAAGUGCCUGCGAUGCUACCUGGACCUCAACCUCCAAUGAAUCAAUGGUACUAACCUCGAAUAUACACUUUUUUAAUCAUGAAAACAAUGAACUUGACCAAAAUUGAGCUCUCUGUCUCUCUAGAAAAUCAACCAAGUGAUUUAACUAUUUGAAUAUUUUUCAGGCAUCAGAACUCUAUUAAUCAACCUCAGCCGGGACAUGACUAUAUGACACUGAACACAUCCACUUCACAACAUGGUGGCUUCAAUCAACAUGGACCUUCCUUUCCUCCUCCCUGGUAUCCAAUUUUUCAUUUUUAGUAUUUUCUGUAAAAAAAAUUAGUUUUUCAAUCAGGAAAGUAACAUCAUAGCUUGAACAUGAACCCAGCAAGAUAAUCGUAAGUUUGUUUACGAAUGAUUUUGGAUUCAGGAUUCGAACUUUUUCUAAUGAAGGACAAGUACAUCAAGCUGCUGUAAUUCCUAACAUAGACAAUGUGCAACAAGAGAACUUCGUGCCUAGGUACUGACUGACUUCUAGCUGUUGAUUUUUAUUGCUUAAGAGAGACUACCAAUUAUAUCACUUCAUUUUUAUAUAGGUCACAGAUGGAUAACCUACAAGUCCGAGGAUUGCAAAAUCAAAUUGCUAGGCCAAAUGCCUCAAAUACUCAACAAGUAAGAAGUCUAACUGAAUUAUCGUCGUCUUUUCCCCCUAUGAUUGUGCAACAAACAAACUAUCAAUUUUAAUAGCAAAAUAAGGGUAACUUCCAUCAAUUUUUAUUCUUUAUUUUGACCCCGGUUUUUUUUCUAUAGGUCGAAACGGUUGGAUCAAAGUAUCCAUUUCGGAUUCAUGUUGAAUAUAGGGCUGAUGGUAGCAUGAAGUGUAAGUUUUGUCAACGUACAUGGGCCAAUAAAACUUCCAUUUCAAGGUUCAAAUGGCAUUUAUCAGGAGAGGAAGGGCGUGGUGUUGCCAUUUGUCGUGGGGUGACUAAAGAAGUUAAAGAAGCAGCCUUUCUAGCUAUAUGUGGUGGCCACAAAAGACAAAAAAUCACAGCAAGUUCAGUCAAUGUUAAUGACUGUGGAAUUCCAACAUGUCUACAAGAACUAAACAUUGAGAAUGAAAAUACGGGAGGGGGUGUUGGAAGGGUACAAAGAGAAGUUCAGGUUGUAGAACCCGGAGUGGUGGAAGAGAGGAUUUCUUCACAUGCAAUAGCAGGAAACGACGUAGGAAGCAUGACCGGAAUGAGAGCACAAGAAGAUAGGGUUUCCGAAGGGGCGCUCGAGAGCAGACUGAGGACAGAACCAGUGGAUCGAUCGUUGGAACAAAGCAAUGCAGUACUUGGCAAUGUGGCAGGGGGAGCUAGAAGGAUACAAGUGGGAGUUCAGGGCAUGGAACAAGAUCCAGGAGAAGAGAGAAUUCAGUCGCAUCUACAAGCGGAAAAUGGCAUGGAAAACACUGGUGAAGGAUCUUUUCAGCAUGAUGCAUUUGAGACUGUACCAAGAACAGAGAAAGUGCAGACUCUGGAGCCUGGAGGAGAUUCAUCCCAAUUUUGUCAUGGCAUUGGAAGAUGUUAUGAUCAACCUUGUGCUCCAUCAGUAAACAAUGAUGUAACUAGUCAUGAUGAGCAGCAUAUGGUUAGAGUGAUGACACAACCAGUGCAGGAAGAGGAGGAUGUGGAGAAUAGUGGAAGAUCAGUAGUGCAGGCUGGCGCAGGAGCUAGAUCUUCUGAAAGUCUGAAGUACAACAAGACUAGAGGAGUUCCAUUACCUACUAGCUCUACAAAGCCAGUGGGUCAAGCAUUUGAAGAGAACACGAAGGUGAUAUGGUCUUUGUUAAUGGAUGAUGAAGUCCCAACCAUUGGUAUUUAUGGGAUGGGGGGAGUUGGUAAAACAAUAAUACUGAAACAUAUCCAUAAUGAGCUUCUACAAAGACCAGAUAUUUAUGAUCAUGUUUGGUGGGUGACUGUGUCUCAAGAUUUCAACAUUAAUAGAUUGCAGAAUCUUAUUGCUACACAACUUCAUCUAAACCUUUCAAGAGAAGAUGAUGAUCUGCAUAGAGCUGCCAAAUUGUCAGAAGAACUAAAGAGAGAACAAAAAUGGAUUCUUAUUUUAGAUGAUUUGUGGAACAAUUUUGAGCUUGAGGAAGUGGGAAUUCCUGAGAAGUUGAAAGGAUGCAAGCUGAUUAUGACAACUCGAUCAAAAACAGUAUGUCAUCAGAUGGCUUGCCACCGCAAAAUCAAGGUGAAACCACUUUCUGAGGGAGAAGCUUGGACUUUGUUCAUGGAGAAACUUGGAUGUGGCAUAGCACUUUCACGAGAAGUGGAAGGAAUUGCGAAAGUUGUAGCAAAGGAAUGUGCUGGUUUGCCAUUGGGAAUUAUUACAAUGGCAGGAAGCUUGAGGGGAGUGGAUGACCUUCAUGAGUGGAGGAAUACAUUGAAGAAAUUGAGAGAAUCAGAAUUUAGGGACAUGGAUGAGAAGGUAUUCAAGUUAUUGAGGCUUAGUUAUGAUCGGUUAGGUAAUUUAGCACUACAACAAUGUCUCUUGUACUGUGCAUUAUUUCCUGAAGAUUAUAGAAUUAAGAGGAAGAGGUUGAUAGGUUAUUUGAUUGAUGAGGGAAUAAUUAAAAGGAGGAGCAGGGGAGAUGCAUUUGAUAAGGGCCACACGAUGCUUAAUAGACUUGAAAAUGUCUGUCUAUUGGAAAGUGCUAAAAUGAAUUAUGAUGAUAGUAGACGUGUCAAGAUGCAUGACAUGUAUUAUGAUGAUUGUAGACGUGUCAAGAUGCAUGACUUGAUUAGGGACAUGGCCAUCCAAAUACUGCUAGAGAACUCUCAAGGCAUGGUCAAAGCAGGUGCACAAUUAAAAGAGUUGCCAGAUGCAGAGGAGUGGACGGAGAAUCUGACGAUGGUUUCACUAAUGAGAAACGAGAUCGAAGAAAUUCCUUCCAGCUAUUCACCUAGGUGUCCCUAUCUAUCAACUCUAUUUCUAUGUGAUAAUGAAGGGUUGGGAUUUAUUGCGGAUUCAUUUUUCAAGCAAUUGCAUGGGCUCAAGGUCCUCGAUUUGUCUGGGACAGGUAUUGAAAAUUUGCCAGACUCUGUCUCUGAUUUGGUGAGUCUCACUGCAUUAUUGCUCAAAAAGUGUGAGAACUUACGUCAUGUUCCAUCAUUAGAGAAGCUCAGGGCACUGAAGAGGUUGGAUCUCUAUGGGACUCCGCUUAAAAAGAUGCCGCAAGGAAUGGAAUGCCUAACCAACCUGAGGUAUCUUAGAAUGAAUGGAUGUGGUGAAAAGGAGUUUCCUAGUGGGAUAUUACCAAAACUCUCUCACCUGCAAGUCUUUGUACUAGAAGAGUUAAUGGGGGAAUGUUCUGAUUAUGCUCCGAUAACAGUUAAAGGAAAGGAAGUAGGAUCCUUGAGAAAUUUGGAAAGUUUGGAAUGCCAUUUCAAAGGUUUCUCUGACUUCGUGGAGUAUCUCAGAUCUCGGGAUGGGAUCCAAUCAUUAAGCACAUACAGAAUUUCAGUAGGAAUGCUGGAUGAAAGUUAUUGGUUUGGCACUGAUUUUCUAAGUAAAACAGUUGGGUUGGGUAAUUUGAGUAUCAACGGAGAUGGAGAUUUUCAGGUCAAGUUCUUAAAUGGCAUUCAAGGACUGGUUUGUGAAUGCAUCGACGCAAAAAGUUUAUGUGAUGUUUUGUCAUUAGAGAAUGCAACUGAACUUGAGCUCAUCAACAUUCGGAAUUGCAAUAGCAUGGAGAGCUUGGUUUCAUCUUCUUGGUUCUGCUAUGCUCCACCACGAUUGCCAUCAUAUAAUGGUACGUUUUCUGGUCUUAAAGAGUUUUAUUGUGUUAGAUGUAAAAGUAUGAAGAAGUUGUUCCCACUUGUGUUGCUGCCAAACUUCGUAAACCUGGAAGUGAUUGUUGUUGAGGAUUGUGAGAAAAUGGAGGAGAUAAUAGGAACAACAGAUGAAGAAAGCAACACCUCCAGUUCCAUCGCCGAAUUAAAACUCCCAAAGUUAAGAGCUCUGAGACUGAGAUAUUUACCAGAAUUGAAAAGCAUUUGUAGUGCAAAACUGAUUUGCAAUUCUCUUGAAGAUAUUACUGUAAUGUAUUGUGAGAAGCUGAAGAGGAUGCCGAUUUGUCUUCCGUUGCUUGAAAAUGGCCAGCCAUCCCCUCCCCCUUCUCUUAAAAAAAUCGAAGCAAGGCCAAAAGAAUGGUGGGAGACAGUAGUGGAGUGGGAGCAUCCUAAUGCAAAGGAUGUCCUUCGUCCCUUUGUAAAGUUUGGAUACUGGUAAUCCUUCCGUUGUAAGAAUACUAAUUGAUUGUAACCUUAAAUUACAUAAAUAACAUUUUUCAUUUUUUUAUUUCAUUAAAGACUACUGAAUUGUCAUAUUUUUUUAACUCGAUAGAUAAACAAUUAUAAUUUGAAGUUUGAUUAAUAUUAUAUUUUCAUCCUAUUGAGGUUCUCCAAGAUGAAAAUCCAAAAAAUAAAAAAAUACUACAUUGAUUUAUCAUAAAAGUAACCUAAUAAAAUAAUAGAUGUUUUGAAAGAGGGGGUAUAGCGUUUAUUGUACUCCAAACUCAUUGACUGAUGUACCUCUUAAAUAAAAGCACACCAUAUACUGUCAAUAAAAAUAGAAAUAUGAAUAAAAGUUUAUCAUGAUAAGUAUAUAUUCAAAAAAAUUAUAUUAAAAGUCAUAAAUAUUCCAUCUUAAUUAAGCAAACUUGAUAAAUCUAAUUACACAAAUCUCUGACUUAUAAUACAUAUAAAAGUUUGUGAAGAUUGAACUCCUGCUCUUAAUUUUUGAAUUAUUCUAUAUUAAAAUAUAUUAUUUUAAUGUAUUUUUAAAUAAAAAAAUAUUAAAAAUAACAACAAUUACAUUCCUUUCCGCACGGUCAAAAUUACUCUAAAAAUAAUUUUUUAAAAAUAAAAAAUAUAAUUUUAAAAAUUAACAAUAUAUAUUUUUUGUAUGGCCAUAAAAAAAAUCAAAGUUACCUCCAAAUCAAACAUUAUUUUAAUAUAUUUUUGAAUAAAAAAUAUUUUAAAAAACAAUUACAACCACACUAUCUAACAUGCUUGUUUUCUUUCCGCAUCUAACCAGUGCGAACUAGAUUUAUGUAUACUGCAACUUUAUUAUUUUUCUAAGCCAUAUAUUCUUCUCUGAUCUGUGAUUUCUCUUCUUCUUUUUUUGUUCGUUCUUGGGAUAGAAAGAACAGAAUUAUUAUUAAAAUUAAAAAAGAAAAAACUGCCCAGGCUUUUACCAUGUACCGGGAGAGAAAACACUAGAGAUUAAAGUAGUCAUAAAUAUUCCAUCUUAAUUAAGCAAACUUGAUAAAUCUAAUUACACAAAUCUGACUUAAUACAUACUUAAUACAUAUUAAAGUUUGUGAAGAUUGAAUACCUAGUCUUUAUUUUUUAGUUAUUCUAUAUUAAAAUAUAUUAUUUUAAUAUAUACUUUAAAAUUUUUUAAAAUAACAACAAUCACAUUCACUUCCGCACUGUCAAAAUCAUUCUAAAAGUAGUAAAAGUAGUAAUGUUCUUUAAAAAAUCAUUGUUUAUGGAUUCAGUAAUGUUUUUUCUAUUAAAUGGAUUAAUUGUUUGAUUAUAUUUAGAUCAUUUAUUUAUCUGUAUUGAUUUAAUUUUUUUACUAUAAUAUUGAUUUAAUAAAAAGAACUCCUACAACAGCACGUAGCUGCCAAAAAAAUCCUAAAAUUGACUCAAUUAGAAAGGUACUUACUACCAAGAUUGUUAUGCCCGCAAUCAAAACAUAAUUUGUUUUUGUACUCAGAAUUAUGUUUGAGUGCAUUUAAAAAUUUGUUUAUUUAAAGAAAUAUAUUAAAUUAAUAUUUUUAAUAUUUUUUAAUAUAUUAAUAUUAAAAUAAAAAAAUAUUUUAAAGAGAAAAAAAUAUAUUUGACAAAGAAUGAAUAGAAAGCUUACGAAUAGUUAAGAGUCGUAUUGUAAAGUAUAGUUUACCGGUUGACUCACAGAUUAACUGAUUAACCCCAUCAUAUUAUUUAUUUAUAAAAACUAAAAUAAUAAUGUUUUUUUUAAUAUUAUCUUUUUAAAUAUUUUUAUUUUAAAAAAGUUUCACGUUGUAUAUAAAAAAAAUGUUUUAAUUUAGCAACGAUAGAGCAUUCACAAGGAAGAUGUUUUGCCUUUUUUUUCUUUAAUUUGUUUUUGUUUAUUUGAUUAUUGGCUGGUUUAGAAUUCAGCUAAGACAUCUAAUAAAAUAUUUUUAUUCUUAGAAAUUUUGUGAAAAACAAUCAAAAAACUAAUUUAAUUAGGGAUUAAUUGAGUAAUUAAUUACCUUUACCUUACAGAGGAUUUUUUCUUUAAUUUUUUAAAAAUAAUAAUUAAAUAUUAUUUUGAUGUAUUGUUAAAUAAAAAAUAUUUUAAAAAAUAAUUGAUAUUGUACUCUUAAACACCCCUAAAUGCUCUAUUAUUGAAAUCAAAUGCUAAAAUGUGAAUAGAAAUAAUAGAAAUUAAUGUGUAUUUUUUAAUUGAAUUUCUAUUUACUUUGAUAUACUCUUGAACAGGUCUUUAUGUUUGAUUUCAGAGUUUAUAGAGACGUGAAAUUCACUUGAAACCAGCCUGGAUACAUUUAAGUAUUUUACUCACAACUUUCUACUCACAUAUCAGAUUCCUGUGAUUCUUGACGCGUUGGAAAGGUAUCUUACAGGGCUACAAAUUAGUCUCUAAUGAGGAUUUCGAAAGAAGAACUCCUAAAGCAUGUACGUGGCUGCCUAAGAAGUCCUAUAAUUUUGGUUUUUGAUGAAAACGUGUGGGAUCAUGGAGACGUGAUGAAAAAGGAGGGCUGCUUCCUUUAGAAAAAGGGGUAUUUGUUGGCCAUUGCGCCAGAGAAAAAAAAAAGAAAAAAAAAGGAGGAGAACAGGCAAGGAAAGGAAUGGCUAAUUAAUACAGUGAAGGAUAGCCAAAUUGUUCAGAUUUCCAAUUAUUCCAACUCUUUUGUUUUAUCAUUCUCAAAGUCCAAACAACAACGGUACUGUCAAGACUGUUAUGCCCGCAAUUAAAAUAUAAUUUGUUUUUGUACUUAGAAUUAUAUUUAAUUGCAUUUAAAAUAUAAUUUUUAUUUUUUAAAAAAUAUUAAAUUAAUAUUUUUUAUAUAUUAAUAUUAAAAAUAAAAAAAUAUUUUGAUUACUAAUAACGAAUAGUUAAGAGACGUACUAGUGGACUCACAUAUUAACUGAUUAACCUGAGUAAAAAACAAAACCACAUCAUAUUAUUUAUUUAUAAAAACUAAAACGAUGGUAUUUAUUAAAAAAAAACCAAAAAAACAAUUUUUUUAAAUAGUAUUUUUUUAAAAUAUUUUUAUUUUAAAAAAGUUUCACAUAAUUGUAGAUAAAAAAAGAAAAUGUUUUAAUUUAGCAACUAUAGAGCAUCCACAAGGAAGAUAUUAUACGGUUACUAAUUUUCAUUAAAAGAAAAGCUAAGAGACUUGGGAGAAUCACUAUAUAUCCACACCUAUUUCAUUGUAAAUUAUAAUAGUACGUAAUUCAAGGUAUUUGUCUUUUUUUUAAUUAGAGGCUGUUUAUAAUUCAGCUUUGUAAUUUAUUAAUUUUUAUUUUAUCUUUAUAUAAGAUUAAUGUGAUUUAUAGGUUUGUUAAAAUAACUCAAAUUAUACUAGUUUUCAGGUUUGGUGGGAUAUUUUUUGUUUAUUAAUUAAAAGAAAAACUAAAAGGUGUGGGAGAAUUACUAUUCACCCACACCCAUUUCAUUAUAGAUUACAAUAGUAAUCCAAAAUGUUUUGUUUCUUUUGUUUUUUUUCCUUUCCUUUCCUUUUUUUGUUAUCAUUUAAAAAAAAAAAUUUGUCUAUUUCAUAUUUGGGCCAAAUUAGCAUUUAUAUAUAUAUAUAUAUAUUGGGUUGGUGUUUAAUUUUAUAAUUAUCUAUUUUUGUUGUUAUAUUGUUAAAUAAAAAUAAUUUUAAAAAAAAUUAUAAUCCUAGUUGAGUUCAUAACCUGGUUCAUGAGUUUGAUGUGCCAGACCAAGUGACCUGAUUCACAAAUUUGACAGGUUUACCACUGAUCAAAUAUGUUUACCACAAAUUUGUUUCUGGUCUUUUAAUUUUUUUAAUUGAUUUUUUUUAUUUCGUCCUUUAAUAUUAUAUUGGUUUCGAAAUAGACUGCAUGAUUUAUUUUUGUUUGUUUUCUAUAGAAUUAUCACAAUCUUAAAUAAAUAUUUAUCUUAGGGAUAAUACUCAAUUUUAUGAGCAUAUUUUUUUUCAUAUAAUUAAAUAAAAAAAGCUUAUAAAAGAUUACUAAACCCAAUAAAAUCCAUGAUCCGGGUCACAAGGUACCGAGAUCGAUCAAAUCUGUUAUUGUUUCAAUAUUUUUAAAAAAGAUUGUUGUCUAGAGUUUUUUUCUUAAAGCUAAGCCAUGUUUUACUCAUCGUUAUAUUUGGAUAUUGAUCAAUUUAGUUUUCAUAUAAUUUAAUUAAAAAUUUAAAUUAAAUAAAUUAAGGUUAAAAUUUUUUAAUAUUAACUACCAAGACCAGACCAGGUUUAAUAAUAUCGCAAACAAACUUUCUUCACUCUUAAUAUCUUAUAAUAUAAUGUUUGGUAGGCAAAGUAGUGGGUUGCUUCCUAGCAACUUCCUUCCUAUCAAACAAAACAAUAAUUUGUGUAUACUGCAACUUUAUUAUUUUUCUGAAUCAUAUAAUCUUCUCUGUCUGUGAUUUCUCUUCUGUUUUAAUCCUCAGGACGUACUAAUCAUCUUCUACCUCUUUUCCUUUCCACACCUCACCAGUGCGAACUAGAUUUAUGUGAUUUCUCCUCUUUUUUUUUGGCUGAAUACUGCUCAAGCGAACCAGCACUUGAAUCCAGGUAAAUUAUUUGUACUUCAUCUUGUUGGUGUUUUUGUUUGUAUAUAUUUAACUAUAUAUGGUUUGAAUCUUUAAAGGAAUCCAUGAUAAAUAAAUUGAUCUUUUUCUCGGAUUUUAUAAUCCAUGCCUAGUGGAGAGUUCAUACUAAAUUAAUACUGAAUUCAUUGUUUUCGUCUUUUCAAGAUUCUUCGCUGUUUUUAACUCCUUAUUUUAGAUUCACCCUUUUCUUUUCCAAUUAAUGGGACUGCCAUUUAUUUUUAUUCAAUAUUUUUCAACUUUUUUUCUUACAAUGAUUCAAUGAAUUAACUUGAUCAGUAAUUACCUGAAUCUUUUUGAACAAAACAAUAUCUUGCAUUUGUUUUGCUCCCCAAAUUAUGAAUAAAUAGCAGUUGAAACUUGAAAGAGGUUUUUGUUCACCCCGUCAAAACAAUCAGCUCUUCUACCUUCCUUCCCCUGCUUUCUUCAACAGUUAUCCUCUUCUGCAUCUUUCUAUCUAACAUUCUAGAGUUUUAGGAUCUCGUGUCAUAAAAAGAAUUUGAGUAUGAUAAUUUAGCUUUAAAUUCAAAGGGUUAAAUCAUUAACAACAACAUUUAUAUUUCAUAUUUUUCAUCCGAAUUUCUUUAACAAACAAGAAAGUCAUUCAUACAUAUAUAUAUAUAUAUAUAUAUAUAUAUAUAUAUUCUUUUCUGAUCUGUGCUUUCUGUUCUUUUUAAACCUCAGUUCUUUUUCUCUUUUCUGAUCUUUUCUGGUCAGAUGGAAGGGUUCCAACCAUCUUUUAUGGAGGAGGUUGACAACAUGACAUGGGAUCAGCUGGGUUUUCAAUCAGAAGAAGAUACAAGAUACAUUCAAUAUGUCUGAGCUUCUCUCGUACGUCAUUCUUGAGCAUAUUUUAUCAGAAGAUGAUUGCUUGCAAUUUAGUUAUUCUUCAGUUUAUCCUAUUAUUCCCAAAAAAACAAUAUAAUGUCGUCAGUACUGUCCAUGGAAGCAGGCCGCCACCGGAGGUUCCGGUCAACCAAAGCUCCAUAUCAUGCAAUGAUCAAGGUGGACAGAACAAUGUGAUCAACGAUAGUAUUCAACAAACAACUCCGUUUCCAACUUCAUUUCCUGAAACCAUGGCGAGUACUCCAAUUUGCUACAAUGUCCAUUGAAUUAGCAAGUGUUUGUAUUAUACAAAAAGUUUUAUGUUUAGUGUAUCGAUCUCGAGCAUCUUCAAAUUGUUUACUGUUAAACAAACAGACAACAAUUGGGAGAUUUAGACAUUUUUUAUGAUAUUUUUUUUAUCAUUAAGUUUUAUAUAAAAUUGGCCUCAGACUCCAUCAAGGCAUCAUAAUUCCUUUAUUCAUCAACCUCAGCCGGGACAUGGCUAUAUGACACCGAACGCAACCACUUCACAACAUGGUGGUUUCAAUCAACCUGGACCUUCUUUUUCCUGCUACCCGGUAUCCAAUUUUUCAUUUUUAGUAUUUUCUGUUAAAAAAAGAAGUUUUUCAAUCAUUAUUUAACUUCUUCUUUUCUUCCUCUUGUUGUUGUACUUAUCAGUGAAUUCAUUAUGUUUGAAUAUAGGUAUCACCGUAUCAGCUUAAUCCUAAUUUAUUUUAUCCUCAACGUGCCAGUCCCAUGCUACCCGCAUCAUCAAUGCCUUUGAGGUAAGCUAAAAUGAUAUCAAAUGCUUAGUGGAUUAAUAGCAAAGAAUUAUGCAUAUGUACAAAGAAAUCACUAACAAAUGUUGCUAAUUUAGGGACCAAUAAUGGACUAAUUAUCUGUUACCAAUGAGCAAUCAAGUGCCUGCGAUGCUACCUGGACCUCAACCUCCAAUGAAUCAAUGAUAUUAACCUCGAAUAUAUAUACACUUUUUUAAUCAUGAAAACAAUAAACUUGACCAAAAUUGACGAGGAUCUUUCGAGUCUUUUUGAGCUCUCUAUCUCUAUUUUUUUUUGUGCACAUAAUGGAACUAGAAAAUCAACCAAGUUAGAAUAACAGUUCUAAGUUUAGCUAUUUGAAUAUUAUUCAGGCAUCAGUACUCCAAUAUUCAUCAACCACAGCCGGGACAUGGCUAUAUGACACCGAACGCAACCACUUCAGAACAUGGUGGCUUCAUUUAACCUGGACCUUCUUUUCCUGCUCCCCGGUAUCCAAUUUUUCAUGUUUAGUAUAUAUUUUCUAUAUAAAAAAAAUUAGUUUUUCAAUCAGGAAAGAAACAUCAUGGCUAAACAUAUUGUUUGCAAAUGAUUUUGGAUACAGGAGUCAAUAUUUUUCUAAUCAAGGACAAGUCGAUCAAGCUGCUGUAAUUCCUAACUUAGACACUGUGCAACAAGAGAACUUCGUGCCUAGGUACUGAUUGACUUCUAGCUGUUGUGUUUUAACACCAUUAACUUUUACUGCUUAAGAGAGACUACCAAUUAUGGAAAGGUUUUAUAAUAUGAUCACUUCAUUUGUAUAUAGGUCACAGAUGGAUAACCUCCAAGUCCGCGGAUUGCAAAAUCAAAUUGCUAGGCCAAAUGCCUCAAAUUAAUCCUGGCCCUGACACCUCCUUGCAAAGUCAAAUUACGGGCUUAAAUACUCAACAAGUAAGAAGUCUAACUGAAUUAUCGUCGUCUUUUCCCCCUAUGAUUGUGCAAUAAACAAACUAUCAAUUUUAAUAGCAAAAUAAGGGUAACUUCCAUCAAUUUUUAUUCUUUAUUUUGACCCCGGUUUUUUUUUCUAUAGUUCGAAACGGUUGGAUCAAAGUAUCCAUUUCGGAUUCAUGUUGAAUAUAGGGCUGAUGGUAGGAUGAAGUGUAAGUUUUGUCCACAUACAUAUGCCAAGGAUACUUCCAUUUCGAGGAUCAAAUGGCAUUUAUCAAAAGAGAGAGGGCAUAAUGUUGCCAUUUGUCCUGGGGUGACUACAGAAGUUCAAGAAGCAGCCUUUCUAGCUAUAUGUGGUGGCCACAAAAGACAAAAAAUCACAGCAAGUGCAGUCAAUGUUAAUGACUGUGGAAUUUCAACUUGUCUACAAGAACUAAACAUUGAGAAUGAAAAUACGGGAGGAGGUAUUGGAAGGGUACAAAGAGAAGUUCAGGUUGUAGAACCCGGAGUAGUGGAAGAGAGGAUUUCUUCACAUGCAAUAGCAGGAAACGACGUAGUAAGCAUGACCGGAAUGAGAGCACAAGAAGAUAGAGUUUCCGAAGGGGCACUCGAGAGCAGACUGAGGACAGAACCAGUGGAUCAAGCGUUGGAACAAAGCAAUGCAGUACUUGGCAAUAUGGCAGGGGGUGCUGGAAGGAUACAUGUGGGAGUUCAGGGCAUGGAACAAGGUCCAGGAGAAAAUAGAAUUCAGUCGCAUCUACAAGCGGAAAAUGGCAUGGAAAACACUGGUGAAGGAUCUUUUCAGCAUGAUGCAUUUGAGAAUGUACUUAGAACAGAGCAAGUGCAGCUUCUGGAGCCUCAAGGAGAUUCAUCCCAAUUUUGUCUUGACAUUGGAAGAUGUGAUGAUCAAACUUGUGCUCCAUAAGUAAACGAUGAUGUAAAUAGGCAUGAUGCGCUGGACAUGGUUAGAGUGAGGACAGAACCAGUGGAGGAUGAUGAUGUGGAGAAUAGUGGAAGAUCAGUAGUGCAGGCUGGCGCAGGAGCUAGAUCUUCUGAAAGUCUGAAAUACAACAAGACUAGAGGAGUUCCAUUACCUACUAGCUCAACAAAGCCAGUGGGUCGAGCAUUCGAAGAGAAUACAAAGGUGAUAUGGUCUUUGUUAAUGAAUGGGAAAGUCUCAACUAUUGGCAUUUAUGGGAUGGGGGGAGUUGGUAAAUCCAUAAUACUGCAAUAUAUUUAUAAUGAGCUUCUACAAAGACAAGAUAUUUGUGAUCAUGUUUGGUGGGUGAUUGUGUCUCGUGAUUUCAGCAUUAAUAGAUUGUAGAAUCUUAUUGCUAAACAUCUUGAUCUAAACCUUUCAAGCGAAGAUGAUGAUCUGUAUAGAGCUGCUAAAUUGUCAGAAGAACUAAGGAAGAAACAAAAAUAGAUUCUCAUUUUAGAUGAUUUGUGGAACAAUUUUGAGCUUGAGGAAGUGGGAAUUCCUGAGAAGUUGAAAGGAUGCAAGCUGAUUAUAACAACUCGAUCAAAAACGAUUUGUCAUCGGAUGGCUUGCCACCCCAAAAUCAAAGUGAAGCCACUUUUCGAGGGAGAGGCUUGGACUUUGUUCAUGGAGAAACUUGGACGUGAUGUAGCACUUUCACCAGAAAUGGAAGGAAUUGCGAAAGCUGUUGCAAGGGAAUGUGCUGGUUUACCACUGGGAAUUAUUAUAGUGGCAGGAAGCUUGAGGGGAGUGGAUGAUCUACAUGAGUGGAGAAAUACAUUGAAGAAAUUGAGAGAAUCAGAAUUUAGGGACAUGGAUGAGAAGGUAUUCAAGUUAUUGAGGUUUAGUUAUGAUCGGUUAGGUUAUUUAGCACUACAACAAUGUCUCUUGUACUGUGCAUUAUUUCCUGAAGAUGAUAUGAUUGAAAGGGAGGAGUUGAUAGGUUAUUUGAUCGAUGAGGGAAUAAUUAAAGGAAAGAGGAGCAAGGGAGAUGCAUUUGACGAGGGCCACACAAUGCUUAAUAGACUUGAAAAUGUCUGUUUAUUGGAAAGUGCAAAAAUGGAGUAUGUUGCUAGGAGAUUUGUCAAGAUGCAUGACUUGAUUAGGGACAUGGCCAUCCAUGUACUGCUGGAGAGCCCUCAAUACAUGGUUAAAGUAGGUGCGCAAUUAAAAGAGUUGCCAGAUGUAGAGGAGUGGACGGAGAAUCUGACGAUAGUUUCAUUAAUGCAAAACGAGAUCGAAGAAAUUCCUUCUAGCUAUUCACCAGUGUGUCCAAAUUUGUCAUCUCUAUUUCUAAAUUAUAAUGACGGGUUGCGAUCUAUUGCGGAUUCAUUUUUCAAGCAAUUGCAUGGGCUCAAGGUCCUCGAUCUGUCUUGGACAGGUAUUGAAAAAUUGCCAGACUCUGUCUCUGAUUUGGUGAGUCUCACUGCGUUAUUGCUCAAUAAUUUAGAGAACUUAAGACAUGUUCCAUCAUUAAAGAAGCUCAGGGCACUAAAGAGGUUGGAUCUCUCUCGUACUUCACUUGAAAAGAUGCCGCAAGGAAUGGAAUGCCUAACCAACCUGAGGUAUCUUAGAAUGAAUGGAUGUGGUGAAAAGGAGUUUCCUAGUGGGAUAUUACCAAAACUCUCUCACCUGCAAGUCUUUGUACUAGAAGAGUUUAUGGUGCGAGGUGCUGCUCCGAUAACAGUUAAAGGAAAGGAAGUAGGAUCCUUGAGAAAUUUGGAAACUUUGGAAUGCCAUUUCGAAGGUUUCUCUGACUUCGUGGAGUAUCUCAGAUCUCGGGAUGGGAUCCUAUCAUUAAGCACAUACAAAAUUUUAGUAAGAGAGGUGGAUGGAGAUUUUGGGAAAUGUAUUAAUAAUUUUCCAAGUAAAACAGUUGGGUUGGGUAAUUUGAGUAUCAACGGAGAUAGAGAUUUUCAGGUCAAGUUCUUAAAUGGCAUUCAAGGAUUGGCUUGUAAACGCAUCGAUGCAAGAAGUUUAUGUAAUGUUUGGUCAUUAGAGAAUGCAACUGAACUGGAGCACAUCAACAUUUUAAAUUGCAAUAGCAUGGAGAGAUUGGUUUCAUCUUCUUGGUUCUGCUCUGCUCCACCACCAUUGCCAUCAUAUAAGGGUGUCUUUUCUGGUCUUAAAGAGUUUUAUUGUAGUGGAUGUAACAGUAUGAAGAAGUUGUUCCCACUUGAGUUGCUGCCAAACCUCGUAAACCUGGAAAUGAUUUAUGUUUGUGAUUGUGAGAAAUGGAGGAGAUAAUAGGAACAACAGAUGAAGAAAGCAGCACCUGCAAUUCCAUCACGGAGUUAAUACUCCCAAAGUUAAGAACUCUGAGAUUGCAUGAAUUACCAGAACUGAAAAGCAUUUGCAGUGCAAAACUGAUUUGCAAUUCUCUUGAAGAAAUUAGGGUAAUGUAUUGUGAGAAGCUGAAGAGGAUGCCAAUUUGUCUUCCGUUGCUUGAAAAUGGCCAGCCAUCUCCUCCCCCUUCUCUUAAAAAAAUCAAAGCAAUUCCAGAAGAAUGGUGGGAGCAUCCUAAUGCAAAGGAUGCCCUUCGUCCCUUUGUAAAGUUAGGGUAUUGUUAAUCCUUCCAUUGUAAGAAUACUAAUUGAUUGUAACCUUAAAUUUGCUGAUAUUCAAUAAUAUAUCAUUCUUUCAAUCAUUUUUGUUAAAAAUCAUGUGCAAAACAUAAUUAUUUUCGAUAUGAAUGAUGAAAAUAGUCCUUUAAAUCAACAAAGGAUAUUCUUAUUAAUUAAUAUUGAAAUUACUUGCACAAUUAAUCAACAAUGGUUUGAAAUGGUAUUGCCAAUUCCAUAUUUCAAAGAAAAAUCCAAAGAACGGAAAGCAUAAAUUAAGCCCAACACAUGAAUAUGAGCAGUACAUUAAAUUUAGUUGUUGUCAUAGAAAUUGUGAUAAUUAAAUUAAUACAACAUAGAAAGUUUGUUAAGCAAACUUGAUAAAUCUAAUUACACAAAUCUAACUUAAUACAUAUAAAAGUUAGUUUGUGAAGAUUGAAUACCUGGUCUUAAUUUGCCUCAUCAACUAGGCAGAGAGUAACAACGUACACCCUUUUAAAAUCAAAAGCUAAAUUAUUACUCUUUGAGGUUACUUAAAUUAAAUAUUGGUAUGUAGCUUUUAUUCAUUUAUUUUUAAAUAUUGACCUUAAAAAAAUAAUGAAUUUAUAAUUAAACCAAAUAAAAUAUUAAUUUGGUAAAAUUUGAUCGAUUCAAUCAAACCAAUCUAGUUCAUAUCAUACCAGAAUAAUAAAAAAACAAAAUAAUAUUAUUUUAAUAAAAAUAAUUAAUUUAAAUUAACUUAAUAAAUGACUCAUAAAUUAUUAAAUAUCUAAUAUUAUAUUAAAAAAUUAUCUUAAACCAAAUAAAUUAAGUAGACUUAAAAAUGUUAUAAUGUUACUUUCUGAUAAUUUAGUAAGGAUUUGGAGAAUGUAUAUUCAAAAACAAACUUUAUUAAAAGAUUAAGUUAUUUCAACAAUCUGAGUCCAUUAAGAAAUUGGUGGUAAAUCAUAACAAAAACAUUAUUUUUGAUAUUUUUAUUGGUAAAAUAUAGGUAUAAUCGUAGUACACUAUGUUGUCAAACAGGCAUAAGUCUUGAAUUUUUAUUUAUUUGAAAAUUGAAAAGGCAUGUAUACUAUUAUGGACUGAGAUAGUAUUUGAUAUUAUGAUAAUACUUAUUUUUUAAUAUAUUUUUUAUUUAAAUUUUAUUUUUUAAAUUUUAUUUUUUGUAUUAGUAUAUUAAAAUGAUAUAAAAAUACUAAAACAAAUUAAUAUAAAACAAAAAAUAUUCAAGUUUUUUAAAAAACAGGUAUUACAUUGAAAACAAAUAAUGUCUCAGUCAUAUAAUACAUCAAAAGUCUGUUUACUGUACCAAGUGAUUGUUGGCAAUCAAUUCCUGGAUCAAGACGAUAAGGUCCAGCCAUGGAGUAAUUGGAUUGAAAAAUAAAAUAAAAAUAAAAACUAAUAAUCUACAGAAUGGGUUCAUGUUAAUUGAGGAUGAGGUCUGAUGCUUUAAACCCUGAGGUAAAACCUCAUGCAGCUACCGACUUAAAUAUUUUCAUUUAAGGAAGUGCAGCGUUGUGUCCCGAGAGAGGCCACCAGGCAAAUACCAAGGUUAUUUUUUAUUUUAUAUUGUAAAUUUAUUUUUUAAAAAAUAAAUUUGUUUUGAUUUGAUUUUUUUUGAAUAUUUUCAGAUCAUUUUUAUAUAUAAGUAUCAAAAAUAAAUUUUAAAAAAUAAAAUAAAAUUAUUUUAAUAUAUUUUUAAAUUAAUAAUAUUUUAAAAAUUAAUCAUUAUUGUAAUUCUAAAUCGACGGUGCCUGUACCAAACUAUAUUAUCAACAAGAUUUUCCUUGUAUGAAUUAAAGCAUUCUGCAUUUGACACAACUUGAAAAACACGUUUCUUCUUAAAUUAUUAUACCUGUGUUUUUUUAAAUCUAAAUAUUUGAGAAUGUGGUUGUUAAGCGGCUAAGAUCUUCUGCAUCGGAUGUACAGGAACCGUAGAUAGACCAUUACCCAGCACCGCCAGAUACUCUCUCCAAUUUUUAUUAUCUUUAUUAGAGGGAGACUUCUUUUAUUUUUUUUCUUAUUUCAAUGCGUUGAUUAUAAAAUGAACGGACGGGAUUGGAUAUGAAUUAAGGGGAGAUGGAUUUUGUCAUUACUAUAUAUUACUCGAUUGAUUAAUAUUCAUAUAAGUUUAUUUACUAUUUAUUUUGUUAUUGGUUGGGCUUUUUGGUCAAAAUGUAAAGGGAGUGUUCUGUUGAGGUCCACUGAUGUUUCAAUUAUUCUCACACAGGAAAUCUAAAAAAUCUAAAGACCAGCCUUUUCUUUUUGUCUUGACAAAACUACCCUUGUGAAAAUCUAUAGUCUAUUUCUUCCUGUUAGAUAGGUUCCAGUGGUGUAGAACCACGUGUCCGACACAAAUUGCAGAGAGUGAGCCAACUGUUUAUGGCCUGUUUGUUUCUGACUUCUGUGUUUCAAAAACACUUUUAAUAAAAUUUAAUUUUUUUUAUUUUUUUAUUAACUUUAAAUUAAUAUAUUUUUAGUGUUUUCAAAUUAUUUUGAUAUGCUGAUGUCAAAAAUAAUUUUUAAAAAAUAAAAAAACAUCAUUGGCAUGCAUUUUGGCACGAAAAACUAUUUGAAAAGCAACCGCAACAAUACUGCUAAACAAGCUCUAUAAUGAUGAUGUCCGACUCUUUUUUACAUUAGAAAACGAAUUGCCUGUUAUUUUUAAAAUAUUUUUAAAAAAUUUAUUUUUAAUAUUAGUAUAUUAAAAUAAUAUUAAAAUAUCAAAAAAUAUUAAUUGGAAAUAAAAAAACAUUUUCAAAUUUAAAAAAAAAACUUUUAAAACACAAAAAUAAAUUCUUCCUAAAUUUUUUUUCAUAUUUUUCCAAUCUGUCCUUGCCAUAACUAAAAACCAGCUUGGAGGCUUGGCAGGGUUUGCAUCUGAUGAAGCUCAUCAAUAUAUAUAUAUAUAUAUGAUUUAUCCAGAAAUCCAUUUCAUAGAAUAGAAAAAUGGUUCGGUUUGAAGUUUGAUUCAUGCUAAUGUCUUGUCGUAAACAUGUCAAAAGUAAUCUUCUACCUCAGUGAAUUUGAGUACAGGUACUGCACACAAGAUGGAGCACUCUUCCCCUUUCCAACCUUGCUUAAUUCAUCAAAAUCUAAUUCUUGUUUAUCAACUCGGUUUGGGAAAAUAACUGAAAAACUCUGUUAAAUGAGUUCUACGAAGUAGUAGCACUGUAUGCACUAAGGAGAUCAAAUGAGGAAGGCUAAGAAUUAUGAUUCUUCCUCUGAGAGAUUAUGAACUGAACAUUCAUUUUCUAUUGAAUGAGUUUUGGUUCCUAAACCUGAAACUGUCAUCAUAAGCAAUAGCCAAGGAAGUUAGGAUGAGCUUUUUUUGUAAUUAUAUCACAUUUUUCUGCACAAUAAUGCUCUAUAUUUUUUGCUACUAUUGCUUAUAAUCUUCUUGUCUCUAGUAUCUUUUCCAACCUGUUUGAGGAAUGCUUUCUAAUUUUUUUUCUUGGAUUAUAAAUUUUGUGUUCACCUGCACAGUUGAACAGAGUUGACCUAGAAAUCUAGGAGUUAUUGGUGAUAGAGGAUCUGAGACUUAUUAUUCUAUAAAUUUUCUUUCUGAAUGCUGAGUAUUUUAUACGAUCAUGUGAUUGGGAAGAUUUGAUUCUCAUAUGAUUCUUGCCGGCUUAUUUGUGAGCCAAGAAGUAUUAUUGAAUAGAAAUACUUUCAUUCUUUAUUGUCGAAUUGGACAUUUAUUUCCUGAGUUUUCUUCUCCAUUUCAUUUAAUUUACGAAGCGUUUCAUAAUUGUUUUUUGAUUUUAUUAAAUUUUUACAUGAUAAUUUAUCAGAUAAUUUUAGCAGGAGUCCUUAUAUAUGUAUACCGGUGAUCAGAAAGUCAUUCCCAUAAAAAAGAUGAAGUAGUAUGAACAAUUUUAUUGUUAUUUUUGGUUUCUGCUAACGAUUUAUUUGAUGAUUAAUAUCGAUUUAUUUCCACUUUCUAGUAUACCAUAGUAGCCUAGGUGUGUUUUUUCCGAAAUGGUUAUGAGCAUUUUUCCAAUCUGCUGGGGGUGAUGUUGGUGGGCUUGGGCUAAGAGCAUGGUUAUUUUUUCCAAUCUGCUUGGAUACAAGGCCGUCAAAAAAAGGUUCAUCGUAUCCCUAGCUAGUUGGGUGUCUCAUUUCUAGCUGGCUACGUUUAAGUUUUAUUUUUUUAAUCGUCAGAUAAUAAUAUAAAAAUUUUAAUGAUCAAAUGAUAGUUAAAAUUUUAUCAUUCUUAUUUAUUUAAUAAAAUUAAGUAUAAAAUAAUAUGAAAUUGAGUAAAUUUCAAGUCCAAAGAGUUUUCACUUGAGGGGGUAUAUUGAAAAAUAAUUUAAAUUAUAUUUUGAAAUCUUACCUAACACUUUAAACUUUUAGAUUGAAAUGGUUAUUUGAUAUGAUAUUAAAGUCUUAAUGACUAAACGUUCAUGAAUUUGAAUUUCAUCAUCCUUAUUUAUUUGAUAAAAAUUAAGUAUAAAAUAAUAUGAGUUUGCAAGCCUAGUUCAAAUCUCACAUCUUUAUUUAUUUAAUAAAAAUUAAGUACAAGACAAUAUAGAUCUGUAAGUCUAAAAGAUUUUUAGUUGAAGAAGUGUUUUAAAAAAUAAUAUAAAUUAUAUUUUAAAUUUUUUUAAUAAUUUAAAUUAUUAAAUUAAAAUAAUUAUCAUGAUAAUGACAUAAAGUCAAUAGCAGAACAGCAGGAAAAUGACAGGCUAGAAUGUUCAACUCAUGAAUGCUAGAGUUAAGACAGUACUCGCUACAACUUAAACAGAGCUUAGCACUCUAAUUCUGCAGAGAUUUAUAUUCCAUUAAGCAUUUUUUUCCCCUUUCAGACAUGAACGACACCUGGAUCAGUUCUUGGGGCCAAAAUUAGAUUUCUAGUGGAAGAUAACUAAAACUAAUUUUUCUUUCUUUUGGUGACCAUUUAUAGAUAUCAUCACUGCAAUGAAUAAACAUGGUCCCAUUGAUGUAAAGGGACGGACACCAACCUUUUUGGCUAGACAGAGUCUGGUUGAUCUCUUAAAUGGUGCGAGCCACUUGCAUAAGAGAUGACAACUUUACACUUACCCUUUAAUUAUGGUCCCAUUGAUGUAAAGGGACGGACACCAACCUUCAUAACUUGUGAGCUUCAAAUACGAACCAGGGUUAUUAUUCUCUCUUCUUCUUCUUUUUUUUUUUUUUUAAUCAUGAAUUAUGGUACUAUCUAAUUUUAUUCUUUUUUUAUUAUUAUUUUAUAGUUUUUUUUCACAUUAUUUUUCAAUUAUGUCUCAAGUUUUUUUAUUUUAUUUAAUUUGAUCCUCAUUUUUUUUAUUGUUUUUUUUUUAAUUUUUUUAUUCAAUCCCUCAUUAUUUUCCUUCAUUUAGUUUUUAUACUAAAUUUGAUCCUUAAAGUUUUGAUUACUAUUUGAUUUAUUUUUUAAAAAAUAAAAUUAGAUGAUUAGAAAUUUAGCUUCGUGAUUUUUUUUGUGUUGCCUUCUAUGAGGCGAUAUUGGUCUCAUAACCCGAGUUUCAAAGAUUAGUUCAAUUUACCUUUAGUUUUUUUUAAAGUUAUUUACAAAAAAAAUGAUUUUUUUUUCAAUAUCCUUCAAUAUUGGGUUACUGGGCCUUGAGUUUUAUGAUUUUUUUACAUGCAGGCUUAUCCCGGUCAUGAUUUGGCAUCCUAACUCGAGUCGUGUUUUUUAUUCUUUUUUGAAAUUGAUGUUUUUUUCCAGUUUAUUUUUCAACUUUUGUUUUGCUGGUAAGCAUCAUAUUUCUUUUAUUUUUCUUUUCAUGAGGUUAUCUUAUUUUCAUUGAAUUUUUAUGUUGUAAUCAAAUAAGAUCGUUAAGACCUUUUUAAAAAUAUUUAGAGCGUAUCUUUUUAUAAUAUUGACAAGCGUUCAUUUUUUAUGAUUAAUUAUUUUUUUAAUCAUUUAUAUAUUUAUAUAUAUAAUUAUAUUAUUAAGUUAAUCGAGUUUAUUAAGUUCAAUCAAAUCAAUAACCCGGAUUUGAAAUUUUUUUUUGUUGCUUUUAGAAAGCUGCUAUUAUUAGGAUAUCUUUGUUAUUUUAACAAAAAUAAUUCAAAAAACAGCGUAGCACUACGCACAUAGGCACCCACCACUUUAGCAAAUUGGAUAUACCACUUGCUUCAUUGGUUUGGAUAAGGGCUAGCUUCGUACAGAGAAAAAAAUGAACAAAGGUACGCAGUAGAUGAAGAAGAUUGAUUUACUGCAAUUAUUGUCAAAAUACAAACGUGAGCACAAUAAUUUAAUUUGUACAGGAUGCUUUUAUAUAUAGAGUAGUAAUUUAAUUAUUGCUUUUUCAUCACUUAUUUCUUUCCAUGAAUCCAAUAUUCCUUAUUUAUAUAUAUAUUGAUUGUUUCUGAUACAAGGUAGCUGUAGUUUUCUUCUAUAAGAGGUCUACCAUAGCUGUAGUUUCCUUCUUUGAGAAGUAACCGUUGGUUGAGAUAGCUGUUGAUUUCUUAUUGAUUUAUCUUUGAUCUGCCACAGUUAUGAUUUCCAUGUAUGUUUGAUUACAAUUCUAAAUAGUAGCCGUUGGAGGUGUUAAUUCAUAUUGUGUUAAUUCAUACUGCUGUUGUCUCCUGCUGCUGCUGCAGAGGUGUUGUGUUGCUGUUAAUACCUGUUGGGGAUUCCGGCACCCCCAUGCGCGGACCGGGGGUGUACUGAUAUUUGCUCAUAGGAGGGUAAAGCACACUGACACAAUAUUUUACGUGGUUCGGCAAAACCGCCUACAUCCACGGGAGAGAGUCCAUAUUAUUAGAGAUAUAUAUAGAGAAAGGAUUACAACAUACAUGGAGGAGGAGGAUCACUUCACUCAAACUCAACUCCCAGCUCUUUUGCUGCACUUGCAGCUGCUGCAAUGGCAGCAAGGCUGCUGCCAUUGCAGCUCUCUUUCUCUCCACUCUCUUGCACACACUCACGUUCUCUCUCUCAUUUUGCUCUCACAUAAUGCCUCUAUUUAUAGGCAUUUCAUGGCAGCUGUUCCACUUGUUCUGCUGUCAAACAUGGCUGCAAGGUUAGGCAUGGUAGGUUGCCUAACCAUGGAAAAUGGUGGCUGCCAAUAGUCAAUGGUUGGUGCCAACCAUUUGCUGCACAUGCAAUGGCAACAACCCAACAAUCACCCCCUUUGCCAUUCAUGUGGGGCAACUGUCCUCUUGCUUCUUCAUCACAGGCUUGCAUCUUGCAGCUCUUCCAAGCUUACCAUUCUGAGAGCAUCUUCGGCUAAGUUUACAUGGUACUCGCCAAACCUUUCAAUCACCAGAGUCACCAAAGCACACCUUUUCUCACACAAAAGGAUCACUACAACCAGAUGGUCUGUCACUUCACAUCUGAAGAGUGUUAACGCUUGUCUCUGGGACACACUGCAUUCCCCUUCGAGCGUAUCAACCAUGCUCGGUCCGGAAUGAUUCAUCAAGCCUUACACCAAGGCUUACAACACCCCCUCAAACGAAAAUUUCUAUUUCCAAGUGCGACAGUCAUUAUCUGAGUAUCUCAAUAUGAUCACGAGCUCACCACUCUUCCAAGAGUCUACUCAUCCAGGAGUUGCGCCUGCCCUCUGUUCCACCCUAGGAACCACACCUUACUUCUCCGUGAGUCUCUCGCUCUUAGUCUCAAGAGUCCAGGUAGCUCUCCACCUUCACCUAUAGGGGCAGCCCAUUAAAGGUUGAUCCAUAUAUGUCUUGAUACUGAGUAUUACAAUGCCUUUACUGAGCUCACCACCUUGACAAGAGUCAACUUGUUCAGGGAACCUGCACAUGCCCUCUGCUCCUUCAUAGCAGCCGCGUCUUAAUGCUCCACAAGUCACACACUUAUUGUCCAAGGCAAAUGUCUUCUAGCUCAUUGAUCUUUAGCAUGGGGGCAAUAUCCAUGAAAGUCAAUCCUGCAUUUGUCUUCAUACUCAUCAUAGCCACUUCAUUGGCUAUCCAUACACUUGUCCACUCAUAUCUAGCCAUUACAUUGGCUCUGGGGCGUUCUGAAUUUGGGCUCCUAUCGUGGCCCAUACACCUUCUCUAAGGUGUCUUCGCCCGUUGCCGUAGGGCGGUCUGAAUUGGGCUCCUAUCAUGGCCCUCACACCUUCUCCAAGGUGUCUUCGCCUGUUGUCGUGGGGCGGUCUGAACUGGGGCUCCUAUCAUGGCCCUCACACCUUCUCCAAGGUGUCUUCGCCCGUUGUCAUGGGGCGGUCUGAUUUGGGGCUCCUUUCAUGGCCCUCACACCUUUCAUUUAAGGUGUCUUCGCCUUUCAUAGGCGGUCGCAUCCUCCUUCAGCUGAGAUGCUUCAAAGUGGCUCUAAAAGUCUCUACCACCAUGUGGACUAUGGGAGAGAUAACUGCCACUGAUUACAUAGAAAGAGAAACUUGCGGUAUACUCCUCGCAAUCCUCCACCUCGAUUUCUAUGUUUGGAGCUUCUGUGUCUUUCUGCUUGACAGCUCCACCUACACCAACUCUCUUUGGUGUCUUCGCCUUUCAUCAUAGGCGGUCGCCUUUUAUCACAAGCGUUUGCACCCCCUCAAUUAAGUGCAUCUGCAACAGCUCUCUUUCCAUCCUUGCAUGCAUUGGAAAGGUCUUCGCCUGUUGUCUUCAUCAAGAGCAUAAGAGACUUCCUGUUGUACAAACUUUAACAGUCUCUGCUCUAAGCUUCAUCUGGGAACACUUCUUCUCCUUGCACCUAUUGUCUCAUUAUAGUACCUCAUUGGAUCCUACGGGUACUCCUGCACAAUCUCCGUGUGCCCUCGUGCAAUUUCUGUUCUCCAGAUUUUUCCCCUAUUCCUUGCUUAUGUUUGACAGCAGCUCAUCCUGUCAUAACACCUAUCCAAGUCAAAAUAGGGUGCCAAUCUUUAUCCCUUGCCGUAUUUCUCUACCAUUAUCAGGGUCUUCAUCAAUAUUUGUUGUGCAUACUGGACCGAAAGCAAACACAAAAAUAACACAAACAAGCAGAUUUACGUGGUUCCCAAAACCGGGUACGUCCACGGAGGCAGCAGAUUGUAUAUUAAUGGAGGAAUGAUACAAACACUCAACUCAACCCAAUACAACCCACAAAAACCAGUGUUUCACUCUUACACUCGUUUCUCUCAAAUCUACACUUGCACUCACUCUCACAGUUGCAUUCACUUGCACUCACCACUGCACUCUCUAUGUCUUCUCUCGUCUCUCUUCUUCAUAAACUUGUCCUCCAGUGCUUGCCAUAAUUCCUUUGUAGAGUUUUGUUCUGAAAAGGCGUACUUCUGAUCCUUUACAAGACAAAGUCGGAUGGAACUGCAAGCCAACCGAUUUAUCCUUUCCCAGCUUUUAUCAUCCAAAUCCUCCGGUUUAUCUUCUAAAGUGAAAUCCAAAUUCAUUUGGACAAGCAUAUCCAUGACUUCACAUUUCCACAUGCCAAAAUUAUCUUUCCCAUCAAACUUCUCCACCUCAAAUUUGGUAUUCGAUACCGGGAUGUAUUGUGGAGGUAUACUAGCAUUCCCCGCUGAUUUUUCUUCUGGAAUAUCAGCCAUUAGGACGUCUUUGGAUUACAAAUGGAAUCCCGAAAUUGUUAAAACACACACUUUUAUGCUCAAAAGUGCCAAAACAGUAACUUCGGUAUGCUAUUUAACAAAACGGACACCACGGUUGCGUCCGGAAUGGUUGAAAAUGCUAGGAACCAACUUGACUCGGCCAAAAACGGGUCAAAAAAUCACUGAGUUGGCCAAAAAACCAAUCUGACCGAGUUGACUCAGGGAAGGAAUAUUCUGUCUCUGAUAAAGAAUAUUCUGUCACGGGAAUAUUCUCUUACUGGUAACGGAAUAUUCUUAUUCUGUCAAGAGAAUAUUCUGUCACUGUUAGAUGACAUGGCUGAUGACGUGUCUGAUGACAGGGCGAUGUGGCCCCUCUGUUGAUGACGUGGAUGCUGACUCAGCGCCUACGUGUCGGAUGACGUGGCUGUCUUCUCAGACGAGAAUUCCGGCAAUGACUGGUUUUUCCGGCAGAUUUCCGGCGAAACUUCGGCGAGCUCUACAGGGCUCGUUUCAACUCCGAUUGCGACGAUCUUUAUAUCGCCGGACUCGUAUGAACGAGAGGAAUCUCCGCAGCUGGUCAAAAGCAAGAUCUGAGAACUUUGAAAAUUCUGCAACUUUGAACAGAGAGCUAAAAAACGUGUUUUUCUGCGUUUAAGCUUCCCUAAUGCUCUGAUACCAAUUUGUUGUGCAUACUGGACCGAAAGCAAACACAAAAAUAACACAAACAAGCAGAUUUACGUGGUUCCCAAAACCGGGUACGUCCACGGAGGCAGCAGAUUGUAUAUUAAUGGAGGAAUGAUACAAACACUCAACUCAACCCAAUACAACCCACAAAAACCAGUGUUUCACUCUUACACUCGUUUCUCUCAAAUCUACACUUGCACUCACUCUCACAGUUGCAUUCACUUGCACUCACCACUGCACUCUCUAAGCUUCAUCUGGGAACACUUCUUCUCCUUGCACCUAUUGUCUCAUUAUAGUACCUCAUUGGAUCCUACGGGUACUCCUGCACAAUCUCCGUGUGCCCUCGUGCAAUUUCUGUUCUCCAGAUUUUUCCCCUAUUCCUUGCUUAUGUUUGACAGCAGCUCAUCCUGUCAUAACACCUAUCCAAGUCAAAAUAGGGUGCCAAUCUUUAUCCCUUGCCGUAUUUCUCUACCAUUAUCAGGGUCUUCAUCAAUUCUCCCCUCGAGAAAUCACAGUCACCGAAUCUAACUUCUUUGGAUAAAUCACCACUUCAUCAGAUCCUUGAUCAUACGGAACCCAACUGUUCCCUUGUGCCGUCAUCCUGCUAGUCUUCAACUGUUUCAUUACAAACUGCUAUAUAUACGAAAAUAGUACCGUAUGGAUAAUCCUUCCACUAAGCAAGUUCCCAGGAAAGAUUGGAGGGGUCACACUGGUCCCGCUUAAAACCCAAUCUCCUAGACAGAACUUCUUAGGCCAUAUCUAUCCAUCGUACUGUCUUUCCGUAUAUACAACCAUUUGCUAGCUUUGUCCCGGCCUUCCUUUACAAGUGAUCUGGAAUAUACUGGUUUAAUACAUGAUUUCUCAACAUCUGGUGAGACUACCAGUUCUUAGAUUCGUCAAGAUUGGUCUUCGUCAAUUUCCACUCUUCACCUCAAAUUGUCCACAUGAUCGGGUGUCCAGAGUGUCCCAAUUUUGCCUUCCUUCAAAGCAAUUAAAAUUCUCCCCACUUAGCAUUUUAGCACAUAUAAUUGGGUAAACAUGUGCACCUUCUUCUUCUUCAUCAUCAUCGACCACCACGAUGACCUUUAGAUGCCUCCUAAUCGGGCAAUCUCUUUUGUUAAUUCACCACCACCACUUUUGGUCUCAAAUCUCAAUGAUCGGACCGUACCAUUGCAUCCGGAACGAUCAAAUUAGCUGGAAACAAGUCUGAAAUCGUCCAAAUCGCAUUUCAGACGGCUAAGAUUUGAUCAAAACAAUUCUGGCCUGAUGAACGGCCCAGAUUCAAUCUCAGAUCCGGUUGCACGUAGACUCCGCUGCACAGAAUCUUAUCCUUUGGCUCGCGGCUCGGCUCGGCUCCUUUUUGGCUCAGCUCGGCUCAACUCAGCUCGGCUCAGUUCGGCUUGAGUCUGGUGACGUGGCAGGUGGGUCCCACUUUGGUGACGUGGCUGUUGACUGGACGCUGACUGGUCUAUGACGUGGCUGCUGACAUGGCAUGCCUACUGUGCAUGCUGACAUCACACUUACAUCAGGCUGAUGUCAUCCCUGGCAUGCCUACUGUGCAUGCUGACAUCACAAUUAUGUCAUGCUGACAUCAUUCAUAUCCGGGUCAGUCACAUGGGUCGGGUGAACUGGUAUUCGGGUCGCGUGGCACGCGUGGGGCGCGUCUGCGCGCAUGGGCAGACGCCUUGCCGGAGAGUGAUGGAGAGUGCGGCCAUGUCCGACGUCCGAUUUUGACGCCGUUUUCACCAGUGGCUUCGUCUUGACCUCCUCUACACAGUGGUAUGGUCAAAACACAAUUUUGACAACUUUCAUUUUUGAGCAAAAAUCAAACACCCCUUUAAACCAUCAGCUCUGAUACCAAUUGUUGGGGAUUCCGGCACCCCCAUGCGCGGACCGGGGGUGUACUGAUAUUUGCUCAUAGGAGGGUAAAGCACACUGACACAAUAUUUUACGUGGUUCGGCAAAACCGCCUACAUCCACGGGAGAGAGUCCAUAUUAUUAGAGAUAUAUAUAGAGAAAGGAUUACAACAUACAUGGAGGAGGAGGAUCACUUCACUCAAACUCAACUCCCAGCUCUUUUGCUGCACUUGCAGCUGCUGCAAUGGCAGCAAGGCUGCUGCCAUUGCAGCUCUCUUUCUCUCCACUCUCUUGCACACACUCACGUUCUCUCUCUCAUUUUGCUCUCACAUAAUGCCUCUAUUUAUAGGCAUUUCAUGGCAGCUGUUCCACUUGUUCUGCUGUCAAACAUGGCUGCAAGGUUAGGCAUGGUAGGUUGCCUAACCAUGGAAAAUGGUGGCUGCCAAUAGUCAAUGGUUGGUGCCAACCAUUUGCUGCACAUGCAAUGGCAACAACCCAACAAUACCCUCCCUCAAACGUUGCUGAGGUUGGAGGCAAAGUUUGCGCUGAAAACAAAGGAGAGUAGCUUUGGACACCGGCUUAGUAAACAGGUCAGCGAUCUGAUGUGUAGUGGGAAUAUGAUGUGUAAUAAGUUUCCCAAGAGAUACGCGUUCGCGUAUAAAAUGAUAAUCAAUUUCAAUAUGCUUGAUGCGAGCAUGGAAAACAGGAUUGAUUGUCAUAUGGAGCGCAUUAAGAUUAUCACAAUAAAGCACUGGUGGAGAUACCAAGGGAAUGUGUAAAUUAUGAAGGAUGUAGGUCAACCAGGUAAGUUAUGCGGCUGUGUUGGCCAUAGCACGAUAUUCAGCUUCAGUGCUAGAGCAUGAAAUGAUAUGUUGUUUAUUGGCACAUCAAGAGAUGAGAUUACUUUCAAGAAAGACACAGUUGCCAGUGGUAUAACGUUAUAUAGUAAGACAGCCAGCCCAAGGAGAUGAGAUUUAUAUUCCAUUUAGCAUUUUUUCCCCCCUUUCAGACAUGAACAACACCUGGAUCAGUUCUUGGGGCCAAAAUUAGAUUUCUAAUGGAAGAUAACUACAACUAAUUUUUCUUUAACCAUUCAACUCGUUUGGUGACCAUUUAUAGAUAUCAACACCUGGAGUUCUAUUUCGCCACUUGAUGGAAUGGAUAGAUUAAUGUACGACCUUAUUGGCUAGACAGAGUCUGUUCGAUCUCUUAAAUGGUGCGAGCCACUUGCAUAAGAGAUGACAACUUUACACUCGCCCAUUAAUUAUGGUCCCAUUGAUGUAAAGGGACGGACACCAACCUUCAUGACUUGUGAGCUUCAAAUACGAACCAGGGUUAUUAUCCUCUCUUUUUUUUUCAUUAAUUAUGGUACCAUCCAAUUUUAUUUUUAGUUUUUAGUUUUUUUAUUUUUGUUUUCUAUGGGGUGAUCUUGGUUUCACAACCCGAGUCACGAGUUUUAAAAAUUAGUUUGAUUUACUUUUAGUUUUCAUGAUUUUCUUCGUUUUUUUAUAGGGUUAUUUCGGUCUAAUAUCCUGGGUCACGAGCUAGUCGAGUUAACCUAGGUUGACACUUAUUUUUUUUUUUUUUUCAGUUUUGCCUUUCAUUAUUUAGUUUAUUUGAGAGUUGAACUCUAUUGUUUUAUUUGAUUUCUUAUAUGCAGGCUUAUCCCCGUCAUAAUUUAGCAUUUUAAUUCGAGUCGUGUUUUUUAAUUUUUUUUUAAUUGAUGUUUUUUUCUAGUUUAGCAAAUUAAAUAUCCCACUUGCUUCAUUGGUUUGGAUAAGGGCUAGCUUCAUACAAGCCCCCAACUUAUAACCAAUUCUCGAUUGGGACCUUAUUGUUUUCUUUAGUGACGUCUUUAAUGCAUAAAACAUUCUUAGUUUUGCCUUGUAUUCAAAUCCGUCGAUGAUUUCUAUUUAAAAGCUGUUUUUUGAAAAAAAAAAUAAAGAAAAGAGAGAACUGGACAUCUUUUAAAAGUUUGUAACAAUCUUACAUGAAAGGACUAAAUUGAGGAUUGUCAUAGAAUGAUGUGUUAAUUUAAGAGCUUUACCCACUAGUUGCGGAUAACACAAAUUGCCACUGAUGAAUCCCACGGCAUAUGUUCAUAUGCAAUGCCUAUGAAAACACGACUUGCUUACACAAGCAACAAACAUCACAUAAAUUUCUCUCUUGGCCACACGAUUCUUGGACUUUUGGCUUAUUCAUCAACACCAGUUGUUCAAUGGUCCCAUUAAUUCAAUAACCACUGAAAUUUCUAAGGAAUGCUCAAUAUUUUCUCUCUAUAAUCUCAUCCAAGGCCUUCGUGAAAGACACAACGGGGAGACUUUAGCCAUCAAAAAGCUAAGUCUACGUAUAAUUUUCCACNNNNNNNNNNNNNNNNNNNNNNNNNNNNNNNNNNNNNNNNNNNNNNNNNNNNNNNNNNNNNNNNNNNNNNNNNNNNNNNNNNNNNNNNNNNNNNNNNNNNGUAUCAGUUUGUCAAUAGGACUCAUAUGGUCAGGUAGGUGCCCGCGGGAAAUUUUCCACUGCAACUUAUUGGACAAUUCUUGAUUCCUUGCAGUCAAUCUGGGAAGCCUUUCGGCUGUCUUUUACACGUUAAAAUUUAGUGGGAGGAUAUUCUCGUAGAGACUGGAAAUGUCUUGGCACGGAUUUGGACUAACACGAAUCACUAGCACAUGUACAUUUCAUGGCCUAGCUAAAAAUUGCCAUCAAAGUCACUAUUAUCUCGAGAAGUAGUAGAAUUUCCUAGGCUUCACGCUGCUACCUUUUGAUUUGGCAAAAUUUUGUUCAAUUUAAUUCAUUAAAAAUAAUUGAAACUUCCAAGAUCAAAUAUGAUAUUGAAACCAGAAAGUAGCCUAGGUGUGUUUUUUAAAAUUUUGAUCCCUAAAGUUUUUGCAUUUUGCAUUUUGAUUUUGAUUUUUAAUUUUGAUCUAAAAUUUUAUUUUAUUUACUUUUUAGUUCAUGAAUAUGAGAUUAAAAAAAUCACCGAAAAACUUGAAAAAAGAUAGAAAGUUAUUGGUUGAUAAUUUCCGGACAAAAAAAAAGAGAUCUUUGUAUUAAUGGAGAAUUGAUGUGCAGAUUGGAUAGCAAAUCAUAAGGGUAUGUUUGAAAUUAUAGUAGUGAUUGCGAUUCAAAGUAUUUUUCGUUUAGAAAUGUUUUAAAAUAAUAUUUUUAUUUUUAAAAAAUUAUUUUUGAUAUCAGCAUAUUAAAACGAUCUGAAAAUAUAAAAAAAUAAUUUUUUAUUUUUUAAAAUUUUAAAAUUUAAGAGAACGCAUUUUGCACCGCGUUCCCAAACAGACCCCGGUAGAUCUUGAAGUUUCCUACUGCACUGAAGCUCCCUCUUGUUGUUUGAAGCAAAUGCUUGAUUGCGUUCCUGGGGUUUCUACCCCCAGAAUAUGAAGUUAUUUCCUAAUGAAGGCUUUCUGCCCUCUCUCUAAUAAACUGAAAAACGGCAACAUUCAUUUUCUAGCCCAGCAGUGGUUCCUCUAGCCUUCUGCUAUCUGCCUAGCUGUGAUAUAAAACAAUUUGAGUCCAUAUUUGAAGGGAUAGCUGUUUCUUCAAUCUAUUUGGACAGUAUAUCAUCUUCUGCUGCUGUGAUUAUUAAAGCCUUGUCAAUAAUUACAGAUUAUAGCAUCCACGAGGAUGACGUUCCUUCAAUUUUUCUCUACAGUCAAUCUUUUUCCUUGACAAGCACAGGCAGGCAAUAUUAGUGGUAAAAUUUGGGAUGUUAUAUUCCUUGACAAGCACAGGCAAUAUUAUUGAUUCAACUUUCCAAAAUGUAUUCUUUAGCCACCACAAAGCUUCACACACACACGAGUGUGGUUCAAAGUAAAAGUUAAAGAUAAGAGCAUAUGUAAUUUUUUUAUUUUUAAACAUUUAUUUUUAACAUUAAAAUAUCAUAACAAUUUAAAAAUAUUAAAAAAAUUAAUUUUAAAUAAAAAAUAUCAAGUUUUUUAAAAAACAUGAUUCGACUGUGAAAUUAUUAUUAUUUUUGUCAGGGUGUUGGUUGUUCUAGGUAGGGCCGGAAAGGUCACGGAAUGGAGAGUCACUGAGAAGUGAUAACCAUUAACCAUGACAUGGCUCAAAUGAGUGAGGCUAAUUAAAAGUUUGUAAAAUUGUAUCAAUUAACUGUUUGUAAUUAAUAUUUUUGAAUUGUUUUUACGUGACAAUAUAAAAAAUAAUUUUUUUAAUAUAUUUUUAAAUAAAAAAUAUUUUUUUAAAAAAAAAACCUUCAGACAAUGCAGAAAUAUGCUAUUCUUUCUCGUAUUCAUGUGUUUACAUUUUCUUGGCAGCUUCUUCGAAGUGUCAACAUUGGGGCGGGUCCACACGUUAACUUUCUAUAUCUUAUAAUUAAUUAAUUAACUGUCUAUUAAUGUAAAGUUUGGGUUGCUUCCUGGCAACUUCCUUCCUUCCUAUCAAACAAUACGUUAAUUAAUUAAUUAUUAUUGAGGCGACCUUACUAAUAAAUAAUAGUAUGUAAGGGAGCUAGCGGCUGUACUGUAACAUUCUCUCUCAUUAUACAAUUCCCUAUUUACCUUCCUUAUUAGGGAAUCCAGCUAGCACUUGAAGAUUCAAACCAUAGUAUGUAUAUGGUUUGAAUCUUUAAAGUAAUCCAUCAUAAAUAAAUCGAUCUUUUUCACUGAUUUUGUAAUCCAUGCCCUUGUGGUGUUCAUACUAAAUCAACCCUAAACCUUGAAUUCAUUGUUUUUGUCUUUUCAAGAUUCUUUGCUGUUUUUAACUCCUUAUAUAUGGGAUUUCUUUUCCAAUACUAGAUUUUGUAAUCCAUGCCCUGUGGGACUGCCAUUAAUUAUUUUUAUCCAAUAUUUUUCUGACAUAAUGAUUCAAUGAAAUUGUCUCUUACUGAUUCAUGAAUUAACUUCAUCAGUAUUAAUUACCUUUCAUUAAACUUGUUUACAACAAGUGACAAAUAAUUUAGCAACAUUUAUAUUUCCUAUUUUUCAUCCGAAUUUCUUUAACAAAUAAAUAAGUCAUGUAUAUAUAUAUUCUUAUCUAAUCUGCGCUUUCUGUUCUUUUUUAAACCUCAGAUGGAAGGAGUCCCACCGUCUUGUAAUGAGGAUGAUGUCAACUUGACAUCGAAUCAGUUCGAUAUUCAAUCACCAGAAGAUUCAUUCAAUAUAUCUGAGCUUCUCUCGUACGUCAUUCUUAAGCAUAUUUUAUCAGAAGAUGAUUACUUGCAAUUUAGUUAUUCUACAGUUUUUCUUAUUAUUCCCAUAAAAGAAUAAUGUUCCUAAUAACAAAUUAAGCAGGUCGCCACCGGAGGUUCCAGGCAACCAAAGCUUCAUGUUAUGCAAUGUUCAUGCUGGUCAGAACAUGGUGGUGGAUAACAAUGUGAUCAACGAUAGUAUUCAACAAACAACUGAUCAGUUUCCACCUUCAUUUCAUCAAACCAUGGUGAGUGCUCAUGCCUACUCCAAUUUGCUACAAUGUCCAUUGAAUUAGCAAGUGUUUGUAUCACCCAUUGGAUCAAAAAGUUUUAUGUUUUCGUGUAUUAAUUUAUCUCGAGCAUCUUCAAAAUGUUUAUUGUUAAACAAACAGACAACAAUGGGAGAUUUAGAUGGAACAUCAUCGUCAUGGAUCAACCAAAAUGAACCAAAUUGGCCUCAAGCUCCACCAAGGUACAUAAUAUUCAUCAUUAUUUAACUUCUUCUUCCUGUUCACACUAAAUGAAUUCAUUAUAUUUGAAUAUAGGUGUUAGCCUAAUCCUAAUUUAUUUGAUCCUCAAUGUGCCAAUCCUUUGAGGUAAGCUAAAAUGAUAUCAAAUGCUUAGUGGAUUAAUAGCAAAGAAUUAUGCCUAUGUAUAAAGAAAUUACUAACAAGUGUUGCUAAUUUAGGGACCAACAAUUGACUAAUUAUCAGUUACCAAUUAUGAGCAAUCAAGUGCCUGCAAUGCUACCUGGACCUCAACCUCCAAUGAAUCAAUGGUAUUAACCUCGAAUAUAUAUACACUUUUUUAAUCAUGAAAAUAAUAAAAUUGACCAAAAUUGACGAGGAUCUUUCGAGUCUUUCUGAGCUCUCUAUCUCUCUUCUUUUUUUGUGCACAUAAUGGAACUAGAAAAUCAACCAAGUUAGAAUAACAGUUCUAAGUUUAACUAUUUGAAUAUUAUUCAGGCAUCAGUACUCCAAUAUUCAUCAACCACAGCCGGGACAUGGCUAUAUGACACCGAACGCAACCACUUCAGAACAUGGUGGCUUCAUUCAACCUGGACCUUCUUUUCCUGCUCCCCGGUAUCCAAUUUUUCACGUUUAGUAUUUUCUAUAAAAAAAAAAUAGUUUUUCAAUCAGGAAGGAAACAUCAUAGCUUGAACAUGAACCCAACAAGCUAAACAUAUUGUUUGCAAAUGAUUUUGGAUUCAGGAGUCAAUAUUUUUCUAAUCAAGGACAAGUCGAUCAAGCUGCUGUAAUUCCUAACAUAGACAAUGUGCAACAAGAGAACUUCGUGCCUAGGUACUGAUUGACUUCUAGCUGUUGUGUUUUAACACCAUUAACUUUUACUGCUUAAGAGAGACUACCAAUUAUGGAAAGGUUUUAUAAUAUGAUCACUUCAUUUAUAUAUAGGUCACAGAUGGAUAACCUCCAAGUUCGAGGAUUGCAAAAUCAAACUGCUAGGCCAAAUGCCUCAAAUCCCGGCCUUGGCACUUCCCUGCAAAGUCAAAAUAGGGGUUUAAAUGCUCAACAAGUAAGAAGUCUAACUGAAUUAUCGUCGUCUUUUUCCCUCCUAUGAUUGUGCAAUAAACUAACUAUCAAUUUUAAUAGCAAAGUAAGGGUAACAGCACUGAAGAAGUAGUUUCUCAUCCAUCUGGAUAUGGUGUAACUUGCAUCAAUUUUUAUUCUUUAUUUUGACUGAUUUUUAUUCUAUAUUUUGACCCCCCUUUUUUUUUCCCUAUAUAUAGGUUGAAAUGGGUGGAUUAUAUGAUCCAUUUUGGAAUUAUGUUGAAAAAAGUGCUGAUGAUGGUAGCAUGAAGUGUAAGUUUUGUCCACAUACAUACGCCAUUAAAACUUCCAUUUCAAGGAUCAAAUGGCAUUUAUCAGCAGAAGAAGGGCAUGGUGUUGCCAUUUGUCGUGGGGUGCCUAAAGAAAUUCAAGAAGCAGCCUGGAAAGCUAUGUGUGGUGGCAACAAAAGACAUAAAAGCACAGCAAGUUCAGUCAAUGUUAAUGACUGUGGAAUUUCAACAAUGGUAGGAGGUAUUGGAAGGGUACAAAGAGAAGUUCAGGUUGUAGAACCCGGAGUAGGGGAACAGAGGAUUUCUUCACAUGCAAUAGCAGGAAACGACGUAGUAAGCAUGACCGGAACGAGAGCACGAGAAGAUAGAGUUUCCAAAGGGGCACUCGAGAGCAGACGGAGGACAGAACUAGUGGAUCGAGCGUUGGAACAAAACACUGGUGAAGGAUCUUUUCGGCAUGAUGCAUUUGAGACUGUACCAAGAACAGAGCAAGAGCAGCUUCUGGAGCCUCGAGGAGAUGCAUCCCAAUUUUGUCUUGACUCUGGAAUAUGUUAUGAUCAACCUUGUGCUCCAUCAGUAAACAAUGAUGUAAAUAGGCAUGAUGCACAGGACAUGGUUAGAGUGAGGACACAACCAGUGGAGAAUAGUGGAAGAUCAGUAGUGCAGGCUGGCCCAGGAGCUAGAUCUUCUGAAAGUCUGAAAAACAACAAGACUAGAGGAGUUCCAUUACCUACUAGCUCUAUAAAGGUGGGUCAAGCAUUUGAAGAGAAUAAGAAGGUGAUAUGGUCUUCGUUAAUGGAUGAUGAAGUCCCAACCAUUGGCAUUUAUGGGAUGGGAGGAGUUGGUAAAACAACAAUAAUGCAACAUAUUUAUAAUGAGCUUCUACAAAGACCAGAUAUUUGUGAUCAUGUGUGGUGGGUGACUGUGUCUCAAGAUUUCAGCAUUAAUAGAUUGCAGAAUUUUAUUGCUAAACAUCUUCAUCUAGAUCUUUCAAGCGAAGAUGAUGUUCAGCUCAGACCUGCCAAAUUGUCAGAAGAACUAAGGAAGAAACAAAAAUGGAUUCUCAUUUUAGAUGAUUUGUGGAACAAUUUUGAACUUGACAGAGUGGGAAUUCCUGAGAAGUUGAAAGAAUGCAAGCUGAUUAUGACAACUAGAUUAGAAAUGGUUUGUCAUCAGAUGGCUUGCCACCGUAAAAUCAAAGUGAAGCCACUUUCUGAUGGAGAAGCUUGGACUUUGUUCAUGGAGAAACUUGGAUGUGACAUAGCACUUUCGCGAGAAGUGGAAGGGAUUGCAAAAGCUGUUGCAAAGGAAUGUGCUGGUUUGCCGUUGGGAAUUAUUACAGUAGCAAGAAGCUUGAGGGGAGUGGAUGACCUACAUGAGUGGAGAAAUACAUAGAAGAAAUUGAAAGAAUCAGAAUUUAGAGACAAUGAAGUAUUCAAGUUAUUGAGGUUUAGUUAUGAUCGGUUAGGUGAUUUAGCACUACAACAAUGUCUCUUGUACUGUGCAUUAUUUCCUGAAGAUAAAUGGAUUGCAAGGGAGGAGUUGAUAGGUUAUUUGAUCGAUGAGGGGAUAACUAAAGUAAAGAGGAGAAGGGGAGAUGCAUUUGAUGAGGGCCACACGAUGCUUAAUAGACUUGAAUAUGUCUGCUUAUUGGAAAGUUCUUUUAAUCAUAUACAUGUCAAGAUGCAUGACUUGAUUAGGGACAUGGCUAUCCACGUACUGCUAGAGAACUCUCAAGUCAUGGUUAAAGCAGGUGCGCAAUUAAAAGAGCUGCCAGAUACAGAGGAGUGGACGGAGAACCUGACGAUUGUUUCACUAAUGAAGAACGAGAUCGAAGAAAUUCCUUCCAGCCAUUCACCAAUGUGUCCAAAUUUGUCAUCUCUAUUUUUAUGUGAGAAUAAAGAGCUGCGAUUGAUUGCGGAUUCAUUUUUCAAGCAAUUACAUGGGCUCAAGGUCCUCGAUCUGUCUCGCACAGGUAUUGAAAAUUUGCCAGACUCUGUCUCUGAUUUGGUGAGUCUCACUGCAUUAUUGCUCAAUGAUUGUACGAGAUUAAGACAUGUUCCAUCAUUAAAGAAGCUCAGGGAACUAAAGAGGUUGGAUCUCUGUGGCACUGCACUUGAAAAGAUGCCGCAAGGAAUGGAAUGCCUAACCAACCUGAGGUAUCUUAGAAUGAAUGGAUGUGGUGAAAAGGAGUUUCCUAGUGGGAUAUUACCAAAACUCUCUCACCUGCAAGUCUUUGUACUAGAACAGUUUACGGCGCGAGGUGAUGGUCCAAUAACAGUUAAAGGAAAGGAAGUAGGAUCCUUGAGAAAUUUGGAAAGUCUGGAGUGCCAUUUCAAAGGUUUCUCUGACUUCGUGGAGUAUCUCAGAUCUUGGGAUGGGAUCCUAUCAUUAAGCACAUACAGAAUUUUAGUAGGAAUGGUGGAUGAAGAUUAUUCGGCAUACAUUGAAGGUUAUCCGGCAUACAUUGAAGAUUAUCCAAGUAAAACAGUUGCGUUGGGUAAUUUGAGUUUCAAUGGAGAUAGAGAUUUUCAGGUCAAGUUCUUAAAAGGCAUUCAAGGACUGAUUUGUCAAUGCUUCGAUGCAAGAAGUUUAUGCGAUGUUUUGUCAUUAGAGAAUGCAACUGAACUGGAGCGUAUCAGAAUUGAGGAUUGCAAUAACAUGGAGAGCUUGGUUUCAUCUUCUUGGUUCUGCUAUGCUCCACCACCAUUGCCAUCAUAUAAUGGUACGUUUUCUGGUCUUAAAGAGUUUAAUUGUUGUGGAUGUAACAAUAUGAAGAAGUUGUUUCCACUUGUGUUGCUGCCAAACCUCGUAAACCUGGCAAGGAUUGAUGUUAGUUAUUGUGAGAAAAUGGAGGAGAUAAUAGGAACAACAGAUGAAGAAAGCAGCACCUCCAAUCCCAUCACAGAAUUAAUACUCCCAAAGUUAAGAACUCUGAAUUUGUGUCAUUUACCAGAAUUGAAAAGCAUUUAUAGUGCAAAACUUAUUUGCAAUUCUCUUAAAGAUAUUAGGGUAUUGCGUUGUGAGAAGCUGAAGAGGAUGCCAAUUUGUCUUCCGUUGCUUGAAAAUGGCCAGCCAUCCCCUCCCCUUUCUCUUGGAGAAAUCGUAGUAUAUCCGGAAGAAUGGUGGGAGACAGUAGUGGAGUGGGAGCAUCCUAAUGCUAAGGAUGUCCUUCGUCCCUUUGUGAAGUUUUUGUAGGAGGAGACUCCUCUGCUGCCCUUAAUAUAAUAUAAUAUAAUAUAGAACAGAGGGUAAGCAUCAUCUCUCUCAAUCGAAUUGUACCUUUCGUAUUGUUAAUCCUUUCGUUGUUAGAAUACUUCUUUGUUGCAUCAUUUAUCAUUUCUAUCCUAAUGCAAAGGAUGCCCAAAGGACCUUUUUGUCUCGAAAUAAUUAAUAUGUAGAAUGGUUAAUUACUCCGUUAAAUGUAAUAAUACGUAUCCUUCUUUGUUGCAUCAUUUAUCAAUUCUAUCCAUCUGUAAAAAUACUAAUCAUUUUUGUAAUCUUAAAUUUGCUCGUAUUCAAUAAUAUAUCAUUUUUUUCAGUCAUUUUUGUUAAAAAUCAGGUGCAAAACAUAAUUAUUUUCGAUAUGAAAAUAGCCCUUUAAAUCAACAAGGAUAUUCUUAUUAAUUAAUAUUGAAAUAAUCCUUCAUCCCUUUGUACCUUUUUUUAAAAAACUCGAUAGAUAAAUAAUUAUAAUUUGAAGUUUGAUUAAUAUUAUAUUUUCAUCCUAUUGAGUUUCUCCAAGAUGAAAAUCCUAUAUUGAUUUAUCAUUAAAGUAACCUAAUAAAUAUACAUUUUCUUAGCAGCUUCUUCGAAGUUUCAACAUUCACCUCAGCACUGUCAAAAUCAUUCUAAAAGUAGUAAUGGUUUUUUUUUUUCUUGGAAACAGCUUGGAUGCACUUUCCACUCAUAUAUCGGGUUGUUGUGAUUCUUGACGCGUUAUCUUAUUUGUAAACAUUGUGUUUUUAAAAAAUUUAAUUUGUUUUAAAUAAUUUUUUUAUAUUUUAAAAUUAUUUUAAUAUAUUUUUAAAUAAAAAAUAUUUUAAACCACCACUACUCUUUCAUCCAAAAAUGUUUCCCAGCAAGGUUGUUAAAAUCAUGAGUUGACUCUUAAAAUCUUACGAUUUUACGAGUCAACAUGUAUAUAACGUGUCAAAUCAGGUUAAAACUCGAAAUCGGUCAAACUCGAUCAAACUCAGUUAAAAUCGGUAAAAUCGGACCAAUUUUACGAGUUUAACCGAUUUUGAUCGAGUUUGACCGAUUUCGAGUUUUAACCCAUAAAAGUUAAAAAAAUUAUUGUCUCCCUAUCCGAGUCCCUUGACACUCCACUACACACUCCCCACUCCCCAUUCUCCCCUUUUCCUGUUGCUCAAAUCUUAAAUUUUCAAUCUUAGCAGACUAAUACCAGCAUUAAAGGAUCUUGAGUAUGAGAAAGCCUUAUACUGUAUUUUAGGCCGAGAAGGCAUGAUCGAAGGAUCAAAACCAUGGGAAGACAAAGGUAGAUGGUGAGGAAUCAAAGGAGUAAAAUAAGAGAUAUGAAUACUUAAAUAGAGAGAAAUAUUGUGUUUUAGACUAACCAUUUGUCAACUACAAAGAGAGACGACAAAGACUCAGAGAGAACUUGAAAUACAUGUCUUGCUUGGUGGGAUACUUGAACAUUAUUUCUAAGACUUGUUACUAACAUAAAAAAGGUGGAAGGUGAGGUCGAUGGAGAUGAGGGAGCUGGGUUUGUCCGCUGUGGGCAGAAGCUGCCGCUGUUGGAGGUUGGCUGGAGGAGAGAAGGCUGGGUCGGUCGGCUGGAGAAGAAGGCUGGGUCGGUCGGCUGUUGGCUUUGUUUCUUCAGUUUUAGCCGGGGAAGGGAGAGUCUGUGGAGGCUGGCUUACAGAGGUGGAAGGUCCAAUGGUGGUGGCUCAGGCGAAGAAGGAAGGAACGGCGUCGGGCAGGAAGUCUGUGUCGGUUUGGGCGAGAACUUGAGGAAGUGGGGGGGGAAGGUGGAGCUGCUGUGUUUGGGCUGUUUAGGUAUGGCUGGGAGAGGGAAGGUCUGGAAAAUGGGGGAAGAUGAGAGGAAAGGGAGGGGCGCCGCUCCUUUUGUUCUCUGAUUUUUGGCCGGGGGAAAGGGGGCUUGAGGAAAUGGUGAGGCGGCUGUGGUUGAAGAGAAUGAGCUUGUCUCAUGGCCGGCUGCUGAGGGGAAGAAGAAAAUCCCAGGGGAGGGGGCGGCUGCUUUGGGUUAGAUAGGUUUAGGGUUAGGUUUUCCCCUUUUUUGUGUUGCCUCUCGCAAAUUACAAAAUACCCCCCUCCUUUGUUUGAGUUGUGGACCAAUAUUUAUAGGUAAAAUGUUGCAUGGAUUUCAAAAUUGGUCCCUUAACUUUCUUUUUUUUUUGUAAAUUUGAUUUUUCUUAAUUUUUUUGUAUUUUUUGAAACGAGCAAUAUCAACGUCGACUCAAUGAAGAAAAUCAAUGAUUUUAAAAAUAACGCGUUAAAAGUUGAACGCGUUCCAAAUGUCUUUGAAAAUUUAAAUUCUUUUGAGACGAUGCUAAAAAUGAUAAAAACGAUGCAAAUGUAUUAAAAACGUAUUUUUUGGAUUUUCAAUGUUUUUUGCUAUUUUUGAAUUUUUUCUGAAAAUUUAUCAAAACAUGGGUCAAAAAUUGGGUAGCAACAAUUAGCUUAAACAAAGAUACUUAUUAAAAGGAUAGAUUAGAAAAGGGAAAUUUAAGAGUAAUUAAACUUGUAAAAGCAUGUUGAAGACCAUAUCUAAAAUAUAAGGACUAAUUGGGAAGAGUCUUCAAAGAGGAAGGACUACUUUUUUAUGGGAUGGUGGGCGAGUUCUCGGAAUUGAAAUGGUCAGGGAUGCAGAGAAGUGUCAUCAUUCCCAUCGCUGUUAUCGCCAACGAAGAGUCCAAAUUAAUCCUGGCCAGUUAUGGAAAGUCGUCGGAGGGCAACUCAUUUUCCUAAAGGAUUGUUUGGCAAAGCGUACACUUGCAUAAAGGAGUGGUUGAGGCUCUCUUGAAAAUUUAGAGGUCUAUAAUUAAAAGUAACGAGAUUAGAAUGGGUUUGAUUGGGCAUGUUUGGUAUCGCUAUGUAAAUUGUGUUUUUUUUUUAAUUUUUAAUUUUUUUGUUAUUUUUUUAUAUGUUUAGAUUAUUUUGAUAUACUGAUAUCAAAAAUAAUUUUUUAAAAAUAAAAAAAUAUUAUUUUGAUGCAUUUCUGAGUGAAAAACACUUUAAAUCGUAACCACUAUCACAAUCCCAAACAGACCAGAAAUGUGGUAGCGGUUGUGGUUUAAAGUGCUUUUCGCUUAAAAAUACAUCAAAAUAAUAUUUUUUUUAAAAAAUUAUUUUUGUCAUCAGCACAUCAAAACGAUUGCAAAACAUAAAAAAAUUUAAUCUUAAACAAAAAAAUUUUAAUUUUAAAGAAAUACAGUUUGCACAGCGUUUCCAAUCAGAAUCAAAUUUUGCUCCACCAGUCUUCUGCUCUGAAUAUUGAAAUUUAUUAUUCACUUAUGUCUUUGAUUUUGCCCAUUCGAGUUAAGCUAACAUGACUCCAUCUAUUUUUUUCAAUCAAUUUUACAAAAAAAAACCACUUAAUAAAUUUACCAAAUCUCCAUUUUGAAUUAUAAAAUAAGUUAUAGAUUUCAAAUCCAAUAAUGGAUUUAUUAAAGAGAAAAACAAUUUACUAUGUAAAUACAAUUUGAAUUAAAAGUCGAAUAGAGUAGCAUUUUUAGCACGAAAACUAUUGUUAAAAUAUUUUUAUUCUUAAGAAUUUAUGCAAAACAAUUAGAAAACUAAUUCAGGGAUCAAAUAUUUUAAUGAAUUAUAAAAUUGACUAUAAACUUAAAAUUCUUGAAUUUACAAUAUAAACUUCUUGAAUCAUAAGAUAAAAACUCAUAUAAAAUUAUAAUUUUGUAAUAAAUAUGAAUUCUUGGAUCACAUAAGCUUGAGACAUGGAUAAUGUUUGGAGCAUUUAAUACCGGACCUCCUUGACUUAAAUUUUAUUUUAUAUUUAUAAUAAGGAAAAGGCACCAUGGGGUUGAAACCUUUUUAUGCUCGGUUGCUGGCAUUUGGGACCAUGUAUCAAGAGAGAAAAAUAGUGUAUUAUCUCAGGUUUUUUCUAAGCCUUGGAUGCAUUUUUUAAUUUUAAUCAUUGAUUGUUUUGUUUUCAAUUUUAUCUUCAUAGAUUGUGCUGACUGCUAUGGAGUUUUAACUCUGAUGCAGCAGCUUGCUGGGUUGAACUGAGUCCUGUAUUUCCUAAUUAGCAGCGUGCAAUAAACAGCAUUUAGCUUUUUCACUAAUGAGAAGCAUGCCAAGAUAUAUACAAAACUGGAACUCAGAGAUUCUGUAUAAUUUCUAAGCCAUAUCCAUGUCAUAGAGGCAAAAAAGCACUCACACUUUGCAGGAUUAUUAUUUUUUUAAUUAAAAUUUUUUUAAAAAAAUAAAAAAUUAUUAUUUAAAAUAAAAAACAUUUUAAAAAGGAAAGUAUGUUAUUGUUUCCAAUAUUCACGUGUUUACAUUUUAUAGGCAUCUUCUUCCGAGCUUCAUAAUAGGGGUGGUGACUCCAAACGUUAACUUCCUAGCAAUAUUUAUACCUUUUUGAUAAUUAGAUACACCACUGAUUUUUGGUUUUAUAAUAUGAUCACUUCAUGUUUAUCAUGAUAAGUCAAAACAAUUAUACAUAUAAAAGUCAUAAAUAUUCCAUCUUAAUUAAGCAAACUUGAUAGAUAUAACUUUAAGAUAUGAGGCAAAGAGUUAGCAGGGAGUAACUGGAGAUAGAAGACCUGAUAUUUGCCUCAUCACUAGGCAGAGAGCAACAUACGCCCUUUUAAUAUCAAAAAGCUAAAUUAGCAGCCUUUGAGGUUACUUAAAUUAAAUAUUUAUUUAUUUAUUCAUUUAUUUCCAAAUAUUUACCUUAAGAAUGAUAAAUGGGUGCACUGGUUAUAGCUAAUCUGUAAUAUAAAAGAUUUAUAGGUAUUGUUUGAUAUAUGAUUUUGAUUUUCUUUUUAAAACCAUAUUUUUAAAUAGACACAUAAAAUUUAUUGGUUUGGAUAAAAAGUUUAAUUAUUUGAUAAUCUAAGAUUUUUAAUACUAGGAAGCUCGCCACAUAUAUGUCACAAGCAAGCAAUUAUUUGGUUGAAUAAGAGAUACACACACUGAGUGUGAAAGUUUACACACUUCAAAGUUUAGUUAAAGAUAAGAAAAUAAUUGUUAAACCGUGUUUAUUUUAAAAAACUUAAAAUUUAAAAUUUAACUAAAUAAGAUAUUGAUUGAGUGGAAUUUAAUCGAUCAAUCAAAUCAAUCUAGUUCAUAUUUAAUUGGAUUAUUAAAAAAAAUGAAAUGAUAUUAUUUUAAUAAAAUAAUUAAUCUAGUUUAUAUCUAAUUAUUUUUUAUUUAAAAUAUAGUUUUAAUAUUAACACAUUGAAAUGAAAACGAUAUAAAAAUAUUAAAAUAAAUUUAAUUUAAAAUUAAAUAAAAAAAAUUAAAGUUUUAUAAAAAAUGACUGCACCAUGUCUAGUCAUAUAAGUUAACAGAUGUGUUUAGAUGGGAGGUAAAUUGUGUUUUUUUAGGUUAAAAGUAUAUUUUUUAAACUUUUGAAAAUAUAAUUUAUACUUAAUGUAAUAAGUUUGGGUUGCUUCCUGGCAACUUCCUUCCUUCCUAUCAAACAAUACGUUAAUUAAUUAUUAUUAUUGAGGCGACCGCGCUACUGUAACAUUCUCUUCCACAUCUCAUCUCAUCUCACAAUUCCCUGUUUUCCUUUCCACAUCUCAUGAUCAGUGCGAACUAGAUUUAUGUAUGCUGCAACUUUAUUAUUUUUCUAAGCCAUAUAUUCUUCUCUGAUCUGUGAUUUCUCUUCCUUUUCUUUUGGCUGAUCACUGCUUAAGCAAGCCAGCUAGCACUUGAAGAACAUCUUGAAUCCAGGUAUAUUAAUUGUACUUCAUCUUGUCUGAAUCUUUAAAGUAAUCCAUGAUAAAUUAAUCGAUCUUUUUCUCAGAUUUUGUAAUCCAUGCCCUGUGGUGUUCAUACUGAUUAAAUUAACCCUAAACGUUGAAUUCAUUGUUUUCGUCUUUUCAAAAUUCUUUGCUGUUUUUAACUCCUUAUAUAUGGGAUUUCUUUUCCAAUACUAGAUUUUGUAAUCCAUGCCCUGUGGGACUGCCAUUAAUUAUUUUUAUCCAAUAUUUUUCUGACAUAAUGAUUCAAUGAAGUUGUCUCUUACUGAUUCAUGAAUUAACUUGAUCAGUAUUAAUUACCUUUCAUUAAACUUGUUUACAACAAGUGACAAAUAAUUUAGCAUUAAAACACAGAAUUAAAUAAUUAACAGCAACAUUUAUAUUUCCUAUUUUUCAUCCGAAUUUCUUUAACAGCUAUAUAUAUAUUCUUAUCUAAUCUGUGCUUUCUGUUCUUUUUUAAACCUCAGAUGGAAGGAGUCCCACCGUCUUGUAAUGAGGAUGAUGUCAACUUGACAUCGAAUCAGUUCGAUUUUCAAUCACCAGAAGAUUCAUUCAAUAUUUCUGAGUUUCUCUCGUACGUCAUUCUUAAGCAUAUUUUAUCAGAAGAUGAUUACUUGCAAUUUAGUUAUUCUACAGUUUUUCUUAUUAUUCCCGUAAAAGAAUAAUGUUCCUAAUAACAAAUUAAGCAGGACGCCACCGGAGUUUCCAGGCAACCAAAGCUUCAUGUUAUGCAAUGAUCAUGUUGGUCAGAACAUGGUGGUGGAUAACAAUGUGAUCAACGAUAGUAUUCAACAAACAACUGAUCGGUUUCCACCUUCAUUUCCUCAAACCAUGGUGAGUGCUCAUGCCUACUCCAAUUUGCUACAAUUUCCAUUGAAUUAGCAAGUGUUUGUAUCACCCAUUGGAUCAAAAAGUUUUAUGUUUUCGUGUAUCAAUUUAUCUCAAGCAUCUUCAAAAUGUUUAUUGUUAAACAAACAGACAACAAUGGGAGAUUUAGAUGGAACAUCAUCGUCAUGGAUCAACCAAAAUGAACCAAAUUGGCCUCAAGCUCCACCAAGGUACAUAAUAUUCAUCAUUAUUUAACUUCUUCUUCUUGUUCACACUAAAUGAAUUCAUUAUAUUUGAAUAUAGGUGUCAGCCUAAUCCUAAUUUAUUUGAUCCUCAAUGUGCCAAUCCUUUGAGGUAAGCUAAAAUGAUAUCAAAUGCUUAGUGGAUUAAUAGCAAAGAAUUAUGCAUAUGUAUAAAGAAAUCACUAACAAAUGUUGCUAAUUUAGGGACCAGCAAUGGACUCAUUAUCAGUUACCAUUGAGCAAUCAAGUGCCUGCGAUGUUACCUGUACCUCAACCUCCAAUGAAUCAACGGUAUUCACCUCAAAUAUACACUUUUUUAAUCAUGAAAACAAUAAACUUGACUAAAAUUGACAAGGUCGAGGAUCUUCCAAGUCUUUUUGAGCUCUCCAUCUCUCUUUUUUGUGAGAAUAACAGUUCUAUGUUUAACUAUUUGAAUAUUAUUCAGGCAUCAGAACUCCUUUAUUCAUCAACCUCGGCCGGGACAUGGCUAUAUGACACCGAACGCAACCACUUCUCAACAUGGUGGCUUCAAUCAAUCUGGACCUUCUUCUCCUGCUCCCUGGUAUCCAAUUUUUCAUUUUUAGUAUUUUCUGUAAUAAAAACAAUUAGUUUUUCUAGCAAGAUAAUCAUAAGUUUGUUUACGAAUGAUUUUGGAUUUAGGAUUCAAACUUUUUGUAAUGAAGGACAAGUAGAUCAAGCUACUGUAAUUCCUAACAUGGACAAUAUGCAACAAGAGAACUUCGUGCCUAGGUACUAAUUGACUUCUAGCUGUUAUGUUUUAACACCGUAUUAAUACCUUUUUUAAUAAAAACAAUUAGUUUUUCUAGCAAGAUAAUCAUAAGUUUGUUUAGAUACACCAUUGAUUUUUAUUGCUUAAGAGAGACUGCCAAUUAUCAAAUGGUUUUAUAACAUGAUCACUUCAUUUUUAUAUAGGUCACAGAUGGAUAACCUACAAGUCCGAGGAUUGCAAAAUCAAAUUGCUAGGCCAAAUGCCUCAAAUACUCAACAAGUAAGAAGUCUAACUGAAUUAUCGUCGUCUUUUCCCCCUAUGAUUGUGCAAUAAACAAACUAUCAAUUUUAAUAGCAAAAUAAGGGUAGCUUCCAUCAAUUUUUAUUCUUUAUUUUGACCCCGGUUUUUUUUCUAUAGGUCGAAACGGUUGGAUCAAAGUAUCCAUUUCGGAUUCAUGUUGAAUAUAGGGCUGAUGGUAGCAUGAAGUGUAAGUUUUGUCAACGUACAUGGGCCAAUAAAACUUCCAUUUCAAGGUUCAAAUGGCAUUUAUCAGGAGAGGAAGGGCGUGGUGUUGCCAUUUGUCGUGGGGUGACUAAAGAAGUUAAAGAAGCAGCCUUUCUAGCUAUAUGUGGUGGCCACAAAAGACAAAAAAUCACAGCAAGUUCAGUCAAUGUUAAUGACUGUGGAAUUCCAACUUGUCUACAAGAACUAAACAUUGAGAAUGAAAAUACGGGAGGUGUUGGAAGGGUACAAAGAGAAGUUCAGGUUGUAGAACCCGGAGUAGUGGAAGAGAGGAUUUCUUCACAUGCAAUAGCAGGAAACGACGUAGUAAGCAUGACCGGAAUGAGAGCACAAGAAGAUAGAGUUUCCGAAGGGGCACUCGAGAGUAGACUGAGGACAGAACCAGUGGAUCGAUCGUUGGAACAAAGCAAUGCAGUACUUGGCAAUAUGGCAGGGGGUGCUGGAAGGAUACAAGUGGGAGUUCAGGUCAUGGAACAAGGUCCCGGAGAAGAGAGAAUUCAGUCGCAUCUACAAGCGGAAAAUGGCAUGGAAAACACUUGUGAAGGAUCUUUUCAGCAUGAUGCAUUUGAGACUGUACCAAGAACAGAGCAAGUGCAGCUUCUGGAGCCUCGAGGAGAUUCAUCCCAAUUUUGUCGUGACAUUGGAAGAUGUUAUGAUCAACCUUGUGCUCCAUCAGUAAACAAUGAUGCAAAUAGGCAUGAUGCGCAGGACAUGGUUAGAGUGAGGACACAACCANNNNNNNNNNNNNNNNNNNNNNNNNNNNNNNNNNNNNNNNNNNNNNNNNNNNNNNNNNNNNNNNNNNNNNNNNNNNNNNNNNNNNNNNNNNNNNNNNNNNNNNNNNNNNNNNNNNNNNNNNNNNNNNNNNNNNNNNNNNNNNNNNNNNNNNNNNNNNNNNNNNNNNNNNNNNNNNNNNNNNNNNNNNNNNNNNNNNNNNNNNNNNNNNNNNNNNNNNNNNNNNNNNNNNNNNNNNNNNNNNNNNNNNNNNNNNNNNNNNNNNNNNNNNNNNNNNNNNNNNNNNNNNNNNNNNNNNNNNNNNNNNNNNNNNNNNNNNNNNNNNNNNNNNNNNNNNNNNNNNNNNNNNNNNNNNNNNNNNNNNNNNNNNNNNNNNNNNNNNNNNNNNNNNNNNNNNNNNNNNNNNNNNNNNNNNNNNNNNNNNNNNNNNNNNNNNNNNNNNNNNNNNNNNNNNNNNNNNNNNNNNNNNNNNNNNNNNNNNNNNNNNNNNNNNNNNNNNNNNNNNNNNNNNNNNNNNNNNNNNNNNNNNNNNNNNNNNNNNNNNNNNNNNNNNNNNNNNNNNNNNNNNNNNNNNNNNNNNNNNNNNNNNNNNNNNNNNNNNNNNNNNNNNNNNNNNNNNNNNNNNNNNNNNNNNNNNNNNNNNNNNNNNNNNNNNNNNNNNNNNNNNNNNNNNNNNNNNNNNNNNNNNNNNNNNNNNNNNNNNNNNNNNNNNNNNNNNNNNNNNNNNNNNNNNNNNNNNNNNNNNNNNNNNNNNNNNNNNNNNNNNNNNNNNNNNNNNNNNNNNNNNNNNNNNNNNNNNNNNNNNNNNNNNNNNNNNNNNNNNNNNNNNNNNNNNNNNNNNNNNNNNNNNNNNNNNNNNNNNNNNNNNNNNNNNNNNNNNNNNNNNNNNNNNNNNNNNNNNNNNNNNNNNNNNNNNNNNNNNNNNNNNNNNNNNNNNNNNNNNNNNNNGAAGAGAAUUCGAAGGUGAUAUGGUCUUUGUUAAUGGAUGGGGAAGUCUUAAGCAUGGGUAUUUAUGGGAUGGGGGGAGUUGGUAAAUCCACAAUACUUCAACAUAUCUACAAUGAACUUCUACAAAAACCAGAUAUUUGUGAUCAUGUUUGGUGGGUGACCGUGUCUCAAGAUUUCAGCAUUAAUAGAUUGCAGAAUCUUAUUGCUAAACAUCUUGAUCUAGACCUUUCAAGAGAAGAUGAUGAUCUGUAUAGAGCUGCCAAAUUGUCAGAAGAACUAAUGAAGAAACAAAAAUGGAUUCUCAUUUUAGAUGAUUUGUGGAACAAUUUUGAGCUACACAAAGUGGGAAUUCCUGAGAAGUUAGAAGGAUGCAAGCUGAUUAUAACAACUCGAUCAGAAAUGAUUUGUCAUCAGAUGGCUUGCCAGCACAAAAUCAAAGUGAAGCCACUUUCUAAUGGAGAAGCUUGGACUUUGUUCAUGGAGAAACUUGGACGUGAUGUAGCACUUUCACCAGAAGUGGAAGGAAUUGCGAAAGUUGUUGUAAGGGAAUGUGCUGGUUUGCCAUUGGGAAUUAUUACAGUGGCAGGAAGCUUGAGGGGAGUGGAUGAUCUACAUGAGUGGAGGAAUACAUUGAAUAAACUGAAAGAAUCAGAAUUUAGGGACAUGGAUGAGAAGGUAUUCAAGUUAUUGAGGUUUAGUUAUGAUCAGUUAGGUGAUUUAGCACUACAACAAUGUCUCUUGUACUGUGCAUUAUUUCCUGAAGAUGAUGAUAUUGAAAGGGAGGAGUUGAUAGGUUAUUUGAUCGACGAGGGAAUAAUUAAAGGAAAAAGGAGAAGGGAAGAUGCAUUUGACGAGGGCCACACGAUGCUUAAUAAACUUGAAUAUGUGUGCCUAUUAGAAAGAGCUCAAAUGAUGUUUGGUUGUAGAUGUGUCAAGAUGCAUGAUUUGAUUAGGGACAUGGCCAUCAAAAUACUGCUAGAGAACUCUCAAGGCAUGGUCAAAGCAGGUGCACAAUUAAAAGAGUUGCCAGAUACAGAGGAGUGGACGGAGAAGCUGACGAGAGUUUCAUUAAUGCAAAACGAGAUCAAAGAAAUUCCUUCCAGCCAUUCACCUAGGUGUCCCUUUCUAUCAACUCUAUUGCUAUGUCGUAAUCGUUGGUUGGGAUUUAUUUCGGAUUCAUUUUUCAAGCAAUUGCAUGGGCUCAAGGUCCUCGAUCUGUUUUACACGAGUAUUGAAAAUUUGCCAGACUCUGUCUCUGAUUUGGUGAGCCUCACAGCAUUAUUGCUCAAUGAUUGUAAGAAAUUAAGACAUGUUCCAUCAUUAGAGAAGCUCACGGCACUGAAGAGGUUGAAUCUCUCUCGUACUGCACUUGAAAAGAUGCCGCAAGGAAUGGAAUGCCUAACCAACCUGACGUAUCUUAGAAUGAAUGGAUGUGGUGAAAAGGAGUUUCCUAGGGGGAUAUUACCAAAACUCUCUCACCUGCAAGUCCUUGUACUAGAAGACUUUUUUGAUGGAAGUUAUGCUCCGAUAACAGUUGAAGGAAAGGAAGUAGGAUCCUUGAGAAAUUUGGAAAGUUUGGAAUGCCAUUUCGAAGGUUUUUCUGACUUCGUGGAGUAUGUCAGAUCUUGGGAUGGGAUCCUAUCAUUAAGCACAUACAGAAUUUUAGUAGGAAUGGUGGGUGGAUUUAUAGGUCAACACAUUGAAUAUUUUCCAAGUAAAACAGUUGGGUUGGGUAAUUUGAGUAUCAACGGAGAUAGAGAUUUUCAGGUCAAGUUCUUAAAUGGCAUUCAAGGAUUGAUUUGUGGAUGCAUCGAUGCAAGAAGUUUAUGUGAUGUUUUCUCAUUAGAGAAUGCAACUGAACUGAAGCUCAUCAGCAUUUGGAAAUGCCAUAACAUGGAGAAGCUGUUCCCGCUUGUGUUGCUGCCAAACCUCGUAAACCUGGAAAGGAUUGAAGUGAUGUUCUGUGAGAAAAUGGAGGAGAUAAUAGGAACAACAGAUGAAGAAAGCAACACCUCCAAUUCCAUCAAGGAAGUCAUUCUCCCAAAGUUAAGAUUUCUGAAAUUGAUUGGGUUACCAGAACUGAAAAGCAUUUGCAGUGCAAAACUGAUUUGCAAUUCUAUUAAACAUAUUAUUGUAAGGUGGUGUGAGAAGUUGAAGAGGAUACCAAUUUGUCUUCCGUUGCUUGAAAAUGGCCAGCCAUCUCCUCCCCCUUCUCUUGAAAAUAUCUAUUCAAGUCCAGAAGAAUGGUGGGAGACAGUAGUGGAGUGGGAGCAUCCUAAUGCAAAGGAUGUCCUUCGUCCCUUUGUAUGCUACUGAAUUGUCAUAUGUAUGCUACUGAAUUGUCAUAUAUAUAUUUUAUCUCGAUAGAUAAAUAAUUAUAAUUUGAAUUUUGAUUAAUAUUAUAUUUUCAUCCUAUUGAGUUUCUCCAAGAUGAAAAUCCAAAAAAAAAAAGAAACUAUAUUGAUUUAUCAUUAAAGUAACCUAAUAAAAUAAUAAAUCUAUUCACUAUUAUAAAUCAUCAGUGAAAGUAUUCUUCUACACACAUUUUUAAAAUGUCUAAGAGAUAUCACAUUAAAGUAACCUAAUAAAAUAAUAAAUCUAUAUAUAUUUUUAAAAUGUCUAAAAGAGAGUAUGAAUAUGGCAGUUUUGGUUUCUAAACCUGAAACUGCCAUAUUCAUAAACACAUUUUUUAAAUAACUGAAACUUCUAAGACCAAAUUUAAUACUAAAAUUAGAAAGUAGCAUAGGCGUGAUUUUUAAAAUUUUGAUCCCUAUAAUUAUUAUCUUUUUUAUUUUUAAUUUUAAUCUAAAAUAUUUUUAAAUAGUUAAGAUUAAAUAAUUUUUUAACUUAAAACAAUUCAACUUCAAUAAAAUAUCAAAAUAUUAUGAAAUUAAAAUAUUUUAACACUAAUAUUUUAAAUAUAAAGUUAGGUCAAUGUUAUCAAGUCUAAUGAGAUCUAAAACAUCCAUUUAUUUUGCUUAAAUUCCUACAAAGUAUAAACUUGAAAAAAAAUAACAUGAAUAUAAACCAUAUAUAUUAGUGAUAAAUCUAAUUUUAAAAAAUUAAUAUAAUAGUUAAUGAAAAUAGUAAUGAAAAAGAGCUUUUUAUACUUUGAUAGUUUAAUUAAUUAAUUGAACCAGGUUCAAUUUGAUUUAAUGGCUUUUUAAGACCGGAACAGAAUAUAUGGAAUGAAACCGGAACAUUUUGAACGGAAUUUAGCCAAAAAAUCUGGAAGAAACCGAGAUUUAAAAUGAGAUAAAAAUUAUUUUAUUUUAUUUUAUUUUUUAAAUUAGUAUGAAAUCAUUACAAAUAAAACGAAACAAAAUUAACAACUUUCAUUUUAAUAUUGAUUUAAUAAAAAGAACUCCUAAAGCAUGUACGUGGCUGCCAAAAAAGAAAUCCUAAAAUUAACUCAAUUGGAAAAGAUCACGGUAUUUACUACCAAGAUUGUUAUGCUCGCAAUCAAAAUGUAAUUUGUUUUUGUACUCAGAAUUAUGUUUGAUUACAUUUAAAAAUAUAUUUAUUAAAAAAAUAUUAAAUUAAUAUUUUUAAUAUUUUUUUAUAUAUUAAUAUUAAAAAUAAAAAAAUAUUUUGAUUACUGCAUCUCCACCCAACUUAAAUCCAUGCAUUAUGAAGAGGUAAAAAAAAGUAAGGUUUUUUCUUUCUUUUUUUCCUCAAUGGAACACUCAGGACAUUAAAUAGAAUAACUUCAAGAAAAACUAAAAACGAAUAAGAAGCUCACGAAUAGUUAAGAGACGUAUUCACACCUAUUUCAUUGUAAAUUAUAAUAAGUAAUCCAAUGUGUUUUUUUUUCUUUUAUUUUUUAAAAUUUAUUUUUGUUUAUUUCAUACUGGAUGGUUUAAAAUUCAACUUUAUAAUUUAUUUAUUUUUAUUCUAUCUUUUUAUAAAAUUAACGUGAUUUAUACUAGUUUACUGGUUUAAUGAAGUAUUUUUUUUAUUUAUUAAUUAAAAAAAAGCUAAACAGUGUGGGAAAAUCAAUAUUCACCCACACCCAUUCACUCACUGAUCGAAUAUGUUUUUUUUUAUUUUUUAAUUUUUUUAAUUGUUUUUUUUUAAAUUUUGACCUUCAAUAUUAGAUUGGUUUGAAAAUAGACUAUAUGAUUUAUUUAUUUAUUUUAUUUUUAAUAUUAAUACAUUAAAAUUAUAAAAAAACAUUAAAAAAAUCUAUUUAUCUUUUUUGAAAAAAAAACUAAAAACAAAAGCAAUCACCUGCUCUUAAUUAAUCACAUAUUUAAUAUGUCAUUGUUAAAGCACACGUUUUUCAAUAAAAUUGAAUUUUUUUCUUUUUAAAUUUUUUUUUUUUAUCAAAAAUAAAUUUUAAAAAAUAAAAAACAUUUUAAAAAGGAAAGUAUGUUAUUGUUUCCAAUAUUCACGUGUUUACAUUUUCUAGGCAUCUUCUUCCGAGCUCCAUAAUGGGGGUGGUCCACACGUUAACUUCCUAGCAAUAUUUAUACCUUCAUAAUUGGGGUGGUCCACACUAAUCAUUUUUGUAAUGAUUGUAAUUCUUAUUCAAUAAUCGAUUGUAAGAAAAAUCGAAGACUAACAUGAACUCAUAGAAAGAAAUAGCGUUUAUUAAUAUGAAAUAUUUCUUUUUUAUAUAGUGUGCUUACAAUUACAUAAAUAAUAUUUAAAAUAAAAUUUCAUACCUUUAUUUAUUUUUCUCGUGUCAUCUUAGUCUUAUUUGGGGUAAAAAAAUUCAAAUUCAUUCUAUUUUUUUAAUUUUCCUUAUGAUUUUUUAAUUUUUAUUUUAAAGCUUUUUAGGUUUUAUGAACAAUAUAAAAAAAAACUAAAAAGAUUGGUUAGUCCACUAUACAUGAAGACACAUGUUCCUAUGCAUUAUAUUAAGGGUUUGUUUAAUAGUGUGGUAAAAAUUAUAUUGCAAAAUGUUUUUUUGUUUAGAAAUAUAUUAAAAUAAUAUUUUAAAUUUUUUAAUUUUUUUUAAUAUUAUCACAUUAAAAAAAUAGAAAAACACACAAAAAAUAAUUUAAAUUUUAUUUUUUCCAAAAUGGUAAUGAGCAUUUUUCCAAUCUGUUGGGGGUGAUGUUGGUGGGCUUGGUGCUGCCUCAAGUAGCUUUCCAAAGUUUUAACAUUACAGUUUAUAGCUCCAAUUCUUUUGCACAUUACCUUGCUUUCCCUGAGCGUUGGCAUGACAAUACCUAUCAUCUUUUAGAUGAAGGGUGUGUUUAAGAAUAUGAUUAUAGUUUUUUUUAUGAUGUUUUUUAUGUUAAAAUAUAUUAAAAUAAUAUUUUUUUAUUUUAUAAUUUUUUUUAAAUCAGCGUAUCAAAAUAUUAAAAAAAAUUAAUUUUUAGUAAAAAAAAUUAAUUUUUUAAAAACACGAAUACAACCUCGUUUCCAAACACUCUAAAAAACUAACACUCUUUCCUCGCAACAGGAGACCUGCUGGGCAUCAGACCGUCAAAAUCCCAUGCAUUUUUUUGCUGUUCUUCAUGAAGUUCUAUUGUCGGUCCUGCUUUGCCAGCAUCAGUCUCCUUCACUAGCCACAUGCAGAUCUUUGCUUUUUAUUUCAUCUGUUUAAAUUUUUUUUUGAAAAAGAAGAAGAUUUAUAAGCACUUAUAUUAAUUAUUGUACAUGUAAUAUUUUCACAGAAAAGAAUAUUGUAAUGUUAAAUACGUACACGGCGUCUCUCUGUUUUUUUUUUUUUAAAGCAUUUUUGUUUUUAAUUUCAUUAUAAUAAUUUAUUUCAAAAAGCUUAUUAUGAAGCUCUCACAGUUUAAGAAAAAACAUUUCAAUGUAGAGUUGAAGCUCUCACAGACAAGUCAAGGCCCAGAGUCGUGAAAUUCACUUUGAACCAGCCUUAAAAACGUGUGGGACAUUUGAAAAGAGUGGGGCUGCCUAAUUUGAAAAGAGGGGCAUUUGGCGUAAAGGAGACGUGUGGGCAUUUUUUUUUCAUUUGAUGUUUUUUUUGGUUACUUUUGUAUGCUUUCCUCUGUUCCUAAUAUCCACCUCAGCAUGUAGCAUCCCUCUGUUAUGAACACCAUGGGUAUAUUGGUAAAAUAGAAAAACAUUCACUAUAAUUUGUCUCACAAAAGUUUCAUGGUUAAGUAAAAUCACUCUGCUCUAAUAUACACACUCAAAGGCAGAAGCAUAAGAACUGCAACUUAAACCCACACAUAAACUCUGUUUGUUUUUAUAUUUUUAAAAUGUUUUUAAAAGAAUUUAAAUGUCAUAACUUGUUUAUUUUUACAGUUACAAUGUAUUUUUUAAAAAUAUAUUUUUAAUAUUUUUUUAAUUAUUUUGAUAUUAUGAUAUAAAAUAUAAAAAAUUUAAAAAUAUUAUUUUAAUAUAUUUCUAAAUAAAAAAUAAUUUUUUGAAAAUUUUACAGCAUGCAUAAAUAUUCUAUUCUUUUGUGAAAAUUUCAUGUGUUUAUAUUUUCUUGGCAGCUUCUUCGAAGUUUCAACAUUGGGGGGUCCACACGUCAACUUUUUAUAUCUUAUAAUAUAAUAUUUGUGUUUCGCAUGGAGUUUUUAUUAAAAUAUAAAUUAUAUUUUUUAAAAUUAAAAAUAUAUAUUUGAUAUAAAAAAAAACCAAAAUAAUCUCCAAACCAAACACUCUGAUGUUUGGUAGGUGAGCGGUGGGUUGCUUCCUGAAAACUUCCUUCCAAUCAAGCAAUACGUUAAUUAAUUAUUAUUUGAGCUGAUUAUUUUAUUUUUAAUUUUAUAUUCAUGGGAAUUUGAGGUUAAUAAUUUAUUUUAAUUAAUUAUAAAGUUCUCAAGGUAAAAAAAAAAAAAAAAAGCUUCAACGAUUAAUUUAAGUUGGUAUUUGAUUUGAUACCAUUUUAUUCAAUUUAAUUCAUUAAAAAUAAUUGAAACUUUGAACACCAAAUAUGAUACUGAAAUCAAAAAGUAGCCUGGUGUGUUUUUCAAAAUUCUGUUCCCUAGAGUUUUUGCAUUUUGCAUUUUAAUUUUGAUUUUUAAUUUUAAUUCAAAAUUUUAUUUUAUUAAUUUUUUAAUUUAUGAAUUUGAGAUAAAAAAAUUCACUAAAAACCUCGGAAAAAAUGGAAAAUUAUUGGCCGACAAUUUUGGCAACAAAAAAAACACGAUAAUCCUUGUAUUAAUGGAAAACUAGUGUGCAGAUUGGAUAGCAAAUCAUACUUUAUAGGUCGAGGGCUAAAAAUAUAAAUUUCCAUUGGUGUAGAAAAGUUCAGGUAUACUAUCAUAAAAUAAGAUAAUGGUUGAUGGUGGGAUAAUAAUUGUUUUUAAAUUAUAUUUUUAUUUGAAAAUAUAUUAAAAUAAUAAUUUUUUAUUUUUUAAAAUUUAUUUUUAAUAUUAAAAUAUCAAAAUAAUCUAAAAAUAUAAAAAAAAUUUAAUUUAAAAUAACAAAAAUAUCAAGUUUUUUAAAAAACAUGAUUCAACUGUGAAAUUAUUAUUAUUUUUGUCGGGGUGUUGGUUGUCUAGGUAGGGCCAGAAAGGUCAUGGGAUGGAGAGUUGCUGAUAAUCUCAUUAACCAUGACAUGGCUCAAAUGUGGGAGACUAAUUAAAAGUCUGUAAAGUUGUAUAAAUGUUUGUAAUUAAUAUUUUUGAAUUGUUUUUAUGUGGUAAUAUAAAAAAAAAAUUAAAAAAUUAUUUUAAUAUAUUUUUAAAUAAAAAAUGAUUUUUUUAAAAAAACUUCACACAAUACAAAAAUAUGCUAUUCUUUUUUAUAUUCAUGUGUUUACAUUUUCUUGGCAGCUUCUUCAAAGUGUCAACAUGGAGGCGGGUCCACACGUUAACUUUCUGUACCUUACUAAUAAAUAAUAUUAUGUAAAAGAGAUAGCGGCUGUAACGUUCUCUUCCACAUCUCAUCUCAUUAUUUUCCUUUCCUUUAUUAUUUUUCUAAACCAUAUAUUCUUCUCUGACCUGUGAUUUCUCUUCCUUUUCUUUUGGCUGACCACUGCUCAAGCAAACCAGCUAGCACUUGAAGAACAUCUUGAAUCCAGGUAAAUUAUUUGUCAUUCAUCUUGUCUGAAUCUUUAAAGUAAUCCAUGAUAAAUAGAUAGAUCUUUUUCUCAGAUUUUAUAAUCCAUGCCAUGUGGUGUUCAUACUGAUUAAAUUAACCCUAAACGUUGAAUUCAUUGUUUUCGUCUUUUCAAGAUUGUUUGCUGUUUUUAACUCCUUAUUUUAGAUUCACCCUUUUCUUUUCCAAUUAAUGGGACUGCCAUUUAUUUUUAUUCAAUAUUUUUCCACUUUCUUUUUCUUACAAUGAUUCAAUGUACUAUCUUGAUCGGUAAUUACCUUUCAUUAAACAAAAUAAGAAUAUUUAAAAUAUCAAAUGUGUUCAAGGGAUUCCGACUAUCUAUCUGCUGUUUGUAGAAUUUAAGCACUUUUUUCAUUAGUCACUUUUAUAAACUCAUUUAAUAUUUGCCUUUAUUCUUUUUAUUUGCUUCAAUGUGGAAUCGACACUCCAGAGAAUGUGAGAUUUUUUUUUUCUUUGCUAUGUGCUUUCUGUUCUUUUUUCACCUCAGUAUGUACUAAUCAUCUUGUACUUGUGGUCAGACGGAAAGGUUCCUCCCAUCUUCUAUGGAUGACUUGGCAGAGUUCGAUACUGAAUCACUACUUCUCUCGUAAGUCAUUCUUAAGCAUAUUUUAUCAAAAGAUGAUUGCUUGCAGUUUAGUUAUUCUUCAGUUUAUCCUAUAUAUUAUUCCAUGGAAGCAGGACGGCACCGGAGGUUCCAGUCAACCAAGGCUCCAUAUCAUGCAAUGAUCAAGGUGGACAGAACAAUGUGAUCAACGAUAGUAUUCAACAAACAACUCAGUUUCCACCUUCAUUUCCUGAUCAAACCAUGGUGAGUACUCAUGCUUCCUCCAAUUUGCUACCAUGUCCAUUGAAUUAAGCAUCAUAAUUCCUUUAUUCAUCAACCUCAGACGGGACAUGGCAAUAUGACACCGAACGCAACCACAUCACAACAUGGUGAAGUCAAUCAACCUGGACCUUCUUCUCCUGCUCCCUGGUAUCCAAUUUUUCAUGUUUAGUAUUUUCUGAAAAAAAAAAAAGUUUUUCAAUCAUUAUUUAACUUCUUCUUCUUCCUCUUGUUGUUGUACUUAUCAGUGAAUUCAUUAUGUUUGAAUAUAGGUAUCAGCCUUAUCCCAAUUUAUUUGAUCCUCAAUGUGCCAAUCCCAUGUUACCCGCACCAUCAAUGCCUUUGAGGUAAGCUAAAAUGAUAUCAAAUGCUUAGUGGAUUGAUAGCUAACAAUUAUGCAUAUGUAUAAAGAAAUCACUAACAAAUGUUGCUAAUUUAGGGACCAACAAUGGACUGAUUAUCAGUUACCAAUGAGCAAUCAAGUGCCUGCGAUGUCACCUGGACCUCAACCUCCAAUGAAUCAAUGGUAUUAACCUCGAAUAUACACUUUUUUAAUCAUGAAAACAAUGAACUUGACCAAAAUUGACGAGGAUCUUUCAAGUCUUUUUGAGCUCUCUAUCUCUCUUUUUUGUGAGAAUAACAGUUCUAUGUUUAACUAUUUGAAUAUUAUUCAGGCAUCAGAACUCCUUUAUUCAUCAACCUCAGUCGGGACAUGGCUAUUUGACACAGAACGCAACCACUUCACAACAUGGACCUUCUUCUCCUGCUCCAUGGUAUCCAAUUUUUCAUUUUUAGUAUUUUCAGUAAUAAAAACAAUUAGUUUUCCUACAUAGUAUUAAUACCUUUUUGAUAAUUAGAUACACCAUUGAUUUUUAGUGCUUAAGAGAGACUACCAAUUAUCGAAAGGUUUUAUAAUAUGAUCAUUUCAUUUAUAUAUAGGUCACAGAUGGAUAACCUCCAAGUCCGAGGAUUGCAAAAUCAAACUGCUACGCCAAAUGCCUCAAAUCCUGGCCCUGACACUUCCUUGCAAAGUCAAAAUAGGGGUUUAAAUUCUCAACAAGUAAGAAGUCUAACUGAAUUAUUGUCGUCUUUUUUCCCCCUAUGAUUAUGCUAUAAACUAACUAUCGAUUUUAAUAGCAAAAUAGGGGUAACAGCACUGAAGUAGUUUCUCAUCCAUCCAGAUAUGAUUUUUAUUCUUUAUUUUGACUGAUUUUGACCUCCCCUUUUUUUCCGUAGGUCGAAAUGGUUGGAUCAAAUGAUCCGUUUUGGAAUUAUGUUGAAUAUAGGGCUGAUGGUAGGAUGAAGUGUAAGUUUUGUCCACAUACAUAUGCCAAGGAUACUUCCAUUUCGAGGAUCAAAUGGCAUUUAUCAAGAGAGAGAGGGCAUAAUGUUGCCAUUUGUCCUGGGGUGACUACAGAAGUUCAAGAAAAAGCCUUUCUAGCUAUCUGUGGCGGGAACAAAAGACAGAAAAGCACAGCAAGUUCAGUCAAUGUUAAUGAGUGUGGAAUUUCAACUUGUCCACAAGAACAAAACAUUGAGAUUGAAAAUACGGCAGGAGGGAUUGGAAGGGUACAAAGAGAAGUUCAGGUUGUAGAACCCGGAGUAGGAGAAGAGAGGAUUACUUCACAUGCAAUAGCAGGAAACGACGUAGUAAGCAUGACCGGAAUGAGAGCACAAGAAGAUAGAGUUUCCGAAGGGGCACUCGAGAGCAGACAGAGGACAGAACCAGUGGAGGAGGAUGUGGAGAAUAGUCGAAGAUCAGUGCAGGUUGGUGCUGGAGCUAGAUCUUCUGAAAGUCUGGAAUACAACAAGACUAUAGGAAUUCCAUUACCUCCUAGCUCUACAAAGCUAGUGGGUCAAGCAUUCAAAGAGAAUACGAAGGUGAUAUGGUCUUUGUUAAUGGAUGAGGAUGUCUUAAGUAUGGGUAUUUAUGGGAUGGGGGGAGUUGGUAAAUCCACAAUACUGCGACAUAUCCAUAAUGAGCUUCUACAAAAACCAGAUAUUUGUGAUCAUGUUUGGUGGGUGACCGUGUCUCAAGAUUUCAGCAUUAAUAAAUUGCAGAAUCUUAUUGCUGAACGUCUUCAUCUAGACCUUUCAAGAGAAGAUGAUGAACUGCAUAGAGCUGCCAAAUUGUCAGAAGAACUAACGAAGAAACAAAAAUGGAUUCUCAUUUUAGAUGAUUUGUGGAACAAUUUUGAGCUACACGAAGUGGGAAUUCCUGAAAAGUUUGAAGGAUGCAAGCUGAUUAUGACAACUCGAUCAGAAAUGAUUUGUCAUCGGAUGGCUUGCCAGCACAAAAUCAAAGUGAAGCCACUUUCUAAUGGAGAAGCUUGGUUUUUGUUCAUGGAGAAACUUGGACGUUAUGUAGAACUUUCACCAGAAGUGGAAGGAAUUGCGGAAGCUGUUGCAAGGGAAUGUGCUGGUUUGCCAUUGGGAAUUAUUACAGUGGCAGGAAGCUUGAGGGGAGUAGAUGAUCUACAUGAAUGGAGAAAUACAUUGAACAAAUUGAGAGAAUCAGAAUUUAGGGACAUGGAUGAGAAGGUAUUCAAGCUAUUGAGGUUUAGUUAUGAUCGGUUAGGUGAUUUAGCACUACAACAAUGUCUCUUGUACUGUGCAUUAUUUCCUGAAGAUCAUGGGAUUCCGAGGGAGAUGUUGAUAGGUUAUUUGAUCGAUGAGGGGAUAAUUAAAGUAAAGAGGAGCAGGAAAGAUGCAAUUGACGAGGGCCACACGAUGCUUAAUAGACUUGAAAAUGUCUGCCUAUUGGAAAGUGCUAAAAUGUAUUAUGAUGAUAGUAGAAUUGUCAAGAUGCAUGACUUGAUUAGGGACAUGGCCAUCCAAAUACUGCAAGACAACUCUCAAGUCAUGGUUAAAGCAGGUGCACAAUUAAAAGAGUUGCCAGAUGCAGAGGAAUGGACGGAGAAUCUGACGAUAGUCUCACUAAUGCAAAACGAGAUCGAAGAAAUUCCUUCCAGCCAUUCACCAAUGUGUCCAAAUCUGUCCACUCUAUUUCUAUGUGAUAAUAAAGGGUUGAGAUAUGUUGCGGAUUCAUUUUUCAAGCAAUUGCAUGGGCUCAUGGUCCUCGAUCUGUCUCGCACAGGUAUUGAAAAUUUGCCAGACUCUGUCUCUGAUUUGUUGAGUCUCACUGCAUUCUUGCUCAAUGAUUGUCGGGAGUUAAGACUUGUUCCAUCAUUAAAGAAGCUCAGGGCAUUGAAGAGGUUGGAUCUCUCUUGGACUAUGCUUGGAAAGAUGCCGCAAGGAAUGGAAUGCCUAACCAACCUGAGGUAUCUUAGAAUGAAUGGAUGUGGUCAAAAGGAGUUUCCUAGUGGGAUAUUACCAAAACUCUCUCACCUGCAAGUCUUUGAACUAGAACGGUUUCCGGUGCUUCCAAUAACAGUUAAAGGAAAGGAAGUAGGAUCCUUGAGAGUCUUUGAACUAGAACGGUUUACGGCGCUUCCAAUAACAGUUAAAGGAAAGGAAGUAGGAUCCUUGAGAAAUUUGGAAAGUUUGGAAUGCCAUUUUGAAGGUUUCUCUGACUUCGUGGAUUAUCUCAGAUCUCGGGAUGGGAUCCUAUCAUUAAGCACAUACAAAAUUUUAGUAGGAGAGGUGUUUAGCUAUUCAGAGCAAUGCAUUGAAGAUUUUCCAAGUAAAACAGUUGGGUUGGGUAAUUUGAGUAUCAAUGGAGAUAGAGAUUUUCAGGUCAAGUUCUUAAAUGGCAUUCAUGGACUGGUUUGUCAAUGCAUCGAUGCAAGAAGUUUAUGUGAUGUUUUGUCAUUAGAGAAUGCAACUGAACUGGAGCGCAUCAGCAUUCGGGAAUGCCAUAACAUGGAGAGCUUGGUUUCAUCUUCUUGGUUCUGCUCUGCUCCACCACGAUUGCCACCAUAUAAUGGUAUGUUUUCUGGUCUUAAAGUGUUUUUUUGUUAUAGCUGUAAAAGUAUGAAGAAGCUGUUCCCACUUGUGCUGCUGCCAAACCUCGUAAACCUGGAAAGGAUUUAAGUGAAGCACUGGUGGAUUACUCGUGUUGGGAAAACAUUGAUGAUUUUCCAAGUAAAACAGUUGGGUUGGGUAAUUUGAGUAUCAACGGAGAUGGAGAUUUUCAGGUCAAGUUCUUAAAUGGCAUUCAAGGAUUGGUUUGUGAAUUCAUCGAUGCAAGAAGUUUAUGUGAUGUUUUGUCAUUAGAGAAUGCAACUGAACUUGAGUUCAUCGACAUUAGGCGUUGCCAUAACAUGGAGAGCUUGGUUUCAUCUUCUUGGUUCUGCUAUGCUCCACCACGAUUGCCAUCAUAUAAUGGUGCGUUUUCUGGUCUUAAAGUGUUUUGUUGUGAUGGAUGUAACAAUAUGAAGAAGCUGUUCCCACUUGUGCUGCUGCCAAACUUCGUAAACCUGGAAAGGAUUGUUGUUACUGAAUGUGAGAAAAUGGAGGAGAUAAUAGGAACAACAGAUGAAGAAAGCAGCACCUCCAAUUCCAUCACGGAAGUCAUUCUCCCAAAGUUAAGAUCUCUGAGAUUGUAUGAAUUACCAGAACUGAAAAGCAUUUGCAGUGCAAAGCUGACUUGCAAUUCUCUUAAAGAUAUUAUUGUAAUGUAUUGUGAGAAGCUGAAGAGGAUUCCAAUUUGUCUUCCGUUGCUUGAAAAUGGCCAGCCAUCUCCUCCCCCUUCUCUUAAAGAAAUCCAUGCAAGGCCAAAAGAAUGGUGGGAGACAGUAGUGGAGUGGGAGCAUCCUAACGCAAAGGAUGUCCUUCGUCCCUUUGUAAAGUAAUAUAAUAUAGUAUGCUUACAAUUACAUAAAUAACAUUUUUCAUUUUUUUUUAUUUCAUUAAAGACUACUGAAUUGUCAUAAUUUUUUUUUAACUCAAAUGAUAAAUAAUUAUAAUUUGAAGUUUGAUUAAUAUUUGUUUUUCAUCCUAUUGAGUUAUUAAACGAAAUAAGGAUAAUUAAAAUACCAAAGGUGUGCAAGGAUUCCCGACGCUCUACUGUUCGUAGAAUUCCAGUACUUUCUCCAUUAGUCACUCUGCUAUGUUUUAAUUUGCAUUUAAAAUUAAAUUUUAUUCUCUAUUAAAUCAUCUAAUAUUUUCUUCUGUUCUUUUAAUUUGUCCCCAUGUAGAAUCAAUGCUGUGAUGCCAUCACCGCAUUAUUCUUUGGAUGUAAUUAGUCAUUUAUUAUUGGUUAUUUUUUGGAUUCACUUAAAAAAACAAACACAAAAAAUAAUAAGAAUAUUUUUACCUUGGAUUUUUCUUCUUCUAGUUUAUCUCUCUAUUUCUUUAAAAUAAUAAUUAAUAAAAUGACAUUAAUUAAUUUAUAAGCACUACCUUAAUAUGUUUGAAUAUAUUUUUAAAAAUUAUUUAUAUUUAAAAUUGUGUUUGAUAUAUUUUUAAAAAUAAUUUAUCUUGAAAAAAUAUUUUUUAAUAUACUAAUAUUAAAAAUAAAAAAAAUAAUUUCAUUAAUGGAAUCUCCAAGCAACUUAAAUCCAUGCAUUAUGAAGAGGAAAAAAAAGGAAGAGAUAUCUACUACCUUAAUAUGCUAUUCUUUCUCAUAUCCACGUGUUUACAUUUUACAGGCAGCUUCUUCAAAGUUUCAACAUUAGGGGGGUCCACACGUUAACUUCCCAUAUCUUAUAAUAUAAUGUUUGGUAGGUAAGCGGCGGGUUCCUUCUUAGCAACUUCCUUCCUUGCUAUCAAACUUAUGUGAUUUUUCUAAUAUAUAUUUUUUUUGAUUUUUUGAUUUUUUUUAUUUUGUACUUUAAUAUUAGAUUGUUUUGGAAAUAAACUAUAUAAUUUAUUUUUAUUUAUUUUUUAUAGAAUUAUUAUAAUCUUAAAUAAAUAUUUAUUUUAAAUAAGCAUUUAUUUUUAUCAUAUAAUUAAAUAAAAAAUAUUAAAAUCAGUCUAUGUUAACUUUUGAAACUCGUGAUAAUAGCAAAAUUAACCACAUAGAAGGCAAAUUCAAUAAAAAAAACAAAAAUCUGACAUUUUUUCCCUAUUGUUACAUAAUCAGAUUCCAAUCCUAUGACAUAUUAUUGGGUUGGAUAGAUCAACCCAUGCCGACAUAGAUCAAUUUAAUAUAGUGUUGUUUUAAGAAUUUUGAAUUAUUUGAAAAACAAUUUGGCAUGUUUGGGAACCCAUUCUCCUAAAGGAUUGUUUGGCAAAGCGUACACUUGCAUAAAGGGAUGGUUAAGGCUCUCUUGAAAAUUAACAGGUCUCUAAAAAGUAACGAAAUUAGGAUGUCUUUGAUUCGGGCGUGUUUGGGAAUGCCAUGUUUACUUAAACUUUGAAUUUCUUUUUUAUUAUUUUUUUUUAUAUUUUUAGAUCUUUUUUAUGUGCUGAUAUCAAAAAUAAUUAUUUUAAAAUAAAAAAAUAUUAUUUUCCUGCAUUUCUAAGCGAAAAACACUUUGAACCGCAAUCAUUACCACAAUCUCAAACAAGCGGUUUGCGGUUGAAAGUGUUUUUCCCUUACAAAUGCAUCAAAAUAAUAUUUUUUAAAAAAAUUAUUUUUGAUAUCAGCACAUCAAAACGAUUUCAAAACAUAAAAAAAAUUAAUUUUAAGUAAAAAAAAUUUUAAUUUUGAGGGAACACGAUUUGCACGACGUUCCCAAACACGCUCUAAAUUAAAGUCGGAUUUUGCUCCACCGGUCUUCAACUCUGAAUAUUAAAAUUUAUUAUUCACUUGUGUCUUUGAUUUUGCCGAAUCGAGUUAAGCACACAUGACCCGAUCUUUUUUAAUCAAUUUUACAAAAAUCAAAAACUUAAAAAAUAGAAUUAGAAAUAAAAUUCCAAUAGAGUAUCAGUUUUAGCACGAAAACUAUUGUUAAAAUAUUUUUACUGUUAAGAAUUUAUGCAAAACAUUUAGAAAACUAAUUCAGGGAUCAAAUAUUUUUAUGAAAUUGACUACAAACUUAAAAUUCUUGAAUAUACAAUAUAAACUUCUUGAAUCAUAAGAUAAAAACUCAUAUUAAAUUAUAAUUUUAUAAUAAAUAUGAAUUCUUGGAUCACAUAAGCUUGAGACAUGGAUAAUGUUUGGAGCAUUUAAGACUGGACCUCCUUGACUUAAAUUUUAUUUUAUAUUUACAACAAGGGAAAAGGCACCAUGGGGUUGAAACCUUUUUAUGCUCGGCUGCUGGCAUUUGGGACCAGGUUCUGGGGACAAGCCACUUAAUGCCAAAAACUAGCUUGGUAGCCAAUAGUCAGUGUGUUUAGUUAUACUAACCACGUUUUGUAUAUAUUAAUUAGAUAAAUUUAGAAUUAUUUAUGUCAAUAAAUAUAUAAAAAAUGUUAAUGAGUCGAAUUAAUAAAUUUAGAAUGAUCUGUUGCACUAAAUCAAGAAGUUUAUUAGACUUAUUACUCUGUAAAUUUGCUUUCUGAGUGCUGAGCAUAUUGUGAUUGGGGAGAUUUGAUCCUCGUAUAAUUGUUGCUAGCUUAUUUGUGAGCCAUUUUUUUUCCCUUUCAGACAUGAACAGCACCUGGAGUUCUUGGGGCCAAAAUUAGAUUUUUGGCUAGAAAGAGUCUGUUUGAUCUCUUAAAUGGUACGAGCCACCAACCCUGAUGACUUGUGAGCUUCAAAUACGAACCAGGGUUAUUAUUCUAUCUUCUUCUUUUUUAAUCAUUAAUUAUGGUACAAUCCAAUUUUAUUUUAAUUUUUUUAUUGUUAUUUUAUAGUUUUUUUUUAUUUACUUGAUUUUUCAAUUAUGUCUCUUGUUUUUUUAUUUUAUUUAAUUUAAUCCUCAUUUUUUGAUUGAUUUUUUGAUUUAAUCCCUCAUUAUUUUUUUUCAUUUAGUUUUUAUACUAGAUUUGAUCUUUAAUAUUUUGAUUGCUAUUUGAUUUAUUUUUUUUUUAAAAAAAUUAGAUGAUUAGAAAUUUAGCUUCAUAAUUUUUUUUUGUUUGUCUUCUAUGAGGCGAUCUUGGUCUCAUAACCCGAGUCACGAGUUUCAAAGAUUAGUUUGAUUUACCUUUAGUUUUUUUAGGUCAUUAAAAAAAAAGAUUUUUUUUCAAUAUCCUUCAAUGUUGGGUUAUUGGGCCUUGAGUUUCAUGAUUUUCUUUGCUUUUCUUUUUAUAAGGUUAUUCCGGUAUCAUAUCCUAGGUCACGAGCUAGUCAAGUUAACCUACAUUGACACUUGUUUUUUUUUUUUUCUAGUUUUACCUUUUAUCAUUUAGUUUGCUUGAGAGUUAAACUCCAUUGUUUUAUUCGAUUCUUAUAUGCAGGCUUAUCCCGAUCAUGAUUUGGUGUCCUAACUCGAGUCGUGUUUUUUAUUCUUUUUUGAAAUUGAUGUUUUUUUCCGGUUUAUUUUUCAACCUUUGUUUUGCUGGUAAUUGAGCGUCAUAUUUCUUUUAUUUUUCUUUUCAUGAGGUAAUCUUAUUUUCAUUGAAUUUUUAUGUUGUAAUAAAAUAAGAUAGUUAAGAUCUUUUUAAAAAAAAUUAGAUGGUAUCUUUUAUAAUAUUAACAAGCGUUUAUUUUUUCUAAUUAAUCAUUGUUGUUUUUUAUCAUUUGUUUAUAUAUAUAUAUAUAUAUUAAUCAAAUUUAUUAAAUCCAUUCGAAUCAAUAACCUAAAUUUCAAAUUUUUAUUGUUGCUUUUAAAAAGCUAUUAUUAUUAGGAUAUCUUUUUAUAUUAAAAAAAUAAUAAUUCAAAAAACAGUGUAGCACUACAUAGGCACCCACCACUUUAGCAAAUUGGAUAUCCCACUUGCUUCAUUGGUUUGGAUAAGGGCUAGCUUCGUACAAGCCCCCAACUUAUAACCAAUUCAUGAUUGGGUCCUUAUUGUUUUCUUUAGUGACGUCUUUAAUGCAUAAAACAUUCUUAGUUUUGCCUUGUAUUCAAAUCCGUCGAUGAUUUCUAUUUAAAAGCUGUUUUUGUUUUUUUUUUUUUAAAAAGAAAAAAGAAAAGAGAGAACUGGACAUCUUUUAAAAGUUUGUAACAAUCUUACAUGAAAGGACUAAAUUGAGGAUUGUCAUAGAAUGAUGUAUUUAUUAAUUUAAGAGCUUUACCCACUAGUUGAGGAUGACACAAAUUGCCACUGAUGUAUCCCACGGCAUAUGUACCAAUGCAAUGCCUAUGAAAACACGACUUGCUUACACAAGCAACAAACACCACAUAAAUUUCUCUCUGGCCAUUUAAUAUUCUUGGACUUUUGGCUAAAGAAAAAACAAACAAAAACACGUAAAUUUCUCUCUUGGCCACUCGAUUCUUGGACUUUUGGCUUAUUCAUCAACACCAGUUCAAUGGUCCCAUUAAUUCAAUAACCACUGAAAUUUCUAAGGAAUGCUCAAUAUUCUCUCUCUAUAAUCUCAUCCAAAGCCUUCGUGAAAGACACAACGGGGAGACUUUAAUCAUCAAAAAGCUAAGUCUACGUAUAAUUUUCCACUGCAAUAUAAACCAGCAACUUAUUGGACAUUUCUUGAUUCCUUGCAGUCAAUCUGGGAAGCCUUUCGGCUCUCUUUUACACGUUAAAAUUUAGUGGGAGGAUCUCGUAGAGACUGGAAAUGUCUUGGCACGGAUUUGGACUAACACGAAUCACUAGCACAUGUACAUUUCAUGGCCUAGCUAAAACUUGUCAUCAAAGUCACUAUUAUCUCGAGAAGUAGUAGAAUUUCCUAGGCUUCACGCUGCUACCUUUUGAUUUGGUAAAAUUUUGUUCAAUUUAAUUCAUUAAAAAUAAUUGAAACUUCCAAGAUCUUUCCUUGUUAUUUUUAAACUAUAUAUUCUACUCUGUUCUUGUCUUUUUUGCUGAAUACUGCUUAAGCAAACCAGCACUAGAAGAACAACUUGAAUCCAGGUAGAUUAUUUAUACUCCAUCUUCUUCAUUUUGUUUUUCACAUGUAACUCUGGUUUGAAUCUUUCAAGGAAGUCACAAGUUGUAGAAAUUCUAAUGAGAAACUUUGGAGUUAGGAUCAUCAACAGUUUCCAAAAAUAAAAAUAAUUUGAUCUUUCUCAGUUUUAACAAUCCAUGCCUUAUGGAGUUCAUACUAAUUAAAUUGACCCUAAGUUAACCUUGAAUUCAUUGUUUUUUCUUCUUAAUUUCUUUGCUGUUUGUAACUUAUUAUUUUAGUUUCACCAUCCUUUUCCAAUUAAUGUACUUCCAUUAAUUUUUAUUCAAUAUUUUGACCCUUUUUAUCUAUAGGACAAAUUAAAUGGGUAGAUCAGAUGAUCCGUUUUGGAAGGAAGUUGAAGAUAUGAAUGAUGGAAGCAUGAAGUGUAAGUUUUGUGGGCAUUUAUUUGCCAAUGGUACUUCCAUUUCGAGGAUCAAAUGGCAUUUAUCAGGAGAGAGAGGGCAUGGUGUUGGCAUUUGUGGUCAGGUGCCUAAAGAAGUUCAAGAAGUAGCCUUUCUAGCUAUGCAUGUUGGCAACAAAAGACAUAAAAGCAUAGCAAGUUCAAGCAAUGUUAAUGAUUAUGCCAUUUCCACCUGUCCACAAGAACAAGACAAUGCAGUACUUGGUAAUUUGGCACAAGGUGUUGGGCCUGAGAGAAUUCAUUCGCGUGUAGAAGCGGCAAAUGGCAUGGAAUACACUGGUGAAGGAUCUUUUCAGCAUGUUGACAGAAGUGUCUCUCCUUGGGGACUCAGAGUUGAUGCUCAUGAGAAUAGAAGAGAAGCAACACAAAGAACAGAUUUAGUGGAUCAAUUUGCUGAUGGUACUUGGGUUCAGAUACACUCUGCCCUUUCAAAGGCGCAGAAGCUGAAUGAAAUCUCUACCUAUUUAAUGCAGGAAGAUGAGGAUGUGGAGCGUCUGCAUGAUGCAUUUGAAACUGUACCGAGAACAGAACAAGUGCAGCAUCUGGAGAGAGGUAGCUCUUGUGAGAGGCCAUCAAUUAAUCAAGCUGAUGAGCCUCGAGGAGAUUCAUCACAACCAACAGAUUCAUUGUGUCUUGAUCAUGGCAGAUAUUAUGAUCAACUAUUUACUCCGUCAAUAAACAAUGAUGUCAUUAUGAAUGAUGUGCAGAACAUGGUUAGAGUGAGGACAGAACCAUUGGAGGAGGAGGAUGUGGAGAAUAGUGGAAGUUCAGUAGUGCAGGCUGGCGCGGGAGCUAGAUCUUCUGAAAGUCUGAAAUACAACAAGACUAGAGGAGUUCCAUUACCUACUAUCUCUACAAAGCCAGUGGGUCAAGCAUUUGAAGAGAAUAUGAAGGUGAUAUGGUCUUUGUUAAUGGGUGAUAAAGUCCCAAUCAUUGGCAUUUAUGGGACGGGGGGAGUUGGUAAAACGACAAUACUGCAACAUAUCCAUAAUGAGCUUCUACAAAAAUCAAAUAUUUGUAAUCAUGUUUUGUGGGUGACUGUGUCUCAAGAUUUCAACAUUAAUAGAUUGCAGAAUCUUAUUGCUAAACGUCUCUAUUUAGAUCUUUCAAGUGAAGAUGAUGAUCUGCAUAGAGCUGCCAAAUUGUCAGAAGAACUAAAGAAGAAAUAAAAAUGGAUUCUCAUUUUAGAUGAUUUGUGGAACAAUUUUGAGCUACACAAAGUGGGAAUUCCUAUGGUGUUGAAAGGAUGCAAGCUGAUUUUGACAACUCGAUCAGAAACAAUUUGUCAUCGGAUUGCUUGCCAACACAAAAUCAAAGUGAAGCCACUUUCUGAGGGUGAAGCUUGGAAUUUGUUCGUGGAGAAACUUGGACGUGACAUAGCACUUUCACCAGAAGUAGAAGGAAUUGCGAAAGCUGUUGCAAGGGAAUGUGCUGGUUUACCAUUGGGAAUUAUUGUUGUGGCAGGAAGCUUGAGGGGAGUGGAUGACCUAUAUGAGUGGAGAAAUACACUGAACAAAUUGAGAGAAUCAGAAUUUAGGGACAAUGAAGUAUUCAAGUUAUUAAGGUUUAGUUAUGAUAGGUUAGGUGAUUUAGCACAACAACAAAUGUCUCUUGUACUGUGCAUUAUUUGCCGAAGAUAGUGAGAUUGAAAGGGAGGAGUUGAUAGGUUAUUUGAUCGACGAGGGAAUUAUUAAAGGAAUAAGGAGCAGGAAAGAUGCAUUUGACGAGGGCCAGACGAUGCUUAAUAGACUUGAAAAUGUCUGCCUGAUGGAAAGUGUUAAAAUGGAGUAUGAUGGUAGUAGAAGUGUCAAGAUGCAUGACUUGAUUAGGAACAUGGCCAUCCAUAUACUGCAAGAGAACCUUCAAUACAUGGUUAAAGCAGGUGCACAAUUAAAAGAGUUGCCAGAUGUGUUGGGGAAUUCCGGCACCCCCAUGCGCGGACCGGGGGUGUACUGAUAGUUGCUCAUCGGAGGGUAAAGCACACUGACACAAUAUUUUACGUGGUUCGGCAAAACCGCCUACAUCCACGGGAGAGGUUCAUUUUAUUAGAUAUAGAGAUACAUGGAAGAAGAUUACAUCUGCUGCAAUGGCAGCAAGGCUGCUGCCAUUGCAGCUCUCUCUUUUCUCUCUAUUCUCACGUUCUCUCUCUCAACCUUCUCUUCACUCUCACUUUGCUCUCAAAUAAUUGCCUCUUUUAUAGGCAUUUCAUGGUCAACAUUGGAGGGGCCAAUAGCCUUAAAGCAUGGCAUGAAUUGUGGCACAAUUCAUGCUUCCACUUGCUUAGUGGUGGGGUAUUGCCACAAAUGGCAAUAUCCUAACAAUCACCCCCUUUUGCCAUUUGUGUGGGCAAUUGUCCUUUUGCUUCUUCAGCACAAGCUUGCAUUCUGCAGCUCUUCCAAGCUUCCAUUCUGAGAGCGUCUUCAACACAACAUUCCUCUUCGAGCGUAUCAAUCAUGCUCGGUCCGGAAUGAUUUUUCAAGCCUUACACCAAGGCUUACAACACCCCCUCAAACGAAUAUUCCCAAGUGCGACGGUCAUUGAGUAUUUUAAUGUGAUCACAAGCUCACCACUCUUCCAAGAGUCUACUCAUCCAGGAGUUGCGUCUGCCCUCUGUUCCACCCUAGGAACCACGCCUUACUUCUCCGUGAGUCUCUCGCUCUUAGUCGUAAGAGUCCAGGUAGCUCUCCACCUUUAACCAUGGGGGCAGCCCAUUAAAGGUUGAUCCAUAUCUGUCUUCAUACUCUGAGUAUUACAAUGCCAUUACCGAGCUCACCACCUUGACAAAAGUCAACUCGUUCUCGGAACCUGCGCAUGCCCUUCUGCUUCUUCAUAGCAGCCGCGUCUUAAUGCUCCACAAGUCACACACUUAUUGUCCAAGGCAAAUGUCUUCUAGCUCAUUGAUCUUUAGCAUGGGGGCAAUAUCCAUGAAAGUCAAUCCUGCAUUUGUCUCCAUACUCAUCAUAGCCACUUCAUUGGCUAUCCAUACACCUGUCCACUCAUAUCUAGCCAUUACAUUGGCUUUGGGGUUGUUCUGAACUGGGCUCAUAUCGUGGCCCACACACCUUCUCCUUAGGUGUCUCCGCUCGUCACCAUGCGGCGGUCUGAACUGGGGCUUCUAUCACGGCCCUCACACUUUCUCUAAGGUGUCUUCGCCCGUUGUCAUGGGGCGGUCUGAUCUUGGGCUCAUAUCACGGCCCACACACCUUCUCUAAGGUGUCUUCGCCCGUUGUCAUGGGGCGGUCUGAUCCGGGGCUCCUAGCACGACCCACAUACACACCUUCCAUCUAAGGUGUCUUCACCUUUCAUAAGUGGUCGCAUCCUCCUUCAGCUGAGAUGCUUCAAAGUGGCUCCAAAAGUCUCUACCACCAUGUGCACUAUGGGAGAUCAUUGCCACUGAUUACAUAGAAAGAGAAACUUGCAGUAUACUCCUCGCAAUCCUCCACCUCGAUUUCUAUGUUUGGAGCUUCUGUGCCUUUCUGCUUGACAGCUCCACCUACACCAACUCUCUUUGGUGUCUUCGCCUUUCAUCAUAGGCGGUUGCCUUGUAUCACAGGCAUUUGCACCCCCUCAAUUAGGUGCCUCUGCAACAGCUCUCUUUCCAUCAUUGCAUGCAUUGGAAAGGUCUUCGCCUGUUGUCUUCAUUAAGAGCACAAGAGACUUCCUGUUGUACAAACUUUAACAGUCUCUGCUCUGAGCUUCAUCUGGGAACUCUUCUUCUCCUUGCACCUGUUGUCUCAUUACAGUACCUAGUUGGAUCUUAAGGGUACUCAUGCACAAUCUCCAUGUGCCCUCGUGCAAUUUCUGUUCUCCAGAUUUUUCCCCUAUUCCUUGCUUAUGUUUGACAGCAGCUCAUCCUGUCAGAACACCUAUCCAAGUCAAAAUAGGGUGCCAAUCUUUAUCCCUUGCCAUAUUUCUCUACCAUUAUCAGGGUCUUCAUCAAUUCUCCCCUCGAGAAAUCACAGUCACCGAAUCUAACUUCUUUGGAGAAAUCACCACUUCAUCAGAUCCUUGAUCAUACGGAACCCAACUGUUCCCUUGUGCCGUCAUCCUGCUAGUCUUCAACUGUUUCAUUACAAACUGCUAUAUAUACGAAAAUAGUACCGUAUGGAUAAUCCUUCCACUAAGCAAGUUCCUAGGAAAGAUUGGAGGGGUCACACUGGUCCCGCUUAAAACCCAAUCUCCUAGACAGAACUUCAUAGGCCAUAUCUAUCCAUCGUACUGUCUUUCCGUAUAUACAACCAUUUGCUAGCUUUGUCCCGGCCUUCCUUUACAAGUGAUCUGGAAUAUACUGGUUUAAUACAUGAUUUCUCAACAUCUGGCGAGACUACCAGUUCUUAGAUUCGUCAAGAUUGGUCUUCGUCAAUUUCCACUCUUCACCUCAAAUUGUCCACAUGAUCGGGUGUCCAGAGUGUCCCAAUUUUGCCUUCCUUCAAGGCAGCUAAAAUUCUACCCACUUAGCAGUUCGACACAUGUAAUUGGGUAAACAUGUGCACCUUCUUCUUCUUCAUCGCCAUCGACCACGUUGAUGACCUUCAGAUGCCUCCUAAUCGGGCAAUCUCUUUUCGCUAAUUCACCACUGCCAUUUUCGGUCUCAAAUUUCAACGAUCGGACCAUACCAGUGCAUCCGGAACGAUCAAAUUAGCUGAANNNNNNNNNNNNNNNNNNNNNNNNNNNNNNNNNNNNNNNNNNNNNNNNNNNNNNNNNNNNNNNNNNNNNNNNNNNNNNNNNNNNNNNNNNNNNNNNNNNNNNNNNNNNNNNNNNNNNNNNNNNNNNNNNNNNNNNNNNNNNNNNNNNNNNNNNNNNNNNNNNNNNNNNNNNNNNNNNNNNNNNNNNNNNNNNNNNNNNNNNNNNNNNNNNNNNNNNNNNNNNNNNNNNNNNNNNNNNNNNNNNNNNNNNNNNNNNNNNNNNNNNNNNNNNNNNNNNNNNNNNNNNNNNNNNNNNNNNNNNNNNNNNNNNNNNNNNNNNNNNCUGACUGUGUAUACUGACGUCAUGAUUACGUCAUGAUGACGUCAUCCAUUAUCCGGGUCUGGCAUGUGAGGUCGGGUCGUCUGGUAUUCGGGUCGGGUCAGCCCAUCCCGGGCGAAGAAGACGCGUGUGACGCGUGGCGCGCGUCUGUGCGCGUGGGCAGUAACCUCGCCGGCGCGUGGGCAGUUUCCGACGUCCGAUUUCGACGCGGUUUUCAACAGUGGCUUCGUCUCUUCCUCCUCUACACAGUGGUAUGGUCAAAACACAAUUUGGACAACUUUCAUUUUGAGCAAAAUCAAACACCCCUUUAAACCAUGUGCUCUGAUACCAAUUGUUGGGGAAUUCCGGCACCCCCAUGCGCGGACCGGGGGUGUACUGAUAGUUGCUCAUCGGAGGGUAAAGCACACUGACACAAUAUUUUACGUGGUUCGGCAAAACCGCCUACAUCCACGGGAGAGGUUCAUUUUAUUAGAUAUAGAGAUACAUGGAAGAAGAUUACAUCUGCUGCCAUUGCAGCUCUCUCUUUUCUCUCUAUUCUCACGUUCUCUCUCUCAACCUUCUCUUCACUCUCACUUUGCUCUCAAAUAAUUGCCUCUUUUAUAGGCAUUUCAUGGUCAACAUUGGAGGGGCCAAUAGCCUUAAAGCAUGGCAUGAAUUGUGGCACAAUUCAUGCUUCCACUUGCUUAGUGGUGGGGUAUUGCCACAAAUGGCAAUAUCCUAACAAGAUGCAGAGGAGUGGAUGGAGAAUCUGACGAUAGUUUCACUAAUGCAAAACGAGAUCAAAGAAAUUCCUUCCAGCCAUUCACCAAUGUGUCCAAAUUUGUCAUCUCUAUUUCUACGUGAUAAUGAAGGGUUGCGAUCUAUUGCGGAUUCAUUUUUCAAGCAAUUGCAUGGGCUCAAGGUCCUCGAUCUAUCUUGCACAGGUAUUAAAAAUUUGCCAGAGUCUGUUUCUGAUUUGAUGAGUCUCACUGCAUUAUUGCUCAAUGGUUAAUUUCGCAAGUGCACGCAUCGUAACAAGUAAUAAAGUGAUGAGUAGAGUAUCGUCCCACGAGGAUUUGUAAAAAUUACUACUAAUUACCAAAGUCUUUUAAAUUAUGAUCUAUUUGAGGAAUCAAAUGAGAUAGUUUAUGAAAUAGAAAUAAAUGAUAAAAAAACAAACAAACAAAUGAUUAAAUAUUAAUGAAUUCAAUUGUACUGGUUCUAGGAUUUAUGACUUACCGUAACUAUACCUAUUUGAACUUUCUCGAUUAAAUUAAUUACUUCUAAUGUUGAUAAUCAGGUUUUUCUAAUGUAAAUAUUAAUCUCUCUCGAGCAUCAAUAAAUUAUUUCGACAAACAAAUUUCAUAUACUCUACGAAAGUUCUGAACUUGUCAAAAUUAAUUAAAUACUGUAAAACCUGUAACGAUUACAAAAGUUCCUAGGAUAUCUCUAUCCUAUAGAUUUCUUAAGGUAUUUCAAACAAUAGCUAAAACAAUUAUCACUUCUCAGUUUCAAAUUGAAUUCUAAAUCAUGCAGAUGUUGGCCAAACACACGCAAGCAUUACACAUAGAAUGAAAUACUCAAUAUCUUAAUGUAAUAAUUCAAUCGAAGAAAUUGUUCACAUAUUCAUAGUAAGGUUACAUCAAAAAUCCCAGAAUAAAAGUCUACUCCAUAGUUAAAUUAAAGAGAAACAAACUUGAUACGAUGAACAUCACUCAAAAGCAGAGAAUUUCAGUGGAAGAGAUAGGUGUCCUCCUGGUCUUCAAUAUUUUUGCCUCUGUUCUUUUUGUUCCUGUUUGGUGCCGCCUCCUCUGUUUUUCUUUGCUAUGUUAUAGGGUUUCUCCCUGUCUCCCCUCUGUUUUUCUUCUUUUAUAUUGUGGAUGUUCUACCCCUGCAGUAAUGAGGAAAGUUUCCUUUUCUGCAUUGAAUUCCUUCCUACCCAGACAUUGCGGGCCAGAUUUGAGGUAGGAAAAGUGCGAAUUCAAAGAUCUCUAUUUCUGGAGAAAUUGUAGAGAAUCAAAUUUUAUUUCCAAAGACACUGAUCUUGCAAUUUUUGGACCUCUGAACGUUGAGAUAAGGGCCAUAAACCGAAACAGUCUUUGCAGUGCAGGAAUUUCGGGUUGGUUCAAUCCUUGUUUUUCAACUCGCUUUUUGGGCUUCGAAACAACAAAACUGAGUUAUAUGCCCUUCAUAUGUUUUGUAGGCCUUCAUCUCAGCUAUUUGAAAAUGGUGACAAACAUCUGGAACUAAAUUGUAUAGCUUCUUUUGCAGCACAUAAUGAAUCACUGUUCAGUUUCACUGCCGGGCUCUGCCUGUUCAGUAACCUAAUAUCUGAAAACACAUUAAUUUUUCACGAGGUCAAUAGUUCAAAAAGAGAUUCAACAUUCUAAUUUUCUUGUGCAACAUAUCCAAAAUAUUUAAAAAUCAAGCAUGAAUAGUGGAAAAUAUACAUGCUAAAAAUUCUCUUAUCAAAGAGGUUGGAUCUCUCUUGGACCAUGCUUGAAAAGAUGCCGCAAGGAAUGGAAUGUCUAUCCAACUUGAGGUAUCUUAAAAUGAAUGGAUGUGGUGAAAAGGAGUUUCCUAGUGAGAUAUUACCAAAACUCUCUCACUUGCAAGUCUUUGUACUAGAAGAGGUUUUUGAGGAAUGUUAUGCUCGGAUAACAAUUAAAGGAAAGGAAGUAGUAUCCUUGAGAAAUUUGGAAACUUUGGAAUGCCAUUUCGAAGGUCUCUUGGACUUCAUGGAGUUUCUCAGAUCUCGGGAUGGGAUCCAAUCAUUAAGCACAUACAGAAUUUCAGUGGGAAUUCUGAAAUUCUUAUAUGGCGUUGAAAAGUUUCCAAGUAAAACAGUUGCAUUGGGUAAUUUGAGUAUCAACAAAGAUAGAGAUUUUCAGGUCAAGUUCUUAAAUGGCAUUCAAGGACUGGUUUGUCAAUUCAUCGAUGCAAGAAGUUUAUGUGAUGUUUUGUCAUUAGAGAAUGCAACUGAACUGGAGGACAUCAGCAUUUCAAAUUGCAAUAGCAUGGAGAGCUUGGUUUCAUCUUCUUGGUUUUGCUCUGCUCCACCACCAUUGCCACCAUAUAAUGGUAUGUUUUCUGGUCUUAAAAAGUUUUAUUGUGGUGGAUGUAACAGUAUGAAGAUGUUGUUCCCACUUGUGUUGCUGCCAAACCUAGUAAACCUGGAAAGGAUUGAAGUGAUGCUCUGUGAGAAAAUGGAGGAGAUAAUAGGAACGACAGAUGUGUUGGGACAUUCAAGCAAUUAAACACACACAAUUUACGUGGUUCGGCAACUUGCCUACUCCACGGAGCUACUGGUUUGUAUUAAUCAAGCUUAGAAACAAUACAAACAACAAAACAAGGAGGAGGAGAAAAAAUUCUUCUCUACUCAACUCAACUCUCUCUAGCUCUCUCUCUCUCUGUGUUUCUCUCUAUUUCGUGUCUCGCCCAGCUCUCAAUAGCAUCCUCUAUUUAUAGCUGAUAUGGGAGACAAUCCUCUCCAUUUUAGUCAAUUAUAGCAGCCACUUUUGCCACCAUAUUUAAUGUUUCGGUAAACACUCUUGCAGCCAUGUUUGACAUGGCUGCCAACAACCAUUUUGUGUCCAUACAUAACAAUCUCCCACCUGGACACAAAUGGCACUAUAUCUAUCUUUUAAUCUUUGAGACCAACUGAAGCUUUACACAACUUCAGUUUAUCAAGAGUAACUCCUUUGGUUAACAAGUCAGCUGGAUCCUUGCUUCCACAUACCUUUUCUAGCAUUAGUUGCUCGUCGUCUAGCAAUUAUCGGAUGAAGUGAUAUUUGAUCUGAAUAUGCUUAGUCGUGCAGUGAAAUGCUGGAUUCUUGACAAGGAAGAUUGCACUCUGACUGUCGCUAUACAGAGUACCUUUUCCAAUAAGGAUGUCCUUGGUCCCUUUGUAAAGUUUUGGUAGGAGGAGACUACUCUUCCCUUAAUAUAAUAUAAUAUAGAAUAAAGCAUCAUCUUUCUCAAUCUCUGUUUCAACAAUUGAUUCUCUUAACUUCUUUAUGUUAAUUAACAUCUGAUUUAUUGGACUCGUUAAGCGUUUAUUAAUAGGAAAUAUUUCUUUUUUAUAUAGCGUGCUUACAAUUACAUAAAUAACAUUUUUCAUUUUUUUUAUUUGUUUCAUUGUCUUUUAAGUUAUUGAAUUGUCAUAUAUUUUUUUUUUAAUUCGAUAGAUAAAUAAUUAUAACUUGAAGUUUGAUAAAUAAUUAUAUUUUCAUCCUAUUGAGUUUCUCCAAGAUAAAAAUCCAAAAAAUAAAAUACUAUAUUGAUUUAUCAAUAAAGUAGCCUAAUAAAAUAAUAUAUCUAUUCACUAGUAUAAGUCAUCUAAAAUCAAUACAAAAAAAUAUAUUGAAAUAAUAUUUUUUAUUUAUUAAAUUUAUUUUUAACAUCAUUACAUUAAAAUAAUUCAAAAACAUAAAAAAAAAUUAAUUAAUUUUUUUUCCGAAAUGGUAAUGGGCAUUUUUCCAAUCUGGUGGGGGUGAUGUUGGUGUGCUUGGUGUUCCCUCAAAUAGCUUUCCAAAGUUUUGACAUUACAGUUAAUUGCUCCAAUUCUUUUGCACAUUACCUAUCAUCUUUUAGAUGAAAGCUAACACUCUUUUUUUGCAAUAGGAGACCUGCUGGGCAUCAGACCGUGCACCCACACUUUGUUUUUUUUUGCUGUUCUUCAUAGAGUUCCAUUGUCGGUCCUGAUUUGCCAGGAUCAGUCUCCUUCACUAGCCACAUGCACAUCCUUGCUUUUUAUUUCAUAUGGCUCAACCAUUAUUUGCAGUCAGGAUGUUUAAUCUUAGGCCCUUUACGAAUUGUUCUGGCAGCGUGCUAAUAGCCUACUCCGUAUGGUUGCUCAGUUCGAUCUCAAUGAUAGAGGUGUAUAAAAAGAAGAAAAAAGUGAAAAACAACUUAUGCCUUGUUUGUUUGCAGGAAAACAAAUUCUUGGAAUUCAUUUUCCUUAUUUUUCCAUGUUUGGUAAUAAUAUGAAAAACUAGUCAAAGAAAAAUUAAUUACAGUUAAAAUAAAAAAAGUAACUUUAUCAAAGGAAAGUGUUUUCCUUCUAAUAAGGAAAGGAAAACACUUUCCUUUCUUUCAUUACACCCAUUUUCUCAAAUCACGAUCUCUCUCUCUUUUCAAAAACAAUUGGAAGCAGGAACAAUUGAAGCAUUUCUCUGGAACAAUUGAUUUCAGGUAUUUUUUUCCUCUAUUAUUUCCUUUAUAUUUUUAUCUUCUUCGUUUAGAUCUGUAAAAAUUAUGGCAUAAAUCCUUUGAUAUUCUUGAUAAAUAUGCUACCUGUCAUAUUUUUUCCAUAACAUAGUUUUCUUCUUCAUCUUACCUCGUCACAUUCAGCUUUUCCAUGACAAUUUUCUUCUUCAUCACUCACAUUUGGCAGCUCACAUUUCUAACCAAACAAACCAAAUCAAGUGCACAGAGAGAGGCAAGGGGGGGGGGGGUAAGAUUACUGUGAAUUAAUCAAAGAAAAAUCCCCAAACUUCCCCAGUAAAAAGCAGCCCCUCCCUGAUACCUCGUCCUCGGAUCUAGCCAUCAUAUCCCGGGUGGAAGCACAAAGAGAGAGAGAGGCAAAGUAAAAGGGGGGGAAUCAGUGAAUGUGUUGAAAAUCAACCCUUGCUCUUUUUUUUUUCAAGUCCCAGCGUUAUUAGAACAAGUAGCCGGGGGAGAGAGGGAGGAGAACUGGGAAGGAGGAGUAGGUCUUUGAGGUCUAGCCCUCUUGCCCCUUGAAUCUUUGAUCUUUGUCCUGCUUCUUUGUGCACAGAGAGAGGAAGUUAAGGAAUUCUUGGCGAGAGAGAACAAAUGGUGAGAGACACCGAGAGCGAACAUGGGCAUGAGAAAAACCGAGAAACCGAGAGGGAGAAGGAAUAGGGGAAGGGGAAUGAGAGAAACCGAAAGGGAACAAGGGAAUGGGGGAAUGGGAACAGGGGGAAUGGGAGAGGGGAACCGAGAGGAAGUUUAAUAAGGGGAAUUAUAACAGAACCUAAUAAACAUAAAUUUGUGUUUUAUUUUGCUUUGAUUAAUUUAUGAUUAGUGUUUGAUUAUAUUUGUUACAUAUGGAUAAAUUUGUGGAACUAUGCUGGUAAUUAUAUGGAUUUCAUUGCGCAAUGUCUAUUGAUUGUUGUGAACUUAUGAAUUGUAUAAUUUUCAAAACGGUUUUAUCAUCGAGAAAUUGAAUUUUAUGAUCUUAAAUAGUAUAUUUUAAGAUCUUGUUUGUUUAGGGAAUCAGAUAUCAUUGCCAUAACUAUUAUACAUUGUCAGCUUCUUUCAGCAUAAUUGAUUGUAUUGAUUGUGGAAAUAUUUUAUAUGCUUUUUUUAAUAUUUAUUUCCCCAAAUUUUUAGGUUUAGCAUUUGCAAUUCAAAGCCUCAACAAAAAUCAACUUGAUGUUAAUGCGCUGUAUACAGAAGUGAUGAAAAUUGAAGGCUUUGAUGAGAUCACUCUUGGGGAUGCAUUUAAUCACUUGGUCCAAAAUGAAAUGUUGGCAAAAGCAUUUAUAGUAAAAAUGCUAAUUUGAGGAAAAAUUGGGUUCAGAAUUUUGUUAACCAACACUACUACAGGCCUGCUUGCUAAGAUGGUUUGAUUAUGUUCAAAAUUUGGGUUCAGACUAUGUUUGUUUUUUGACAAGUAUGUUUACUUGUUUAAUUCGGUCUAACAUGUUUAUGUUUGUUAAUUUUAACUAAUAUGUUUGUAUAUGACAUCGAAACUUAAUAUUUAUGCAUGACUAUGUUUGAUGUUAGAUAUUUAUAUUUAUUUCUUGAUUCUUAUUUGAUAUAUAUUAAAGGGAUAUUAAAGGGAUAAUUGCCUUUACCCAUAAAAAAAAAUUAAUCUUUAUCCAAAAAACCCAUCAAAAUAUUUUUGUAUCUAUUUAUCUUUUAAAAAAUUCUUCAUACAAAAAAAAAAAACCCAAAUAUCUAACUUUUACCAUAAACUAAUUUGGCUUUCUUCAUAUGAAAAAAAACUUAUUUUAAGCUUUUAAAAUUGAAAAAAAUAUAUUUAAUAUGUUUUACUUAAGAAAUAUUUCAUAAGGUUAUUUCUCUAUAAUAUGAUAUGAUAUAUAUAAUUAUAUUUUAUAAAAUAAGCUAUAUAUGAAUAUAGGAUAUAAUAAAAAAAUUCAUCAUUAUACUUUUUAGAUUUCAUUCUUUUAUUGUAAGUGAUUAAAUAUUUAUAUUAAAUAUUUUAUAUAUAUUAGAUAAACUUAAAAAAAAUUAAUUCAUUAAUAAAUUAUUUUCCAGUUCAUUUUGUAUAACAUAACCAAACACUAGAAAGUGUUUUCCAGUUCAUUUUUCAAAAUACUACCAAACAUCGGAAAAUAAUUCACUUUCCAGAAAUUCACUUUCUAAGAAAACCACUUUCCAAAAGGAAACCACUUUCCAGCAAACAAACGGAGCCUUAUAGGGAAUUCGAACAACAACGGCACUCCUAUAUUAUAAAAAAAAGAAAAAAAGUGAAAAAUAACUUGCUAUUAUCUUAAAAUACUGCAGGUUUUAUUAUUUGUUUCUUGUUCGGUUAGAAGAAUAACCAGGGUGGAAUUCAGCUGAUAAGAAUUGGUUCCUUCACCAUUUUCCUGUUACUCUAUAUCAUCAGUGGAUUGGACAGGAGGAGUUCUGUAGUAAGCUGUCAUGGUUACCAGGAAGAAUGUUGCUCUAAUUCCUUCUGCCUUUAGUAUAGGGAAGAUGAUGCCUGAUCCAACCUGAAAAUUGACAAAAAUAAAAAUUUAAGUUUGUCUAGGAAACUCAUGGUGAGAAUAACAGUUCAAACAAAAAAGCUUCUGAUAGUAAGAGUAAAGAAAGCUGGAGAUACAGACCAAAAUUAGUCUAGCCGCAAUACACAUGCGUUUUGGUGUAGGAAAUGGAAGCAAUAAGCGGCCAACAGCAUACGCAAGCAUGGCAAAGCAGUGGAAAACCAAUCUCAAUGGGUCAGGGUUUAGACCAGACAGAAGAGCCAUCAGUCCAUCUGAGAACACGCCUCCAAGGCUCAAAUAAUUGAAGAAUGCUUCUUUCAUCUCCUUCCUUGAUAGAUCCUGAUCCGAUGAAGAGAAUUCUGUGUGUAGGCAAAUGUGUUUCUUGCAAAUGCCGCUGGCUGCAACCAAUAAUAAGUUAAUAGUAUCUACCAACCGCAUAGAAAUAUGGUUAUGUUGUGUUUCACUCCGAGGAAGACUGGCCGAAGAAAUAUUAGCUAAGCAUAUUCAUGCAAGUGCCGAUACCAUACGCAGAAUGCAAAAGGAUUCAAGAUAUUUGCAAAUGGCAGCUCCAUCACUAAGAUCAUUCAGAAGCCUAAGAAGAUCUCGCAGUAGAACAACAUCAGAAAGUCCCAUAUAUAGUCAUUCCUCCUCCAGUUACAGCAUGGCGCAUAUUCAACGAAUCCCCUAUCAUAAACGCACCAGGGGUUGGAUAGGGAGACGCAGGCAUGAUUCUGUUUGGCAUUGUUCUAAUGUUGCCCUUAUCAAUUGCACAUAUCAAAGCAUUGUAUAGCUCAGAUAUUAUUAAAACAAAUCCGUGAUCAAGCGUGCUCUAUAGAUUAAUCAGAAUAUGCUUCAGUUCAUUUACAUUAUAGCUUCUUCUACUUUUACUUUAUUGAUUUCUCUGUUUACUUAUUAAUUGUAUUAAAAAUAUUAAUUUGUCUAUCGAAGUGCUAACGAGUAAUGCAACUCAAAGUCGUUUGAUUUACUGUGCUCUUGAAUAUUGAUAGCUCUUAUUUAAGGACUUGGAAAGAAAGCACAUCUCCUCUUGCUGAUUCGUUGCCAUGCAUGAACUAUUGAUCCAAAACCCUCUUUAACCAUGUUGGUGAUUGAUUAGCUAGUAGUUUUGGUAUAAUUCACGAGCAUUUUUGUGCUACAAUGGGCCCAAACCCUCUUUAACCAUGUUGAUGAUGUUUCUAAUUAAUUUGCAAGUUCUGAUACACACACACACCACAAAACGUAAUGUAUAUAGCUCACAUAUAUUGACACAUGAGCAUAAACUACCCAUGAAUUGGAGGAAAUUUAUCAUAACAAAUAUAAGGAGCUCAAUGUUUCUCAAAUAUUGAUUUGCGAUUUAGGUAUCACCAGUUAAGGAUUAGAAAUGAUGAUAUUCCUAAAACUGCAUUUAGAACUUGUUAUGGACACUACGAGUUCCUAGUGUUGUCUUUUGGAUUAACGAAUACACUAGUAGCCUUUAUAGACAUGAUGAACAAGGUUUUUAGGCCAUUUAUUGAUAGAUUUGUUAUUGUAUUCAUUGAUGAUUUUUUAGUGUAUUUUGAGGAGUGAAGAGGAAUAUGAAGAGCAUUUGUUACUGGUUCUUUAAACUAUAGUUUUGAAACCCGGACCGGCCCGGUGGGUCGACCCCGGACCCGGCCGACCCAUGCCUAGGACCGGUCCGGGUCUAAGUAAAAAUCCGCUGGGGAAUUGGCCCAGCGAAACUCGGUUGACCAGGAACCCGGGUGACCCGGGUAAACCCGGCUGAGACCCAACCUCUCUUUUGUUUUUUUAAUAUACAUGGAUGUGAAACCACGUCGUUUUGGACUCUCAUUUCCUAUUUCUACAUUUUCUCAGAAACCAAACUGAGGAUAUCAAAGAGCAGAGGAUUUCAUAGUAAAUCAGGAAACAUUUAAGUACCAAUCAUUUAAUAAAAAAAUAUCUUCGCACCAACAGAAAGAAAUUGUAAAGCCCUUAAAUUUCAAUUCAAAGAAAAUGAAAAGAACAAAAAAUCAAAAUUUUAAACAGGCAUGAAAAACAUAUAAAAUCUCUUCUUAAGCAUCAAAAACUCUGUUUCAAUGAUCUCAUGAAACAUCAAAAGACUAGGAUGAUUAUCUUAAUAUUUUAAGACCCUUUCGAUGCUCUUUUCCUUAAUAUUUUCUCAAGAAACAAACGAAACUCAUAUGAGAACACCAAUUUACCUUCAAGUCCAGGCGCUUUUCCCAUCCACUUGGCACUUGCAAAUCGAGGUCCAAUUCUUGAGAUUCGCUCUCUACAUUAUCACCACAACGUUCCUAUCAUCCGUGUAUUCACUCCAAAGCCUUACCAGAGAGCUCACCUCAACUGCCAUAUUCACAAAAAAAGAGCUCAUUUUCUUCUUCUUCACAACAGCAGCAGCAGGGCACCCCUGCUUGAAAACGCGCUCUAGCGGCUUCUCCAUCAAAUGUGCCCUAAUCUUGACCCUUAUCCUUUCUUGGGGCUUGGGGUCCUUUGAAUUCUUGUGGAGGAUUUUGUCGAGGCUUUCAUUGGAGCUAGAGAGACAGAGGGAGAGUGGGUGAUUUGUGUUAAAAUUUAACACAUGUUAAUGUAUAUGAGAGGGGAGUUAGAAUAUAAAUAGAGGGAUAGAUAUAUGCCAUGUUAUGAUAGGAAAAAAGCGCCUCUGUCUCUGACUCUCUCUGGCUUCUUUUUUUUGAGUUGACUCAUGUUAACCCGGGUCAACCCAUCUGACCCGUGACCAGAUCAUUAGACCGGGUCGACCACCGGGUUGGGUUUCAAAACUAUGCUUUAAACUCUGAGAUAUCAUCAAUUGUAUGAAAAGUUUUUGAAAAGUGAGUUUUGGUUGGAGAAUGUUGGAUUUUUGGGACAUGUGAUGUCGAAAAAUGGGAUAGAGGUUGAUCCACUAAAGGUGAAGGCAAUUAAGAAGUGGCCUAGAUUGACUAUAGUAUCUAAGAUUAGGAGUUUCAUGGGUUGAGCACGAUACUAUAAGUGGUUCAUGAAGAGCUUUUCACGAAUUGCAGCUUUAUUGACUAAGUUGACACAGAAAAAAGUCAAGUUUUAGUGGUCAAAACAGUGUAAGAAGAGUUUUCUAGAGUUGAAGGAAAGGUUAAUUGAGACUUUGAUUUUGAUAGUACCUUCAGAGCCUGGUGGCUUUACUGUGUAUUGUGAUGCAUUAAGAAUUGGAUUGUGUUGUGUUUUAAUGCAAAAUGAUAAUGUGAUUGCUUAUGCCUCGAGGAAAUUGAAGAAAGAUAAACAAAAUUACCCCACACACGAUUUGGAGAUGGUUGCGAUAGUGUUUGCUCUUAAGAUUUAGAGACACUACUUGUUUGGAAAGACAUGUGAGAUGUUUUCAGAUUAUAAGAGUUUUCAAUAUAUCUUCCAAUAGAAGGAUCUGAAUAUAAGAUAAAGAAGGUGGAUAGAAUUGUUAAGUGAUUAUGAAUGCAUGAUUCAAUAUCACCCGAGAAAGGUGAAUGUUGUUGCCGAUGCCUUGAGCAUAAAGUGUAUGGUGGUUUGGCUUAUAUUCAAGAGGUGAGGAGGCUAUUGAUUAGGGAGUUACACAAGUUGUUGGAUGAGAAGGUUAGUUUUGAGAUUGGGGAAUUGGGAGCAUUGUUGGCUCACUUUCAAACUAAGUCGAACUUGGUAGACCGGAUUAAAGCAAUUGAUGAGAGAUGAGCAGCUAUAUAAGAUUCAAAAUGAGUUAGAGUUAGGAAAGGCUCUGAGUUUUAUUGUUGAUGAGGAUGGUUUUUUGAGAUUUGGUUUUAGGCUUUUGUGUGCUUGAGAUGGAUGAUUUAAAAAGAGAUGUGAUGACGGAAGCAUAUCAAACCACCUAUAAUGUACAUCCUAGUUCUAACCAGAUGUAUAGAGACUUGAAAUAGUAUUACUAAUAAAAUGGCAUAAAAGACAUUACUGAGUUUGUAUCUCAAUGUUUGACCUAUUAGAGGAUUAAAAGCGAGCAUCAUAAGCCAGUAGAGCUUUUACAAUCAUUGUUGAUUCCUAACUUUUACAAUCAUUGUUGAUUCCUGAAUGGAAAUGAGAUAAAAUCAUUAUGGAUUUUAUGUGAAGUUUGUCUCGGAAAGGUGACAGUUGAUUCUACCUUUCCCAUGAACUAUCUGAAUGAAAUUAAUUACCUGGUGGAAUAUUGUUGGUGGUAUCCGACAUGAUUAAAGUUACGUAACAUGAUCCAUCAUCACUAGUCUCUCCUCAUUGCUGGAAUCCGACAUGAUCAAGGUUUCCAAAGGGAGAGCCUUUAAUUUGCUUCUGUCAAGUUGGAAAUUUUUAUCUUAAUCUGAAACCAUUUGAGCCCAUGAUCUGGACUUUUGUUCUACUUUUUAAGCCUUUGUCUUUGUCUUUGUCUUUCUGUUUAGAUGGCAUUGGAUCGUCUUCCCUGCAAAAAAAUCUCUUAUGAAGGUAGGAAAUUUGAAUUUUCUUUAUACAUUCAAUAUAGCUUGCUAUCGAAAAUACUUAAAAGAUGAUAUCUUAAUUUACAUAGCUGAUGUCCAUUUAUUCUAACUCUUCUCCAAAUAAUCAUAGGAUUUAUGCAGUUUAUGCAUUCGGUCACGCCUUUUCUACUGAAUGGAUUAAUUAUUUUAUUACGCUUGAAUCAUUUAUUUAUCUGUAUUGAUUUAAUUUUUUUGCUGUAAUAUAUAUACUUUUUAAUUAAUAUGGGUGUUCGGGCCAGCUUGCAUGCACCUCGACUAAUCUCACGGGCCCUGAAGUUAAUGACCAUAUAAGCCUCCAGUAGUCCUAAGAUUUGUGAGACUCGAACUGUUGAUCUUUAAAAAGUAAAUCCAAAAUCUAAUCAGUUAAACUAUACCUUUUCAGGUUUUAUUUUUUUUUGCUGAAAUAUUGCUCCUCUUGUAUAUUGUUGUUGUCAUUGAAUUUUAUUAAUAGAGAUAAUCAUUGCGUAUUUAAAAGAAAGUGGUGAAUGAUUUUUCAAAAAGGGUUACAUUUAUGUUGAUUUAAUUAUCUAUACCUUUUAAACCUUUUAAGUGGAAUUUUUGGGAAUUAAACUUCAAAUUGAGUUGUUCAACAAAAUAAAAACAAUAAAAAUAUUACAUGUGUGCAAGGGAUUCCGACUAUAUAUCUGCUCUUUGUAGAAUUUAAACCUUUUUCAUUAGUCAUUUUGCUUUGCUUUAAUCUGCAUUGAAAAUUAAUUUUUAUUCUUUUAAUAUUAAAUCAUUUAAUAUUUCCUUUUAUUCUUUUAAUUUGUUUCAAUAUGAAAUCGACAGUCCAUACCUUCCCUGCAAAAUUAAUUUGGUUUAAUCAAGAACAUAGGUCACGACCUUAAUUAAUAAUUUAUCUUUGAAGAUGAAGAUUGUUACGAUACAAUUAAUCAAGAAAUAUUUUGUUUUUGUAUUUAAAAUUGUGUUUGAAUAAAUUUUAAAAAUUUAUUUGUCUUGAAAAAAUAUAUUUUUAAUAUUUUUUUAUAUGCUAAUAUUAAAAAAAAAAUUAAUUUGAUUAAUGAAAUCUCCAAGCAACUUAUAUCCAUGCAUUAUGAAGAGGGAAAAAAAAGAAAGAGAGAUAUCUACUACCUUAAUAUGCUAUUCUUUCUCAUUCACGUGUUUACAUUUUCCAGGCAGCUUCUUCAAAGUUUCAACAUUAGGGUUCCUUCCUUCCUAUAUAUUAUAAUAUAAUGUUUGGUAGGUAAGCGGCGGGUUCCUUCCUAAUUCCUAUCAAACAAUACAAUAAUUAAUUAUUAUUAUUAUUAUUAUUUAUACAACUUUAUUAAUUUUCUAAAUCAUAUAAUCAUCUCUGAUCUGUGAUUUCUCGUCUCUUUUAAUCCUCAGGACGUACUAAUCAUCUUGUACCUAUUUUCCUUUCCACAUCUCACCAGUGCGAACUAGAUUUAUGUAUACUGCAACUUUAUUAUUUUUUUAAACCAUAUAUUCUUCUCUGAUCUGUGAUUUCUCUUCUUUUUUUUGGCUGAUUACUGCUCAAGCAAACCAGCACUUGAAUCCAGGUAAAUUAUUUUUACUUCAUCUUCUUCAUCUUGUUGGUGUUUUUGUUUUUAUAUUUGUAACUAUGGUUUGAAUCUUUUAACUAAUCCAUAAUAAAUGAAUCGAUCUUUUUCUCAGAUUUGUCAUUUUUUUAAACCAUAUACUGUAUCUCACCAGUGCGAACUAGAUUUAUGUAUACUGCAACUUUAUUAUUUUUUUAAACCAUAUACUCUUCUCUGAUAUGUGCUUUCUGUUCUUUUUUCACCUCCGGUACUAGUCAUCUUGUACUUGUGGUGAGAUGGAAGGAGUUCCCACCAUCUGUAAAAAAGUUUAUUUUUUCAAUCAGGAAAGAAACAUCAUAGCUUGAACAUGAACCCAGCAAACUAAACAUAAGUUUGUAUUGCUUCAUAUUGUUUGCGAAUGAUUUUGGAUUCAGGAGUCAAUAUUUUUCUAAUCAAGCUGCUGUAAUUCCUAACAUAGACAAUAUACAACAAGAGAACUGCAUGCCUCGGCACUUUGGAAACUCUACUAGGUACUGAUUGACUUCUAGCUGUUGUGUUUUAACACCAUUAACUUUUACUGCUUAAGAGAGACUACCAAUUAUGGAAAGGUUUUAUAAUAUGAUCACUUCAUUUUUAUACAGGUCACAGAUGGAUAACCUCCAAGUCAGAGGAUUGCAAAAUCAAACUGCAGGCCUUGACACUUCCUUGCAAAGUCAAAUUAGGGGUUUAAAUACUCAACAAGUAAGAAGUAUAAUUGAAUUAUCGUCGUCUUUUCCCCCCUAUGAUUAUGCAAUAAACUAACUAUCAAUUUUAAUAGCAAAGUAAGGGUAACAGCGGUGAAGUAGUUUCUCAUCCAUCCGGAUAUGGUGCAACUUCCUCCCCCUCUUUUUUUCUAAAGGUCGAAAUGGUUGGAUCAAGGGAUCCAUUUUGGAAUUUUGUUGAAAAGAGGGCUAAUGGUAGCAUGACGUGUAAGUUUUGUCAACGUACAUGGGACAAUAAAAUUUCCAUUUCAAGGUUCAAAUGGCAUUUAUCAGGAGAGAAAAGGCGUGGUGUUGACAUUUGUCUUGGGGUGACUACAAAAGUUCAAGAAGCAGCCUUUCAAGCUAUGAAUGAUGGCAACAAAAGACAUAAAAGCACAGAAAGUUCAAUUAAUGUUAAUGAUUGUGGAAUUUCAACUUGUCCACAAGAACAAAACAUUGAGAAUGAAAAUAUGGGAGGAGGUACUGGAAGGGUACAAAGAGAAGUUCAGGUUAUAGAACCCGGAGUAGGGGAAGAGAGGAUUACUUCACAUGCAAUAACAGGAAACGACAAAGUAAGCAUGACCGGAAUGAGAGCACAUGAAGAUAGAGUUUCCGAAGGGGCACUCGAGAGGAGACUGAGGACAGAACCAGUGGAUCGACCGUUGGAACAAAGCAAUGCAGUACUUGGCAAUUUGGCAGGGGGUGCUGGAAGGAUAAGAGUUCAGGGCAUGGAACAAGGUCCCGGAAAAGAGAGAAUUCAGUCGCAUUUACAAGCGGAAAAUGGCAUGGAAAACACUGGUGAAGGAUCUUUUCAGCAUGAUGCAUUUGAGACUACCAAGAACAGAGCAAGUGCAGCUUCUGGAGCCUCGAGGAGAUUCAUCCCAAUUUUUUCGUGACAUUGGAAGAUGUUAUGAUCAACCUUGUGCUCCAUCAAUAAACGAUGAUGUAAAUAGGCAUGAUGCGCUGGACAUGGUUAGAGUGACGACAGAACCAGUGGAGGAGGAUGAUGUGGAGAAUAGUGUUAGAUCAGUAGUGCAGGCUGGCGCAGGAGAUAGAUCUUCUGAAAGUCUAAAAUACGACAAGACUAGAGGAGUUCCAUUACCUACUAACAAUACAAAGCCAGUGAGUCAAGCAUUUGAAGAGAAUACAAAGGUGAUAUUGUCUUUGUUAAUGGAUGAUGAAGUCGCAAUCAUUGGCAUUUACGGGAUGGGAGGAGUUGGUAAAACAACAAUAAUACUACAUAUCUAUAAUAAGCUUCUACGAAGACCAGACAUUUGUGAUCAUGUUUGGUGGGUGACUGUGUCUCAAGAUUUCAGCAUUAAUACAUUGCAGAAUUUUAUUGCUAAACGUCUUGAUCUAGACCUUUCAAGCGAAGAUGAUGUUCGACACAGAGCUGCCAAAUUGUCAGAAGAACUAAGGAAGAAACAAAAAUGGAUUCUGAUUUUAGAUGAUUUGUGGAACAAUUUUAAGCUUGACGAAGUGGGAAUUCCUGUCCCAUUAAAAGGAUGCAAGUUGAUUUUGACAACUCGAUUAAAAACAGUAUGUAAUCGGAUGACUUACCACCACAAAAUCAAAGUGAAGCCACUUUCUGAGGGAGAAGCUUGGACUUUGUUCAAGGAGAAUCUUGGACGUGACACACUUUUACAAAAAGUGGAAGUAAUUGCAAAAGCUAUUGCAAGGAAAUUUGCUGGUUUGCCUUUGGGAAUUAUUACAGUGGCAAGAAGCUUGAGGGGAGUGGAUGACCUCCAUGAGUGGAAUAAUACAUUGAAGAAAUUGAAAGAAUCAGGAUUUAGGGACAUGAAUGAGAAGGUAUUCAAGGUGUUGAGGGUUAGUUAUGAUCGGCUAGGUGAUAUAGCACUACAACAAUGUCUCUUGUACUGUGCAUUAUUUCCCGAAGGUCAUGUGAUUGAAAGGGUGCAGUUGAUAGAUUAUUUGAUCGAUGAGGGAAUAAUUAAAGGAACGAGGAGCAGGAAAGAUGCAUUUGACGAGGGCCACACAAUACUUAAUAGACUUGAAAAUGUCUGCCUAUUAGAAAGUGCUAAAACGAGGAGAGGGAAAAAUGGUGUCAAGAUGCAUGACUUGAUUAGAGACAUGACCAUCCAUUUACUGCUAGAGAGCUCUCAAUACAUGGUUAAAGCAGGUGCGCAAUUAAAAGAGCUGCCAGAUGCAGAGGAGUGGACGGAGAACCUGACGAUUGUUUCACUAAUGCAAAACAGAUUUGAAGAAAUUCCUUCCAGCCAUUCACUAAAAUGUCUAAAUCUGUCAACUCUAUUUCUAUCUGAUAAUGAAGGGUUGGGAUUGAUUGCGGAUUCAUAUUUCAAGCAAUUGCAUGGGCUCAAGGUCCUCCAUCUAUCUUGCACAGCUAUUGAAAAUUUGCCUGACUCUGUAUCUGAUUUGGUGAGUCUCACUGCAUUAUUGCUUAAUGAUUGUGCGAAAUUAAGACAUGUUCCAUCAUUAAAGAAGCUCAGGGCACCGAAGAGGUUGGAUCUCUCUGAAACUGUGCUUGAAAAGAUGCCGCAAGGAAUGGAAUGCCUAACCAACCUAAGGUAUCUUAGACUGAAUGGAUGUGGUGAAAAAAAGUUUCCUAGUGGGAUAUUACCAAAACUCUCUCUCCUGCAAGUCUUUGUACUAGAAGACUUUUUUGAGGGAAGUUAUGCUCCGAUAACAGUUGAAGGAAAGAAAGUAGGAUCCUUGAGAAAUUUGGAAACUUUGGAAUGCCAUUUCGAAGGUCUCCCUGACUUCGUGGAGUAUCUCAGAUCUCGGGAUGUGGAUGUGACCCAAUCAUUAAGCACAUACACAAUUUUAAUAGGAAUAAUUGAUGAUUUAGAUUAUUUGGUAGAAAUUGAGUAUCCUUUUCCAAGUAAAACAAUUGUGUUGGGUAAUUUGAGUAUCAACAGAGAUAGAGAUUUUCAAGUCAUGUUCUUCAAUGACAUUCAAAAACUGGUUUGUGAAAGCAUCGAUGCAAGAAGUUUAUGUGAAUUUUUAUCAUUAGAGAAUGCAACUGAACUGGAGUUCGUCUGCAUUCAGGAUUGCAAUAGCAUGGAGAGCUUGGUUUCAUCUUCUUGGUUCUGCUCUGCUCCACCACCAUUGCCAUCAUAUAAUGGUAUGUUUUCUAGUAUUAAAGAGUUUUAUUGUGGAGGAUGUAACAAUAUGAAGAAGCUGUUCCCCCUUGUGUUGCUGCCAAACCUCGUAAAUCUGGAAGUGAUUCAAGUGAUGCUCUGUGAGAAAAUGGAGGAGAUAAUAGGAACAACAGAUGAAGAAAGCAGCACCUCCAAUUCUAUCACGGGAUUCAUUCUCCCAAAGUUAAGAACUCUGAGAUUGAUUGGUUUACCAGAACUGAAAAGUAUUUGCAGUGCAAAACUGACUUUCAUUUCUAUUGAAGAUACUACUGUAAGGUGUUGUAAGAAGCUGAAGAGGAUUCCAAUUUGUCUUCCGUUGCUUGAAAAUGGCCAGCCAUCUCCUCCCCCUUCUCUUGCAAAAAUCCAUGCAUAUCCAAAAGAAUGGUGGGAGACAGUAGUAGAGUGGGAGCAUCCUAAUGCAAAGGAUGUCCUUCGCCCCUUUGUAGAGUUUUGGUAGGAGCAUCAUUUAUCAAUUCUAUCCUUCUGGAAGAAUACUAAUUGAUUGUUACCUUAAAUUUGCUCUUAUUCAAUAAUAUAUCAUUUUAUUAUUAUUAUUUUGGAUAUGAAUGAUGAAAAUUUCCUGUAUUCUGCUAUGAAAUAUUUCUUUUUUAUAUAGUGUGCUUACAAUUACAUAAAUAACAUUUUUCAUUUUUUUUAUUUGUUUCAUUGUCUUUUUAAGACUAUUGAAUUGUCAUAUAUUUUGAAAAAAGAAUGAUAAUCGAAUUACAUGACUUGGAAUUUUGAAUUAUAUUUAGAAUAAAAUUUCAUAUAUACCUUUCCUCAUACAAAAAUUCAUCCUAUUUUUCUAUAUUCCUCAAGAUUUUUUCUUCUGUAUUUUUAAGUUUUUUCUGUCUUUAUAAACAACAUAAAAAAUAAACAAAAAGGGGUUGUGUUUUUUUCAUUUGAUGUUUAUUAAGAUGUUAGGUUUAGUUAUUAUCAUACAAAUUGUGAAGGGUGCAAAAGCUAGCUUGUAGAUUUUUUGGUAAGUGCUUAAAAACUGCAUAUUGCAGGGCCGCAACAAGGUUGCAUUAUACCUUCACCUCCAUACCGAACUCCUCUUCAUCUCUUAUUGUUAAUAAAAAUGUAACAAUUUAGGAGCAUGAGGGAACAUUUUCACAGUGAAGAUUAAUUCAUCUCCAAAGCAGAAUACAGGAAAUAGAGAAUUAAAUCAAUAAAAGUAAGGUAUUUCAUCGCCAGUGAAUUCAUCUCUUCGAGCAUUCUUGAAUUCUACAUCGGUGAAUUUCAGUACAACUACUAUACACAAGAUGUAGCACUCUUCCCCUUUCCAACCUUGCUUAAUUCAUCAAAAGCUAAUUCCUGUAUAUCAACUUGGUUUGGGAAAAUAACUGAAAAACUCUGUUAAAUGAGUUCUAUGAAAAUGAGGAAGGCUAAGAUUCUCUAUUAAAUGCUUCUGAGAGAGUAUGAACUGAACAUUCAUUCUCUGUUGGAUGAGUUUUGGUUUCUAAACCUGAAAUUGCCAUCAUAAGCACUAGCUAGGGAAGUUAGGAUGAGCUUUUCCUGUCAUUAUAUCACAUUUUUCUGCUAGGAUAAUACUCUUUAUAUUCUCAGCUAUUAUUGCUUAUAAUCAUAGUUUUGAAACCCGGUCUGGUCAUCGACCCGAUCAAGUGCUCGGGUCACGGGUCAGAUAGGUUGACCCGGGUCAACCAAAAAAAAAAGAUUAUGCUUCCCAGUAAAUUUUAUCAAAGCUAGUUUCUUAUCCUGAACUAAUAACAAGCAACCAGAUGUGGAAAAUCAGCCAGCAGUCAACGAACCAUCACACUCUACAACUUCUAGGCCAGCAUAUCAAAAUCUCUACAACUUAUGUUUGCUUAAAUUUCCAGUCAACUGUAAAACCAAACGAAUAUUACUAGCCGAAAUAUUUUCAGCUGUUAAUAAUUCUUAGAACAGUUUCAAUCUCUGCCUAUAACAAUUCUUAGAACAAAAUUGGGUCUUAGAGCUAGAGAUUAUCCUAGCUAGUUCUCAAUCAAUAACACUUCUUAGAACAAAACUGCUGAAAUAUCAAUAGCUUUUUGUUCUCAAUCAACAUUAUUGAUUAUCCUAGCUAGUUCCAGAAGCAAAUGCAUCAAUUAAAACUAGUGCAUCGAACAAAACCAGUCCUCAUCCAUUUUCUACACUUCCUAAUAGCAAAGGAUUUAUUACGUUGCAGAAAAGAAAAGAACAGAGAAACAUACCUGAGGUUGAGAUGACUGGGCUGCGAAUGAAUCAAUGCGACUGAAUCAACGAGCAACGAAUCGAUGCCAGAAGGCCCAGAACUGCAAGUUCAAAACACGGCCAAGAAUAAAGAAAAGAAAGAGUGAAAAAAGAAGAUUCGUGAACAGAAACAAGCAUCUAACCUUUUUCAUAGUGAAAUAACAAUGAUCAAGACGUCUUUUGCUCUCCUCUGCUCCUCAGCUCCUCAGCGAUUGAAAUUGGUAUUUUCGUUAAUUAGGUUUGAAUGUGUCCAAUUCUGCUUUGUUGUUCUUCGUUAGUUCGUCGUUUUGGCUUUUAAAAAGGCCAAAAUGACGUCGUUUAAUGUCUAUUAGUAUAUAAAAAAAAAAGAGACCGGGUCUCAGCCGGGUUUGACCGGGUGGCCCGGGUCCCAGUUCGACCCGCCGGGUCGACCGGGUUUCACCGGGCCAACUCCCAAGCGGGUUUUUGUCUCCACCCGGACUAGUCCCAGGCCCGGGUCAGCCGGGUCCCGGAUCGACCCGUCGGGCCGGUCCAGGUUUUAAAACUGUGCUUAUAAUCUUCUUGCCUCUGGUAUCUUUUCCAACCCGUUUGAGGGAUGCUUUCUAAUUUUUUUUUUGGAUUGUAAAUUUGUUGUCCACCUGCACUGUAAAACAGAGUUGUAACUGGACCUAGGAAUCCAGGAGUUAUUGGUGACAGGGGAUCUGGAUCCUUUUCGAGGGAAAGUGAGUUCAACUGUUACAUUUUGUUUACAUUAUUAUCUUGUUGCACUAAAUCAAGAAGUUUACUAGACUUAUUAUUCUGUAAAUUUGUUUUCUGAGAGCUGAGCAUUUUAUACGACCCUGUGAAUGGGAAGAUUUUAUUCUCAUAUACUUGUUGCCAACUUACUUGUGAGCUAAGAAAUAUUGCUGAAUAGAAAUGCUUUCAUUCUUUAUUGUCGGCUUGAAAGUGAAUUGAACAUUUAUUACAUGAUUUUUCUUCUCCAUUUUAUUUAAUUUAAAAGCAUUUCAUGGUUGUUUUUCUGACUUCAUUAAGUUUUUCUAAAAGCCUGAUAAUUUGUCAGAUAAUUUUAGCAGGAGUCUUACAUAUGUAUGCAGGUCAGAAGUCAUUUCCAUCAAUAUGAUGGAGUAGUAUGAACAAUUUUUUUUUUUUGUUUCUGCUAACGAUUUAUUUCAUGAUUAAGAUCGAUUUAUUUCCACUUUCUAGUAUACCAUAGUAGCCUAGGUGUGUUUUUUCCGAAAUGGUUAUGAGCAUUUUUCCAAUCUGCCGGGGAGGGGGGGGGGGGGGGUGUUGGCGGGCUUGGGCUAGGAGCGUGGUUAUUUUUAAUCUUGGGCUUUUGGCGACGCUUCACGCUGCUACCUUUUGAUUUGGCAAAAUUUUAUUCAAUUCAAUUCAUUAAAAAUAAUUGAAACUUCCAAGAUCAAAUAUGAUAUUGAGACCACGAGGAAGUCCAAAAUGCGGAGGCCUCCUGUUUCUUCAAUCUAUUUGUACCCCAUCUUCUGCUGCUGUGAUUAUUAAAGCCUUGCCCAAUAAUUAUUGGUUGACAACUUUCCUGCAACAAAAAUACAUACAGUAUCUUUGUAUCAAUGGAAAACUGAUGCGCAGAUUGGAUAGCAAAUGAUGCUUGAUGGCGUGGUUUUGAUGAGUGAAUGAAAGUGCAUUCUAAAUGUUCUAUCAUUGGAAUAAAAUGCUAAAAUAUGAUAACAAUAAUAGAAAUUAAAGGGUAUUUUUUAAUUGAAUUUCCAAGGUAUGAUGGCGCCAACCUCCAUGAGAUAGUUAACCAAGAAGUGGAGGAAUGCCUUAGAGCACCUGAGAGACAAUCAAGAGUUGGCCAGCUUACAUGCACCUCGACUAAUCCCACGGAUCUUAAAGUUAACGAUCAUAUAAGCCUCUCGUGCUUCUAAAAUUUGUGAGACUCGAACUGGUGAUCUCUAGAGAACAAAUUUAGCGCCUGAUCAGUUGAAUCAUACCCCUCAGAGUUAUUUUGAUAUUCUCUUAAAUAGACAAGUAAAGGCCUAGAGCUUCUAUUUAUUUUUUAUUUUUAGUUUUGAAUCAAAACUUUAUUUUUAGUUUUGAUAUACUUAAGUAUUUUAAUCAUAACUUUCAACUCUCAUAUCGGAUUGCUGUGAUUCUUGACGCGUUGGAGAGGUAUCUUAAAGGGCUACAAAUUAGCCUCCAAUGAGGAUUUCAAAAAAGAUCUCCCAAAGCAUGUACGUGGCUGCCAAAGAAGUCCUAAAAUUUAGGCAAUUUGUUUUCGACACACUUGAGGUUGAAAAGUGGGGCUGCCUCCUCUGAAAAGAGGGGUAUUUGGCAUAAAGAAGACGCGUGGGAAUUGCACCAUAGAAAGAAAAAGGAAGAAGGAGAACAUGCAAGGAAAAAAUCUUCUCGGGAAAUUUUUAAUGUCUAAUACAGAUUUCCAAAUUAUUCUAACUCUUUUGUUCAGAUUUAUGCAGUUUAUGGAUUCAGUCAUGCCUUUCUAUUGAAUGGAUUAAUCUUUGGAUCAUUUAUUUACCUGUAUUGAUUUAAUUUCUUUGCUGUAAUAUUGCUCCUUAAGUAUAUUGUCGUCAUUGGAUUUUCUUAAUAGGGAUAAUUAUUUAAAAGUAGUGAAUGAUUUUUCAAAAGGGUUAUAUUUGGUUUAGUGCUGAUUUAAUUAUCUACACCUUUUAAGUGGGAGUUUUGGGAAUUGAUUUCGAAUUGAAUUAUUCAACAAAAUAAGAAAAAUUAAAAUAUCAAGUGUGUGCAAGGGAAAACACCAUAUUAAUAUUAAAAAUUUAAAAAUAUUUUGAUUAUUGAAAUCUCAAUACAACUUAAACCCAUGUAUUACGAAGAGAAAAAAAGAGAGUAAAAGGUUGAAAAUAUAUAAAAAUAAUAUUUUUUUCAGAUUUUAUUUUUUUAUUUUUAACAUUAAUACAUCAAAAUUAUAAAAAAACUAAAAUCAAUCUAUUUAUCUUUUUAAUUUUUUUAAAACAACAAUUAAAAACAAAAGUAAUUAUCCGCUAUUAAUCACAUACUUAAUUUGUUAUUGUUAAAACACCAUGUUUUCCAAAAAAAUUAAAUUUGUUUCUCUUUAAAUCAUUAAUUUUUAGUGUUUUUUAAAAUUAUUUUAAUGUAUUAAUAUUUAAAAUAAAUUUUUAAAAAUAAAAAAAAUAUUAUAUUAAUUUUUUUACUGCUUACAUUUUCUCGGAAACUUCUUCUAUGCUUCAUAAUUGGGGUGGUCCACACGUUAACUUCCUAUAUUAUUAUUAUACAUAAAGCUAAAACAUGUGGAGGAAAUCACUGUUCACCAAGACUCAUUACACUGUGGAUUGUAAUAGUGCUAAAAACGAGCAUUGUUCACCAAGACGCAUUGCACUGUGAAUUGCAUAAAUUGUGGGGGCAUUGUGGGCUGUAACCCCAAGCACAGACGCCUGGCGCAAGGGCAGUCCAUUCCUAGCCACAAAAGUUCCAAGGCUGCAGGGGGGAGGGGCAGCCACACCCAAGUUGGGCUGGAGGCGUCCACGCCCACACCCAGGUUGGGCUGGACGCGUCCACUCCCAACCCCAAGUUGCCACCUUGAGCUUGGGUGGCUCCAAUGUGAGGGGCAAACCCAAGCGCCACGUGGUGCUUUUGUCUUGGCAAAAGGCUUAAUUGCCUAUGACAGCCUCAAGUUGGGUCUGGAUGCGUCCGCGCCCAACCCCGAGUUGGGUUCUUGAAAUUACUAUUCAAAGUGUUCAUAUCAAAAUAUUAUUAUUUGUGUUAUAAAUAUUAUUAUUUUUAUUAUAACUCAAAGUAUUGAUAUAAAAAAUAUUAUUAUUUGUGUUGUAAUCAUCCUUGAAAUUCUUAAUAUAAUUAUUUAUGUUAUAAAUAUUAUUAUUUUUAUUAUAAUUAAUAGUGUGAAUAUUAAAAAUAUUAUCAUUGUGUUAUAAAUAUUAUUAUUUUUAUUAUAAUUAAUAGUGUGAAUAUUAAAAAUAUUAUCAUUGUGUUAUAAGUAUUAUUAUUUUUAUUAUAAUUUAUAUUAUUAAUAGUUUUGAAAAUAAAUUUAUUAAUAUUAAAAAAAUGUUAUUUGUGUUAUAAUUAUUUUUAUUUUUAUUAUGAUUAAAAGUGUUAAUAGUAAAAAUAAUAUUAUUUGUGUUAUAAUUAUUUUUAUUUUUAUUAUGAUUAAAAAUAUUAAUAUUAAAAAUAGUAUUAGUUUCUUUUUAUUAUGAUUAAAAGUAUUAAUAUUAAAAAUAAUAUUAUUUGUGUUAUAAUUAUUUUUAUUUUUAUUCCAACUUGGGGCACACAGCAACGCCCACACCCGAGUUGGGUCUGGAGGCAUGCUCGCCCAAACCCGAGUUAGGCGUGGAGGCAUCCACACCGACACUAAAGUUGGGGGUGGACGAGUCCACGCCCACACCCGAGUUGGGUCUGGAGGCAUGCUCGCCCAAACCCGAGUUAGGCGUGGAGGCGUCCACACCGACACUAAAGUUGGGGGUGGACGAGUCCACGCCCACACCCGAGUUGGGGGUGGACGAGUUCACGCCCAACCCCAAGUUGGGAGUGGUCGCAUCCACGCCCACACUCAAGUUGGGUCUGAAACUCAGGGUUGGGCGAGCACGCGUCCACACCCAACUUGGGUAUGGGCAUGGCUGGGUGCCCCAAGUUGUCCACGCCCGCCUUGGAUUUGGGUAGGGACGCAUCAAGACCCAACUUGUGGUUGGGGUUGGACGUGUCCACGCCCACUCCCAAGUUGGGUCUCGACGUGUUCGUGCCCAUCCACAUGUGUUAAUAUAAUAAUGUGUGUUAUAAAUAUUAUUUUUUCUCUACCUUUUUCCUUCUAAAAUUAUCUAGCCUUCUCUCUAAUAAACUAAGAAACAUCAACAUACAUUUUCUAGCCCAGCAGUGGUUCCACUAGCCGGUGACAGGAGCAGAGCUAGAAAUUUAAAUUUUUUUAGGUUUUAGGAUUAAACAUAUAAAUCUGUUGAAGGGGGUUGUAAAAAUUAAUUCCUUGCAGGGGCCGGACCCUGCCAGUCCCUCCUAGUUCUGCCCUGACGGCAGGUGACAGUGUGGUAGAGAUGUCUAGCUACUGCUCAAAGUCCCAGCAACAACGGUACUGUUGUAUAUAUAAGAAAUGGCAAUUACCCUAAAUAAUAUUUCCAUUGGUCACUACUUUAUGGGAACUCAAUUCCGCAUGUUCUUAUUGAGAGGCAUACUGUCCCUAGUUCAACCAAGAAUGGAGGUCAUAGCCAGCAGCGGAGCCACAUAAAUUAAAUUUUUUUUUAGAAGGUUAAAACUUGCAAUUUCUCGCAAGUUCUUUUUUCAAGCAAUUGCAUGGGCUCAAAGUCCUCGAUCUAUCUUUCACCUGUGUUGAUAAUUUGCAUAAUUCUGUCUCUGAUUUGGCGAGUCUCACUACAUUAAUGCUUGUUGGUGGUAAUAAGUUAAGGCUUAUACCGUCUUUAGAAAAGCUCAAGGCGCUGAAGAGGUUGGAUCUCUCUUGUUCUGCACUUGAAAAAUUACCUAAGGUAUCUCAGAAUGAAUGGAUGCGGUGAAAAGAAGUUUUCUAGUGAGAUAUUACCUAAACUCUCUUAUCUUCAAGUCUUUGUAUUAGAGGAGUAGAUGCCUACCAAAGGACAUUCAACAACUUACCAUUUUUAAAAGUUCAUGCGAUGUUUCAUCAUUAAUCAAGUAUGCAAUUGAACUGGAGCUCACCAACAUUUGGAAGUGCUAUAACAUGGAGAGCUUGGUUUCAUUUUCUUGGUUCUGCUCUGCUCCACCAUCAUCUCCAUCUUAUCAUGGUAUAUGUUCUAGUGUUAAAGAGUUUGAAUGCUCUGGUUGUAAGAGUUUGAAGAAAUUGCUCCCUCUUGUGUUGCUGCCGAACCUCGUAAACUUGGAAGAGAUUAGAGUUGAAGAAUAAAAGAAAAUGGAGGAGAUAAUAGGAACAAGAUCAGAUGAAGAAGGGGUAAAUUCCUGUGUUUUGGUUUAAAUUUUCGAGAAAAAGAAAGAAAGAAAUAAAAAGAUGAAUAAUAAUAAUAAUUGAUGGUGUAGAAAUUAUUAUCAAGAAGGUUAACGUUGCACCAUAUAAUCAAUCACUAGCCUCUCCUCAUUCAUGUGCUGGCUUCAGUGCAGUAGAAAAAAAAAUGGAAGUAAUUUUACCUUUAAUUAUGUUAAAAAAAUAUAGAUUGAAACUAUAAAGUUUUUUCAGAUGUGAUUUGGUUUUAAGUUGAAAAUUGAAUUUUAGAAGUUAAAAAACUAUUCCUCGAUCAAAACUAUCUGAAAAAAUAUUACAGUUUGUUGUCGUCUGCCCAAUUUUAAAAACAAGAAAUGCCACGUGUGUACGCCUGGUAUUCUAAGCCUAGAAAUAUUUAUUUUUAAUUUAAAAUUAAUUGUUUAAAAUUAAUAAUUAGAAUGCCAUGUAAAUAUCAUUCAACUAUGUCAUAUAUUUCAAUAAAACAACUCUUGUUUUGGUUAUAUUUGCAAUAACUUUGUUAAAUGAUCUAUGAGCAUAAUAUGCAAUAAAUUGUAAAACAAAUUGCAUAUAAAAUUAUAAAUGUUAUAUGAGAAUAAAAUAGAUUUUUUUUUUGUUAUUGUUGAUUUUUUAUAUAGUCUUGACAUAUUGAUUAUUUUUUGUUUUUUUAAAUUACAGCAAUAAAAAUUACAGCAAUGAUCGUUUUGUUUAUCAAUAGAAAGACAUGUUUUCAUAAUAAUAAUAAGAAAAUGAGAGUUUUUCCUUAAAAAAUAAUUUUUUUUCCUCUUGUAGUUUAAAUUAUUGAGAUUCUUGGAAAUAUUUAUUUGAAUUACCUUGAGUUUUUAUUAAAAACAACAUUAUUAUUUUUCUGAGUUAGAUUUUAAGUUCUAAUUUUGGCUUCCCUUUUACACGGUUGUCUACUUUAUAUUUUUCAAAUUUAUUAUUUUUCUGUUAAUAUUUUCCCUUACUGGUUUGGCUUUUUGUGUUUCAAAAUAAAUUAAAAUAUAUAUAUUUCAUAUUGCUCUUUUUAGAAGAUAUUUGGAAUCAUUUGCCAAAUUUAUUUUCUGUUUUUAUUUUUGAAUUUUGAAAUGACUCUUCAAGAAACACUUCCAACCAAUUAUUUACCCUGGAACUUGGACGAUGUAUAAUUCCAAGCGGGCAUGCUGCAUUUCUUAGCCAGGUGGAGCAAAAAUUUGGGUAUGAUUAGUUGGGCUAGUUUAUAGGCCUUUUGCAAUAGGAUUUCUGUCCUUUCUGCUAAUUUAUCUAAAUAUAAGCUUUAGAAUCUUGAUUCUGAAUUUUUUAUUUUGACACGAGUUUGAGAUGAAAAAGAAAAGUCACCCAAAAAAAAACUUGAAAAAAAAAAAAAAUUACUGGCUGACAACUUUCCAGCAACAGAAAUACAGUAUAUUUGUAUUAACUGGUGUGCAUAUUGGAUAGCAAAUCAAGCUUCAUAGAAAAACUGUUGAAGUUUUCUACUCAUGCACUGAAGCUCCCUCUGGUUGUUUGAAGCUAAAGCUUGAUAUUGGCGUUCCUGGGGUUUUGAUGAGUGUAUGGAAGUGCAUACUAUCAUUGGAAUAAAAUGCUAAAAUGUGAAUAAAAAUAAUAGAAAUUAAAGGGUGUUUUUGAAUCGAACUUCUAUUUACUUUGAUGUACUCUUAAACAGACAAGUCAGGGCCAGGAGUCGUGAGAUUCACUUGGAAACAGCCUGGAUACACCAAUGUAUUUUAGUCAUAACUUUCCACUCACAUAUCGGCUUGCUGUGAUUCUUGACGCGUUGGAAAGGUUUCUUGAAGGGCUACAAAUUAGCCUCUAAUGAGGAUUUCAAAAAAGGAACUCCUAAAGCAUGUACGUGGCUGCCAAAAAAAAGUCCUAAAGUUGAGGCAAUUUGUUUUUGACACAACGGGGAUCAUGGAGGCGUGAUGUGAAAAGUGGGGCUGCCUAAUUUGAAAUGAUGGGUGUUUGGCAUAAAGAAGACGUGUGGGAAAUGCACCAGAGAAGAAAAAAAACAGAAAAAGGAAAAGGGAUUUAUGUAGUUUAUGGAUUCAGUCAUGUUUUUUCUAUUAAAUGGAUUGAUUCUUUGAUUAUAUUUGUAUCAUUUAUUUAUCUGUAUUGAUUUAAUUUCUUUACUAUAAUAUUGCUCUUUACGAAAUAAGAAUAAUUAAAAUACCAAAUGCGUGCAAGUUAUUUUAAAAAAUUAAAUUUUAAAUAUAGGAUUUAGAAUCUUGAUGAAUGAAACUAGCAGCUACCGGCUUAAAUAUUUUCUUUUAAGGAAGUGCAGCGUUGUGUCCCGAGAGAGGCCACCGGGCAAAUGCCAAGAUUAUUUUUUAUUUUAUAUUGUAAAUUUUUUAAAAUUAAUUUUUUUAAAAUGUUUUUAGAUAUUUUUAUAUAUAGGUAUCAAAAAUAAAUUUUAAAAAAUAAAAAUUAUUAUUUUAAUAUAUUUUUAAAUAAAAAAUACUUUAAAAAUUAAUCGUUAUAAUUCUAAACUGGCGGUGACGACACCAAACUAUAGUAUCAACAAGAUUUUCCUCGUAUUAAUGAAAGCAUUCUGCAUAUUCGACACAAAUUGAAAAACAUGUUUCUUCUUAAAUUGUUAUUUUCAUGUGUUUUUUAAAAUCCGAAUAUUUGAGAACGUGGUUGUUGCUAAUAUCCACCUCAGCAUGUACCUUCUGGUUAUAAACACCUUGGGUAUAUUGGUAAAAUAGAAAAACAUGUGAUUAUAUCAAGAUAAAAUAGAAAAACAUUCUGGUUAUAAUGGCAUUGACUCAAAACCUUUAAUUUGUCUUUUAAUUUUUUUAUUCAAGCAGCAAUGAACUCCCAAACAUUUCAUAUUCUUUUUGUUAUUCACGUGUUUACAUUUUCUAGGCAGCUUCUUCAAAGUUUGAACAUUGGGGUGCUCCACACGUUAACUUUCUAUGUCAUAUAAUAUAAUGUAAGGUAGCUAGCGGCAACUUUAUGUAUACUGCACUUUAUUAUCUUUCUAAACCAUAUGUUCUUCUCUGAUCUGUGAUUUCUCUUCAUUUUUUGCUGAUUGCUGCUUAAGCAAACCAGCACGCACUUGAAGAACAUCUUGAAUCAGGUUAAUUGUUUUUACUUCAUCUUGUUGGUGUUUUUGUUUUUCUAUAUGUAACUAUAUAUGGUUUGAAUCUUUAAAGUAAUCCAUGAUAAAUAAAUCGAUCUUUUUCUCAGAUUUUGUAAUCCAUGCCCUGUGGUGUUCAUACUAAAUUAACCCUAAACCUUGAAUUCAUUGUUUUUAUCUUUUCAAAAUUCUUUGCUGUUUUUAACUCCUUAUUUUAGUUUCACCAUUAAUUUUUAUCCAAUAUUUUUCGGACAAAAUGAUUCAAUGAAAAAUUGUUUUUUACUGAUUCAUGAAUUAACUUGACCAGUAAUUACCUUUCAUUAAACUUGUUUACAACAAGUGACAAAUAAUUAUUUAGCAUUAAAACAAAGAGUUAAAUCAUUAACAGCAACAUUUAUAUUUCCUAUUUUUCCUCCGAAUUUCUUUAAGAAAUAAAUAAGUCAUAUAUAUAUAAAUUUCUUAUCUAAUCUGCGCUUUCUGUUCUUCUUUAAACCUCAGAUGGAAGGGUUCCCACCAUCUUCUGCGGAGGAUGAUGUCAUGAUCAACUUGACAUCGAAUCAGUUCGAUAUUCAAUCACCAGAAGAUUCAUUCAAUAUAUCUGAGCUUCUCUCGUACGUCAUUCUUAAGCAUAUUUUAUCAAAAGAUGAUUCCUUGCAAUUUAGUUAUUCUUCAGUUUUUUCUAUUAUUCCCAAAAAACAAUAAUGUCCCAAAAAAAAAACAGGUCGCCACUGGAGGAUCUAGCCAACCAAAGCUUCAUAUCAUGCAAUGAUCAAGUUGAACAGAACUUCGUGGUGGAUAACAAUGUGAUCAACGAUAGUAUUCAGCAAACAACUCAGUUUCCACCUUCAUCUUCUCAAGCUAUAGUGAGUGCUCAUGCUUAGUGAGUGUUUCGAAACGUAAUUUUUAAAAUUUUGAAUUUAUUUUGUUUAAAAUUAAUUUAUUUAUAUAUUUUUGAAUCGUUUUAAUAUGAUAGUGUUAAAAAAAUUUAAAAUAAAAAAAAUAUUUAAAUAUAUUUUUAUGUGAAAAAUACUUUGUAAAACAACCGCUACCACAAUCAUAAACAAGCUAUUACUCCAAUUUGCUAUAAUGUGUCAAAGAACCAAUUCAACCCUAAAACUUAAAUUGUGAGGUGAGGUCCCAAGAUAUGAUUUAUAAUAUUCUUUAACACCCCUCUCAAGUAAAAGCUAUUUGGACAUAAAACUUGUACAAACUCACACUACCUUGUGCUUAAUUUUUAUCAAAUAAAUAGAGAUGAUGAGAUUCAAAGUCGUGACCACUUGAUUAUCAAGACUCUAAUACCAUGUCAAUAAACUAAUUCAACCUAAAAAUUUAAGUUAUUAGAUGAGGUCUCAAGAUAUGAUAUAUAUUAUUUUCUAACAUAAUAUCCAUUAAAUUAGCAAGUGUUUGUAUUGCUGUAUACGUUGAAUCAAAAAGUUUUAUGUAUUAGUGUAUCAAGAAUAGACAACUCAAUUUUAUAUAUAUAUAUAUAUUCUCUGCUAUGUGCUUUCUGUUCUUUUUUCACCACAGUACAUAAUUAUCAUAUCAUCUUGUACUUUUGGACAGAUGGAAGGGGUCACAGCAUCUUCUAUUGUGGAUGAUGUCAACUUGAGAUCGAAUGAGUCAGAUGGAAGGCCUCAGCUUCUCUUGUACGUCAUUCUUAAGCAUAUGUUAUCAGAAGAUGAUUACUUGCAAUUAGUUUUUGUACAGUUUUCCUUAUUAUUCCCAAAAAAAACAACAAUGUUACUGCCUAUAGAAGCAGGAAGGAGGUUUCAGGCAAUGAUCAAGGUGGACAGAACAACGUGAUCAAUGAUAGUAUUCAACAAACAACUCAGUUUCCACUUUCAUUUCCUCAAACCAUGGUAAGUACUCAGGCCAUUGAAUUAGCAAGUGUUUGUAUUGCUAUAUCGCCCAUUGGAUCAAAAAAUUUUAUGUUUUAGUGCAUCUUCAAAUUGCUUAUUGUCAAACAAACAGACAACAAUGGGAGGUUUCGAUGGAACAUCAUCAUCACGGACCAACCAAAAUGAACCAAAUUGGCCUCAAACUCCUUCAAGGUAUUCAUCAUUAUUUAACUUCUUCUUCUUGCACUUAUCAGUGAUGCCAAUUUAUUGCACUAAAUGAAUUCAUUAUGUUUGAAUAUAGUUAUCAGCCUAAUCCUAAUUUGUUUGAUCCUCAAUGUGCCAAUCCCAUGAGCAAUUAUGCAUAUGUAUACAGAAAUUAUUAACAAAUGUUGCCUAAUUUAGGGACCAACAAUGGACUAAUUAUCAGUUACCAAUGAGCAAUCCAGUGCCUGCCAUGCUACCUGGACCUCAACCUCCAAUGAAUCAAUGGUAUUAAUCUCAAAUAUACUUGACCAGAAUUGACGAGGAUCUUUCAAGUCUUUUUGAGCUUUCUAUCUCUCUUUUUUGUUUGCACAUAAUGGAACUAGAAAAUCAACCAAGUGAGAAUAAAAGUUCUAAGUUCUAAGUAUUCAUUAUGUUUAACUAUUUGAAUAUUUUUCAGGCAUCAUAAUUCCUUUAUUCAUCAACCUCAGCCGGGACAUGGCUAUAUGACACCGAAUGCAACCACUUCACAACAUGGUGGCUUCAAUCAAUUUGAACCUUCUUUUCCUGCUCUCCGGUAUCCAAUUUUUCAUUUUUAGUAUUUUCUAUAUAUAAAAAAAAAAUAGUUUUUCAAUCAGGAAAGAAACAUCAUAGCUUGAACAUUAACCCAACAAGCUAAACAUAUUGUUUGACUUUGCAAAUGAUUUUGGAUUCAGGAGUCAAUAUUUUUCUAAUCAAGGACAAGUCGAUCAAGCUGCUGUAAUUCCUAACAAAGACAAUGUGCAACAAGAGAACUUCGUGCCUAGGUACUGAUUGACUUCUAGCUGUUGCGUUUUAACACCAUUAACUUUUACUGCUUAAGAGAGACUACCAAUUAUGGAAAGGUUUUAUAAUAUGAUCACUUCAUUUAUAUAUAGGUCACAGAUGGAUAACCUCCACGUCCGAGGAUUGCAAAAUCAAACUGCUAGGCCAAAUGCCUCAAAUCCUGGCCUUGACACUUCCUUGCAACGUCAAAUUACGGGUUUAAAUACUCAACAAGUAAGAAGUAUAACUGAAUUAUCGUCGUCUUUUCCCCCCUAUGAUUGUGCAAUAAACUAACUAUCAAUUUUAAUAGCAAAAUAAGGGUAACUUGAUCCGUUAAUUUUUAUUCCAUAUUUUGACCUAUUUUUAUUCUAUAGGUCGAAAUGGUUGGAUCAAAUGAUCCAUUUCGGAAUUAUGUUGAAGAAAGGGCUGAUGGUGGUAGAAUGAAGUGUAAGUUUUGUCCACAUACAUAUGCCAUUAAAACUUCCAUUUCAAGGAUCAAAUGGCAUUUAUCAGGAGAAGAAGGGCAUGGUGUUGCCAUUUGUCGUUGGGUGCCUAAAGAAGUUCAAGAAGCAGCCUGGAAAGCCAUGUGUGGUGGCAACAAAAGACAUAAAAUCACAGCAAGUUCAAUCAAUGUUAAUGACUGUGGAAUUUCAACUUGUCCACAAGAACAAAACAUUGAGGUUAACAUGGGAGGAGGUAUUAGAAGGGUACAAGGAGAAGUUCAGGUUGUAGAACCGGGAGUAGGGGAAGAGAGGAUUUCUUCACAAGCAAUAGCAGGAAACGACGUAGUAAGCAUGACCGGAAUGAGAGCAACAGAAGAUGGAGUUUCCGAAGGGGCACUGGAGAGCAGACCGAGGACAGAACCAGUGGAUCGAGCGUUGGAACAAAGCAAUGCAGUACUUGGCAAUUUGGCAGGGGGUGCUGGAAGGAUACAAGUGGGAGUUCAGGGCAUGGAACAAGGUGCUGGAGAAGAGAGAAUUCAGUUGCAUUUACAAGCGGAAAAUGGUAUGGAAAACACUCCUGAAGGAUGUUUUCGGCAUGAUGCAUCUGAGACUAUACCAAGAACAGAGCAAGUGCAGCUUCAAGAGGCUCGAGGAGAUUCAUCCCAAUUUUGUCUUGACACUGGAAGAUAUUAUGAUCAACUCUGUGCACCAUCAAUAAGCAAAGAUGUCCUUAUGUAUGAUGUGCAGAACAUGGUUAGAGUGAGGACAGAACCAGUGGAGGAGGAGGGUGUGGAGAAUAGUGGAAGAUUAGUGCUGCCUGGCGCAGGAGCUGGAUCUUCUAGAAGUCUUAAAUACAACACAAGUGAGACUAGAGGAGUUCCAUUACCUACUAGCUCUACAAAACCAGCGGGUCAAACAUUUGAAGAGAAUACGAAUGUGAUAUGGUCUUUGUUAAUGGAUGAUGAAGUCUCAGUCAUUGGUAUUUAUGGAAUGGGAGGAGUUGGUAAAACAAAAAUACUGCAACAUAUUUAUAAUGAGCUUCUACAAAUACCAGAUAUUUGUGAUCAUGUUUGGUGGGUGACUGUGUCUCAAGAUUUCAGCAUUAAUAGACUGCAAAAUCUUAUUGCUGAACAUCUUGAUCUAGAUCUUUCAAGAAAAAAUGUUGAACUGCAUAGAGCUGCUAAAUUAUCAGAAGAACUAACGAAGAAACAAAAAUGGAUUCUCAUUUUAGAUGAUUUGUGGAAUAAUUUUGAGCUCCAAGAAGUGGGAAUUCCUAUCCCGUUGAAAGGAUGCAAGUUAAUUUUGACAGCUCGAUCAGAAAUGGUUUGUCGUCGGAUGGCUUGCCAACACAAAAUCAAAGUGAAGCCACUUUCUGAGGGAGAAGCUUGGACUUUGUUCAUGGAAAAACUAAGAUGUGAGAAAGCAUUUUCACCAAAACUGGAAGGAAUUGCGAAAGCUAUUGCAAGGGAAUGUGCUGGUUUACCAUUGGGAAUUAUUACAGUGGCAGGAAGCUUGAUGGGAGUGGAUGAUCUGCAUGAGUGGAGCAAUACAUUGAAGGAAUUGAGUGAAUCAAAAUUUAGGGACAUGGAUGAGAACGUAUUCAAGUUAUUGAGGUGUAGUUAUGAUCGGUUAGGUGAUUUAGCACUACAGCAAUGUCUCUUGUACUGUGCAUUAUUUCCUGAAGAUGGCUGCAUUGAGAGGGAGGAGUUGAUAGGUUAUUUGAUCGAUGAGGGAAUAAUUAAAGGAAUGAGGAGCUGGAAAGAUGCAUUUGACAAGGGCCACACGAUGCUUAAUAGACUCGAAUAUGUCUGUCUAUUGGAAGGUGAUAAAUUCAAAUAUGGUGGUGGUACAUUUGUCAAGAUGCAUGACUUGAUUAGGGACAUGGCUAUCCAAAUACAGCUAGAGAACUCUCAAGUCAUGGUUAAAGCUGGUGCGCAAUUAAAAGUGUUGCCAGAUGCUGAGGAGUGGACAGAGAAUCUCACAAGAGUCUCACUAAUGCAAAACCAUAUCAAAGAAAUUCCUUCCAGUCAUUCACCAAGGUGUCCAAAUCUAUCAACUUUAUUUCUAAAUGAUAAUGACUGGUUGGGAUUUAUUGCGGAUUCAUUUUUCAAGCAAUUGCAUGAGCUCAAGGUCCUCGAUCUGUCUGGCACAAGUAUUAAAAAUUUGCCGGACUCUGUCUCUGAUUUGGUGAAUCUCACUACAUUAUUGAUCAAAUAUUGUGAGAACUUAAGACAUGUUCCAUCAUUAAAGAAGCUCAGAGAAUUGAAGAGGUUAGAUCUCUCGUUGACUAUGCUUGAAAAGAUGCCAGAAGGAAUGGAAUGUCUAUCCAAACUGAGGUAUCUUAGAAUGAAUGGAUGUGGUGAAAAGGAGUUUCCUAGUAGGAUAUUACAAAAACUCUCUCACCUGCAAGUCUUUGUACUAGAGGAAGCGUCCAUUGAUGGAAGAUGUGCUCCGAUAUCAGUUAAAGUAGAGGAUGUAGUAUCCUUGAGAAAUUUGGAAACUUUGGAAUGCUAUUUCGAAGGCUUCUCUGACUUCGUGGAGUAUCUCAGAUCUCGGGAUGGGAUUCAAUCAUUAAGCACAUAUAAAAUUUUAGUAGGAAUGGUGGAUGAAAAUUAUUGGGCAGACAUUGAUAAUUUUCCAAGUAAAAUAGUUGGGUUGGGUAAUUUGAGUAUCAACGAAGAUGGAGAUUUUCAGGUUAAGUUCUUAAAUGGCAUUCAAGGACUGGUUUGUCAAUUCAUCGAUGCAAGAAGUUUAUGUGAUGUUUUGUCAUUAGAGAAUGCAACUGAACUGGAGCUCAUCAACAUUUACGAUUGCGAUAUCAUGGAGAGCUUGGUUUCAUCUUCUUGGUUAUGCUCUGCUCCACUACCAUUGCCAUCAUAUAAUGGUAUGUUUUCUGGUCUUAAAGAGCUUUAUUGUGGUGGAUGUAACAGUAUGAAGAAGUUGUUCCCACUUGUGCUGCUGCCAAACCUCGUAAACCUGGAAAGGAUUCUUGUUCGUGAUUGUGAGAAAAUGGGGGAGAUAAUAGGAACAACAGAUGAAGAAAGCAGCAGCUCCAAUUCCAUCACGGAAGUCAUUCUCCCAAAGUUAAGAACUCUGGAAUUGUUUAUGUUACCAGAACUGAAAAGUAUUUGCAGUGCAAAACUGAUUUGCAAUUCUCUUGAAGUUAUUACUGUAAUGGGUUGUAAAAAGCUGAAGAGGAUGCCAAUUUGUCUUCCGUUGCUUGAAAAUGGCCAGCCAUCUCCUCCUCAUUCUCUUAGAAGAAUGCGUAUAAAACCAAAAAAAUGGUGGAAUACAGUAGUGGAGUGGGAGCAUCCUAACGCGAAGGAUGUCCUUCGUCCCUUUGUUAAGUUUCGGUAGGAUGAGACUACUCUGCACUUAAUAUAAUAUAAUAUAGAAUAAAGGGUAAGCAUCAUCUUUUAUUUCUCUCUCUUUCUUCAAUUGAUUCUGUGCACACACCAUGAUAAUUUCUUUAUGUUAAUUAACAUCUGAUUGAUUGAACUCUUUAAGCUAUGAAAUAUUUCUUAUUUAUAUAGUGUGCUUACAAUUAACAUAAAUAACAUUUUUCAUUUUUUUUAUAUAUUUCAUUAUCUUUUAAGACUAUUGAAUUGUCAUAUUUUUCAAAAUGGUUAUGAGCAUUUUUUCCAAUUUGUUGGGCUUGGUGUUGCCCAAAUAGCUUUUAGUCUUAGUUGCUUUCCAAAGUUUUAACAUUACAGUUAAUUGCUCCAAUUCUUUUGCACAUUACCUUGCUUUCCCUAAAAGUUGGCCUGGCAAUACCUAUCAUCUUCUAGAUGAAAGCUAACACUUUUUUCCUCGCAACAGGAGACCUGCUGGGCAUCAGACCUUGCAUCCACACUUUUGAGUGGCACCGUCAAAAUCCCGUGCGUUUUUUUGCUGUUCUUCAUGGAGUUCCAUUGUCAACAUGCAAAUCUUUGCUUUUUAUUUCAUCUGGCUCAACCAUUAUUUGCACUCAGGAUGUUUAAUCUUAGGCCCUUUUUGAAUUGUUCUGGCAUCGUGCUAACAGCCUACUCCAAAUGGUUGCUCAGUUCGAUCUCAAUGCUUACACUGUUUUCAGAUUUACUCUUUAUGGUUUUCUUUUAGUGGCAACUCAGAAUCCAGAAGUAAUUCUCCUUAAUGUUUGAGAAAGAUCCUCCAGAUGGGAAUGAAUGGACUGAUUCGAAAUCUUUUUCUCUUAAAAGGGAUAGCAGAUAAGCUAAUGAUGUUGGAUUAUGAUGGAGAAGUUCGAUUCUGAGAUCUUUUGAAAGAGAGGCAUGUAUAUAGUGUUAAUUGGACUGCAAACUCGUUGACUGAUGUGUGGAGCUCGAAAAUGUAUGUCAUGUACAAAUUAUAUAAGAGCUCCAACGCAGCUUAAAUUAUGAUUAUUUCUCAGUUGGUUUUAAGUUUCAUUUCAAUACAUGCGCCAGUGCCUUUUUGCUUGUCUGCAUGCGGCAAGGGCAAAGAUAUUAUGAUAAACUCUGUGCUCCAUCACUAAACAAAGAUGUCAUUAUGUAUGAUGUGCAGAACAUGGUCAGAGUUAGGACAGAACCAGUUGAGGAGAAAAAUAGUGGAAUUGAAAGACGUGUUGGUCUAAAUAUUUCUGAUGAAGAUGAGGAGCUGCGCAUAGAGUGAGUGGUCGAAUUGAAAAAAGAAUUAAUGUAUUACAAUGCAUGUAAUUUUCCAAGUAUUAUUCUUUAUGCUUAACAAAUAAACUUUAUGUUUAUUCUUUGUCCUGUAUAAAUGAGUUUUCUCAAAUAAAUCGAGAUAUGAAAGGUUUUAACCAUACAUAUAGCAACCUCAAAAUAAAAAACAAACUUAGCUUCCACAAUGGAAGUAACAGUUAAAAAAGUUUUUUAUUUAAAAAUAUAUUAAUAUAAUAUAUAUUUUUAAAAAAAUUACUUUUAAUAUUAACAUAUUAAAACAAUUUUAAAACAUUAUAAAAUUUUUAAAAAAUAAAAAGUUUCAAAUCCACGGCUCAACCUCAAUAUUGGGCGGGGCAAUAGAAUUGUAACAAACCAAAUCUAAGCUAUCCAAUAAUAUGGUGCCAGGUCCACAACUAAACAACAGAGAUAAAAAGGAAAGAAUCCAGUGUUUCUGAGUACAACAAUAACCACAACCAACCAAUAAAGGAAAGAUACGUAAUUAUUCAUUCUAAUGGUUUAGCUUCAUAACAUUUUAUGUGCUUUUUUUUUAUUAGACAAUUUGAUUAUUUUUGUCUCUUUUUAUAAGAGGGGAGGAGGGAUAUGGUCAUUUGAACACUUGAUUAUUUUUUUUUUAUAUCUUUUUAAUAUUUUAUAUUCUAAUCUUAUAUUGUAUAUUUGCUUUACGAUAAUAAAUAAAUUCCUGAUAUUCUUUCCUUAUUUUAUUUUUAAAAAAAUACUUCUACAUAAACUUUAUGCAAAAGUUUCAAACAAAUCUUGUAAUUGAGUCAUGGAUGCUAUUGGAUUUAAUAAGAAUAUUAUUUUAAAUUUUUUUAUUAAACAUAUAAAUAAAACUUUGAAAAAAAAGAAAAAUUAAGUGAAACAAAUUUAUAACCAGACCAAAUCCAGUUGGGCAGAUCUGACCUAAGAAGCCCAACAUGCACGGGCCAUUAAAAAACCAAGCACAAACACGUGGGCCACUCAUCCGGGCCUCUUUAUUUUUUCCAAAAUUUGUAAGGGGCGGAUCCUUUUUUUUUAUAAACAAAUUAGAUAGAUGACUCAUUAUUUGUUGUGAUUGACAAAACAUUAUAUGUUAGCUUGGAAUCUUAACACCACUUUGAUGGGCGAAAGAUCGAGCCAUAAAAUAUUUUCUCAUAAAAAGUCAUUUUCAACACAUUUUCACUUAAAAAUAUUUAAUAAGCUACCUUUCAACUGGAAAAAAAAAAAAAAAACUCAUCUAUUAACUAACAAAACACAAAAAACAGCCCAAAAUCACUAAAUCAAAUUGAGUAGGAAUUUUUUUUCUUGAUCCAGAUUUGUUUUUUCAUGUAACAUUGAGAUUUAAAAUAACCAUCAUUAAAUUUCUCUCGUUCAACAUACAUAUCCAUUGACACCAAGUUCAAUCUUUUACGUUGAUGAAAUCAAUGUUAAUCUUAAUUUUCUCUCUCUUGAGCCGGAAUCUAAUCCCUCUCUAUCUCCUCUCUAAAGCAAACAUGUUUAAAGCAGGUGUGCAAUUAAAAGAAUUGCCGGAUACAGAUGAGUGGACAAAGAAUCUCACGAGAAUUUCACUUAUGCAUAACCAAAUUGAAGAAAUUCCCUCGAGCCAUUCACCAAGGGGUCCAAAUCUGUCAACCUUACUGUUAAGUUGUAAUUACCACUUGAGAUUUAUUGCAGAUUCUUUUUUUUUAAGCAGUUGUUUGGGCUCAAGGUUCUUGAUCUAUCUUAUACGAAUAUCGAAAAACUAUCAGAUUCUGUCUCUGAUUUGCUGACUCUCACUUCAUUAUUGCUCAUUGCUUGUGAUAAGCUAAGACAUAUACCAUCAUUGAAAAAGCUCAGGGCACUGAAGAGAUUGGAUCUCUAUCGUACUGCACUUGAAAAGAUGCCCCAAGGCAUGGAAUGUCUCUCCAACCUGAGGUAUCUUAAAAUGAAUGGAUGUGGUGAAAAGGAGUUUCCUAGUGGGAUAUUACCAAAACUCUUCUACCUACAAGUUUUUAUACUAGAGGACUUUAUGCCUAUUGCGGGUCAUAUGGAUAAACAAAUACUUGCUCCGGUGACAGUUAAAGGAAAAGAAGUAGCAUGCUUGAGGAAGUUGGAAACUUUAAAAUGCCAUUUUGAUGGUAACUCUGACUUUGUGGAUUAUCUCAUAUAUCGGGAUAAGACCCAAUCGCCAAGAGAAUACAAUUUUUUUGUAGGAGAGUUUGGGUAUGAUGAUUACGAUGUAAAAAGGUAUUAUAGAUGUAAAAGUGUUUGGUUGGGUGACUUGAGUAUAGACAGCGAUGGAGAUCUUGAGGGCAUUUUUCCAAAUGACAUUCAACAGCAGAUGAUUUUUUAUUGUGAUGCUGCAACAAGUUUAUGCAAUGUUUCCUCUCAAAUAAUACGUGCAGAAAAACUAGAGGUCAUCAACAUCAAGGAUUGCAGUAACAUGGAGGGCUUGGUUUCAUCUUCUUUGUUACGUAAAGAGAUGGAGGUUUUGAGGUCAAGCCCAUCUUCUAAAGGCAUAUUUUCUGGUCUUAAGAAGUUCUAUUGCUCUGGAUGUAAUAGUAUGAAGAAAUUGUUCCCUCUUGUCUUGCUGCCAUCCCUUGUAAACCUGGAAGUGAUUGAAGUUAGAUGGUGUGUCGAAAUGGAGGAGAUAAUAGGAACAAGAUCAGAUGAAGAAAGCAGCUGCAGCAGCAUCGAACCCAAACUUCCAAAGUUAAGAAUUCUAUAUUUGACUGAAUUACCAAAACUGAAAAGCAUUUGUAGUGCAGAACUGAUCUGCGAUUCUCUCCAACAAAUUGGGAUAACAAAUUGUCAGAUGCUGAAAAGGCUGGGAAUUCAUCUUCCGUUGCUUGAAAAUGGCCAGCUAUCUCACCCCCCUUCUCUUCGUGUAAUGGAGAUUCAUCCAAAAGAAUGGUGGGAGUCAGUGGUGGAGUGGGAGAAUCCCAAUGCUAAGGAGGUCCUUCGUCCCUUUAUUAUUUAAAUGAUGACUUUGCCCUUGAUGUAAUAUGCUAAGCAUCAUGUUUUUGAAAAAAGACCUUCGUUUGCAGCAGAAGAUAUUGUCAAGUUUUGUCUGGAGAAGAGUCCACUUAUAUUUCCUCGUGCCAACCAAGAAGAUGAAGAAGACGAACUUUUCUAUGAUGAAGCUGCAAUCUACUCUGUCCUUGAUGAAUCAAAAAGCAGAUCCAGAAAUAUUACAAAAUGUAGGUAAGAGGUCUACGUACAUGAUUGAAUUUGUAGUGGAAAAAAAGAUUGAAUCUCGCAGUAGAAACUUUUUAACCAUACACGCAGUACCUCAAAAUAAAAAACAAAUUUAGCUUUCGUAGUAAAGUAGCAGUUAAAUAAAAUAUAUCAAAAUAAUAUAUAUAAAAAAUUAUUUUUAAUUAGUUUUUGUCUCUUUUUGUAAGAGAGGAGGAGGGAUAUAUCUGGUCACAUGAACACUUGAAUUUUUUUUGUCUUGUUAAUAUUUUAUAUUCUAAUAUUAUAUUGCAUAUUUGCUUUACUUUAAUGAACAAAUCCCUUAUAUCCUCUUUAUUUUAUUUUUAGAAUAUAUUUUUACAUAAACUUUAUUUUUUUUUACACCGCAAUAUAUGUGAAAAUUUCAAACAAACCUACGACUUAAGUCAUAGAUUGGGUUUAAUAAGAAUAUUAUUUUAACUUUUGUUUAGCUAAACAUAUAAUAAACACUUUGAAAAAAAAAAAAAAUUAAGUGAAAAUAAAAUUAUAAAAAGACCAAGUGCAGUUGCACAGACCUGCCCUAACAAGCCCAACGUGCAUGAGCCAUUAAGAAACCAAGCACAAACACGUGGGCCACUCAUCUCAGGCCUGCACACUCGAGCCUUUUUAUUUUUUUUAAAAUUUGUAAUGGGCAGACCCUUUAUUUUGAUAAAAAAAAAGUUGGACAAAUGAUUCAUUGUUUUGUUGUGGUUGAUAACGCGUUAUUUGUUAGCUCAAAAUCCUGCCACCACUUUGAUGGGCCGAAGAUCAAGUUACAAAAUAUUUUCUCCUAAAAAAUCAUUUUCAACACAUUUCCACUUAAAAAUAUUUAAUAAGUACCCUUACAACAUUAAAAAAAAAAAAACUCAUCUAUCAACCAAAAAAACACAAAACAAUCCAAAAACACCAUAUCAAUCGAAGUAAGAAUUUUCUUUCUUGAUCUAGAUCUAUUUUUUCAGGCAACAUAGAGACUCAAAAUAACCACUAUCAAGCUUCUCUCAUCGAACAGAUCCCAUCGACAUAAAGUUUAAUUUUUUACGUGGUUGGAAUUAGUAUUAAUCUUGAUUUUCUUUCUCUUGAGUUAGAAUCUAGCUACUUCCUCUCUCUUUUUUUUAACACAAGGACUGAAAAAUAAAGAAAAUAAAAUUUCAUAUCAAAAAUGAAUUUUAAUAAUCUAUAAGGACUAGGAAUGUAUAAUCAGAAAAGUAGGAGAACCAAAGUUAACUUUUUUCACCAUCCAUUCUCUCUCUCUCUUUUUUUCCACUAUCUUUUGAUUUAAUCCUCGCUUAACAAUCUUACUUAAAUUGACACUCAAUUUAGUGCGGAAAGGGCUGAAUUAAAAAAAAAAUAUUGGAACGGAAAACAAAAAAGAAUUCUCGAUUUCUUGAGAUAGAAAAAACAGAACUAUUAUUAAAAUUAAAAAAGAAAAAACUGCACAGGCUUUUACCAUGUACCAGGAGAGAAAACACUAUAGAUUAAAAUAGUCUUUUAUCUCUCAGUUUUUUUUAAUCACUGAUUAUUUUAUUUUUAAUUUUAUCUUUAUAGAUUAUGUUGAUGGAGAUUUGAGGCUGAUAACUUGUUUUAAUUAACGUGUCAAGGAGUUCUCAAGGUCUAUAUAUAAAAAAGGCUUCAACGUUAAGUUAAUUUGACGUUUGACUUGAUAAAAUUUUGUUUAUUUUUUAAUUUAUAGAUUUGAUAUAAAAGAAAAAAAAAGUAAAUGAAAAACUUCAAAAAAGAUAGAAAGUUAUUAGUUGAUAAUUUUCAAACAAAAAAAAAAACGAUCAUCUUUGUGUUAAUGUAAAACUGGUGUGUAGAUUAGAUAUCAAAUCAUACUUAUAGAUCGAGGGCUAAAAAUAUAAAUUUGUAGAAGGGAGUUGGAAAAAUAAUAAUUUCCAUGGGUAUGGAAAAGUGCGAUCAUGAAAUGUUUUUAUUUUACUAUUAUUAAUGUGAGUAUUCGGGUUAGCUUGCACGUAUCUCGACUAAUCUCAUAAAUCCUAAAAUUAACAAUCAUAUAAGUCUCUAAUAAUCUUGAUGUUUGUAGAACUUAAACUGGUAAUUUCUAUAAAACAAAUUUAAAACUUAACUAAUUCAACUUUCACCUCUCGUUAUCAUGAGAUGUUUCGAAAGAGAGGGGUAUGCCGUUUAUUGUACUCCAAACUCAUUGACUGAUGAACCUCUUAAACAAAAGCACACCAUAUACUGUCAAUAAAAAUAGAAAUAUCAAUAAAAGUUUAUCAUGUAAAAGUCAUAAAUUUUCCAUCUUAAUUAAGCAAACUUGAUAAAUCUAAUUACACAAAUCUUACUUAAUACAUAUUAAAGUUUGUGAAGAUUGAAGACCUGGUAUUAAUUUUUGAGUUAUUCUAUAUUAAAUUAUAUUAUUUAAUACACUUAUAAAUAAAAAAUACUUUAAAAUUUUUAAAAAUAACAACAUUCACAUUCCCUUCCGCACUGUCAAAAUCACUCUAAAAGUAGUAGUGUUUUUUUUCCUUGGAAACAGCCUGGAUGCACUUUAAAAGUAUUUUAAUCACAACUUUCCACUCACAUGUCGGAUUGCUGUGAUUCUUGAUAUUGUUGUCAAAAUCGCGAGUUGACUCUUAAAAUCUUAUGAUUUUACGAGUCAACAUGUAUAUAACGUGUCAAAUCGGAUUAAAACUCGAAAUCGGUCAAACUCAGUUAAAAUCGAUAAAAUCGGACCGAUUUUACGAGUUUGACUGAUUUCAAGUUUUAACCCGCAAAAGUUAAUAAAUUUACUUAUGGCAUCUAGAAAAAAUUCUUUUGGUAAUAAGCUUGACGUGGGAUGACAACAUGGUAUAGAUAUUGAUAAGAAUUCUAGAAAAGUUCAGUGCAAGUAUUGUCAAAAAAUUAUCAGUGGAGGUAUUUUUCAUUUUAAACAGCAUUUGGCUUGAAUUGCGAUUUGGAGAUUCAAAUUGAUGAUAUUGGUGUUGGUACUUAGUAGGAGCACUAAUGUUCAUAAUAUUGGUGUUGGUACUAGUAGUGAUACUAAUAAUCAUCUUGAUGCUAAUGAUAUUGAUUAAUGUCUGAGGUAUAAUGAGGAAGAUGAAGGUAAUGAAGUUGGUUUUAGUUUACAUGACACACCAGCAAAUUAUUUGUUUGAAGUUUGUUAAUUAUUAGUUAAUGAAAAGUUGUUUGAAUUAUGUAUGAAUUUUUAUUUGAACCAUAUAUUUUAAGAUGCUUGAACUAUAUAUGAAUUUUUAUUUAAAGCAUGUAUUUUAAGGUGCUUGAACUAUGUAUAAAUUUUUAUUUGAAGCAUGAAUUUUUUUUAAUGUAUUUUAAAAUUCCUUACGAUUUUACGAUCUGUUUUUACGAUCCGAGUUUGUUUUGUAUUUUCCGUGCCGUGUCAAAAUCACGAUUUUAACAACCUUGAUUCUUGAUGCGUUAUCUUGUUUGGGAACCGUUGUUUUCAAAAAUUUGAUUUGUUUUAAUUUUGUUUUUCAUCUUAAACGUAAAAACAGGUGCCAAACAAAUACCUCUCAAAUUAUAAGAAUAUAUUUGCGAUUAUAAUAGCGGUUACGGUUCAAAAUAUUUUUGUUUAGAAAUAUAUUAAAAUAAUAUUUUUUUAAAACAUAAUUAUUUUCAAAAAAAAUAAAAUUUUAAAAAAUGCAGUUAGACAGUGAAGUUUCCUACCGCAAGGAAGCUUCCUCUUAUUGUUUGAAGCUAAUGCUUGAUUGCGUUCGAGGGGUUUCUACCCCCAGAAUAUGAAGUCAUUUUCUAAUUAAGGCUUUCUGCCCUCUCUCAAGUAAACUGAAAAACGACAACAUACAUUUUCUAGCCCAGCAGUGGUUCCACUAGCCUUCUGCUAUCUGCCUAGCUGUGGUAUAAAAACAAUUUUAGUCCAUAUUUGAAGGAAUAGCCUCCUGUUUCUUCAAUCUUCUGCUGCUGUGAUUAUUAAAGCCUAUGCUACCUUGGAAUUGAAUUUCCAAGGUAUGAUGGCGUCAAUCUCCAUAGAUAGUUGACCAAGAAGUGGAGGAAUGCCUUAGAGGACCUGAGACAAUCAAGAGUUGGGCAAGAUGCCAUGGAGGAAGAGGUAUUCCGGAUACUGAGAUUUUGUUAUACGCACUUCAAGGAUUCAGCAUUCCAACAAUGUUUGCUGUGUUGUGCAUUAUUUUCACCAACCAUAUCUCGAAUCCAUGACUAACAACGCAAAAUCGAUGCUAUAAGAACAUUAUAUUUAAACAAGCAUAUUAGAAAACAAAAACAUAUAAACAUGAAUUUCCAAGGUAUGAUGGCGUCAACCUCCAUAAAAUUCAAUAUUUAAAAUAAAAAUCUAAACUUAAAUAAAAUAUUAUAAUUGUGGAGUGUCUAAACAUCUAAUAAAAUAUUUUUAUUCUUAAAAUAUUUGUGGAAAACAAGAAAACUAAUUUAGGGUUUAAUUGAAUAAUUAAUUAAUUCACAUACGAUUUUAUUUUAUUUUUAGUGACAACUAAUUUCAUCAAACACCAAUAACCUGAUUUUUGAUCAUAGGAGUUUGAGACAUGGCCCAUGCUACAACAAUGUUGGGACCACAGUCACAUUGUAACAAUAAUGUUUGGACCAUUUAAGAUUGUACCCUACUACUUCACUCGAACUUUAUUUUGUAUUUAUAAUUAAUAAGGAAAAAGCAUGAUUGGGUUGAAAACCUUUUUAUGCUCGGUCGAAGGCUUUUGGGACUCUAUUUUCACAUAUUGUGGUAUAAAGUAUAUAUUAAAACUGUAUUUUAGAAAUAAUUUUUGUAAUUUUUAAUAUCACCAUAUUAAAAUUAUUGAAACAUUCUUAAAAAAUUAUCAAAUUAAUAUUUUCUAGAGACAAAUUAAAAAAAAAACAUUUAAAAGCUUAAGCGCAUUUCCAAAACCGGAAAACAUCAAAAGAUACACUUAAAGUAGUAGUAAUGUUCUUUUUUCUUGGAAACAGCCUCCACACACUGUAGUAUUUUAAUCAUUACUUUCCACUCUACAAAUUAGCCUCGAACGAGGAUUUCAAAAAAGGAACUCCUAGAAAUUAGCCACAUGGUUAGUUAUUAAAUCUGAGCAGUAAAUUAAAUUUCUAGAGCCGAAUCAAGCCUAACAUGAAUUCAUAGAAAGAAAGAGCGUUUAUUAUUAUGAAAUACUUCUUUUUUAUAUAAUGUGCUUACAAUUACAUAAAUAACAUUUUUCAUUUUUUUUAUUUAUUUCAUUAUCUUUUUAAGACUAUUCAAGAAGAAUCUUCGACGUGACAUAGCACUUUCACCAUAAAUGGAAGGAAUUGCAGAAGCUAUUGCUAGGGAAUGUUCUGGUUUGCCACCGGAAAUUAUUACAGUGGCAGGAAGCUUGAGGGGAGUGGAUGAUUUACAUGAAUGGAAUAAUACAUUGAAUAAAUUAAGAGAAUCAGGAUUUAGGGACAUGAAUGAGAAGGUAUUGAGGGUUAGUUAUGAUCGGCUAGGUGAUUUAACACUACAAAAAUGUCUCUUGUACUGUGCAUUAUUUCCCGAAGACUUUAUUUUCUUGACUUUUUAAACAGCAGCCUGGAUAAACUUAAAGCAAUGUUCUUUUUCUUAGAAACAGCCUAGAUACACUUAAAGUAUUUUAAUCAUAACUUUCCACUCACAUAUCGGAUUUCUGUGAUUCUUGAUGCGUUGGAAAGGUAUCGUAAAGGGCUACAAGUUUAGUCUCUGAUGAAAAAGGAGGACUGCCUACUUUUGAAAAAGGGGGCUGCCUCCUCUGUAAAGAGGGCUAUUUGGCAUAAGAAGACGUGUGGGAAUUGCACUAGAGAGAGGGAAAAAAAGAGAGCACAGAUGAGGAAAGGAAUGACUAAUACAGUGAUGGGUAACUAAAUUGUUCAGAUUUCUAAUUAUUCUAACUCUUUUGUUUUAUCAUUCUCAAUUUGUUGUUGAGAAGUAUUCUUCUCCGAAUUUAUGCAGUUUAUGGAUUCAUUCAUGUUUUUUCUAUUGAAUGGAUUAAUUUUUGGAUCAUUUAUUUACCUGUUUUGAUUUAAUUUCUUUGCUUUUGGGUGGAAUCAGGUUUCUACCACACAGAAUGUGAAAUUAUUUUCUUGAGGCUUUCUGCCCUCUCUCUAGUAAACUAAAAAACGGCAACAUACAUUUUCUAGCAGGCAGGUAACAGUACGCUGGAGAUAUCUACUGCUGCUCAAAGUCCAAACAACAACGGUAUUGCCAACACUGUUAUGCCGCAAUCAAAAAAACAUAAUUGUUUUUAUAUUUAAAAUUAUGUUUGAGUGUAUUUAAAAAUCUGUUUAUCUUGGAAAAUUCUGAAAUUGUUUGAUUUACCGGAACUGAAAAGUAUUUGCAGUGCAAAAAUUGAUUUACAAUUCUCUUAGAGAUAUUACUGUAAUGCAUUGUAAGAAGGUGAAGAGGAUGCCAAUUUGUCUUCUUUUUUAUCUCUCAAUGGAACACUCAUGACAUCAAAUAGAAUAACUUCAAGAAAAACUAAGAACGAAUACGAAGCUUACGAAUACUUAAGAGACAUAUUCUAAAAUUUAGUUUAUUGUUUACCUUUUAUUUUUUAUUUUUUAUUUUGAUCUAAAAUUUUAUUUUAUUUACCUUUAGUUCAUGAGUUUGAGAUGAAAGAAAAAACAAAUCACACAAAAAAAAACUUGGAAGAAGAUAAAAAGUUAUUGAUCGACAACUUUCCGGCAACAAAAACACAUACAGUAUCAAUGGAAAACUGGUGUGCAGAUUGGAUAGCAAAUCAAGCUUCAUAGUAGAUGUUGAAGUUUUCCACUGCAGUGUUGGGUUGGUUGCCAUUAAUGUGCAACAACCAUUGACAAUUGCAGCAGCUGCAGCUAGAGUUGCACCAACCAUGUGCACUCAUCCAAGAUGUCAAAGGUUGGCAGCCACCAUUGUUGAAGAAGAGCUGGAGUUGGCAGCCACCUUUGUUGAAGAAGAGCUGGAAUUAGCAGUCACCAUUGUUGACAAAAGAGCUGAAAGAGCUGCCAUGGAUGCCUAUAAAUAGAGGCAUACAUUAGAGAUCAAAAUGAGAGAGUUAAGAGAAGGAGAGUGUAGAGCCAAAGAUGUGAGAGAUGUAGGAGAGAGUGGGCUGCCAAGGCACCAGCAGUAGCUGCCAUUGCAGCACUGNNNNNNNNNNNNNNNNNNNNNNNNNNNNNNNNNNNNNNNNNNNNNNNNNNNNNNNNNNNNNNNNNNNNNNNNNNNNNNNNNNNNNNNNNNNNNNNNNNNNNNNNNNNNNNNNNNNNNNNNNNNNNNNNNNNNNNNNNNNNNNNNNNNNNNNNNNNNNNNNNNNNNNNNNNNNNNNNNNNNNNNNNNNNNNNNNNNNNNNNNNNNNNNNNNNNNNNNNNNNNNNNNNNNNNNNNNNNNNNNNNNNNNNNNNNNNNNNNNNNNNNNNNNNNNNNNNNNNNNNNNNNNNNNNNNNNNNNNNNNNNNNNNNNNNNNNNNNNNNNNNNNNNNNNNNNNNNNNNNNNNNNNNNNNNNNNNNNNNNNNNNNNNNNNNNNNNNNNNNNNNNNNNNNNNNNNNNNNNNNNNNNNNNNNNNNNNNNNNNNNNNNNNNNNNNNNNNNNNNNNNNNNNNNNNNNNNNNNNNNNNNNNNNNNNNNNNNNNNNNNNNNNNNNNNNNNNNNNNNNNNNNNNNNNNNNNNNNNNNNNNNNNNNNNNNNNNNNNNNNNNNNNNNNNNNNNNNNNNNNNNNNNNNNNNNNNNNNNNNNNNNNNNNNNNNNNNNNNNNNNNNNNNNNNNNNNNNNNNNNNNNNNNNNNNNNNNNNNNNNNNNNNNNNNNNNNNNNNNNNNNNNNNNNNNNNNNNNNNNNNNNNNNNNNNNNNNNNNNNNNNNNNNNNNNNNNNNNNNNNNNNNNNNNNNNNNNNNNNNNNNNNNNNNNNNNNNNNNNNNNNNNNNNNNNNNNNNNNNNNNCCAUCUGAAAUGCGAUUUGGACGAUUUCAGACUUGUUUCCAGCUAAUUUGAUCGUUCCGGAUGCAAUGGUAUGGUCCGAUCGUUGAGGUUUGAGACUGAAAAUGGUGGUGGUGAAUUAUUGAAAGAGAUUGCCCGAUGAAGAAGCAUCUGAAGGUCAUCAUGGUGGUCGACGGAGAUGAAGAAGGAGAAAGUGCACAUGUUUGCCCAAUUACAUGUGCUGAACUGCUAAGUGGGGAGAAAUUUUUAAUUGCCUUGAAGGAAGGAAAAAUUGGGACACUCUGGACACCCGAUCAUGUGGACGAUUUGAGGUGGAGAGUGGAAAUUGAUGAAGACCAAUCUUGACGAAUCUAAGAACUGGUAGUCUCACCAGAUGUUGAGAAAUCAGGUAUAAAACCGGGAUACCCCAGAUCACUUGUAAAGGAAAGCCGCAACAAAGCUAGCAAAUGGUUGUAUAUACAAAAAGGUAGUACGGUGGAUAGAUACGUUCUAAGAAGUUCUGUCUAGGAGAUUGGGUUUUAAGCGGGACCAGUGUGACCCCUCCAAAUCUUUCUUGGGAAAUUGCUUAGUUGAAGGAUCAUCCACACAGUACUAUUUUUGUAUAUGUAAUAGUUUGUAAUGAAACUGUUGAAGACUAGCAAGAUGAUGGCACAAAGGAACAGUUGGGUUCUGUAUGUUCAAGGAUCUGAUGGAGUGGUGAUUUCUCCAAAGAAGUUAGAUUCGGUGACUGUAAUUUCUCGAAGGGAUAAUUAAUGAAGACCCUGAUAAUGGAAGAGAAAUACAACAAGGGGAUAAAGAUUGGCACCCUAUUUUGACUUGGAUAAAUGUUGUGACAGGAUGAGCUGCUGUCAAACAUAAAAGCAAAGAAUAGGGAGAAAUCUGGAGAACCGAAAUUGCACGAGAACACACGAAGAUUGUGCAGGAGUACCCGAAGGAUCCAACGAGGUACUGUAAUGAGACAACAGAUGCAAGGAGAAAAAGAGUUCCCGGAUGAAGCUCAGAGCAGAGACUGUGUGAAAAAGUUGUACAACAGGAAAUCUCUUGUGCUCUUGAUAAAGGCAACAAGCGAGGACCUUUCCAAUGCAUGCAAGGAUGGAAAGAUGAGCUGUUGCAGAAGCACCUAAUUAAAGGGGUGCGACCGCCUAUAGAAAGGCGAAGACACCAAAGAGAGUUGGUGUGGGUGGAGCUAUCAAGCAGAAAGACAUAGAAGCUCCAAACAUAGAAAAUGAGAUGGAGGAUUGCGAAGAGUGCACCGCAACUCUCUCUUUUUAUGUGAUCAGUGGCAGUGAUCUCUCCCAAGUCCACAUGGUGGUAGAGAAUCUUGGAGCCACUGGAGACAUCCCCGAUGAAGGAGGAUGUGACCGCUUUAUGACGGACGGAGACACCUCAGGCAGAAGGUGUGUGGGCCAUGAAACGAGCAUAAGUACAAACCGCCGCAUGACGACAAGCGGAGACACCUCGGAUGGAAGGUGUGAGGACCAUGAUAUGAGUCCAUGAUCAGACCGUCUCAUGACGACAGACGGAGACACCUCGGGAGAAGGUGUGAGGACCAUGAUAUGAGUCCAAGUUCAGAUCGUCUCAUGAGGACAGACGGAGACACCUCGGAUGGAAGGUGUGAGGACCAUGAUAUGAGUCCAAGUUCAGACCGUCUCAUGACGACAGGCNNNNNNNNNNNNNNNNNNNNNNNNNNNNNNNNNNNNNNNNNNNNNNNNNNNNNNNNNNNNNNNNNNNNNNNNNNNNNNNNNNNNNNNNNNNNNNNNNNNNNNNUGAUAUGAGUCCAAGUUCAGACCGUCUCAUGACGACAGGCGGAGACAUCUCGGAUGGAAGGUGUGAGGACCAUGAUAUGAGUCCAAGUUCAGACCGUCUCAUGACGACAGGCGGAGACACCUCAGGAGAAGGUGUGAGGGCCAUGAUAGGAGCCCAAUUUCAGAACGCCCUAAAGACCGAUGUGAUGGCUGGAUAUAAGUGGACAAGUGUAUAGCCAAUGAAGAGGCUAUGAUGAGUAUGGAGACAAAUGCAGGAUUGACUUUCAUGGAUAUUGCCCCCAUGCUAAAGAUCAAUGAGCUAGAAGACAUUUGCCUUGGACAAUAAGUGGGUGACUUGUGGAGCAUUAAGACGCGGCUGCUAUGAAGGAGCAGAGGGCAUGCGUAGGUUCCGGGAACAAGUUGACUCUUGUCAAGGUGGUGAGCUCAGUAAUGACAUUGUAAUACUUAGAGUAUGAAGAUAGAGAUGGAUCAACCUUUAAUGGGCUGUCCCCAUGGUUAAAAGGGAGAGCCACCUGGACUCUUGAGACUAAGAGCGGGAGACUCACGGAGAAGUAAGGCGUGGUUCCUAGGAAGGAACAGAGGGCAGACGCAACUCCGGGAUGAGUAGACUCUUGGAAGAGUGGUGAGCUCGUGAUCACAUUAAAAUACUCAAUGACUGUCGCACUUGGGAAUAUCCGUUUGAGGGGGUGUUGUAAGCCUUGGUGUAAGGCUUGAUAAAUCAUUUCGGGCCAAGCAUGGUUGAUAUGCUUGAAGGGGGAUGUUGUUCCAGAGACAAGUGUUAACACUCUUCAGAUGAGUUGUGACAAACCAUCUGGUUGAAGUGAUCCUUUGGAGUGAGCAAAGGGGUGUUUGGAUGACUCUGGUGAUUGAAAGGUUUGGCAAGUACAUGUAAACUUAGCCACAGACGCUCUCAGAAUGGUAAGCUUGGAAGAGCUGCAGAAUGCAAGCAUGUGCUGAAGAAGCAAGAGGAUAGUUGCCCCACAUGAAUGGCAAAGGGGGUGAUUGUUGGGUUGGUUGCCAUUAAUGUGCAACAACCAUUGACAAUUGCAGCAGCUGCAGCUGGAGUUGCACCAACCAUGUGCACUCAUCCAAGAUGUCAAAGGUUGGCAGCCACCAUUGUUGAAGAAGAGCUGGAGUUGGCAGCCACCUUUGUUGAAGAAGAGCUGGAAUUAGCAGUCACCAUUGUUGACAAAAGAGCUGAAAGAGCUGCCAUGGAUGCCUAUAAAUAGAGGCAUACAUUAGAGAUCAAAAUGAGAGAGUUAAGAGAAGGAGAGUGUAGAGCCAAAGAUGUGAGAGAUGUAGGAGAGAGUGGGCUGCCAAGGCAGCCAGCAGUAGCUGACAUUGCAGCACUGAGAAGAGAGAAAUAGAGUGAGGUUGAGAGUUGCUAAAGAGGGGAUAAUUCCUCCUCUAUUGUUGUAAAUCUUGUUCUCUCCCUAUAUAAUUCAAUGGCUUCUCCCGUGGAUGUAGGCGGUUUGCCGAACCACGUUAAAUAUUGUGUCAGUGUGCUUAGCCUCCAAUGGGCAAAUAUCAGAACAUCACCGGUCGGAAUUCCCUACAUGCAGUACUGAAUCUCCCUCUGGUUGUUUGAAGCUAAAGCUUGAUUGCGUUCCUGGGAUUUUGAUGAUGAGUCUCUAUGAAAGUGCAUUCUAUCACUGGAAUAAAAUGCUAAAAUGUGAAUAAAAAUAAUAGAAAUUAAACAGACAAGUCAAGGCCCCGGAGUCGUGAAAAUUCACUUUGAACCAGCCUCCACACACUUAAAGUAUCUUAAUCAUAACUUUCCACUCACAUAUCGGAUUGCUGUGAUUCUUGACGCGUUGGAAAGGUAUCUUGAAGGGCUACAAAUUAGCCUCUUAUGAGGAUUUCAAAAAAGGAACUCCUAAAGCAUGUACGUGGCUGCCAAAAAAAAGUCCUAAAAUCUAGGCAAUUUGUUUGUGACACAACGGGGAAUUUGUAAAUUUGUUGUCCACUUGCAAAAUUGAACAGAGUUGACAUAAGAAUCCAGAAGUUAUUGGUGACAAAGGAUCCGAGGAAAAGUGAGUUCAACUGUUACAUUUUGUUUAUAUUAUCUUGUUGCACUAAAUCAAGAAGUUUACUAGACUUAUUACUCUGUAAAUUUGCUUUCUGAGUGCUGAGCAUGUGAUUGGAGAGAUUUGAUUCUCAUAUAAUUGUUGCCAGCUUAUUUGUGAGCAAGAAGUAUUAUUGAAUAGAAAUGCUUUCAUUUUUUAUUUUCAGCUUGAAAAUGAAUUGAACAUUUAUUACCUGAGUUUUCUUCUCCAUUUUAUUUAAUUUAAGAAGCAUUUCAUGAUCCUUUUUUUUCUGACUUUAUUAAGUUUUUUCAUGAUAAUUUAUCAAAAAAAUUUAGCAGGAAUCCUGCAGGUCAGAAUUCAUUCCCAUCAAUAAGAUGGAGUAGUAUGAACAAUUUAUUCGUUUAUUUUUGGUUUCUGCUAACGAUUUAUUUCAUGAUUAAUAUCGAUUUAUUUUCACUUUCUAGUAUACCAUUGUUAUUAGUUUGCGGUGUGGCAUAUAAUUUUUUUAGAUCAGUGUUACUUCAAUGGUGGCGUCGAAGUAUACCUUCUGCCAUAAUAUUUAAUAGCAAUUUCUAUGAUAAUCUCAGAAUUUCCAAUCUAGCUUUUGCACCCUUCACAUUUUGAUAAUACCUAGCUUUUAAGUUUUUUAAUAUUUUUUUAUUUUUGACAUCAAAUGAUCCUAAAGCAAAAUAUAUAUAUAUAUAUAUAUAUAUAUAUAUAUAUAUAUAUAUAUAUAUAUUAAUUUAUUUUAUUUUUUUUCAAAAUGGUUGUGAGCAUUUUACCAAUCUGUUGGGGGUGAUGUUGGUGGGCUUGGGCUAGGAGCAUGUUAUUUUUACUCCUGGGCUAUUGGCGAGGCUUGAGACUGCUACCUUUUCUUUUCGUACCCGCGCUGCCCCUCCCUCUCCAAAAAGUCGCUCAAAAUACAGAUUACGAAAUCACAGCUAUUGCUUGGAAUUGAAUGCAUGAGUUGAAACCGUCGGAGAACACCAGGCUAAGCUCCAAACUCAUCGCCACCGGCAUGCUCUCCAGCAUAAUUCAAAACAGUUUUCUAAAUUUUACAUUCUAUUUGUGUACUCUAAUUUUUCUCCAAUAUCUCUUAUCAAAUGGGUUCUGCUCUUAGAUGGUAUGAGCGAGACUUUUGGCAUACAGAAGCUGGGAGUUCCUGUCCAAGUUAAGGGAUGCAAGCUGAUUCCUACAAACCGAUCAGAAAAGAUUUGUCUAUAGAUGAAGUUUUCUAUUUACUUUGCAACAACCCUUAGCAUUGACAAUAUUAUUCUCUCUGUAAUUCAGUCGGUAUAUACUCAUAAUAUUAUUCUGUCGGUAUAUACUGACAGGAUUACGGAUGAAAUAGUAUCCGUUGGUAAUUAUCACCGCAAUUUACCGACAUAAUUAUUUCAUCGGUAAUUCCAUUGGUUUUAGACGAAUUUCUGAUAGUGAUGUUGAGUAAUUCGUAUGAAAUUAUCGGAUUGAUUGUUUAUUAAAGAGAAUAGCCGGAUGUUGAAUAAUUUAUAUGGAAUUACCGGAGUUAUUGGCUAUUAAGAGUAUAGCUGGAUGUUGAGUAAUUUGUAUAGAAUUACCGGAUUGAUUGGCUAUUAAAGAGAAUAGUUAAAUGUUGAGUCAUUCGUAUGGAAUUACUGGAAUUUAUUUCACUAUGAAAGAGAAUAGAUGGAUGUUGAGUAAUUCAUAUGGAAUUACUGGAAUUAUUGGCUAUUAAAAAAGAUUAGUCGGAUGUGGAGUAAUUUAUAUGGAAUUACCGGAUAUUUAUUGGCUACCAAGAAAGAUUAGCCGGGUUCGAGAUAAAUUUUAUGAAUUAUCAAAUUUAAAAUUAAGCAAUAAGUGUUGGUUGUUGAUUUCCUCUAAGUUUAGGAUUGAUAAAAUUAUGAAUGGCCUUUUGAUAUUGGAAUGCAGUAAGUAAGUUAGUGAUGAAAGGUAAUUUUAUAUAUUUUAAAGAAUUGCAAACAUAACUAGGUAUUUCAUGAGAUAUUUCUAAAGUGUUGGUUGAUCUAUUCCAUUGUCGGUCCUGCUUUGCCAGCAUCAGUCCUGCUUUGCUCAACCAUUAUUUGCCCUCGGGAUGUUUAAUCUGAGGCCCUUUUUGAAUUGUUCUGGCAGCGUGCUAAUAGCCUACUGCAUAUGGUUGCUCAGUUCGAUCUCAGUGCUUUUAGGUUUUGCUCAGUUCAUGUUAUGACCCGCGGCACCGCGCGGGCCAUUCACCUAGUACAUUCAAUUUGUGUACUCUAAUUUGUCUCCAAUGUCUCUAACCCCUUGUCAAAUACUGACAUGUAAACUGCUUGCAUGGUUAUCAAUAUCUUUCAAGUGAGUGUUGGAUAUAUAGCUUAAGAUAAAAAAAAAUUUCCGUUUUUAUUUAUUUUUCAUUUUUUUUCUUAAUGUUUGAGAAAGAUGCCUACAGAUGGGAAUGAAUGGACUGAUUCGAAAUCUUCUUCUCUUGAAAGGGAUGGCAGAUAAGCUAAUGAUGUUGGGUGUGAUGGAGAUUCAUCUCAACCAACAGAUCCAUUGUGUCUUGACCAUGGAAGAUAUAUAUAUAUUAUGAUCAACUCUGUGCUCCAUCGCUAAACAAAGAUGUCAUUAUGUGUGAUGUGCAGAACAUGGUGGAAAUGAAAGACGUAUUGGUCUGAAUAUUUCUAAUGAAGAUGAGGAGCUGCAUAGACUUCUGAUUUUAGACAUACAAAAGCUGAUUCUUACAAACCGAUCAGACAAGAUUUGUCAAUGGAUGAAGUUUCCUAUUUACUUUGCAACAACCCUUAGCAUUGACGGGGGAGGAGUGAGAGGCAUCAUUCCUAGCCUAGUCCUUGCCGCUCUUGAAGCUAAGCUCUAGCUAGGUUCUUGCAUAAAAAACUUACGCAGCGUGGGCCACUUUUCUUGGCUUUUUGCUCAGAUGAUUUUUGGGUUUUUUUAAAAAAUAUUUUUCAUGUGUUUACAUUUUCUUGGCAGCUUCUUCGAAGUUUCAACAUUGGGGUGGAUCCACACGUUAACUUUUCAUAUCUUAUAAUAUAAUAUGGAGAAGUGGUGGUUUUUUUAUAAAAAAAUAUUGAGACAUGGAGAAACAGACGACCAUACAAUAAGAGUCGGGAGGCCGAAUGUAUUGGGGAAGCCACCUCUCUGUUAAAAAAAAGGCAUAAGCGUGUGCUCCUGCGGAGAAGGAGAAGAACGGGACCUGCGGCUGAAAAGAAGAAGGAAAUGGGGGCGCCGGCUGGAAUGGGAAGAAGAAGGUGCUGGAACAAGGCUUAGGGAGGUGACGAGGGAGAAGAUUGUGUCAGUUUUGGGAGAGAAAAUGGAGUGGGGAGCAGCUGUGGAGAGGGGAAGGAAAAUGGUGAAAUGGCGUGGAGGAAAGGUUGAAGAUGAUGCUGCCGUGGCUGUGUCGAGAGGAGGAAGCAACCGGAAAUUAAAAAGGGGGGGGGGGCGGCUGUAAGAAGAAGAAGAUUAAGAUUUUUUAGGGUUAGGUUUUUUUUUUUUUUUUUUUGUCAAAAUUGCCCCCCUUGCUUAGCUGAAAAUGAAGGCUAUUUAUAGGCAAAAUAGUUUUUUCGGGCUUCAAAAUUGGUCCCUCAAGUUUUGUGUUUGGCCCCCUAAUUUCAAUCAAUUCACUUGGUAAAAAUUAAAUUGGGUCUCUUAAAAUUCUGAUUUUUUAAUUAAGUCCAAAUUAAGCCCCCAAACUUAAUUUUUCACCAAUUAAGCCCUCAAAUUAAUUUGACCCGCUUAAAGUAUAAUUAAGUCCUUGCACUUAAUUAAAUCCUUCAAUUGGACCCAAAUUAAUUCUUGAACAUAAUUAAAAUUCAAUUUGGCCCAUGAUUAAAUCAAAUUGGCCCAUUAAAAAUUUAAUUAUGUCAUUGGACUUAAUUCUUAUGCAAAUUCGUCCAAUAAUCAUUUAAUUUGACCUUUGAAUUUGCAUUUUUUCUAUUUUUGGGCGUAACAGCGUACACUUGGGCCUUGAGAUUCUUCCGAAAAUUGCAUCUUGAUUUUCGCCUAUUUUGCAGCCUUUCUUGGUCGGCUUUCUCCGCAUUUCCAGCCUUUAUUAUAUUUUUUAUUUUUUAUUUUUUUUGGGAAAAAAAUGAAUUUUGGGGAAUCACCCAAAAUUGGGUGAUGACAAUGUUUUUUUUGUUUUUUAUUUUUUAAUUGAUUGUUUUUAUUUUAUCUUUUAAUAUCGAAUUGAUUUGAAAAUAGACUAUAUUAUUUAUUUUUAUUUGCUUUCUAUAGAAUUAUCAAAGUUCUAAAUAAAUAUUGAAUUUAUAAAAAUAUUUUCAGCCAAUGAUUUUUGUAAAAAGUAAAGCCAUGUUUUACUGGUCUUCUAAGUUAAUUUUAAAUCUAUAAAAUCAAUCAAUUUAAAUUAUAUAGUUUAAUUAAAGAUUUGAAUUAGAUAAAAAGCUAAAUAAAGAGAUAUUAAUAAUAUUGCCAACAAACUUUUUUCACUCUAAACAUUCUUUUUUUAUAUUUUUUUUAAAAAAUUAAUCCAGCACGGAAAAACACUAGGUUUUGUUCAUUAAAAGUAAGGAUGGAGUCUUUGACCGCGUGUGCCUCUAAUCAGCAACAGAUUGGUAACGGCAACGAUUGAAAACCUUUAAUUUGUCUUCUAAUUUUUUCCCUAUUAGUAAUUGUUACGUAAUCAGAUUCGCUUCAUGUUCAAUAAUUGUUUUUUAUUUUUUUAAAUUUAUUUAUUUUAUUUUUAAUAUCAAUAUAUUUAAAUUAUAAAAAAAUCUAUUUAUCUUUUUAAAAAAACAACUAAAAACAAAAGCAAUCACCUGCUCUUAAUUAAUCACAUAUCUAAUAUUUAAAAACAUUGUUAAAGCACACGUUUUUCAAAAACUUUGAAUUUUUUUUCUUUUUGAAUUUUUUUUUUUUUUAUGAAUGAUGAAAAUAUUCCUUUAAAUCAACAAGGAUAUUUUUAUUAAUUAAUAUUAAAAUUACUUGCAUGAUGCUUUUGGGUUAAAGAUGCUCAAUGUUUGGAUUUGGGUCGGUUUGAAAUGGUAUUGCCGAUUCCAUAUUUCAAAGAAAAAUCGAAGCCUAACAUGAAUUCAUAGAAAGAGCGUUUAUUAAUAUGAAAUAUUUCUUUUUUAUAUUGUGUUCUUACAAUUACAUAAAUAACAUUUUUCAUUUAUUAAUUUAUUUAUUUCAUUAUCUUUUUAAGACUAUUGAAUUGUCAUAUUUUUUUUAAACUCGAUAGAUAAAUAAUUAUAAUUUGAAGUUUGAUUAAUAUUAUAUUUUCAUCCUAUUGAGUUUCUCCAAGAUAAAAAUCCAAAAAAAAACACUAUAUUGAUUUAUCAUUGAAGUAACCUAAUAAAAUAACAUAUGUAUUCACCAGUACAAAUCAUCUUAUAUCAUUAAAUAGCAAUAAAUUAUUCUUUUAAAAUAUAUAAUACAGAUUAAAAAAAUAUCGAAGUUUUCUACUAGGGUUGAUGAUGAAUCUCAAGGUUGAAUUGGUUCUUAUGAAGUUUUCUACUAGUGCUAAGUUAUGAGUUCAAGGAAGAGAGACAAAAAGUGAAAGGGACAAUUGUGUCGAUUGUUCUCUUGAUCUGAGCUUAUUCUGUAUCAUUUUGUUGGUUGCAUUAAUUAUACCUUCACCUCCAUACGCAACUCCUCUUCAUCUCUUAAUGUUAAUAAAAAUGUAAGAAUUUAGGAACAUUUUCACAAUGAAGAUUAAUUCAUCUCCAUAGCAGAAUACAGGAAAUAGAAAAUUAAAUCAAUAAAAGUAAGGUAUUUUAUCGCCAAUGAAUUCAUCUCUUCGAACAUUCUUGAAUUCUGGUCAAUUCAAAUCACAACAAACAUCGUAAACAUGUCAGAAGUAUUCCUCUACCACAGCAGUGAGAAGAUCAAAUGAGGAAGGCUAAGAUUCUUUAUUAAAUGAACUGAACAUACAUUUUUCUGUUGGAUGAGUUUUGGUUUCUAAACGUGAAACUGCCAUCGUAAGCACUAGCUAAGGAAGUUAGGAUAAGCUUUUCUGGUAAUUAUAUCACAUUUUUCUGCUACAAUAAUGCUCUUUAUAUUCUCUGCUACUAUUGCUUAUAAUCUUUUGCCUCUGGUAUCUUUUCCAACCUGUUUGAGGGAUGUUUUCAGGAGUUGAACAGAGUUGACAUAGAAAUCCAGGAGUUAUUGGUGACAGAGGAUCUGGAUCCUUUUCGAGGGAAAGUGAGUUCAACUGUUACAUUUUGCUUACAUUAUCUUGUUGCACUAAAUCAAGAAGUUUACUAGACUUAUUACUCUGUAAAUUUGCUUUUUAAGUGCUGAGUAUUUUAUAUAAUCAUGUAAUUGGAGAGAUGAUUCUUAUAUAAUUGUUGCCAGCUUAUUUGUGAGCAAGAAGUAUUAUUGAAUAGAAAUGCUUUCAUUCUUUAUUUUCAGCUUGAAAGUGAAUUGAACAUUCAUUACCUGAGUUUUCUUCUCCAUUUUAUUUGAUUUACAAAGCAUUUCAUGAUUUUUUUUCUGACUUUAAUAAGUUUUUUCAUGAUAAUUUUAGGAGUCCUGCAUGUCAGAAUUCAUUCCCAUCAAUAAAAUGGAGUAGUAUGAACAAUUUAUUUAUUUAUUUUUGGUUUCUGCUAACGAUUUAUUUCAUGAUUAAUAUCGAUUUAUUUUCACUUUCUAGUAUACCAUUGUUAUUAGUUGCGGUGUGGCAUAUAAUUUUUUUAGAUCAGUCUUACUUCAAUGGUGGCGUCUAAGUAUACCUUCUGCCAUAAUAUUUAAUAGCAAUUUCUAUGAUAAUCUCAGAAUUUCCAAGCUAGCUUUUGCACCCUUCACAUUUUGAUAAUACCUAGCUUUUAAGUUUUAUAAUAUUUUUUUAUUUUUGACAUCAAAUGAUCCUAAAGCAAAUAUAUAUAUAUAUAUAUAUAUAUAUAUAUAUAUAUAUAUAUAUAUAUAUAUAUAUAUAUAUAUAUUUUUUUUUUUUCAAAAUGGUUGUGAGCAUUUUAUCAAUCUGUUGGGGGUGAUGUUGGUGGGCUUGGGCUAGGAGCAUGUUAUUUUUACUCUUGGGCUAUUGGCGAGGCUUGAGACUGCUACCUUUUCUUUUCGUUCCCGCGCUGCCCCUCCCUCUCCAAAAAGUCGCUCAAAAUACAGAUUACGAAAUCACAGCUAUAGCUUGGAAUUGAAUGCAUGAGUUGAAACCGUCGGAGAACACCAGGCUAAGCUCCAAACACAUCGCCGCCGGCAUGCUCUCCAGCAGAAUUCAAAAUAGUUUUCUAAAUUUUACAUUCAAUUUGUCUACUCUAAUUUUUCUCCAAUAUCUCUUAUCAAAUGGGUUCUGCUUUUAGAUGGUAUGAGCGAGACUUUUGGCAUACAGAAGCUGGGAGUUCCUGUCCAAGUUAAGGGAUGCAAGCUGAUUCUUACAAACCGAUCAGAAAAGAUUUGUCUAUGGAUGAAGUUUCCUAUUUACUUUGCAACACCCUUAGCAUUGACGGGGGAGGAGUGAGAGGCAUCAUUCCUAGCCUAGUCCUUGCCGCUCUUGAAGCUAAGCUCUAGCUAGGUUCUUGAAUAAAAAACUUACGCAGCGUGGGCCACUUUUCUUGGCUUUUUGCUCAGAUGAUUUUUGGGUUUUUUUUAAAAAUAUUUUUCAUGUGUUUACAUUUUCUUGGCAACUUCUUCGAAGUUUCAACAUUGGGGUGGAUCCACACGUUAACUUUUCAUAUCUUAUAAUAUAAUAUGGAGAAGUGGUGGUUUUUUUAUAAAAAAAUAUUGAGACAUGGAGAAACAGACGACCAUACAAAUAAGAGCCGGGAGGCCGAAUGUAUUGGGGAAGCCACCUCUCUGUUUUAAAAAAAGCAUAAGCGUGUGCUACUCUUCUCGGUCAACAAUCACAACUUUUUUAUUUAUUUUGGCAGAUUAGAGUGUACGGACCAGAUUACGCGCACCACAAUUAAUUUCUGAAUCCACUAAAUACCUUGCACGUCCAGUAAAUAAGUAAGAUACACAAUUAAUUUCUGAAUCCACUAAAUACCUUGCACGUCCAGUAAAUAAGUAAGAUACUAGAAGGAUAAUAAAUAUACAUGCUGAGUCUCAAACCCAUGUUAUAGAAGCAAGAAAACUUUAUCUCUACUGCUUGCCAGAAGGCUGGUGCAACUAUUUUCUUUCUUAAACCUUACGCAGCAGGGGCCACUUUUCUUGGCUUUUUGCUCAGAUGAUUUUUGUGUUAUGGCUUUUAUUAUUAUUAUUAUUAUUAUUAUUAUUAUUUCAGAAAACUAUCCUGAACUGGAAAAUAAAAUGGAGUUGCUCGCCUCGCAACAUGUGAUACUCGUAGGGCUUAAGUGUAACCAGAUUCACUGAUCAAUAAAGAAAAUUAUCAUUGUAACAAUUUUUUUAAAAUAUUUGUUAUUAAAAAAUAUAUUAAAAUAAUAAAUUUUUUUAUUUUUUAAAUUUUUUUUAUAGCAACAGGACAGUAUAUAAAUAUAAAAUAAUCAAAUUUAAAUAAAUAAAAUAAAAUUUAACCAAUACCCAUUUAAAACGAAAUAGCAAACUGGGAUUAAGAAACACAGAAUUAAUCAAAUAGUAUUUUGGAUAAUGAUAAUUUUGUUGGGCCACAGAAUUAGGUCACUGAAGAACUUUUUAGUAAAGGAUUAAUUACUAUGCUCUUAUCCACACAAUCCUUCAUCACCAUCCAAUCCCAUCACUGGAGAACUUAUCCUCUUUGAUCUCAAUGCCCUUCUGCCAUCCCCAAAUAUAAGCUUUUAUCCCUUUUCCUUUGUAUUUUGUCGUUUGUGUCUUUGUCCACUGGCUCAAGGGUGUUUAGUAAUUCUAUAUACGGUUUUUUAAAAAAUAUUUUUUAAAUAAAAAUAUAUUAAUAUAAUAUUUUUAAAAUUUUUUUAAUACUAAAACAUUAAAAAUAUUUUUUAAUCUAUUACAUACAAGCAAGCUGAUACAUAAUUCCCACAUUAAAAAAAUAUAUUUAUUAAUAAAGUGUUUGGAGUUGUUUUUUAAAUUAUUUUUUAUUUAAAAAUACAUUAAAAUAAUUUUUUUUAUUUUUUUAAAAUUAUUUUUAAUAUCAUCAUAUCAAAAUAAUCUAAAUAAAUUAAAAAAUAAUAAUUUAAAAUUAAAAAAUAAUAAUUUAUUUUCAAAAAUACUUUUAAAAUAUAAAAAUAAAACACAAACCCUAACCUCGAACCCAACAUCAUUUCUUUCUGUACAUUUUGCGUGUGUUAAAGGACGCUCCUAAGGCCACGCUCAUAACAGGACGGUGGAUGAUUACGACCAGAACAAGGGUUUAGCAAGGAUCGGAAGAGGGACAGGAGGGUUUAGAGGACACGUGUCAAGUCUUACCAUAAAGGUUAGAAGGUGAUUCAUGAGAUUAAGCUCGUCCUUUGAACCAGCCGCCAUCUUUGACCCUCUCCUCUGGAAUAUUACUACGGACCACAAUAUGGAUCCUCUUUUUUUUUUUUUUUUUUCCUGUUUCGGAGUCUAUUCUGAACUCUUGUCAGUCUUGACACCUUUCGCUCUCUCCCUUUCCCACCACCUUAUUCAAUUAUUCAAUUCAACUGGGAAUCUGCUACGAGUUAGAUUUUAAGUCUAGAUUUUGACUUAUUAUAUGUUUUUUAAGUUGAUUUUUUUUUUCCAUUAAUAUCUUUCCUUACAGUAAAUAAAAAAACAUAUUUCAUUGUUCUUUUAGAAGAUAUUUGGAAUCAUUUGCUGGAUCUAUUUUCUGUUUUUAUUUUCAAAUUUUGAAAUGACUCCUCAGGAAACAAUUCCAACCAAUUAUUUGUCAUGGAAUUUGGAGGCUGUCUAAUUCCAAGUGGGCAUGCUGCAUUUCUUAGCCAGGUGGAGCAAGAAUUGAGGGAGCUUGUUUCUGGCUUUUGCUUCUCUGGGUAUGAUUUGUUGUGUUUUUGUUUUUUCUGCUAAUUUAUCUAAAUAUAAACUUUAGAAUCUUUUAAAUGAAACUAGCGUUCUUGAUUUCUAGGUGGUAGAUAUAACAAUAAUAUUAUUAAAAUAAAAAUAAAUAAAUAAAUAUGAUCAGACUUUUACCAUGUAGCAAAAGAGAAAACAUGACGUCUCUCUGUUUUUUUUAAGCAAUUUUGUUUUUAAUUUCAUUAUAAUAAUUUAUUUCAAUAAGCUUAGCAUGCUUAUUAUGAAGCUCUCACAUAAUAUUAUUAAAAUUGCAAAUUAACUUUUAAAAUUUUAUGAUUUUAUGAGUUAAUAUGUAUAUAAUAUGUCAAAUCAAGUUAAUAUGUAUUAAAUUAUAUAUUUUUUUAAUAUUUUUAAAUUAUUUUAAUGUAUUAAUAUCAAAAAUAAAUUUUUAAAAAAAUAUUAUUUAUAUAUAUUUUUAAAUAAAAAAUACUUUAAAAAUCAAUCUCAUUUCAAACGGCAGUGCCCUGUACCAAACUAUAUUAUCAACAAGAUUUUCCUCGUAUGAAUUAAACCAUUCUGCAUUUGACACAACUUGAAAAACAUGUUUCUUCUUAAAUUAUUAUUUCCACGUGUUUUUUAAAAUCUGAAUAUUUGAGAAAUGGUGGGGUUGAUUUUGUUAGCUUGAUAUGCUUUCGUCUUUGCUUUCCAUUUUUUUCUUUUUGGUUACUUUUGUAUGCUUUCCUCUGUUGCUAAUAUCCACCUCAGCAAGUAGCAUCUAGUUAUAAACACCUUGGGUAUAUUAGUAAAAUAGAAAAACAUUCAUUAUAAUAAAAAUUUUAUGGUUAAGUAAAAUCACUCUGAUCUAAUAUAUACACUCAAAAAAAUAAUAACUACCCAACACAUCUUAAAUCUUGUUUUUUUUACAUUUUAAAAAUACUUUUAAAAAAAUUCGAAUGUCAGAACUGGUUUAUCUUUAUAGUCAUAAUGUGUUAUUUAAAAAUAAAAAAUUUAAAAAUAUUAUUUUAAUAUAUUUUUAAAUAAAAAAAUUUACAGCAUGCAUAAAUAUACUAUUCUUUUUUGAAAAUCUCAUGUGUUUACAAUUUCUUGGCAGCUUCUUUGAAGUUUCAACAUUGGUGCGGGUCCACACGUUAACUUUUUAUAUCUUAUAAUAUAGUAUGUGUGUUUGGUAUGGAGAUGUGGGAAUUUGAGGUUAAUAAUUUAUUUUAAUUAAUUAUAAAGUUCUCAAGGUAAAAAAAACAAAAAAAGCUUCAACGAUUAAUUUAAGUUGGUAUUUGAUUUGAUAAAAUUUUAUUCAAUUUAAUUCAUUAAAAAUAAUUGAAACUUUGAACACCAAAUAUGAUACUGAAAUAAAAAAGCAGCCUGUUGUGUUUUUCAAAAUUCUGUUCCCUAGAGUUUUUGCAUUUUUCAUUUUAAUUUUAAUUCAAAAUUUUAUUUUAUUAAUUUUUUAAUUAUGAAUUUGAGAUAAAAAAAUCACUAAAAAACUCGGAAAAAAUGGAAAAUUAUUGGCCGACAAUUUUAGCAACAAAAAAACACGAUCAUCUUUGUAUUAAUAGAAAAUUAGUGUGCAGAUUGGAUAGCAAAUCAUACUUUAUAGGUCGAGGGCUAAAAAUAUAAAUUUGUAAAAGGGUGGUGGAAAAAAAAUAAUUUCCAUUGGUGUGGAAAAGUUCAGAUAUACUAUUAUAGAAUAAGAUAAUGUUUGAUGGUGUAAUAAUUAUUAUUUUUUAAAUUAUUUUUUAUUUAAAAAUAUAUUAAAAUAAUAUAUUUUUUUAUUUUUUAAAAUUUAUUUUUAAUAUUAAAAUGUCAUAGAUUAAGAGAGGCGUUUUAUUUUUUUUAAAAAUCAAAAUAAUAUUAUUUUAAUAAUUGUUUAUUAAAAAAUUAAAGAAUUAAAAGCUAGUCAACCGAGUUAAGAAAUCAACUUAGAUUCUUGAUUAAAUCAGCUGAUGACCCGUUAACUUUGGCAGGUAUAUAUUAAUUUAUUUUCUUGGCAGCUUUUUCGAAGUGUGAACAUUGGAGCGGGUCCACACGUUAACUUUCUAUAUCUUAUAAUGUAAUAUGUUUGGGUUGCUUCCUGGCAACUUCCUUCCUUCCUAUCAAACAAUACGAAAAUUAACUAUUAUUGAGGCGACCUUACUAAUAAAUAAUAGUAUUUGUAACAUUCGCUAGCGGCUGUAACAUUCGCUUCCACAUCUCCUCUCAUUAUACAAUUCCCUAUUUACCUUCCUUAUUAGGUAAUCCAGCUAGCACUUGAAGAACAUCUUGAAUCCAGGUAAAUUAAUUGUACUUCAUCUUGUCUGAAUCUUUAAAGUAAUCCAUGAUAAAUUAAUCGAUCUUUUUCUCAGAUUUUGUAAUCCAUGCCCUGUGGUGUUCAUACUGAUUAUAUUAACCCUAAACGUUGAAUUCAUUGUUUUUGUCUUUUCAAGAUUCUUUGCUGUUUUUAACUCCUUACAUAUGGGAUUUCUUUUCCAAUACUAGAUUUUGUAAUCCAUGCCCUGUGGGACUGCCAUUAAUUAUUUUUAUCCAAUAUUUUUCUGACAUAAUGAUUCAAUGAAGUUGUUUUUUACUGAUUCAUGAAUUAACUUGAUCAGUAUUAAUUACCUUUCAUUAAACUUGUUUACAACAAGUGACAAAUAAUUUAGCAUUAAAACAAAGAAUUAAAUAAUUAACAGCAACAUUUAUAUUUCCUAUUUUUCAUCCGAAUUUCUUUAACAACUAUAUAUAUAUAUAUAUAUAUAUAUAUAUAUAUAUUCUUAUCUAAUCUGUGCUUUCUGUUCUUUUUUAAACCUCAGAUGGAAGGAGUCCCACCGUCUUGUAAUGAGGAUGAUGUCAACUUGACAUCGAAUCAGUUCGAUUUUCAAUCACCAGAAGAUUCAUUCAAUAUUUCUGAGUUUCUCUUGUACGUCAUUCUUAAGCAUAUUUUAUCAGAAGAUGAUUACUUGCAAUUUAGUUAUUCUACGGUUUAUCCUAUAUAUUAUUCCAUGGAAGCAGGCCGGCAGACAACCAAGGCUCCAUAUCAUGCAAUGAUCAAGGUGGACAGACAACUGAUCAGUUUCCACCUUCAUUUCCUCAAACCAUGGUGAGUGCUCAUGCUACAACUGAUCAAGGUGGACAGACAACUCCACUUUGCUACAAUGUCCAUUGAAUUAGCAAGUGUUUGUAUCACCCAUUGGAUCAAAAAGUUUUUAUGUUUUCGUGUAUCAAUUUAUCUCGAGCAUCUUCAAAAUGUUUAUUGUUAAACAAACAGACAACAAUGGGAGAUUUAGAUGGAACAUCAUCGUCAUGGAUCAACCAAAAUGAACCAAAUUGGCCUCAAGCUCCAUCAAGGUACAUAAUAUUCAUCAUUAUUUAACUUCUUCUUCUUGUUCACACUAAAUGAAUUCAUUAUGUUUGAAUAUCAAAUGCUUAGUGGAUUAAUAGCAAAGAAUUAUGCAUAUGUAUAAAGAAAUCACUAACAAAUGUUGCUAAUUUAGGGACCAACAAUGGACUGAUUAUCAGUUACCAAUUAUGAGCAAUCAAGUGCCUGCGAUGAACCAAUGGUAUUAACCUCGAAUAUACACUUUUUUAAUCAUGAAAACAACAAACUUGACCAAAAUUGACGAGGAUCUUUCAAGUCUUUUUGAGCUCUCUAUCUCUUUUUUUUUUUUUUGCACAUAAUGGAACUAGAAAAUCAACCAAGUGAGCAUAACAGUUCUAAGUUUAACUAUUUGAAUAUUAUUCAGGCAUCAGAACUCCAAUAUUCCUCAACCUUAUCCGAGACAUGGCUAUAUAACACCGAACGCAACCACUUCACAACAUGGUGGCUUCAAUCAACCUGGACCUUCUUUUCCUGCUCCCCGGUAUCCAAUUUUUCAUGUUUAGUAUUUUCUUUUAAGAAAAAAGAAUUUAGUUUUUCAAUCAGGAAAGAAACAUCAUAGCUUGAACAUGAACCCACCAAGCUAAACAUAAGUUUGUAAUGCUUCAUAUUGUCUGCGAAUGAUUUUGGAUUCAGGAUUCAACAUUUUCCUAAUCAAGGACAAGUCGAUCAAGCUUUUGCAAUUCCUAAUAUAGACAAUAUGCAACAGGAGAACUUCGUGCCUCAAAACUUUGACAACUCUACUAGGUACUGAUCAAACUUUGGCAAUAUAUAUGCUGUCGUGUUUUAACACAGUAUUAAUACCUUUUUGAUAAUUAGAUACACCAUUGAUUUUUAGUGCUUAAGAGAGACUACCACUUAUCGAAAGGUUUAAUAAUAUCAUCACUUCAUUUAUAUAUAGGUCACAGAUGGAUAACCUCCAAGUCCGAGGAUUGCAAAAUCAAACUGCUACGCCAAAUGCCUCGAAUCCUGGCCUUGGCACUUCCCUGCAAAGUCAAAAUAGGGGUUUAAAUACUCAACAAGUAAGAAGUAUAACUGAAUUAUCAUCGUCUUUUUCCCUCCUAUGAUUGUGCAAUAAACUAACUAUCAAUUUUAAUAGCAAAAUAAGGGUAACAACACUGAAGAAGUAGUUUCUCAUCCAUCUGGAUAUGGUGUAACUUGCAUCAAUUUUUAUUCUUUAUUUUGACCUACCUUUUUUUUAUAUAGGUUGAAAUGGUUAGAUCAAAGGAUCCAUUUUGGAAUUAUAUUGAAGAUAGGACUGAUGGUAGCAUGAAGUGUACGUUUUGUCCACAUACAUUUGCCAAUAAAACCUCCAUUUCAAGGAUCAAAUGGCAUUUAUCAGGAGAGGAAGGGCAUAAUGUUGCCAUUUGUCUUGGGGUGCCUAAAGAAGUUCAAGAAGCAGCCUUUCUAGCUGCUUACAAAAGACAGAAAAUCACAGCAAGUUCAGCCAAUGUUAAUGAUUGUGGAAUUUCAACUUGUCCACAGGAACAAAACAUUGAGAUUAACAUGGUAGGAGUAGGGGAACAGAGGAUUUCUUCACAGCAAUAGCAGGAAACGACNNNNNNNNNNNNNNNNNNNNNNNNNNNNNNNNNNNNNNNNNNNNNNNNNNNNNNNNNNNNNNNNNNNNNNNNNNNNNNNNNNNNNNNNNNNNNNNNNNNNNNNNNNNNNNNNNNNNNNNNNNNNNNNNNNNNNNNNNNNNNNNNNNNNNNNNNNNNNNNNNNNNNNNNNNNNNNNNNNNNNNNNNNNNNNNNNNNNNNNNNNNNNNNNNNNNNNNNNNNNNNNNNNNNNNNNNNNNNNNNNNNNNNNNNNNNNNNNNNNNNNNNNNNNNNNNNNNNNNNNNNNNNNNNNNNNNNNNNNNNNNNNNNNNNNNNNNNNNNNNNNNNNNNNNNNNNNNNNNNNNNNNNNNNNNNNNNNNNNNNNNNNNNNNNNNNNNNNNNNNNNNNNNNNNNNNNNNNNNNNNNNNNNNNNNNNNNNNNNNNNNNNNNNNNNNNNNNNNNNNNNNNNNNNNNNNNNNNNNNNNNNNNNNNNNNNNNNNNNNNNNNNNNNNNNNNNNNNNNNNNNNNNNNNNNNNNNNNNNNNNNNNNNNNNNNNNNNNNNNNNNNNNNNNNNNNNNNNNNNNNNNNNNNNNNNNNNNNNNNNNNNNNNNNNNNNNNNNNNNNNNNNNNNNNNNNNNNNNNNNNNNNNNNNNNNNNNNNNNNNNNNNNNNNNNNNNNNNNNNNNNNNNNNNNNNNNNNNNNNNNNNNNNNNNNNNNNNNNNNNNNNNNNNNNNNNNNNNNNNNNNNNNNNNNNNNNNNNNNNNNNNNNNNNNNNNNNNNNNNNNNNNNNNNNNNNNNNNNNNNNNNNNNNNNNNNNNNNNNNNNNNNNNNNNNNNNNNNNNNNNNNNNNNNNNNNNNNNNNNNNNNNNNNNNNNNNNNNNNNNNNNNNNNNNNNNNNNNNNNNNNNNNNNNNNNNNNNNNNNNNNNNNNNNNNNNNNNNNNNNNNACCGCGUGCCAUUCACUACUACGAGUGGAAGAGUGUCCGUGGGCAGUUAAGACAACAAGACUAGAGGAGUCCACUACCUACUAGCUCUACAAAGCCAUUGGGUCAAGCAUUCGAAGAGAAUACGAAGGUGAUACGGUCUUUGUUAAUGGAUGGGGAAGUCUUAAGCAUGGGUAUUUAUGGGAUGGGGGGAGUUGGUAAAUCCACAAUACUUCAACAUAUCUAUAAUGAGUUUCUACAAAAACCAGAUAUUUGUAAUCAUGUUUGGUGGGUGACCGUAUCUCAAGAUUUCAGCAUUAACAGAUUGCAGAAUCUUAUUGCUAAACAUCUUGAUCUAGACCUUUCAAGAGAAGAUGAUGAUCUACAUAAAGCUGCUAAAUUGUCAGAAAAACUAAAGAAGAAACAAAAAUGGAUUCUCAUUUUAGAUGAUUUGUGGAACAAUUUUGAGCUACACAAAGUGGGAAUUCCUGAAAAGUUAGAAGGAUGCAAGCUGAUUAUAACAACUCGAUCAGAAAUGAUUUGUCAUCGGAUGGCUUGCCAGCACAAAAUCAAAGUGAAGCCACUUUCUGAUGGAGAAGCUUGGACUUUGUUCAUGGAGAAACUUGGACAUGACAUAGCACUUUCACCAUAUAUGGAAAGAAUUGCGAAAGCUGUUGCAAGGGAAUGUGAUGGUUUGCCAUUGGGAAUUAUUACAGUGGCAGGAAGCUUGAGGGGAGUGGAUGAUCUACAUGAGUGGAGGAAUACAUUGAAGAAAUUGAAAGAAUCAGAAUUUAGAGACAAUGAAGUAUUCAAGUUAUUGAGGUUUAGUUAUGAUCGGUUAGGUGAUUUAGCACUACAACAAUGUCUCUUGUACUGUGCAUUAUUUCCUGAAGAUCAUGUGAUUGAAAGGAUGCAGUUGAUAGCUUAGCUUAUUUGAUUGAUGGGGGAAUAAUUAAAGGAAUGAGGAGCAGGGGAGAUGCAUUUGACGAGGGCCACACGAUGCUUAAUAGACUUGAAUAUGUCUGCUUAUUGGAA
rnacentral:lncRNA from 1 species